rnacentral:lncRNA from 1 species
UCAACUUAAGACCACCUACACCACUCAGAAAGACAAGUGGACACUGAAUGAGCUGAUUGCUAUCUGUGUCCAGGAACAUAAGAGGAUUAAGAAGGUUACCAUUCACCUAGUCACCACCAAACCACAAUAGAAUAAACCUGAAAAGAAAGCUAGCCCUUCUAAGAACGUGGGAGUUGGCAAGAAGGCCAUGAAAGUCAGUGGCAACAAGGGAGGCAUCAAAUGCUUGUUUUGUAAGGUUAAGGGCCACAUGAAGAAGGAUUGUGGCAAGUAUAAGACCUAGAAGGCAAAGAGAGGUAAUGAACCAUUGUUUAAUUUUUAUAUUGAGGUGAAUUUAGUUAACGUUCAUACUGAUACUAACUUGGAGUUUUGACACUAGCUCACCUGUGCAUAUCACCAAUUCUCUACAGGGGCUGCAAAGCCAGAGGAGGCCAAGGGAAAAUGAGAUCAGGAUCCAUGUUGGAGAAGGCAUGAGAGUAGGAAUUGAAGCAGUUGGUUUUGUUAAAUUAGUUUUGAGGCCAGGAGUUUUUCUAGUUUUAGAGCAAGUGUAUUCUGUUCCUUCCAUGUCUAGGAACUUAAUUUCAGUUGUUGUUUUGGUUAAAGACAAUUGUCAGUUUUUGAUUGAUUCUGAUGGAAUAAAAAUAAGUCGUGCUUCUCAUUAUCUUGCUAUUGCAUAGUUUAUUGAUGAUUAUUGGUCUUUGCCUAAUACUUGCCACACAGAGGUUUUGUUGAUUAAGAAUAAUGUUAUUGAUUCAGUUAGUGGAAAUAAAAGAAAAAUCACUGAAAAGUCUGCCUUUCUUUGACAUAGGAGAUUAGGACAUGUCUCAAAAGAGAGAUUGAAAUUGAUGGUGAAGCAAAGAAUUUUAACUAAGUUAGACUUUUCUGAUUUGGUGGAUUGUAUUGAAUGUGUUAAGGGUAAAUUUGCUAAACAGACUAAGGAGCAACUAGAAGUACAUGCCUUAUGGAAUUGGUUCAUACUGAUAUUUGUGGACCAUUUGUGAUUCAAACUAUGUGGAAAUAGCUAUUAUAUCACCUUUAUUCAUGUCUAUCAUUUAUUCAGGUACCUCCGCUUCCUCCAUCGCCUCUACAUUCUCCGUAUUUAAAAGGUCCUCAAUCACUUGUUCUGGUACCUCCAUUUUCGUUGGUUGUAUCUUUUAAUUAACGUAUAUUUCUCGAGAAAUAAAAUUCAUUUCAUCUCAAUAAUUGUAGUUCCAAAUUCUUUUUAAUAUUAUAUAAUAUAUAUAUAUGAGAAAAAGAAACAAUAUGCAUAGAAAUAUAUCAUUACAUAUAUAUAACAAAAUAAUUAGAUUUGGCUUUACCUUCGGAUUUAUCUUAUGGUUGGAGUGUUUUUUAAAGCCAAAAUGUUAUAAAUUUGGCUAUGAAUUUAGCUUACGAUGGGAGGCUCUGGUAAGCUAAAAAAGAUUUCACAGUAUAUUCUUGUUUUAUAAGCUAAAUUUGGUUAAGGAUUUAACCUACGAUGUUCUAAGGGAGUGGUACUCUGGGAGCAAUGCUGGGCCUUUGUCUUGCUUUUCUUAACUUUUUUUUUUUUUUUUUGUUCAACAGAAAAAGGGGUUCAGCUUAAGGCCUAAUUUAUUUCUUGUUACUCUUCAUGUUAGGAAAUUUUAUACUUUUGACGUUAUGAUCUUUAUUCAGUAGCUAGUAUGGUUGUACACCAAUUGCGGUCCUUGACAGAUAUACUAACUUAGUGAUCGGGUUAUGGAAUUUCAACCAAGUCAGUGAAGGGCUCUAAUACUUUGAAUAAGUGAGCAGUGAAACCCUGUCUUCACCCACACACCUCGUCACAGGCACGGAACCAGGGGUAGGCUAAGGUAUGUUGCAGCCUACCUCGAUUUUUAGACUGACAAAAAUUCAAUAUGUAUACAUGCCAUAACAAGCUGCCUUAAAAGGAAGGUCUCCCUCUAUAUAUACAUCGAAGCCUUGCUACUAACCUGCAUUGAAAAACAGAAAAACUUCUGCUACUCAAAGUUCUCUAUUCUCUUGUACCACAAAAAGAGUCGAUAUCUUCUUUAUGUAAUUGCUAAGUUCAGUAGAACAAUGAACAACUCGUGAACUUUUGUCUAUACUUAAACCAACAAACAUGCCCAUAUCAAAGCUCAGUUGCUUAUAAACUCAUACUAUACAUACAUUCUCAUUUCUCAAUGCUCAGAAACUUCUUACUUAGUUGUUUUGAUUUUUCUUUUUCUGAGUUGUGUUUUAGUGAUAUAUCAAUAUCAAAAUUUCACGCCAAGAAAGUUCUCAUAAAAUUAAAUCCAUAUUUUCAUACAACUAUUGUCAUUAUGAGUAAUAUAUGUUAGAGUAGUCUCUGCUAAACUUUAAGAUAACUCUAGCUUUUCCCGAUUCUAAUUCCUGGUUCUGUCCUUGCCUCGUGAUCUACAUGACUAGGGUUUUUCAUUUCGGAGCAUAGAGAUACCGGAAGAGACCACCACGGCCGUCGGAAACCAAGAUUCAUCUUUUCCAAUAAUGCCAAUUGCCGCAGCCCCAAGACUCCCCCCACGUUAUUUUUUCAGGUUGUGUAAGCUACUAAGCUUGUGUGUGCGUCUCUUGUUGCCGUUGUCGACACGGCUGAAUAUAUUAAGCCAAGAUUAGCUGUCUUCUUCUUAUUUGCAAAUUGCAAUUCCUUCUGGGUUUCCUCAAGUAGUAUAGUAAGCAGUAGGUUUCCAUUUGCCAACCAAAACAGAGAAGGCACAGCUGCUCCUAAACUAGGCCUACUUAAUUUCCAAAAAUCCCCACAGUCGUAUUAGAGUAUCUCUCAUCAUAACCUAAAAAGUUAAAUUUAGUUUAUGUUUAUUCCUACAUAAGCCAAAUUAUAUUUUUCAAGAUAAAAAAUUUGGUUUGAGUUAUUUGGUAAGUCAAAUAUGGCUUAUGAAGUUUAUAAGCUAAAAUUAAAUGUUAUUUUAUUCAACUUUACAUUUCUUAUUUUAAUUUACAUUACCAUCAAAAUUAAAAAUUCGUUACUAACAACCAUCGUGAAUAUCUUGACAAGAUCUUUCAUAUGAGUCUCAUAUCGAAUAUAUUUAUAUAAUAUUUUUUUUAUGAUUAUUAUUGAUUUAAACAAAUAUAUGAGAAAAGAAAAAUAAAUGGCUUUACCUUAGGUUUUAGCUUAUAGUGGGAGUCUUUUUAAAGCCAAACUGCUAUUAAUUUAGCUAAGGAUUUAACUUAUGAUGAGAGAGUUUGGUAAGCUAAAAAAAGAUUUCAAAAAAUAUUCUUGUUUUCUAAGCUAAAUUUGGUUUACGAUGGUCGUCUAAUUUGAUUGGAUCAAUGUGAUUCAUGGGAGCUGUGUUUGUAGGUUAGUGAAGAUUGGAUUCAGACGUGGUGGAAUUAACACUUGGACAGUAAACAAGAGUUGUCAAGCAAUAAAAUAGGUGGUUGAGUUUCUUUGUUUAAUUGCUGAUUUUAUUUGUAUUUUUGGUUCAUGAAUAAUGAUCUAGAACACCUACUUUACAUUUAUAAUUGUAUUAUCACCUGCCUUGUUUUGGAAAUAAAUAGAAAGCAAAUGUGAUGGAUUCGCACAUCCGUUUUCUAUGAAUCUAGUAAAAAUGUAAAAUGGUGGAAUGGGACUGGGCACUCUAGGUUGGUUAAUGUCAUUUUCCCUAAGCAUAUAUAGUGUCUAAUUGUCUAUAGCAGACGUCAAUUUCCAUAAAAAGGUGUUUAAAGCUCAAAAUAUGUUUUCCUCACACACGAUUGAAAACUAAAUGGAUGAUGUCAAUUUCCACUUUCUUAUUAUGUUUACUCUUAAGGUGCAACUAUUUUGAGAUUGAGCAGCUACCGGCGUAAAUGUAGGUGACUCGUAAUUAAACAUUUACAUAUCUAAGUUAGAAAAUAUUCGAUAGGUUGUCGUAAUUUCUUUGGAUGAAUCAUGAAAGAUUUUUAUCAUUUAUAUAAAUUUGCAUCAUUUAUAUGCAUAAGCAACAUAGACAAAAAUAAAUAAAUGCAAGGACAGUUUAAUCUAUCUUAAUGAAAAAAAUAUUUGAAGCAAAAACAAUUCAAAAAUAUAUAACAGUUUCAUAGAAUGACAAGUUGUGUCUUUAUACUCUAUAUCUUUCUAUAUUGUACACACCCACUAACUAAAAAAAAACUAUUUAUCUAUGUUUGGUCAUUCACACAGGAUGUGUAUAUAUACGUUUUGUAAUGAACCAUUUCCUUGUUCUGAAUGCAAAUUAUCUUCUUUUUAUUUUUUUCAUGUAAUUACAUAACUGGUGAGUUGUAACUCAUAGAUCAUGACUCAUUCACUCAUGAGUCUUAGUAAAAAAUGACCAUCUCCAUUUACUUCCUUCCUUCUUGGAGUUGCAUUUUAACUUCUGCAGUUUAAUUAUUAAAGCGAGUUACUUUUUUUAAUUAAAUUACUCACCAAGAAGAGAAUUCAUCAAUUCUGCUUUCACUUUCAGAAUAUCUAAGCUCUCUCAAACCUGGCCUUCCUUCACUCGUUUGCCUCAGCAAGACUCCCAUUCCAUUUGUUUUUGUUUUUGUUUUUGUUGUUUAAUACAAUAAAAUAGAAUAAAAGCUAGUGAACCUGUCAGUAUCCAUCUGGGGUUGUCAUCUAGUUCAUCCAGCUUGUGCUCUGCAAGAUUUGAGCCCAAAUUAACUGUUUUCCUCUUAUUCCCACAAUAAACAAACAAAACCACUCUAAAAGGGUCUCUCAGAUUUGCUUUGCUUUGCUUUCUGGCUCUGUGCUCUGGGAUUCACACAUAUCUCACCACUGGUGCUCAUUUGAUCUCAAAAGGUGACAUCUUUUCACUUAUUCAAUCACUUCUCUUCCUGGGUUGUUGCUUAAGUUUUGUUUCUGAUUGAUAAGUAGAAACUUUCUGUUCUUUUUCUGCAUAAAGAACCCAGAUUUCAGUCCUCUAUUAAGCUCAAACAAACCCUUUGUCAAUAAAGUUCGCAUCUUUUUGAUGAUGGGUUAUAGAAAAUUUGAUCUAUGCAUCUGGGUUUUGUCAAUCUUGAGUGUGGGUUGCUUCUGUAGUGGGUUUACUCCUGUAGACAAUUACUUCAUAGAUUGUGGUUCACCAACUAAUACUUCAGUUGGUAAUCGUGUUUAUCUAGCUGAUAAGUUAGCUUCGAAAUUCCUUUCAACCCCAAAAGAUGUUCUUGUCACUGGUCCAUUAACAAAAAUCACUUCCUUGGAUGAUUCACCGCUGUAUCAAACUGCAAGAGUCUUUACUGGGUCUUCAAAAUUCACUUUUUCUAUAGGCCAGACUGGUAGGCACUGGAUCCGCCUCUAUUUCUAUCCAUUCAUUUCGGGUAGUUAUGAUCUGAGCAAGGCCAAAUUCUCUGUUUCCACCCAAACCUAUGGCCUGCUUAGUGAUUUCAGUGUUCAAAACUCUUCUGUUAUGAAGGAGUUUUCAGUGAAUGUGACUUCGAGUAGCCUUGUUGUCACUUUCACCCCUUCGAGCGUUUCAUUUGCAUUCCUGAAUGCCAUAGAAGUUGUUUCUGUCCCCGAUGAUCUCAUUACCGAUGAUGCCAGCCCCACUCCUGGCAAAUUCCAGGGUCUGUUGAGUCAGGCAUUGGAGACAACUUGGAGGGUGAAUAUGGGUGGACCUAUGGUGACCUUUGAGAAUGAUACCUUGUGGAGAACAUGGGUUCCUGAUCAAGAUUUUCUAGUGAACAAGAACUUGGCCAAAGAUGUCUCAAAUGUUGCAGCUGUUCAGUAUGCAGAAGGUUUUGCAACUGCAGAUACUGCUCCUAGAACUGUUUAUGGUACUCUCACAGAGAUGAACUCAGCCGAUGAUCCUAACAGCAAUUUCAACGUGACCUGGGAGUUCAAGGUGGAUUCUGGAUUUCAAUAUCUGGUUCGCUUUCACUUUUGCGACAUAGUAAGUAAAGCUCUAAAUCAGCUUUACUUCAAUGUGUAUGUUGACUCUUUGAAUGUUGCUCAGGAUCUUGAUCUGAGUACUAUAACAGUUAACGUGUUGGCUGCAGCAUAUUACUUGGAUUAUGUUACAACAUCAGUUGCCAAUGACAAACUUCGGAUCAGUAUUGGUCCUUCCUCUGUGAAUAAUGCUUAUCCCAAUGCCAUUCUAAAUGGGCUUGAGAUCAUGAAAAUGAACAACACAGAUGGCAACCUCGGUGGAGCAGGCGGUGUGGUUGCUUCAAAUUCAAGUUCAAAAAGUAAUGUCGGAGUUAUAGUGGGUGCCAGCGUUGGAUCACUUAUUGCAGUGGUGUUGGCUGCUAUUCUCUUUAUUGUGUGCAGAAGAAGGAAGGAUAAAACAAACCAAGGCCAUUCCAAGACAUGGGCUCCUUUCUCCAUGAAUGGAACCAAUUCACACACCAUGGGAAGCAAGUACUCCUACGGAACAACUGCUAGUGCUGCUUCCAACUACCAGUAUCGCUUUCCUUUUGGUGUAGUUCAAGAGGCUACAAACAACUUUGACGAGAGUUGGGUUAUUGGAAUUGGUGGUUUUGGGAAGGUUUACAAAGGAGAAUUUAAUGAUGGAACUAAAGUAGCUGUCAAGAGGGGAAAUCCACGGUCUCAACAGGGCCUUGCAGAGUUCAGGACAGAAAUUGAGAUGCUUUCUCAAUUUCGUCACCGACAUCUUGUGUCAUUGAUUGGGUAUUGCGAUGACAAGAGUGAGAUGAUUCUGAUUUAUGAAUAUAUGGAGAAUGGGACCCUGAAGAGUCAUCUCUAUGGCUCUGGUCUACCCAGCUUAACCUGGAAGGCAAGACUUGAAAUAUGCAUUGGAUCAGCUAGAGGACUUCACUACCUUCACACUGGUGAUGCAAAAGCAGUUAUUCAUCGUGAUGUGAAGUCUGCAAAUAUCUUGCUUGAUGAGAACCUCAUGGCCAAGGUUGCUGAUUUUGGGCUUUCCAAGACUGGUCCAGAACUUGAUCAGACCCAUGUGAGUACUGCAGUGAAAGGGAGUUUCGGAUACCUUGAUCCUGAAUAUUUUAGAAGGCAACAACUGACAGAGAAAUCAGAUGUGUAUUCAUUUGGGGUGGUUUUGUUUGAGGUUCUUUGUGCAAGACCUGUCAUAGAUCCUUCACUCCCAAGGGAAAUGGUGAACUUAGCUGAGUGGGCGAUGAAAUGGCAGAAGAAAGGGCAGUUGGAGCAAAUCAUAGAUCCUACACUUGCAGGAAAAAUAAGACCAGAUUCUCUCAGAAAAUUUGCAGAAACCGCAGAGAAAUGCUUGGCUGACUAUGGUGUUGACAGGCCUUCAAUGGGUGAUGUCUUGUGGAAUCUGGAGUAUGCUCUUCAACUUCAAGAGGCAGUAGUUCCAGGGGACCCUGAAGAUAACAGUACCAAUAUGAUUGGCGAGCUAUCUCCACAAGUCAACAAUUUCAAUCACAUCGACACAACUGCAUCUCCUGGACAGUUUGAGGUCUCAAGUGUGGAUGAUCUUUCAGGUGUUUCCAUGAGUAGAGUAUUCUCACAGCUGGUAAAGUCCGAGGGUCGGUAACUGUUCUUCUGAGGUAGACUGUAUUCCACGAGUUUUAGCUUCUCUUCUGAUAAACUUUCGCAGAUUAAACCUAAUGAAGCAUUCUGAGUUCUGUUUUGUACAGAAGGGGUGGUGGUUUGAGUGUGUUAUGGCAAAUUCAUACAGAUUUUGUAUUUCUUAUUAACUUCGCACACAAUGUGAAGCAAACAUUAUAGAGUGGGAUGGUUCCAUAGUUUCUUCUCUGAACUCUGCAGCUUGUUUACAGCAUGAUUGCUUGAGGAAGAUAUUUCCAAUCCAAUGAAGUCUUCCGUACCAGAACCGGGUACAAAGGGUACAAGGUUACUCUUUCUUUUGCUGGUUUUUUUCAUUAAUAGCUUCAACAUUUUUACUUCAGUAGAUACGCUCUGUACAAGAGUGCAAGAUUUGUAUUAAUUAGACAGUUUGUAUUUUCUGGCUUGAACCUGUUCCUAUUCAAGUUUUACGCUUGUGCUAUUCAACAAUUUGAUCAGUAGAAUCACUCAUGGAAUCUAAAUUAUAUCUUUUCCGUCAAGGUGGUUUUCUAUCCGAAUUAUAUCCGAAUUCUUAAUUUGAAUAGCCAAGGGUUUUUCUAUUAGAAGCAUGUCACAUUUGGUAGCAUGUCUCUACUAGACUAAUCUUUAUUUUGAAUUUGAACCGUGAUAUGUUUCAAUUUAUUUAUUUUUCUUUUUAAACACCCUCAUUUCAAAUCGGUCGUUGUAUCUAGGCCCGAGGACUAAUUAGCUAAAGGUCAGACAACCAGUAAGGUAUUGCACCCUCUCUCCCAGCUGUAUCGAUCAAGGACACUCCCUCAUGCUAAAAGUUGCAAAUGUCAUCAAAUUGAGGUAGAAAAAGAAUCCAUCAUUAUCAUCAAUUGUGGCGAUGGUUCUUGUCCUAUUUCUUAGAAACUCAAGUCCAUGAUCCGAGAUGUUAAAGCUCUUGUCUAUUCUUUUGUUAGGAUCUCCUUCUCCCACACCUUUAGAGAAGUGAAUUUUCUCACGGAUGUUAUUGUUUCGGUUGGUCAUUAUCUUUUUUCGCCAAAGUAUUGGUUAGACGGGGUUCCUCCUCGAGCUCAUAUGACCUAUAUUGUUGGAUUUUUCUUGUGUUGGACCCCUUCCAUGUAAUUUAUUUAUAAAAAAUUAUAAAAAAACAAAAAAAACUGAGACGAGCGCUGAUUGCUUUAAGACAACGGGCUGACCCGAUGGGCCAUUGCCCCCGGGACAAAUGAAAUCUAUAACGGUCCGUAUCAAGGAAACCAAAAACCCAAAAAAAAGUACAGAAUCACCAUUAAACAAUCACUUUCAUCGUGGCCCACAUCAUUCGGGCUUUUCCCUUCAUCUGCCUACGUGGCGCCUCCUCAUCGGCUGUUUCAUGAGAGUUCUCGUUAACUUCCACGGUUCUGAACACACUCUUUCUCUACCCCAUCACCCCUUGAAUCGCUCGCUCUUCAUCACAGGAAAAAGUUGAGAAAUCAAACAAAACAGAAAAAUUCGCAUUCAACUCAGAUCACUGAUCAAUCUGAUUCCGCUUCUUCUCGCUACGUGAUAUUCUCUGUUUCUCUCCGGUUAAUUUUCAUGGAUCAUUUCUCUUCGUCAUACAUAACCGUAACCGUAACGCUAAUUUUUCAGGUGAUGAAACUCUCGGAGUACUGAACUAGUCAGACGAUUCAAUAUGGCAAAAAAAUCAGAGAAACCGGCGACCAAAACGGAGUCGUUUCCGGUGUGGUCGAAAGACGUGAAGGAAUGCGAGGAGGAAUUCAAGGUGAGCCGCGAGACGGGGCUGUCGUCGGAGGAAGUCGAGAAGCGGCGGGAGGUGUACGGCUGGAACGAACUGGAGAAGCACGAGGAUCAGUCGCUCCUGAAGCUCCUGCUGGAUCAGCUCAACGAUACGCUCGUCCGGAUUCUUCUCUUCGCGGCGGUCAUCUCCUUCAUUCUCGCCUGGUACGAAAGCGACGAGACCGGCGAGGUAGACGUCACGGCGUUCGUCGAGCCGCUGGUGAUUUUUCUGAUCCUGAUCGUGAACGCGAUCGUCGGAAUCUGGCAGGAGAGUAAUGCGGAGAAGGCGCUGGAGGCCUUGAAGGAGAUUCAGUCGGAGCAGGCGGCGGUGGUGAGGGACGGGAAGAAGGUGCCGAAUUUGGCGGCGAAGGAGCUCGUUCCCGGAGAUAUUGUGGAGCUGAGAGUCGGAGGUAAGGUUCCGGCGGAUACGAGGGUUUUGAGUUUGGUGAGCUCGACGGUGAGGGUUGAGCAAGGGUCGCUGACCGGAGAGAGUGAGGCGGUUAGCAAGACGGCGAAGGCGGUGGCGGAGAAUUCGGAUAUUCAGGGGAAGAAGUGUAUGGUUUUCGCGGGAACGACGGUGGUGAACGGGAACUGCAUGUGUUUGGUGACUCGGAUUGGGAUGAAGACGGAGAUAGGGCAGGUGCAUUCUCAGAUUCAUGAGGCUUCACAGAUUGAGGAAGAUACUCCGUUGAAGAAGAAGCUGAAUGAGUUUGGAGAGAUUUUGACAGCAAUAAUCGGUGUGAUCUGCGCUUUGGUUUGGUUGAUCAAUCUCAAAUACUUUCUCAGCUGGGAAAUGGUGGAUGGCUGGCCAACAAAUUUCGCAUUUUCGUUCGAGAGGUGUACUUAUUACUUCAAGAUUGCUGUGGCAUUGGCCGUGGCGGCGAUUCCAGAAGGCUUGCCUGCAGUGAUCACCACUUGCUUGGCGCUUGGGACGAGGAAGAUGGCUCAGAAGAAUGCACUUGUGAGGAAGCUGCCGAGUGUGGAGACUCUUGGUUGUACUACUGUGAUUUGUUCUGAUAAGACGGGGACUCUGACUACUAAUCAGAUGGCCGUGGCGAAGCUUGUGGCUAUUGGUAAUAGGCCUGGGACUCUUCGAUCCUUUGAUGUCGAGGGAACAACAUACGACCCUUCUGAUGGGAAAAUACCAGACUGGCCGCCGGCUGGUCAUAUGGAUGCUAAUGUUCAAAUGAUUGCAAAGAUCUCUGCUUUGUGUAAUGAUGCUGGUGUUGAAUUGUCAGGCAGUCAUUAUGUUGCCAGUGGAAUGCCCACAGAAGCAGCCUUGAAGGUAAAGUGACAUUCUUUCAAGUAUAUUUCUGUUUUUAUGCUUUGGAAGUUUGCAUAGAUCAUACAAAAUGACACAGGUACCGUAUGUUGUCACUCAUCAAUAUCUAUGUUCCAUUACUGCUGCUGGCGAUACCCCUAUAUGAAAGUGACCUGCGUACUGCAGCAUGUUAUUGUCAGAUUGCAAUCAAUUAGUUAACCACUACUGUCCUGAAGUUGCAAAAAAAGUGUACGUGUUCUUUUUGCUGAUGCAAAAUUUUGUGGUUUUUGUUUCAGGUUCUGGUUGAGAAGAUGGGAGUCCCUGAAUCAGUCAAUACUAGUGGUUCUAAGGAUACACUGCGUAAGUAACCAACCCUAAAAUCAUCUCUUGGUACAAAAUAUUUCCUUGGGACUAAAUUUUUCUUUUCUCAUGUCAUUAUCACAUUGAAGGUUGUUGUACACAUUGGAAGGACGUUGAUCGGCGGAUUGCAACGCUUGAGUUUGACCGUGACCGCAAAUCCAUGGGUGUAAUUGUGAAUACUGGCGCAGGAAAGAACUCUCUUUAUGUCAAGGUACAUUUCUGCAUAAAGCAAAUCCAUUGAUCACAGUUACAGGAUUUUUCAGUGACUCUGCACUUAAUAAGAAAAUAUUGGAUAAACAUUUUUGUCUUAUAUUGAGUUAUUGACAGUUGUAGGUGUACCAAUUGAUCCAAGAAAUUUUAUGUUAUUCUUAUUCCUUACUUAGAAGGAUAGACUCACUUGUUGGUUUGUUGCUGAUUUCUAUUUAUAAGCCCCAGUGAUAUCAUUUUUUCUUCUUUUCUUUUUGCGUCUCUUUUCUUUUUAAAUAUUCAUGUUUUACAGAUUCAGUCCAAGUUUUUGUAAUUUAUGGUUCCCCUGCUACAUCCUUGUUGACAUAUGAUGAAGCAAACUCUUCGGUUUCAACUGUUUUUGCUGUAUGAGUUUACAUACACUCUCGGCUCUACUAUUGUCUAUUUCACAUGCAAAAACAAUGUAUCCUCUUCCCAAGUCCCUGCCACUUUUCUAGAUAAUUAAUAAUCACAAUGAGUACGUUAACUCAUCUUUAUCCACCUCUAUGUACUGUUUCACCACAUGUAUCUUUUGUGCUUUGCCUUCCUUUCUAGUUCUAUGAUGUUGCAUGUUUGAGAUUUAGCAAAGAUAUUUGGAUUGAUAUUGAGUACCUCUAGCAAAUUCAUUUUAUUAUGAAUUUUGACCAAAUCCCACUCGCUAUUAAAAUUUUGUAGGGUGCAGUUGAAAAUUUAUUGGAGCGCAGCUCAUCCAUUCAGUUGGUUGAUGGCUCCAUUGCAGAAUUGGACCAAAAUUUCAAGGAUCUUAUCUUAGGCAGCCUUCAUGAAAUGUCUACUAGUGCAUUGCGCUGUUUGGGGUUUGCAUACAAGGAGGACCUGCCAGAGUUCACAGGCUAUAAUGGUGAUGAAGACCAUCCAGCUCAUCAGCAGUUACUUAAUCCUUCCAAUUACUCUUCAAUUGAGAGUAAACUUGUAUUUUCUGGCUUUGUUGGGCUAAGGGUGAGUUCUUCCUGUCUAUUGUAAUCUGUUACAUUUUGGCUUUUCCUUUCCAUAUCUUUCUCACUGUUAAAACAUGUGAAUGUCCCGACUCCUGACAACAUGCAAUUGUGAAUUCUUAAAGGAUCCUCCACGGAAAGAGGUCCGUCACGCAAUUGAGGACUGCAAAACUGCUGGAAUCCGUGUUAUGGUUAUUACAGGAGAUAACAAGGGUACAGCUGAAGCUAUUUGCCGUGAAAUAGGUGUAUUUGGACCUUCUGGAAAUAUCAGUUCAAGAAGCUUAACGGGGAAAGAUUUUAUACAUCACCAUGAUCAGAAAAAUCAUCUGAGACAAAGUGGAGGCCUUUUGUUUUCUAGAGCUGAACCAAGGCAUAAGCAAGAGAUAGUGAGGCUGCUAAAGGAAGAUGGUGAAGUUGUUGCUAUGACUGGUGAUGGAGUGAAUGAUGCACCUGCCUUGAAGCUGGCUGACAUUGGGAUUGCCAUGGGCAUUGCCGGGACAGAGGUAUAUGAUUGAUGUUUUGUCUUUCUUUUUCCUUUUUCAUUUCCCUUAGUCAGGUUCGUUGAAUAAAUACAUGAUCAUGAGGAAGUCCUUCUAGUUUGUAUCUGCACACCAAUCGUAUUUUGUUCAUCACAAAAGAUUCUCCUGCCCCUGCUUCCAAUCGUUUUUGACACCCUAUAACACCUUACUUGUGAAGUGGUCAUGAUUGUUAUUGAAAGCCAUUUAGUGGACUGUUCCACAUCUUGUUCUUAUGUGCAUAGUACGCGCAGUCUUUAUAAUUAUCUUCUCAAAGAAAUCCUCAAUGUUCAGAUGUUAUAAUGCCACGCAAUUUCCCUGAUGCCUGGUCUACUUAUUACAGGUUGCAAAGGAAGCCUCUGAUAUGGUAUUAGCAGAUGACAAUUUUAGCACUAUAGUUUCUGCUGUUGGACAAGGCAGAUCUAUUUACAACAACAUGAAAGCUUUUAUCAGGUUUGAUUCAUCUCGAUCACGAUUUCCCCAAAUAAGACACUUGUUUUUCAAAGAUAAAUGUAACUGCUCCUGUCCAAUCUUAUUUGAGCUUGCAUUAAGUUAGUAUCCCUUGAUUCUAAAAGAACUGCUGCUAUAAUUGGCCUCUCUAAUCCCCUCCCCAAAAUGCAGGUACAUGAUUUCAUCAAACAUUGGCGAAGUUGCCUCCAUUUUCCUAACAGCUGCCCUGGGAAUUCCAGAAGGCAUGAUUCCAGUUCAGCUUCUCUGGGUCAACCUGGUUACUGAUGGACCCCCAGCUACAGCUUUGGGAUUCAAUCCUCCGGACAAAGAUAUCAUGGAAAAGCCCCCUAGAAGAAGCAACGACUCAUUGAUCACUGCUUGGAUCUUAUUCCGUUAUCUGGUACAUGAACUGGUUAUAUUUCCCAUCAAAAACAUUUCAGAUAACUUUGUGCUUUGUUCCACUUUACAAUUCAUUUCUCACCAGACAUUGCUACAUCCUUUUGGAUCUAUGGCAGGUGAUUGGUGUCUAUGUUGGUGUUGCAACGGUUGGGGUGUUUGUUAUCUGGUACACCCAUUCCUCAUUUUUGGGCAUUGACCUCAGCGCAGAUGGCCAUAGUCUUGUGACCUACAAUCAACUAGCAAAUUGGCACAAGUGCUCAUCUUGGGAGGGGUUUUCAGCAUCCAACUUCACAGCUGGAUCUCAGGUGCUCACUUUUGACACAGAACCAUGUGACUAUUUCCUUAACGGCAAGAUCAAGGCCUCGACGCUCUCCCUCUCAGUCUUGGUUGCCAUUGAGAUGUUCAACUCCCUCAAUGCCCUGUCCGAGGACAGUAGCCUCCUGAUAAUGCCUCCCUGGGUUAAUCCAUGGCUCCUUCUCGCCAUGUCUGUCUCCUUCGGCUUGCACUUUCUGAUCCUCUACGUCCCCUUCCUUGCUCAAGUGUUCGGUGUCGUCCCCCUCAGCUUGAAUGAAUGGUUCUUGGUGUUGGCUGUUGCUUUUCCAGUCAUCUUAAUCGAUGAGGUACUCAAGUUUGUGGGAAGAUGUACAACUAGGUCAACUGACUCCGCAGUAGAAAAAUCCAAGCGCAAGACAGAAUGAGCAACAAGGAUCUCUAGUAUGACAACCACUUAGACUAACAGAGCAAAUCAACAAUAGUGCAUUUUUAGUCCCACUAUGCUAAUUCAAAAUCACAAUCCAUUCCAGAAUACAUUGUUCGUUUGUUACUGUGUUCAUUCUUACUCUGCCUCAGCAUUCAAAAUAACAAAUUCAAUUUAAGAACUUGAAGCUCUGAGCCAUCCAAUUUGUUGAGGUUUUUACCACAUAGAUCAUGGCUUACCCAAUUUGUUCUUGAAAUGUCAACACCAAUUGUAGUUGAAAGUUCAGAAAAUGGAGAUGCAGAGAUUGUAGACAUAACAAAAGGAACAGGCUUUUCAAUAUCAUUCAGAAACUGCAAUCCAGAGAAGGAAUUGCAAAUCAUAAACUAGCACAAACCCAUUCGAAAUCCCAGAAGCCUAAACCAGACUACUAAUUACAAAUUAAAAACCAUAGAAACCCUAAAACACUUGAUAACACUACUUCCAUAAACCAAACCAACACCAGAUCCCAACACUAUUCUUGACAGCAAGACUUUCUCCUCCAGAAACCCUAACCUCCGAAACCAUAGAGGGUCCUUCCCUGCCUCUUGAGAGCAUACACGACGUCCAUGGCGGUGACAGUCUUCCUCCGGGCGUGCUCGGUGUAGGUGACGGCGUCACGGAUGACGUUCUCAAGGAAGAUCUUGAGGACGCCUCUGGUCUCUUCAUAGAUGAGACCGGAGAUACGCUUGACGCCGCCUCUGCGAGCCAAACGGCGAAUAGCAGGCUUGGUGAUGCCCUGGAUGUUAUCCCUGAGGACCUUCCUGUGACGCUUGGCUCCUCCCUUGCCCAAUCCCUUGCCUCCCUUGCCGCGACCUGACAUUUUCUCAAUGGAAAAUUGAAGAAGAGAAAAGCUUGAUUGAGAUGGAAGAUGAGAGAAUUGAAGUGAUUUGGUGGGGAAGAUAGUGGGGGGUUUUUAUAGGAGAGGGGAUUAGGGAUUUGAGAUUGGAAUUGGGGAAGGGAAGCAAGGCGGACUUCAUUGUGGUCGUUGGAUGCGGGUGCCUAUCGACGGCCUAGGGCCUCGAUCCGCGUCAUGGGUUCUAACGCAAUAUGACCCGUUGAUAUUAGUGGUAAUCUACGGUAGGGAAGACGUGUUUUCGGUUUGACACGGAUCGUGGUUUUCUUAAAAGCACAAAGGCUCGCUAUUUGAAAUUUUGAAAUGAAUUUGUUUUCGCCUUUUCGGGAUGGGAUGCCUUCUUACCGAAGUAGUGAAGUUACGGAAUAACCCUUUCCAAGGGAAAAUAAACAUGGCUAGUUAUUAUACUUUUUAUUUUUACAGUAUUAAUAAAUAAUAACUCAGAUAUUACGAACUAAAUUGUACCAUUUGGUCUAGUAACAUAAGUUUCUCAUUAUAAGUGAGAGGUCGUAGGUCGAUUCACAUUAUUGUAGCACAUUAAUUGUGCAUUUGAUAAAAAAAGAAGAUUAAAUUCAAUUUAACCUCCUGAUUUUUAAGCCUAAAAUCAGUUUGGUCCUUGACUUUUUGUUUUAAUUACGUUGAUCCUUGUAUUCUCAAACAUCAUUAACCAUGUCCAAAAUUUUAAUAUGGAUCCAAAGAUAACGUCAUCGAUGUACAAUUUAGCAAAAUAAUUAAUGGGUGAGUUCAUCUUUACCGGUAAAAAGUGAGCUAAUUUAGUCAACCUAUCAACUAUAACCCAAAUACCAUCAUGUCCCUUCAUUGAUCGAGGUAGAUAAGUCACAAAAUCCAUUGUAAUGUGAUACCACUUCCAUUCUGGGAUUAGUAAUGACUGCAUUAAUCCAUGUGGCUUUCCAUGUUCAGCUUUUACUAGUUUACAAAUUGAACAUUGCGCAACAUAUUCUCCAACAUCUGUCUUCAUUCCUCUCCACCAAUAUUUCCUCUUCAAAUCUCGGUACAUUUUAGUGCUCCCUGGGUGUAUUGAAAAACGAGUUCGAUGUGCCUCAUCCAUUACCAUUCUCAUGACCUCUUUAUUCCUUGGGAUUGCAAUUCUGCCCUUGAAUUGUAGACUUCCAUCAAUGUAUAGCUUCCAAGCACUUUGUUUGCUUCAAUCUGCUGCCGAAUUGCCUGCAAUUCUGAGUCUUUCCACUGACUUUGAAUAACAAGUUGCAACAGUUUCGGUUCUAGGCGAACUUGGGACAAAAGCAUGCAUGUUCUUGGCCGUUGUAGUUUCAGUUUAUAUUCCUCAAUGGUCUGGAAUAAUUCUGUAUCAGCUAGCAUUAAACUUGACAAAGUACCCCUUAUCUUCCUACUCAAAGCAUCUGCUACCAUAUUCGCCUUUUCCGGGAUGAUAAUGCAAGUCGAAGUCAUAAUCCUUCAUGUAUUCCAUCCAUCGCCUCUGCCUCAGAUUUAAAUCACGUUGAGUGAAGAUGUAUUUCAGGCUUUUAUGAUCACAGAAGACAGUGAACUUACUCCCAUACAUAUAACACCUCCAAAUCUUUAAUUCAUGAACAACUGCUGCCAACUCCAAGUCAUGUGUAGGAUAGUUCACUUCAUGUAUCUUGAGUUGUCUGGUACCAUAGGCUGCCACUCUUCCAUUUUGCAUCAACACACACCAAAGUCCUUGAGCUGAAGCAUCAGUAUAUAUCUCAAAUGGAUCUUCAUUGUUAGGUAGAACAAGUACUAGGGCAGUUGUCAGUUUCUUCUUGAGUUCCUCAAACGCUAACUCACAUUUAUCGUUCCACUCGAAUUUUACUCCUUUCCGAGUUAAACGAGUCAAUAGAGAAGCAAUCUUAGAAAAAUUGUUGAUGAAGCGUCAGUAGUACCCAGCUAAUCCAAGGAAACUUCUAAUCUCAGAGACAUUCUUUGGUCGAUUCCAGUUUAGCACUGCUUCCACCUUACUAGGAUCAACUGCUAUGCCAUCACCAGAUAUGACAUGCCCAAGAAAUCGUACUUCAGACAACUAAAAUUCACACUUUGAUUUCUUAGCGUACAAUUGGUUUUCCAGCAACGUUUGCAGAACAAUUUGCAGGUGCUUCUCAUGCUCCUCUGCUGUCUUAGAAUAUAUUAGGAUGUCAUCAAUGAAAACGAUCACAAAAUGGUCUAAGUACGGUCGAAAAAUUAUGUUCAUGAGGUCCAUGAAUGUUGCAGGUGCAUUAGUCGAUCCAAACGGCAUGACAACAAAUUCAAAAUGCCUGUACCGUGUUCGGAAUGCAGUCUUAGGAAUAUCCUCUUCUCUAACCCGAAGUUAAUGGUAGCCUGAUCUCAGGUUGAUCUUUGAGAAGUACUUGGCCCCAAAAAGUUGAUCAAAUAAUUCAUCGAUCCGUGGUAGUGGAUACUUGUUCUUUAUGGUAAUCUGGUUCAACUUUCGAUAAUCAACACAUAACCUCUAUGUCCCAUCAUGCUUUCUAGCAAACAAAACAAGUGCUCCCCAAGGUGAACUACUUAUACGGAUGAAACCCUUCUUCUCUAAGUCAUCUAACUGUGCUCUGAGCUCUCUUAAUUCUGUUAGAGCCAUUCGAUAAGCAGGCAUUGAUAUUGGUGUGGUUCCAAGUACCAAGUUGAUGCGAAACUCUACAUCCCUUUCAGGAGGUACUCCAAACAAUUCUUCUGGAAAUACCCAGGGUAUUCAUCUACCACUGGAAUAGGUUUCUGAACACAAUUUGAUGUGUCUGUGGUUGCUAAUAAAAGACCAUAACACAACAACACUCUCUUAUUCUGAAAGCAAGGCUUCAAUAACGGAUUCGGUGGAGAAUAUCUCUCAUCAAGUCGUAUAACUAAAUCUCCUUCUCCAGGUGGUCUUACUCUUACUUCUCUCCUGUCACAAUCAAUCAGGGCACGGUGUACUCAUAGCCAAUUCAUUCCCAAAAUUAGGUCAUAAUCCCACAUCUCUAAAGGAUAUAAAUCAGUGGUGAUGCACUCAUUUGCAACUAGUAAAUUAGUAAUAGACAAGAAGUAUAGAUUCUAUCCACUAGUGCUCCCUCACUUAAGGGUGUUUUGAGAUGCGAGGGUCUUUCUAAUAUAUGGGCUUCUAGUUUUAUUAACUCAGCAAAGUAAGCAGAAAUGUGAUGCACCAGUAUCUAUUAAGACUCUAGCUUCAGUAUGAGAUAAAAGAAUAGUACCCUUGUAAUACCCGACUAUUAGAAAAUAAUAAUAAUAUUAAUGAUAAUGAUAAAAAUAAAAAUAAAUAAAAAAUAAUAUAAUAAAUAAAGAAUGUGAAAGAGACUAGAAGGGUUGGAUUAAAACCAACAAAGGGAAGGAGAAAAAGGGAGGACGCGAACCUCCUAGAUGGAUCUCUCACUCUUCUGGGGACUUCUCUUUGGAAGAGAAAAGGGAGACCACCAAACUAUUUAGUCACUCCUUUCUCUUACACCCGUUGAUGGUGGAGGAGGAGGAGGAGGAAGGGGGCAGACUAAGGGACACACGAGAACCUUCGAGCUCCCUUUCACCCUCAACUCAAUCUCAUCAAGGCAGUCAUCUGGAACGAGGAAGAGGAAAAUAAAAUUGGCCGUUAGAUCGAUCGAUUAUGUAUGGCGUGCAUCUAGGUCGAGUUCGUUAAGACUAAGGUUGAGCAAUAAAUUGUUGAUUUGCAAAAGGAAAAGAAUCAAAUUUUUGAGGGUAAGUUCUGAACCUUGAAUUGAAAUUCUAUGCUAUUGAAAGUGACGAAUUAAGAAUUAUUUUCUUGAAUAAAUCGGGUCAGGGUGUUACAACCCUCAAGUGUAAUAUAUGGAUCUUCUUCCUUGUGUUCUGUCACUUCAAAACCCCUUCCUCUACGAGUGCUAUUGCCAUGUCCAACGCCACGGCCAUGAUUACCCUGAUUUGUCAUGCGAAAAGUUCCUUCUUGUAGUUGUUGCGUAUUCUGCUGUGUUGUCUCACUGUUUGCAGGCCUUAAUGGUAUGUUUUGUGGCGUAGCUGCUGAUCUAGAAGCUGCUAUGUGAGGACACCUUGUUCUAACAUGUCCAACUUCUCCAUAGUGGUUACAAAUGAUAGGCCCAACAUCCCUUCCACCAGAUCCGCUUCUUUCCCCUCGUGUUCUCUUCAGGUUCUGCUUAGUUAUCUUUCCCCUUGAUCCUCUUGAAUCGUUUGGGACACCACGUCGCCUUCUCCUGAAAUUCAGAUAGUCUUGCUCCAGCUUAUAAGCUGCAUUUACGACCGUGUUAUAGCUAGUUAGGUUCUGCCCUACAAUGUGUUUUCUAAUAGGCCAUAUAAGUCCUUGUUCGAACUUAAGUGCCUUCUUCUCAUCUGUGGCUACCAUUUCAGGUGCAAACUUGCUAAGCUCAGUAAACUUGGCCACAUACUCAGCCACACUCUCUGAAAACUGCUAUUCAAGUUGCUGAAAUUGCUUCACUUUUGUUUGUCUCAAGGCUGGAGGAAAAUACUGAUCAUAGAAAUGCUUUUCAAAUUCCUCCCAGGUCAUCCUUGCAACAUUGUAUCGAUCACAUAUUGUUUCCCACCAAGUAUCAGCCUGACCCUCGAAUACAUGAGUAGCCAAGUUGAUUUGGUAUUCUGGUGGCAUAUGCAGUGUGCGUAGCUUCUUCUUAAUGUGCUUCAUCCAAGUUUCUGCUUUAUCUGUCUCAGAGGUAUCGUAAAACUGUAAGGGUUUUAUUUUCAGAAAACGAUCAAGAUUAGACAUUUCCCGUUCACGCUCACGCUCUUCGGCUGUAAGUUGUUCAGAUGCACGUUGUUGGGCUUGAAAAGACUGUGCACGCUCAUCUCCUGAAGUGGGUGGCAUCUUGUCAACAAGAUCAAUGAACUGAAACAAUAUAAGAGAUUCAAUAUAGGACCAACAAGAAUUACAUAAUGACGACCCCAAAGAAUGAAGAUUUUCGAAAGAAGCUGGACAAAUAAGAAGCAAUUAAGAGGACUUCGAGCUUGGUAGCAAAGUAAAAAGACUCACAAAGUAUAGGUAAGAACUAGAAACUUAACAAUCCAUAAAUGAUGAUGAGACAAGGAAAACCAAGUGCUCUUAUAUCAUUUUCUGUAACAGCCCAGUCCCUACCAUUGAGAUAUUGUCCGCUUUGGGCCUACCGGCCCUCACGGUUUUGUUCUUGAGGUUUCACCCCAAAACGCGUUUCAAUAUAAGGUGCUAGCUCUACACAUAUAAGCACGACAACUUGUCUCCCACGGGCAAUGUGGGAGAGGUGCACCUACUAGCCUGCAUGCCUAGUUAGGUCACCACAACAAUGUUUAAAAUGAUGAAGGCGUGAGGUGAGGCGUCAAGUCGGAGCCUCAAGCCUUGGAAGCUUUGAGGCGAAAAGGCGAAGCCUUUUAUGCAUUCUAAUAUUUUAAUUAAAAAUAAAUAAAUUAUAGCUAUAAAGUCAAUACAUUCAUACAUUUAAAAUUGAAAUUAAGUAGCUAUACCACAAUUUUUUUCCCACACUUAAGUAUGGUCUUUUUCUCUAUCACUAUUUAGUUGACCAUUCACAGAAGAACCCAUGAUCAAUAAAACCCAAAACUUGUUCACCAAUUACAAUAGAAUCUGAAGUUUAAUAAAUUACAUUUUAAUCAAUUCUAAUUGAUUGAAAGAACAGUUGAAAAGCAUUUAAUAGAUUAAAAAGAAGUAAACCUUAUAAUUAUUUUCUCUUUAAACCCAAAGCCAAACUCUUGUUAAAAAAAAAAACCAAAACAAAACAAUGUAGUUUUAAAGGUAUUUUUUUUUUAAAAAUACACACGCAAAAGGCGACGUCUUUUUCACCUUAGCACGCCUUGGUACGCUAUUGUCUCGUCUUUUGAGACAAACGCCUUUUAGAUAGCGCCUUGAGGCAAAAUGGCCACGUCUCGCCUCGUCUUACGCCUUAGGCAUGCCUCAACAGAGGACAUAAGUACCAAACAUGCACUACUAGUAUUAAAAUACCUUAAGACUGUUUUAGUAAUUAACAACCUUAUCACGAUUUCGAUUCUUACAUUUUAGUAAACACAUAAAUCGAAAUCAAGUUAAGUAAUAUUUCUGAUUACACAUAACAAGUAAAUAGAGGAAUGAGGAUGAUUCCCUCUUAUCUACCCCUCUCAAGGGAUGAAGGAAGUAUCUUAUGUAAAUAACGUGUAUCUACACAUACAUAUGUAUCUAAACAUCUCUACUAUUAGAAAACGAGAUGCUCAUUUGGUGUCUUUGGUGAAGUUUUUUUUUUUAAAUUACCAAAAAACCAAGGUAAUAAAAAUUAUCAAAGAAAUAAAAAUAAGUUACUAUUAGACAUAACCGUAAAAUAACAAUGAAAUUUUCAGGAGAAAAAAAAAAAGAUAAUUAUUUUGAAAAUAAGAUAAUCAGAUUCAUUACACGUGCAACACGGGUAAAAGACACGUACAUAUGUAAACUUCUCAUAUUUUGUAAACCCACGUGCGGACGUGCGGGUAAAAAGCUAGUACAUAUGUAAACGACGUGUAACUUUUACCCUUUUACCGGAGAAUACGACUUCCUCGCUUCCAGGCUCCGGGCUAGUCAAUUGAUCCUUAAACCCUAAACCUCCAUAAAACCCCUGGAAAUCGAAUCUCCAAAUUCCUUCAAUUCUUUCCAGCCAUGGGCUUCUUCGACCUUUGCAUACCCUACACCGACCACCCGCCGCCGGACCGCUCAACCCGCGCAAAGCUCGUGACCAAGGCCCUCGAGCUCGGCUACUCCGGCGUCGCCUACAACCGUACGAUCAAGGGCGUCAUGUCCGAUCGCGACCGUUGCUCCAUCCCCCUUCUUUCUCUCCCUUCUCUCCUCAAACUCUCUCCCCACCUCACCUCCUCCGUCGCCUUCCACCGCGACCUCCUCGCCGUCCCACGCGCCACCCCUUUCCGCCAGUACACGCGCCUCACCGUCUGCGCCGACACCCCUGCUCAAGCCCAGGCCCUCAACUCAGGCAACCCCAUUUUGAAGACCUACGACUUGGUGGCUGUCAAGCCCAUGAACCAGUCCGCUUUCGAUCAGGCCUGUGAGAAGUUGGAGGUUCAUGCUCUACAUACAUUGUCUUUGAUUCCUUUCGGUUUGGUUUGCUUUGGUAUUUUGUGGAUGAAUCGCUAUUGUUUUUUGUGUAGGUAGAUAUAAUUGCCAUUGAUUUUUCGGAGAAGUUGCCGUUUCGAUUGAAGCAGCCUCUGGUUAAAGCUGCCAUUGAGGUUCGAUUUUCGUUGUCUGUAUUCGUUUUAAUGGUUGAAUUGUUUGGUUUGGUGAUAAAGAGUUUGUAUGUGUGUUGGACAUGCAGCGGAAAGUGUAUUUUGAGAUCACAUACGCCGGGUUUAUUGCUGAUGUUCAAACAAGGAGGCAAAUUAUAACCAAUGCUAAGGUAAGACGAUAUCACAUUGUUAAAGAAAUAGGGAACAAGUACACCCAGAAUAUGCAAUUCUGCAUUACUAAUUUUACUAUUCGCUUUGCUUGAAAACUGAGAAUGUAAGACGGUGAUUUUACUUUCAACUUUACAGUGUUUUAGGGUCAUCUGCUGCAUGCCAAUACAACAUUUACUACUUGGAUGCCUAUAUGGCCGGAAACACUAUUUAGUAUAUCAUAGUUGUUGGGUAUUAGUUUGUAGUUGUCAGUUUUAUGUACGAUAAUGUUUUGCUCUUCAGUUACUUGUAGAUUGGAGUCGAGGAAGGAAUAUAAUUAUCUCUAGUGCUGCCCCAACUGCAAAUGAAUUUAGAGGGCCCUAUGAUGUUGCAAACUUAAUGUCAUUGCUUGGUCUCUCUGUGGAACGAGCUAAAGCAGCUAUUUCAAGAAAUUGUAGGUAUGACGGCUUUCAUAAAUGUCAUAGAGCUGUUGAUCUGGAGAUUGUUCCUCUCUAAGUUUUUUAGAUGAAUGUCUUGCAGGACUCUCUUAUCUAAUGCAGUGAGAAAAAAACACUAUCAUAAGGAAGCCAUUAGAGUUGAAGUACUACCAUCAAGUCAAGAAAUUGAUGGGAACAAAUCCUGGUCUAGUGAUUGGGAUCCCAUAUCCAGUGGCGAAGGUGAUUUGCUUUUAGAUGAUUUGGCAAAAGCUUUCAGUAAUUCCAGUACUAAAGCAACCAAAACGGUCAAAGCCAUUGAUUUUGCUUCGGUUAUUGACAGCACGCCAUCACUUGGAUUUCAAGUGAACGAUCUUAUAUCUGGAACUAAUGUGGUUGUGUCACAACCAUUGGCUACUCAGAAAAACAUCCUUUCUGCUCCCCAGCUAAAUGUGCAAUUAGUUGCAAAUAAUGGAGUACAAGAACAAUCUGUUAUAAAUGAUACUAUGUUGGAGCAGCGAAGGUUCAAAAGUGAAAAUCCUCAGAAAUUGUAUUCAUCUUGUGAUACUACCAAAGCUGUUACCAGUGUUAUUGCAAUUGAAGAUCGUACGAUAACCACUAGAGUAGAACCAAAUAUUCCAGAUGAAACUGGUGGGAUUACUACAGAAACACUUGAUGUGGAAUCACAGAAGUCUGGGAUUGCAAAUGCUUCUAUGGAAAUUGAAGUUCCUACAACCACUGGACAAGAACCCAUGAAUUCAGCUGAAUCAAUGGGGAUUACAGUAGAAACUCAUGAUGUGCAAUCACUGAAGUCUGUGACUGCUGAAACUUUUGAAGAUGCUAUGGAAGUUGAAGCUCCUACGACCACUGGAGUGGAAACAAAGAAUCCAGAUGGAAUAGAUGGGGUUGCUACAGAAAUUUAUGAUGUGCAAUCACAGAAGAGUAUGACUAAUAGUGAAGUGAAUGUUGUGCCACCUCAGGUCAAUUUAACAUUUUAUGCACUAGACAUUGGGUUGAGUUCUGCUUCAAAUACUGAUUCUGAAGUUCAAGUUCCCACUAAUUAUCAGGACAGUGAUAUUCCCGGUCCUCAUAGUGAGGAGGCUGAUAGUUGUAGAAGUGGUGAUAUACAAAGUGAUCUAAUGGAUGACGUUCUAACAGGUAAAGCAAAAAACUCUUUGCCUCUGGAUUCUGCCUUGGAUAAAAGUACUCCGGAAAUGGAUGAAUUGAGGGAAUCUGGAGAUGAUGCAGUUGUACUGGCAAAUCAAGUUCCUGUUCUGGAUUCUAAUGUUGAGAUGAUAGUAGCUUGUGAUUAUUCAGUUGCAAAUCAUGGGACAGCAGAGGUGAUAAUGGAUGAGCAAGAACAUGGGAAAACUGAUGGUGAAUUGAGCUAUCCAGCCUUGGUUCAAUCUGAAUCAGGUAUGACUUCUUUUCUUACGUGUGUUUUCAGCUCAUCUUCCUUUUUUUUGUUGUAUUGUGAUAUUUUUCCAGAUACUGUUUUGUUUUUAUGUAGUCUGACUUGUGAGAAUGACUGUCCUUUUAGAGUGUAGUAAUUUCUACACACAUAUUUAACCCAUGAACUUGGAAACCAUGUAACUGUUACCUAUUAUGGGUCCUUCAUAGUUGAUAGACUGUCCUCUGGGCAAAUACAACUGCUUUGAUGUUUAUUGUUUUUUUGUUCAGAGAAUGUGUUCCUGAGUAUAGAUUGUUUUGUUAUCUUUAUGUCUUAAAACACACAGUUUCAUAUCACAAAAUUCAACUCUUUGCAAAAGUUUAGGUAACAAGGGAAUGAAGGGAUGAUGGUUGGACGUUUGAUUAUUAUUGUUAUCCUGUUUGAUGAUUCUUCAAGUUGAUUUGGCCCAUUUUACUGAAUAUCAAAUGUCAACAUUUUUUCCCUAUUAAUUCUCAGUAAUUGGUUCCAAACAAAAAGAAAAAUAUCUGAAGAAGUCUACCAUAUAUCUUCACCCAAUUUACAGCUUUGUACCAGUUUGAAAAUUUCUUAUCCAUCAUCCACCGCUGACACAUUCUUUGGCUGCAGGGAAAUCCAAGGCAAAACGAAAAAAACCUCACCAGGUGAUAUUGCUUCCUCUCAAGCGAUUACUGCAUACUAAACCUUUUAAAAGGGCUCGGAAAAGUAAAAGGAGACAUAAGAUGGCAUAACUACGCAAUGAUUUCCAAUAUUAAUAUUUUUGGUGUUCGUCUUGUCGAACUAGGUGAGCAUAAUUUGUUGCAUAUUUAUCUUUCUUGAUCAUUUGGUAUCCAUUUAUGUUACUGAAUGUAAAUUUGUCAUCAGCCUCAAGGUCCCUUACUGAUGGUCUAGUCUCAAAUUUUGAUCCUAAAAGCAAUUUUGUCCAUGAUUGUGUUUAAUCUUCUAUACAAUUCUGUUUAGCACUCGACUAUGAAACUUCAGAUGUGCUCCUAUACCUUAAUAUGUUAGUGUAAGAUUAAACGUUGAAGAUGGUGUAGAACCCGGAUCCUCUCCUCAUGAGUUGGUCCUCAUAUUUCCUCAUGAGAGGAUCUCAGCCUUUUAUUUUGAACCAAUGGCUGAGAUCUUCUUAGUUAAUUUUAACCCCCUAUUACCCAACUUACUCACUUACUCUCCCUCUUCUCCUCAAAAUAUCGGGCUGCUCGGGCUGCUCUCUCUCUNNNNNNNNNNNNNNNNNNNNNNNNNNNNNNNNNNNNNNNNNNNNNNNNNNNNNNNNNNNNNNNNNNNNNNNNNNNNNNNNNNNNNNNNNNNNNNNNNNNNNNNNNNNNNNNNNNNNNNNNNNNNNNNNNNNNNNNNNNNNNNNNNNNNNNNNNNNNNNNNNNNNNNNNNNNNNNNNNNNNNNNNNNNNNNNNNNNNNNNNNNNNNNNNNNNNNNNNNNNNNNNNNNNNNNNNNNNNNNNNNNNNNNNNNNNNNNNNNNNNNNNNNNNNNNNNNNNNNNNNNNNNNNNNNNNNNNNNNNNNNNNNNNNNNNNNNNNNNNNNNNNNNNNNNNNNNNNNNNNNNNNNNNNNNNNNNNNNNNNNNNNNNNNNNNNNNNNNNNNNNNNNNNNNNNNNNNNNNNNNNNNNNNNNNNNAGUAGGUCCAUGUAUAAUGCAGGUAACUUCGAGCCUAGUGUUGUCCUUAAGCUUAAUUAUCCGAACUGGUCUAGUAUUUAUGACAGUUUGAUUAGUGGGAGCUUAGAGAGUGUUGUUAGUGAUAAGGAUGAUGGUGAGAAUUAUUUUGAUGCUAUUAUGGUGUUGGCUUUUUCUGUGAAGCAUAGUUAUGGGUAUACAUUUGUUGGGGAAGAUAGGAUGAGUAGUUUUCCUAGUAGUGUUGAGAGUGGGGAGAGUAUAGGUUUGAGUAAUUUGAAUGAUUCGAACGGUGGUUUGUGUAGGUUGCUUGGUAACCGUCUCGAGAGAUUUGAAUUGGUGUACGGGAGUGAGUGUGGUGGGGGUGUGAAUUGCAAUCCUCUUGGUGGGGAUGUUGGUUAUGUACCGAGCUCGUUGGUUUUUUAUGCGACUCGGUGUACAGAAGGGAGGAAAAUGCAGAUGCUGUUGGGGUUUUCAACUCUAGUGGAGAUGAAUACUUGAGAUUUCCAUUUGUACCUAGCACCACGUUGAUUGCUGAAGGGGAAUUGACUUUCCAUAUGUCAAUUGGUAAUUACGCAUCUUCCUCACCAGAAUUUUGUAGACAAAUUGGACAUUACUUCAGUUUCUAUGCCUAAUAUUCAUGCAAAAGAUGUAGUUAGUACUCCUCUCUGGGGUCUGCAAUAAAGAUAUUUACCAUUUCUUAAUGACUAUGAUGCUGUUUGUAAUGAUUUUGAUACUUCUUGCAUGCCACCAAGUGUUUACUUUUCUUGCCUUGUUUAAUCUGACAAGUUAUCAUGCUUGUGAUGCUUGUAGUCUAAAACUUGGGGAGAUGACGAGUUUGAACAUAAUGUUGAGUUCACUGGUGGGAAUGUGAACCUCAUCACCACCAUAGAACAGUGGGAUCGAUGAACUUACUGUUAGUUGGUAACCAAUUUGGUUAAUUCAAUAGAGUUGGUGCUAUUGNNNNNNNNNNNNNNNNNNNNAUUGAUGCUGAUGGUUUGAUGUGUCCAAUACAUUGAUGCUGGUUUAGUGUCUAUCAUAAGUUGUUUAAUGGUAGGUGAUCUAACAUUCAGUUUUGUAUGGUGCAGGAUUUCAGAACUUCAUGGGAUAUCAAGGCCACUCCUACUUUCUUCUUCCUCCGAGAUGGUCAGCAAGUUGACAAGCUUGUUGGAGCUAACAAGGUAGAGUUGCAAAAGAAGAUAGUUGCCGUUGUAGAUUUAGCCCCAUGUAAAAAAAUGACUACUAUACUGGUCUGUUAGUCAUUCAACUAUUAGUGAAUCCAAGAAGAUGUCAGAUAGACUCAUAGACCAAUUUACUAGUGUUUCUGAUCAAAUAUUAUGUAUUUUUUCAAAUUUUCAAUGAAGAAACCUUUCCACAGUAUGAAUGAUUGUGCUGCAUUUUGAUUGUUUCAGCUUUGAAUUUAUGAGAGAACUGAUCAGUAAAAAAUAUUACAAGUAAUGCAGGUAAUUUAAAACUGAAUAGAGAUGGAGGAAAAACACAGAAUGCAGUUUCAUUUCAUCUGAAAAUAACACUAUCAUCUCAAGUUUACCAUUUUUCCCCUGUUGCACUAGAUUGAACAAAAUAUUGUCAUAUGCUCAUAGCCACCAUACAAAAUGUUGUCAUAAGCUCAUAGCUACUAUACAAAAUCUGCAAGACAUAGACUCAUAGCUACUAUACAAAAUCUGCAAAUUUGUCCCAACAGCUAUACAAAAUGUCACUACAAAUCUGCCAAUUUUCCCAACAGCUAUACAAAAUGACACUACAAAUCUUGCCAUAUGUCCCAAUAUCUGCUCCCAAAAUCUGCUUCAAAAGGCAUCAAAGACAUCUGGUUUGACAUAUUGGAAUGAUUCAGAUGUAGUAAUACCAGUAAUAUAAUCAGAUAACCACAUCAAAAAUUUUAGCAGAUGAGCAUGGCACCCCAUCUAUCGGCCAAUCCAUUCUAAAGAGAGAAUCUGUUGCAGAAUGUGCCCCAGACUCCACUGCACUUCUUGAAGAUAAAAACAACAGCAGAAAAACAAACUUUGCCGGCGGAGGGAGGCAGAGUUGUCGCCGGCGGAGGGAGGCUCGCGAGCGACGACGGAAGAGAGAGGGAGAUCACGAGCGACGACGGUUGAGGGAGGCCGAGCUCGCGAUGGCGGAUUCAAGAGAGAGGGCGGGUGCGGGGCGACGACGGCAGAGAGAGAGAGAGAGAGAGAGAGAGAGAGCAGCCCGAGCAGCCCGAUAUUUUGAGGAGAAGAGGGAAAAUAAGUGAGUAAGUUGGGUAAUAUGGGGGUUGAAAUUAACUAGGAAGAUCUCAGCCAUUGGUUCAAAAUAAAAGGCUGAGAUCCUCUCAUCAGGAAAUAUGAGGACCAACUCAUGAAGAGAAGAUCCGGGUUCUAGUAAUCCACCCUUAAGAGUCGUGUCCUAAAAUUACUGUACUUGGUUUGUAUUAUUGCUUAUUAUCUUCAUUCUUUUAAACAAUUUACUCAUUCCUUGCAUAUGACUGUACCUCUAUUCCUACUCAUCCUCAAUUCCUCAUGACAUUUUCAUUCACAUCUGGCGAUGUGUUAUUAUUUCAGGGUGUGCACUGUUACCUUUAUUCCUGGGGAUUUCUUCCCUACACAAUAAUAUGUACUUCUAAUGUAGCUAUAGUAUUUGUUUGUUUUUUGGACAACAGCUAUAGUAUUUGUUGAUUAUUGGUUUUCAAUAUGUCACACAUACAACCAUUUAAGUUUUUAGUUUCCAUUUCUAGGAGAUGUCUGAAAACAUGUGCAUCCGUCAGAGUGUUUUCUUAUGUUAAUUUACCCCCUUUAUAAAUAUGGAUGCGAGAAUGCGAGGUCCUUCCUCUCUUUUUCAUUUGUUCUUCACGCAAGACCUUUGCGAUGUAUGCUCACAAGUAACCUCUCUGCAAAGGUCGAAAAUGGUGUAAAGUGAUUACUAAGUAGUAGCAUCUGGCCUAUUGGACCAAAUUUGGUCCAAAUCAAGUCUGAUCUUGGUUGGAUUCACCUUUCUGUACCAAAUGAGUCCUAUCCGAAGCACUUCACAGAAGUCUAAACCUAAAUUCACCUCCCAUGUAGCUCCUAUGCACUCAGUCAGUAUGUCUAAGUGAGCACUAGGCACUUUAGUUCACACACGAUUAUGUGAAAGGGUACUUUUAGAGGCAUCUGGGUCCUAUUGAUAUUAUGUGAAAGGAUCAAACUCUUAGACUUUGUCAUGAUUUAGGUGGAGGUUACUGCUGUUCAUGUGCUACCGCACUUGAUUUUGGUGUUUCUAUACUCUGACUUGCGAGUUAAAUAAUUGCAUUUUAUGUGUUGGUGACAAGACGCUUCUUGUCUUUUUACUGAAUCAUAGCUCGACUUUCCCUUUUUCCCAACUAGUCGGGGGCACAGACAAUUUUUUUUUCCUUCCCUUCUGGCUUUUUGUAAGAAACCAAUAUCAGUGAAAGGUUGGAACUUUACUUUGAUCAAAGAUUUGAGGGGCAAAAACUGGCCUCAGUAAGAUCAUAUGCGUCUUAAGUAUGAAGAAAAUGAUGCAAUAGCCGAAAUCGAUUUCCCUUUGUGUUGAGGGUUAUCCUAGAUAUGGGAGGUUUAUUUUCGCUCUCUAAACCUUAAUAUGCAGGGGUCUUAUCGGGUUAUCCUAGAUAUGGGAGAUUUAUCUUGAAAAUGUUGAAACCCCAUAGAUGGGAAAAAUACUUCAAGUUCUUCGAUUAGCUGCCUAUCUCGAUUCUCGACAUCAAUUAACUACACUCGAUGCACCAUUUUCAUGAAUAAUGAAAUGUUUAGCUUACCUCCGAAGCUAAAUGCAAUUGUACAAAGCCCUUGUGUUUUCUUUUUGUUGUUGAAAGAAACCGAUUUCUGUUUUGGUAACCCAAAUUGUUUUUCUUUUUUGUUAAUCAGAUUCUUUUUGUAUACAUGGUCCUUCCAAUGAGGGAUCCAUUUUUUUGUUAAUUUCUAAGAAUAGAUUAUUUGACGAACUUUUCGAUCACAAAAUCAAAUCUUCACUGUUCAGUUUGUUGGGCUAAAUGAGUAGAUCAUUUUUAUAAAUUUUCAGAAAAUUUGGUGAUCGUUAAGUCAUCCAAAUGAGAGAUUUAUUUUUAAUAAUAUUAAACAGUGUAGGUUUGACAUAAGUGUUAAGUUUUUUGUUUUAAUCUCAGUCAUCUAAGUCCAUUAAAAAACAGAUCUAAUGGUGUAGACCUAUCGAAAAGAUAAAUCUCUCGUUGGAAGACAAAAAAGAUAGAUCUCGCGUUGGAAGGGCCAAAUGAGAGAUCAUAUGUGUGUCUAUAUAUAUAUAUAUACACACACUACAAUCACUCAAAUAUUAAGUUGGUUGGCCAUGUUGUUAAUCAUUGAUUGAGGAUUGAAGCUCUGAAAUCGUGUUUGGUGAACUUUCUGGGCUACUACAAGGAGCUGUAUUUCUAGUUUGCUAGGAUAAUCAUAUGAGCUUCUAUAUUGGAGCUCAUGAGAGUAAUUAGUACACAAUCAAUAUUUAUGUUUGUCCCCUAGCUUAGCUUGGUUAGUGGUUUAUCCACCGCCGGCCGACAAAAAUCAACACCGCCGUCCUCCCUACCUUUUGGUUACAAGUUGUCUCACCAGAGCUAUAGCCUUUGGUUAAAGAGAAAAGUGGGAUUAGAAACUUAAUCAUAUCUACUAAUUUUAAACCCAAGUAUGCAUCACUCAUCAUUCAGUAACAUGGAACCAAAUGAUUAGCAGAAAGCUUUGAUUACAAAAUGAAGUUUAUGACCAAAGUCCAAAGUGGUGUAUGGUUUGUAAAGAUGAUCAAAGUGGGAUUAAAGAGCUGCUUAAACCUUGACCGUAUACACUCGCGGUGCCUCCAUCUCUACUACAAUAAAGCUGGCAGUUGUGUAGAAAGGAGAGCCUAUUCGGCGCACCCGUCAUCUCCACCGUUAAUUUUAUUUUAUUUUAUUUUUUUUGGCGGGUCAAAAUGGACGGUGGAUACACCCGCGUGCGCGGCGCACCCGGGUGCGCUGUAUAAUUUUCAGUGUAGAAAGACAUGGGUAGUGGAAACUUAGAUCGAAACUGCAUCCGUAACAAAUUCCCACAUUUUUUUUAUUAAAAGGAGCUGAACUCCUUAUGAAUCUAUUCUUUCAGGAUCAACUCGGUUUACCUCAUUUUCGCUUUCUUCACUGAUUUACUUUCAGUGUUUCUUUCUGUUGUAGAUUAUAUUGCUUUGCUAUUUGUUUGAAGGGUUUUGUUAAGCCCUUUUCCCUUCUGUACCCCUGACAAAUUCUCACUUCAAAAACCAAACCAAUAAACCAAAAUCAACUACGCAUGAAGAUUUUGUGAUCCCAGAUGAUAAUUUGAUUGCGGUUGCUUCUUGGUGGAGAUUGAUUUUCGUUUAUGGGCGUAGAAGUUGUGAUUACUAAGUAAACUUUUUUGACCACAAAUUUGCAACUUCAGUAAGGAUUUGAUGUUUCUCAUCACCUGAUCUUAGGUUUCAGUUUCGUAAGCUUGUCAUCUUUUUAGGGUUGUAUUUUGUUGUAGUUAUGUUUAAGAUACUACUCGGUUGAUCUCUAUGGUUCGUUGGUGCAUGCACUUCGGUAUGAGUUUGAUAAUAAAGGAUUAAGAGCACUUUUGUGUAGAUAAUAUGAGGUUGAUUGAGAUGACACUGAUAAGUACAUAUCAUAUCAUGGCAUCUCCCCUCAUUAUCGAUAAGAAACGCACCUCAUGAUCUAUAAACUGCCAGAUAUAGUUACAUUCCAAUUGCUCUGAAGAAACUCGAAUGGGGUAAAGUAAUUGAUUCAUUCUAGUUCCUCACCUCACAUAACAUAGAGAAUGAUUGAUUUGAUUAAUUGAUUUGCUAGGCAUAUUUCUGGGCUUUUGCCCUGUCUAAAUCUACAACUAAUAAUAUUCCAGAUGGCAUGGAAUUCCCGUAUUUGACAUAAACCAUCUAAGAUUCAAACAAUACAUAAGUUCAUUAAGUUGCUUUGGUAUUUGUUUGAUUUUCUCAGAGUAUAGGCUUGUGAAUCGGAUACAAAGUUUUUCUCAUAAUUAACGAUCAGGGAGGAAAAAAACAAAAGAAAAAAAAGAAGAAGAAGCCAUGCUACAAUGCUAUAUGUGAAAAUGAUGCUCGAAAACGAAUUACUGAAACAAUUAUCUGGAAAGUAGAUUUAUUACAUUCCGUGAACCAAACGAGGAAAGUCUCCGGGCAACACUACCCUUGCAAUCAUGAUGAACAAACUCUAUAUAUACCAAUAUCAAAGUAGGCAAUGGCCAAUACAUAGCUCGUGUCCCACUAUACUUUGCAACACCAAAGUUGAAGAUCCCAGCAUUGUAGGCUUUACCAACCAUCGUAUAUCUUGUAGGCUCAAGGAAUAAAAAUCAAGCACAGAUUUUAUGCUGCGUGCUACUUUGAACAUGUAUAUUUCCCAAAUUCACACUCAUGAAGAAGGUGUCUGUCACCACCUUUAUCUAUUAAGCUCUUUAUCUCUCUUUUUCAAUGAUAAUGACUUUGUUUUCAUCUAUUCUUAUCACCUGUCACAGUAAUGUUAUCCUUCAAAACACUAAAUUAAAGGGUGAACAUGACCAUAUUGACUAAUGAGUUGAUAGUGAAAAACUUCAGUAUUGAUUAGAAGCCUUGAAAUUCAACAUUGUCAUUCUAGGAAUGAUACAAUUACCUAUAUUUACAUCACGUACUUCAAGCUUAAUAGCGCAUGAAGUACUACAGUACUACUGCAUUCUGCAUAAGAAAAGUUCAAAGUUCAAACCGAGCAGCCUAAGAUUAAUACGGCUAGUAGCUAGCUACUUGCUAAAACAUUUGACAUAGAGUAGUUUCAUUGUCCUAGAUUAAGGAGUUCGAUUCAAUCGAAGAGAAUGCAUCGAGCAGGUUGAUCCAAUUAUCGCCAUCCUCUUCAUCUUCCUCCCCACUCAUUUGGCUCCACUGAACAUUAGGGGAAUUUUUCUGAUCAAUUUCAUCGUUCCUUGCAAAUCGUCCUCUGAUGCGCGGCCUGCUGUCUGCCAAUGUCUUCCUACAUGCAUACUGAAUUCGGAAAAGGAGAACACAGAUUUAGGUUCUCGUUUCAAAUUUAUGUAAAACCAAGAAUAGCAGAGUUAACAUGAUCCCUAUUUGAUUUUCAAUAUCCAACAUAUAUGAUAUUUUCUGCAGAUACAAGAUAAAGUGCAGAAAAGAAAUACAUAUGCCAUGCAGAAAUUGACUUUGCCAUAGUUUUCGACCUAUCUUAUGCUUGCUUAUCUUGAUGUUUAAUGUUUUUAAUAAUGUACAGAAGACUAAAACUACCAUAGCUUUCAUGUCGAAGUGCCAAACCACAUUGCACCAUCUCUAUGAUUCAUCCACCACUCGAAUGUGUUGAUUUAGAAUGAAAACGAUGUGGGAUGUGACAGUCACACAAAGGGCCAUAGAAAUGAUAGCACAAAACAAGUAGAGGUAUAGUGAAAGUAAAAUGUUUACACAGAAGAAUCUACAUGUAAGAAGAAAUCGUGGGCCAAAAAGCAAUAAACGAGACCACCAUCCUCUAUGAGGCCAUAAAGCUUAAAGUACUGGUGGGUCGUCAAUGAGCAACUAGCCGAAGAAUGCCAAAUAAGAUAUCAGGUCCUGAUAUAAAAGUAAAGGGAGGAAGAAACUAGAAGUUGAGAAAGGUGUAGCAGAAUUAACUAAACCUUGAUGGUUUUGUUGAAGUUCCUGAGGUUUCUCUUGCUUUUGUACCUCUCGAUUCUCUCUUUCUUCUCUUCAGGACUGUAACGACAGGCUUUGCUCAUUCCUUCAAUGAUCAUACUGCUCUCACUUGACAACGGACUACUUUCUGAUGAUGAUCUGUAGCUGCUGCUUUGCAUUUGCUGCACUUGCACCCCAUUAGUAAUGUUAAUCCUCUGCAUGCCAUCAGUAUCAAAAACAUGUUUAGCAAAUGUAAAUAACAAAUUAAUAUCAAUUUGCCGGAUACUCUAUCAUGUUAUAAUCGAUAAUCAACACCGACUAAGUAAUAAUAUUACAAUCUAAUAAUAUAACAUGUCAGACAAACACAUGUGUUUUAUCUUUUAGUAAAAAUAUAAGAUUUAUGGUUUCUCAAUUACAACAAAUAAUAAUGUUCACUAUGUUAGACAACAAAAGAUUCUACCAUUCAUAUAAUGACAAGACAUCUCACCGAAUAACUAUAGUCUAGAUUAAGCUCCAAUUAUCAGCCUAAUUAAGUAAUAACAUACGAGGCUAUUUGAUUUGAAAGAACACCAUUUUCAUUUAAUGUGACACACUAAACCCUAGCUUAUAGACUGCCUGGUAACGACGUGGUCUCCCAUAUAAAUCUAAUAAUUCUUGGCACACCGAUCAAUUUGUAUGAUCCUGAGAACCCUAAAAGCAUGCAGAGCCAAACCUGCAAAUCCAAGUCGCCGGUGCUAUACACCCUCCGGACGGGGCCGGUCUCGAGCUCCAGCAAGUCCGAGACGAGCCGGUGGGUCCCAACGUUGUUCUUCUGCUGGAGCGAGUGGCUGCUCACACUCCUCUGAAUCAUCAUGUUAGGUUCAACCUCAUGAUCAUGAGUAGUCGUAGUUGUAGUAGUAGUGGUACUCGCGUAGGUUGGCGAGCCGCCGUAGCUGCUGCAACCGCUGCUACAGCUGUUGUUGCUGAACUCAUUCGCCGCCGCAGCGUGGUGAUGAUGGUAGUGGUGGUAGUCAUUGUUGUAAGUCCCGAAGGGCAACGCCGGCAUUGGCAGGCCGUCGAAGUCGUGUGGGAAUGCGGUACCGUUGUGACUGUACAUAGCGGCGCGUGGAGUUGGUUUAGGGAGUUGGGGAAGUCGGUCGAGAAUUAUGGAAGUAGUGGGAAUGAUUUGAGAGGAGUGAAUAUACUGGAGGAGGGGAUGGGGGGUACUUAAAGCAAAAGGGCAGGGGGCCAUAGAGAACAGGGACGACGGGAUGGGUCUGCAUGGUGAUGUGGAUGAUGACGUCAUGUUUUCGGAGGGGAAAAAGCGUUGACCUAAGGAGAUCGAGCUUGUGUUGGAUUUCGAUCUUCUUCGGCCGGAGACGAGACACGAGCCUACCCUAGCCUGUUUGUUCAUAACGCGUCCACCACACCCAAGUUUUUGUGCGCUUAAGAUGUUCGAUGAAUGUCUCGUAUGUUAAGAGAUAAUGAGUUACGGUGUUUAUGACAAGUUCUAAUUAAACUUUUUUGUUGAGUUGUCAAAUUGAUAGUCGGAUAACAUAAUAAAUGACACGACAUUUUUACUGAUAAAAAUAAAUUAGUGGCACGGCAUUUUUACCGAUAGAAAUAAAUUAGUGGUGCCGUAUAGAUUUGGAAUGGUAAAAUAAUUGAUGCAUGCAUGGAUAAUUGAUCGAGAACAUGGGAAAAGAGUAGCUAGGGUCAGGUGUUUGGAAGCUUUGCAGGUAGCUGAUGAAAUUAAGCUUGUAUGGUACAUGUUGUAAGCAAGUGAAAUAUAUAUGGAAGCCUGUACGUGGCUUUUGCCAGGUUAAAUCUGCCUAGGCAAAUAUGAACAAGCUUCUAGUUUAGUACCUACAAACCCAUAUGAAUGUAUCAGUACCAGUCCCAGUGGGCAAAUAAUUCAUUGGUAGUUCACAGUGAGUCAAGAAGGAUAUGAAAACUGUACCAGGAUGGCAACAUAUAUAUAUAUAUAUAUAUGUCUGUAUAUGUCACACACCGGUGCAUUGUAGAAUGUUAAGACAGAGAACUGGGGCGUGAGCCUGAACCUCCCAGCUAGACUAAAUGCCAAACCCUUUCAAAGAAAAAAAAAAAACAAAGAAUCACAACAACAACAUGGGGCAAAUAUGCCACACAAGCCUUUAGAGGUGUUGCAUUCAUUUUUAUGUGUGGCAAGUAUGGGUAUUAAUAGAGAUGAGGAGAAAAUUGUCACACAAGUGUGAAUUGCAACACCUUUAAACACCACACUCUUUGUGUGGCAUUUGCUCCAUUUUGUUGUUGUGAAUGGUGAGACGGAUAUAUACUCCAUGUACAUUCUUCCUGGGAACUGUAGGUGUAUUCUUCUGUUUAAGUUGGUUUAGUGGUUUAGUCUUCCAUUGUUAUACUCUUGGUUUAUAUAUAUUUGUCUCGAUCGCGAUCUUUCUUCUCUGUAUAGUUGACAAAGAGUUCUUUUGGCCGAACUUAAUUAUCUUUCACUUUAGAUCGAGGUCGGUGCCUGUUGAUUUGGAUAUUUUUGUUAGACCUGCGCUUUAGAGCGACAAUGUAUGCUGUGUUGAAAUAUUCUGCAAUAUUUUCUAAUGAUUCUGUAAACAAUGAAUCGAUUCAUAUAGUAGUAGCUCUCGAUCUGUAGCAAAUCAACAAGCAAGAGUUGGGCACUUUGAGCCUUUGAGGUGGUCCUGGAGCUAUAGAAACUCUCUCCUUCUGAUUCUCUACCAGUUUAUUCCAAGCAGACAUUAUCAGCCAGAGAUCUCAUCAAAAUCUUACCCUACUUGCAUUUCACAACAAUGAAAAAUUUGACCCUACCUCCACUUAGAUCCACAUGAGAGCUAAAAAGAGGUGAGAAAGAUAGUUAUUUUUUACAACAUCUCCAUGUGAGCAGCAUUCAGAAAUCCCAAUCAUAUGAAUGAAGUUGAAAAUAACUAGAUUAUGAUGAUUAUAAUCCCUAGGUUAUGGCUAGUCAUUUAUAUAAUUGAAGGAUGUAGAUACAUACCAACCAUCUUGUUAGGAAGGAUUUUAAAUAUAGGGUUAGGAUCUUAAGCAUGAUUGAAUUAAAGUCCCAAUAUUGUCUUGCGUCUAAUCAUAUCAUCACCACAACAACAUUAUUAUUACUUCUGAUUUUUGUUUCAAUUAUUUUGAUGCCUAAUUUGUGUCUGCAAACUUAAGUAGGAAUCUGUUUCUAUAUAAUAUAUAGAUUGAACCCAUUUCUCAAAGUGGGAAGUGCUUUUGGAAAAUUUUUGGACUUCUCUCUGCAAUUUUACCACGUAUAGCCGACUGUCACAUCAGAUACUAAUCUUUGUGGAGUAAGAAAGUUUUCACAAGCAAUAGUACUCUCCAUGGAAUUAAGAAAGUUUGCCCCUCCCUCUUCUUUUUUGUUGGUAAGAAAAAUGAAAAUGAAGGAGGCCGGGGGUAAAUUAAGUUCAAAUAUAUCUGAAAAGCUGUGGACUCUUUGUAAUUUACAAUGUCAACAUUAAACUCAAAAGCUUUAGAACUCAAGAAAAACAACAAUAUGUUAUUAUUCCAGUUUCAUUAACCAGUACCGAUCCCAACUGAAUGCGAAGGUGGAUGCAUGAGUUUGCCUAAUUUUGGUUUCCCAUCUAUACUCUUGAAACCAAUCUAGGGCCUAAUAUCAUAUGCUUGACUCUGAACCCUUAGCGAUGAUGCAGACUUUGAAUACUCUCACACGAUCAAUGAAGAUGUACAUUGACCCCGAGUAAGGGGCCUCCUCAGCAUCUUCCACACACAAUUAGCAGCUGUAGGUCCUUGAGAAUCAUCUAUAUCGAUCACUUCAAAAAGGAGGAAUACGAGUAUGAUGAGUAGUAUCUUGUGAUCUGUCAUAGAACAAACUCAGUCCCCCCAAAUCAAUUGCAUCCAAGACCUUUUGAUCGAUCUGCACAAAACUAGUGCGCUGAGUAACUAACUGGUCCAACGAAACGUUUUGGAUCUCGGUUGGUCGAAAACUAAGUUGGAGGCCGAUUGCAGCCAAUCCGGUUGCAUCCUCUGUUGCUCUUCUUCAAGGAAACUAUAGUGAUUUGCAGGACUUUGUGCAACGCCGUUGCGUAACGUAACAACAGAAUUGUGUUACGUACUGUGCUAUUCUACCAACUUGGUGAUGUACGUUGUCCCCAUGGGGAGCUUUCAUGCAUUGUUUUCCUAUAUACUCUACUAUUAUUACUUGCAUAUUUAGUACGUGCCAUACUCAAACUGCAUAAUGAUUUUGCACUUUGCAAAUGUUGAUGCACAUGGUGGCCUCAAACAUGAGGGGGAGCUUCAUGUGUCUCUAUCGGUUCUAAUAUGCGCAGUGUUAAAUUUGCCUGAGUUUGUUUAUCAGAUAAUGACGCGAUGUUUCUUUUGUUUGGUCUGAAUUUCAUUCGUUUUAUACAAAAAUGUUGAUCAGCAUGGUGGCCUCAAACUUGAGGAGGGGCUUCAUGCGUCUCUAUCAGUUAUAACAUGCGGAGUGUUAAAUUUGCCGAGUUUGCUUAUUAAUUAAUGACGAGACAUUUCUUUUUUGAAUAAAAGGUUGGUGCGGCUACCCUUAAGCAUUCAAUAUUGAAAUUGUCGAAUACAAGGGGUGAAAUAAAGCGUGAACCUUUGAUUACAAUAAGCAUCUGAAUUGGAAGAAAUCCUGAAAUUACAUAGAUAAUCUAUUCGAAAUACAUGUAUUCUAGCUAACAAGCACUAACUAGCAAAAAAAUACUACUUAUUGACGACUUCAUCUACUUUGUCACAAUUUCUCAUAAUCAAUCAUUUUUAAUGGUUUGCUUAAUUAAUUGUUUGUUUGUUUUACAUAAUCUUAUCUUUGAACAAAUUAUAGCGAGAACAGUCAAAUGAUAAAAUAUUCCUCAAGAGCUUAUUCGUCUUAAUACUACAUAAAAUUAUUCUAUUUUGAAUUUUAAAUGUACCCGUAUAUUAGAUUUGAUAUGUACGUUAUACGCAUGUUUAUCAAUUACGUACGUUUAUCAAUUAAAGUCAAUUGUCAAUUACGUAUGUUUAUCAAUUAAAGUCAAUUGUUUCUCAAGAUUAAUAUCUCCUACUCCGUUUUCUUUUUGUUUCCAAUUUUUGUUUCCUAGCUUUUCCAAUAAUACUUGGAAAGAAAAGAAAAGAAUCUUCACCAUUGCUAUGCUAUGAAAUCGAAAUCAUGCAUGCCUACAAUCCUAGACUCCUAGUAGGCAACUGUGCUCUUAUUCCUUCCUAUGGUGGAACCUUUGGAAAAUUUACGUGGGUGGGGUAUUUUCUUCUUGAUAACGAAAUUGGGUGUAGCUUGUUGGUUUGUCAAAUGGGGUCAACAACAAUUUAGAACAGUUUCCCCACUAAGUCCAUGAUAGUGAUUCUGUAAACCAUGUGGUUAAUGUUAUGUUAUUAGCCUCAAGCCCCUUAUGUCAUUCAUCUAUAUUUACUUCCUUUCACUUUGUUGGUUAGUCAAUUAAGGUCCAAUGGGUGUUUUUUUUUUUUUUUUGUAAAAGCCAAGUCUUAAUUAAUCAAAACAAUAGAAUACAAAAAAGGGACAUAAAGCCUAGACUCCAAAUUAUAAAAAGUAAAGUAUUCUAACAUGCAUUAGUUAGCAAAUAGUACAUCAUUAACUACUCUAUUUACUUUAACAAAGUGAAAAGAUAACUGUACUGAGGGCAAACAUGAUAACAAAUAGUGCAGCUUCCUAUUAUGUUGUCGUGUAGAAUCAUAUCUGGCGACCCUCAGUUUCAUCUUGUCACUAAAAUGUUGUGACCAUUUGACAAAGUAAGAAACUCGCAACCUACUUGAAUCAAACAAGACACGCAAGGUGCUCUUACCAAGACAACGUACGCCCACAUCUUCUUGUUAAAAACAGUAAAAAUUAAAAACUGAAAAAGCAAAAAAACUUUGAUCUGAUUUAUAUAUGAGCUGGAUCCCUGAAUUUGUGUGCUCAGUUGUUUGUAAAGGCUCACUUUUUUUUUUGGAAGAGUAUAAGGUCUUUCACCUCCUUUCACCUUUGCAUAUCAAUUGUUGAAUUAAUUUGUGGUGUGUGUGUAUAUACACAUAAUUCCCUUCCAGAGCGGGAUACCGCUUUGAAACUAAAGUGUGGUGCUUCUCAUUUCGUUCACUUUCAGGUCACAUUUUCACAUCUCCACCGUAUAGUGUCUACGACAUAAUGUGUAGAUCAUUCCUGCAAAGUUUCAUCCAAUUUAGAGAUCAUUUGAGCUUCCGUAAUUGUGAUUUACACUAACGGUUCUCUUUCGGAUAGAUUUUGUUCAAUUGAUUCAUUUAAUCUAAUUCGUUACCCAAAUGAUGUCCAAAUUGGAUGAAACUUUGCAAGAAUAAUCUACACACUAUGACCGAAAAACGAGUCAAAUAAAGAACUAUACACUUUAAUUUCAGAGCGAAGCUACACUUUAAUUUCAGAGCUCUGGAUAGAAAUAUUAUAUCAGUUCCUAUCUAGAGCAAAGCUUCGUUUUGAAAUUAAAGUGUGAAGUUCUUUCUUUGACUUGCUUUUCGGUCAUAUUUUCACAUCUUCACCGUUCAGUUUGUAGAACCUAAUGCAUAGAUCACAUAUGCCAAGUUUCAUUGAAUUUGAUGAUCAUUUGGGUUUCCAUAAUCGUUAUUUACACAAACAGUUUUGGUUAGACAGAUUUAUGGUUUGUUCAUUGAUUUAACCUAAUUCGGUACCUUAGCGAUCAUCAAAAGUUUCAUAAAAUUUGAUAAUCGUUUGGGUGUUCAUAAUCGUGAUUUACACAAAUAGUUCUGGUUAGACAUAUUUAUGGUUCGUUCAUUGAUUUAACCUAAUUCGGUACCUAAACGAUCAUCAAUUUGAAUGAAAUUUUGUAGGAAUGAUCUAUACAUUAGUAUCAAUAAACUGAAUGGUGGAGAUGUGGAAAUAUGACUGAAAAAUGUGUCAAACAAGGAACUUCACACUUUAAUUUCAUAGCGAAGCUUCGCUCUGGAUAGGGAUUGUAUAUAUAUAUAUAUAUAUAUAUACACACACACAGAGCUUCUCAGCUACGGACGUCCGCAUUUAUUCUUACGGUGCGGAUUUCCACUUUACACUCACUUUUCAAUCGAAUUUUCACAUCUCCACCGUCUAGUAUUUAGAUACUAAUGUAUAGAUCAUUGCAAAAUUUCAGCCAAUUUGGUUAUCAUUAAGGCACUCAAAACUGCGUUUUUUGUUAUAAACAUGAACGGUUCAAGUUCGACAGAAUUAUGUUCAUCCAUUGGUUUAAUCGAGUUUGAGUGCCUUAAUGAUNNNNNNNNNNNNNNNNNNNNCAGGGACCUUCCAAUGAGGGAUCUCUUUUUUUGUUCAUUUCUAGGGAUAGGCCUACACCAUUAGAUCUGUUUUUUAAUAGGCUUGAAUGGUUGAGAUUAAAAUAAAAAACUUAACACUUAUGUCAAACCUACACCGUUCAAGAUCAUUAAAAAUAAAUCAAACAUUUAGAUGACUUAACGAUCAUCAAAUUUUCUAAAAAUUUGCAUAAGUGAUCUACUCAUAUAAACCUAUUAACUGAACGGUGGAGAUGUGAUUUAAUGAUCGGGAAGUUUGUCAAAUACCAUAUCCCUAGAAAUGAACAAAAAAAGGGAUCCCUCAUUAGAAGGACCCUAUAAAUAUAUAUAAAUAUAUAAAUAUAAAGAACGAUCAAUGCGAAAACACGCAUUAGAGCCUUAGUUGAUCAAAAUGUGAAGUACUCAUAACCCACGAAAUAUUUGAUGAUAGAAGUAUAAACGGGGAACCUUACAUUUUAGAUAGCACUCAAUGUCACGGUCAUUCACAUAACCAAAGUCUUCCCACUCCAAAACCAAUGUCAAUGAAGGUGCAUAGGCACGUACAGUUCCAUGCUACGGAUUGUAGUUUCCCUAUCAGCCUAAAAAACACAACUACGCGAUCAACCACUAAACUAUCGCAUGUUAACAUGAACUCUUAUUUCACACUUCUUUCUUCCAUCUAUUGCUCUAUCGAAUCAUAAAUUCAUGAUCUUCAUUUGUUUUAUAGGAGAUUUUAAGGCAAUGACAUAAACUCUACAGCUAGAGUUCUCAUCAGUAAACACAUGCCCUUAAUAACCUAGUUUCUCCAUUUCAAAAGUCAAGCCGAUAAUCGAUAAUAUUCCAUGGGAGGUUAUAUAGGUAUGCUUGGCCUAAGCUGACAUUAUAGUUUGUGGCCUCGUGCUACACACAAGAACCACUUUUAACCGCAAACUACGUCGAGUUUCCACAUCAAUGUCAUUUCCAAUUAUUAAUCCUCAUCACCUCACUAGCUACUUAUCUCUCCCAGCCCUAAGUUUUAGUGGCAAGUUGACCCUUACGAUAAGGGAGAACAAAGUGAACGUCAAUAUAGGGCAGCAUGUCAAAGCAUUAUGGUCGAUCGUUUUCACAGUAGAAGAUAGAAGAACAUUGAGGGAGGUCGACGACGGGUAGGCCAAGUAAUCAGGUAGUUCUACAUAUUGGAUUACUGUCUUGGACUUUGUUGGCCUAGCUAGAUUGCUUGCUUUGCUUGAAAACAAGGGUCAACUCGAAGACGUGGUCAGUUGGUUAGGUCUCUAAUCAUGGGGUGCCAUCAAAGGGGAGGAGGUAUGGGGUUUGGAGAUGCACCGUCCAAAAAGAACCUAUCGCUUGGCAUCUGUCACAUUUGGCUUUGCUUAAUUCUGUGACGUUGAUAGAGCUAGCAAGGAAUCGAAAUAGAACAUUCUCCCAAAAAAAAACAUGAAAAAAAGAAAAAGAAAAAAGAAGUAAGAAGAGUCUCAAAAAGUUAUUUUUUUUUCCGAAAGAUGUGUAUGAGCUACACUGAAUUUGUUGACUAUUAGGACUUUUGGUUGUAUAAAUAAGAAAAAAAAAAACAGUCACAAAAAUAGCAAAAACAAAAGUUACAAAAAGGUUUUCCGGUGCCAAGAUUUGAACAUGAAAUCUCAUUAUCCAAAGAUGUGUAUGAGCUAUACCGGAUUUGUUGGCUUUGCAAUGAAGUCCAAUCAUCUCAUCAUCAUUGCAAUUUCAUCCUCAAGGGUAUUCCUGAACUCCCCUUUUAGCUGCCAUCUCCGGAAGCGGCAUGUUUUCUAGAACUGGAAUCCUCCUCCUCAAAGUAAGGAUUUUUAUCUUCUGGAUUGUGUUUUAAUUGAGAAAACCCUUGACUUUUUGGAAUUUCUUUUUGGGAUCUCGAAAUUUUGGGUUUCUUUAGAUAAACCUCUGAAUUUUCUGGGUUACCGAAAUUCUCGCCAAUUUGUUUCUUGGUUGGUAAUUUGAUAGGCCUUAAUUUUAAAAGAAAAUUAAUUGGGAUCCCGAAAGUUUGGAUUUUUUUGGAGAUAAACCCCUGAAUUCUGGCUAAUUGGUUUCUUUGUUCGUGAUUUAGGGAUACUUGAUACGUUUUUAGGGCUUAGCCACCGCAGAAGAAGAACAACUCCUCGUUGUGCCUCUUAUUGCCGAUACAAAGUUUUAUUUUUCAGUGAUUAAGGAGCUUGUUCACAAGACCUCUCAUGGUCUUCAAAGGCAUAAGCCGCGCCUUGCAAAAGAUGGAAUUGGGGGAACUUAUUCCAUGUCGGAUGCUUCUGAUGGUGAUAGAUAUGUGGUUAUAUUCAAACCUGUCGACGAAGAGCCAUAUGCGGUGAACAACCUGAAAGGGUACACCGUGCCACUUGGAGAAGAAGGUGUGGGUGCAAAGAUCGGAACAACAAUCGGAGGAGGUGCUAUAAGAGAAGUGGCGGCGUACUUGCUCGACCACCCUCUUAGAGGACCACCUCACAACCCCCACGAUAUCGAUUUCGCAGGGAUGGCACCAACUGUAAUGGUUAGGUGCCGCCUCCACAACGAUUUCAAUCAUAGGGGAGGUGAGGAAAUUGUUGGGAAAGAAGUGGCUGCCUAAUACAAGGCAGACAAAUAAUUGGUUAUCCAAGGAUUAAAAUAUCAGUAUCUGUGUAUUUAUCGGUCCUUUGAAAAAGAGAGAUAUCGGAUAUAUAGGGGAAAUUCGGGAAAAAAUAUCAGUAUUUUGGGAAGAAUUUUUUUCUGAAAAUUUUAAUUUAUUGGAUUUACAUAUAAAUAUUACAAACAUCAAUUUCAUCUACAUCCAGAAUGAGAAUCUAAGUUGUUGAUAAGACGCACGCUGGUCCACAAAAGUACAAUAAUCAGAUCAAGACAUAUGACUUAUAUAGUACGAAUUGUAGUGUUGAAUAUGAUAAUCAUAUAUGUCUAGAUAUACCUCGAGAGAAUUUCUCUUCCGAAAAUCACUCAAGAGUCAAGACCCUCACUCUUCAUUGGGAUAUACCUCGAGGGAAUUACUUCUAUCAUAGAUUCUAUCAUAGAUAUCACUCAAGACCUACACUCUUCAUUGAGAUAUACCUCGAGAGAAUUACUUCCGGAUAUCAUUUCAAUUUUUUUUACAGAUAUUUUUUUAAUAUAUCGGUGAUAUAUCGGAAAUAUCAUAAAUAUCGGAGAUAUUUGAUGGUAUCAGAGAAAUAUCGGGGAAAUAUCGUAGAUACGGUGGAAGAUAAGAUAUUGACCCCUAUAGAUAUAUCGGUCAUUCGAAAAAAGGAUAUAUCGGAGGAUAUAUCGGAUAUAUCGCAGAGAUUUUAAUCUUGGGAUUCCUAGGAUCUAACUUUCUCACCUCUCAUGUGAUUUGCGAAAAUAGCAACAAAAAGAAGACACAAUAUUUAACGAGGUUCGACAAUAUGCCUACGUCAUCGGGGCAACAGUAGUACUUUUUUCCACUAUACUAAAUAAUGGGAUUACAAAAAACCACCUCACUCUAGACUAACUAAAGUGGCGGUAACACAUCUCUAUCUCUCAAGAGGAAUUUUCUUCUCACUAAUCUCUCAAGUGAGGAUCUCACAACUCACAAACUCUCUCUAGUUUGGAUGACUCUGCCCUUGAUCUUGAACUAGAGCAAGUUCGGAUUCCUUUGUUGUUGUACAAUGAUGCCUUUAUAUAGGCAUUGCUUCAUGGAAUGUUGUGGUGUGAAUACAUUGAUAGCCUUCAAGCCCUCCAUAUUUCACAUUCAAUGUUUUCAUGCAACUUUAAUUUCAUGUCUCUUCUUUCUUCAAAGAAGGCAACUCCCACCACCUUAUAUCAUGACUUUGCUUCUUCAUGUCAACAAUUCAUGCUCCAUCCUACAGCUCUACAAUGCUAUAGCCUUUGACAAUUGAUGGGUCACCAAAGCAAUAGUCACUCUUGCUUUCUUCAUGUGUAAAUCUUUACAGGGUUUCUCAACUCCUUUAAGGAGGGACCAACCCAACAGAAACAAAGAAGAUAAAGGUUGGUUCCCUUCAAAUGUAUCACCCAAAUGUGGGACACAGUGAAGAUAUGGGGAUGUUUGGCUUUUGGGUUCAUGACCUACACAAGACCAGUCAGCUCGACAUUAGGUUGUCCAACACAGAUAGAAACUUGGGCAACAUUUUGCGAGCCCCCGAAGGCCAUCUACUUCCCAUCGACCACGGCUACUGCCUGCCUAAUAAAGUGAGUAGCUUACAUUGUAUUGUUUUGAUGAUCUCUUUGUACAUUUUACAAUACACGCAGCCACUUUUGUAGCAUUUGAAUCUUAAAUUUUGAAUCUUUAGGCUGAGGAAUGAUAUCUGAUGUACUUUUCAUAUGUAUAUGCAGUAUGGUGAUGUGACAAUUGAGUGGCUAUAUUGGGAUCAAGCUAAGCUGCCGUAUGGCUCGGACGUUAUUGAAUACGUCAACACUUUAGAUGCUGAGAUUGAUAUACAACUAUUGAAGCGUUAUGGGUGGAAUAUACCGCAUGGUUGUGCGCGGACUCUACGAAUUUCCACUAUGCUUCUCAAGAAGGGGGUGAAGAGAGGACUCUCUCCCUUUGACCUCGGAAGCAUCCUUUCCAGGACGGGUUAUAAUACACUAUCUCUCAUUGAAAAGAUCAUGCAAGAAGUAGAAGUAGUUAGUGAGGCCUCAUUUCUGAAAACGGUGUCAUCCAUCAUGGAUCGACACCUUGCCAACAGAUUUGGUGACCUUUAGCUGUGGAAGGGUGAACCAGGAGAGGAGAAACUUGGGGGCAUAAACCGUUCAGUCAUGGAAGCAUAUGAGCUUGAAGCCGAGCUAUGUGAGACUAUGCUGACACUUGUGAAGGAGACAGAUCAUAGUAAGGCCAAAGAUUUAAAGAUAGUAGAUUUGAACAUGGAGCUGAAGCAAGAGAGAGAAAUAAAAAGGAAAGCUAAAGACUCCUUUAAAGUUCAGAUUAUGGCCAAGGACUUAAAGACAGCUGAGUUAAACAUGGAGCUGAAGCAUGUGAGGAAAAUAAAAAGGCAAGCUGAAGACUCCUUUAAAGUCCAUAUUAAGGCCAAGGACUUAAAAAUAGCUGAUUUAAACAUAGAGCUGAAGCAUGAGAGGGAAAUAAAAAGGCAAGCUGAAGACUCCUUUAAAGUCCAUAUUAAGGCCAAGGACUUAAAGAUAACUGAUUUAAACAUGGAGCUAAAGCAUGAGAGAGAAAUAAAAAAAGCAAGCUUGUCACAUCCCGACCCUUAAAUUUUUACCUUAUUUACUAGCUUGGUUAUAAUAAGAAUUUUACCGUCUCCGUCUACGAAGUUAUAGUUUAAUUGGUCCCUAGAGGGGUUUGGGGGACGGUUAUUUGUGGAGAAUUACUCGUAGGAUAAAAAUGCGACGACGGUAAAAAUGGUAAAUUUUGGCUAGUAAAAGGUAAUUUUUAUUAGGGUAUUAUUUUGGGGUGUAAAAUUUUGGUGGAGUUGGGUAUAAUUAUGGUGUUGGACUGGGUGUGAAGGCCUAAAUCUUUUCUCUCCUUCUCUCUCUUUUCUUCUCCUCUUCCUCCCGAGCCCUCUCCCGAGUUCUCUCUCCCCGGCGAACUUCCGGGCGUCCGCUUGCCGCCGUCCGGCCACCGUUCGUCGCCGCUCCGGUCCCAAACGGUUGGCCUCUGACCCAGCUACCUCCCUGGACCUGUGACAGCCUCCCUAGCGCCGCCGUGAGAGAGAAACGACGCCUUGAACCUCCGGCUGUCCAAAGCUCUCCUUCGCCGAAACUUCCUCCUCCGGCCACCAAUCCGGGCAAGCCUUAUAUGGUUUUGAAGGUCUCCAACCCCCAACCCAGUUGCCUUGCCCUAGAAGGACUCGGUUCAGUUUGCUUCAGGUAAGGAGAACCGGUGAGUGGAAACUCUAGGGUUUUUUGUGUUGUUUUGCUCGAUUGCCCUAGUUAGGCUUGGAAUUGAUGUUUGUGCUAGUUAGGAAAGUUGUAGAGGGGGUUGAGAGGAAGAUGCUGUUAAAAUUUGGUGAGCAUUGGAGGUCGUCGGAAUCAGCCUCCGGCCGCCGCCGUUGUUUGGGAGUUUUGUAUAGUUUUAAGUGUGGAAUAUUAAGGGGAGUUUAUUGAUGUGAAUUAUGGAAUUUUCGGAUGAGUUUUGGAUAGGUUUGUGAAUUUCUGAAGUGUGGUAUUUUUGGCGGUUGAAUAAUGUAGAAUCCGGCCGUAGGAUUUAAGUCAUUUUCUGGGGGAAGUUGUAAUUAGAGCUGCCGGUAUGUUUGGUGAAGUUUGAGCCAUUUUGAGUUAAGAAUGGCGAAGUUGGGCAAUGAUGAGUGUGUGGGAGGCUCACGUUUAAUUUUGCCCAUUUUGUUUAAAUAUUGGAUUUUUAGUUGGGAAAUUAAUUGUAUAUUUGGUUCAGGACGAGAAGAGGCCCGAGUAGAAGAAGCCUCGGAGCAUCAUCAGGCUUAGGCCUAAUUUGUGAGUGGACCUUGGUUUUAAUUGAAAAGCAUGCGAUGAGUUAUUAUGUUGAUCAUUUAUUUGUUCUGCUGAGAUUUAUUUCUUUCUCGGAUAUUUGGCAAUUUUCCUCCUUUGGAGAGAUCCCGAAAAUGAGAUUUUCGGUGGAUAUGUUUAUUGGAUGUUAUGAGUAUAAUAUGUAUAUAAAUUCUAGCUAGCCAUACGUGCUUGGUCCGUCAUAAUGAGGUAAAAUUCCAUUAUGACGUGACGUGAAUGUUAGACACAAGCGUCAUAGCCCUAAAUGAAAACUAAUUUCUUUUCUGGUUCAUUUAGGUUUUUAUAAAGGGAGUCCACACGUAUAUAUACAUCGUCCUCUUCGGUCAUAAUGAGGAAAAAUUCCAUUAUGGCGCGACGUGAGCGUUAGACGCAAACGUCGUAGCCUUGUAUGAAUUUCUAUUUUUCUAAUUUGUUCAUAGAAUUCAUACAAGGAGUCUGACGAGUGUAAAUACAUACACAUAUAUGUUUAUAUAUAGUUUAGCCUGAGAGGCUCCAUUUUAUUUGAGUUUGUGACUAGCCGGAGCUAGUCGUGAAAUUGCUAGUUUGUGAGCUGAGCGCUUUUGAGCUACCGCAUGCAGUAUAUUUUCUUUGGAAAUUAAAAUGGGAAUGCAUAAAUAUUUUUAAUAAUUUAUUUUUGUUCACUCGCUCUAAAGUUAUUAAAUGUUUUCCCCUGGGCCAUUCGUUUUAAAAUGCCCAGUCUGCAGAGUACGGGUUGGAUCUAGUAGGAAGCGAGGCAUAGUCACCCGCAUUUCCACCACUUUUCAUCCGUAGGUUACCUGUUUAACCUACCUGUGUUUUCUCACUUCCACUAGUGUCUAGUAGCUCUGAAUACUUGGGUUUAAUGUUUAUUAUUUCGGUUGUGGGCGAAGGCUUGUUGACAUUUUUAGAAUAUUAUUUUCGGAGGUUGUAUGUUAUUUUAUUUGGAUAAUAUUGUGAUGAGCUGGAAGUUGAUUUUAUUUUUAUUCUUGGUGGUGGUUGUAUUUGGGGAGCACGUAGGCUCCAAGAGUUAAGGUUGGAUUGAAAAUGUUGGGAGUGUUUGCAGGUUUUCUUUAGGAAUGGUUACCUAUUUUAAAGGGAGGUUAUGCCGAAUUUUCGGUAAUGUCUUCCUUGGAGGUGGUCACCGCAGGAUUUACUCCGGGUUUUAGGGUAAAAUUCGGGGUGGGUCUUGUCAAAGCUGAAGACACUUUUAAAGUUCAGAAUAAGGCCAAAGACAUGGAAAUAGUUAUGCUGACCCAAGAGAGGGUGAAGAAGAUCAAACGAGAUUGGUGAUUAUGGGGUACCGUUGCUACUGCCAUGACAAUUGGUGCAACAUCCUUGGCAUACUCAAAUCCAUGUGGAAGUACCUACCAAGUUGAUAAUUAGAAUACCUAAACAAUGAGGUACAUUUAGAUGUACUUAUCAAUUAGAUUUUGAUGGUAACAUAUAUGUGGCUGUACUCAAACCUGUCGACUAAGAGCCAUAUGCGGUGAACAACCCGAAAGGGUACACCAACACACUUGGACAAGAAGGUGUGGUUGCGAAGAUCGGAACAACAAUCGGAAGAGGUGCUAUAAGAGAAGUGGCUGCGUACUUGCUCGACCACCCUCUUAGAAGACAACAUCACAACACCCACAAUAUCGGUUUUGCAAGGAUGGCACCACCCGUAAUGAUUAGGUGGCGCCUCCACAAUGAUUUCAAUCAUGGGGGAGAUGAGGAAACAUAGAAGUUGAAGGUUGGUUCCCUUCAGAUGUAUCACCCAAAUGUGGGAUGCCGUGAAGAUAUGAGGACGUCUGGCUUUCGGGAUCAUGACCUGCACGAGAUCAGUCAGCUCGACAUUAGGUUGUCCAACAUAGAUAGAAAUUUGGGCAACAUUUUGAGGUCCCUCGAAGUCCAUCUAUUUGGGACCAUGGCUACUGCCUGCCUAAUAAAGUGAGUAGCCAUACAUUGUACUGUUUUGAUGAAGUCUUUGUACAUUUUACAUUACACGCAGCCACUUUUGUAGCAUUUGAAUCUUAAAUUUUGAAUCCUUGGGCUGAGGAAUGAUAUAUGGUGUACUUUUCAUAUGUAUAUGCAAGUAUGGUAACAUGACAUUUGAGUGGCUAUAUUGGGAUCAAGCUAAUCUGCCGUAUGGCUCGGACGUUGUUGAAUACAUCAACUCUUUAGAUGCUGAGAUUGAUAUACAACUAUUGAAGCGUUAUGGGUGGAAUAUACCACAUGGAUGUGCACGGACUCUACGAAUUUCCACUAUGCUUUUCAAGAAGGGGGCAAAGAGAGGACUCUCUCCCUUUGACCUCGGAAGCAUCAUUUCCAAGACAGGUUGUAAUACACUAUCUCUCAUUAAAAAGAUCAUGCAAGAAGCAGAAGUAGCUAGUGAGGCCUCAUUUACGAAAACGGUGUCAUCCAUCAUGGAUCGACACCUUGCCAGCAGAUUUGGUGACCUUUAGCUGUGGAAGGGUGAACAAGGAAACGAGAAACUUGGGGGCAUAAACCGUUCAGCCAUGGAAGCAUAUGAGCUUGAAGCCGAGCUAUGUGAGACUAGGCUGACACUUAUGAAGGGGACAGAUCAGAGUAAGGCCAUGAUUUAAAGAUAGUAGAUUUGAACAUGGAGCUGAAGCAUGAGAGAGAAAUAAAAAGGAAAGCUAAUGACUCCUUUAAAGUUCAGAUUAAGGCCAAGGACUUAAACAGAGAUGAUUUAAACAUGGAGCUGAAGCAUAUGAGGGAAAUAAAAAGGCAAACUGAAGACUCUUUUAAAGUUCAGAUUAAGGCGAAGAACUUAAAGAUAGCUGAUUUAAACAUGAAGCUGAAACAUGAGAGUGAAAUAAAAAGGCAAGUUGAAGACUCUUUUAAAGUUCAGAUUAAGGGUAAGGACUUAAAGAUAACUGAUUUAAACAUGGAGUUGAAGCAUGAGGGAAAUAAAAAGGCAAACUGAAGACUCUUUUAAAGUUCAAAUUCAGGCUAAGGACUUAAAGAUAGCUUAUUUAAACAUGGAGUUGAAGCAUGAGAGAGAAAUAAAAAAAAGCGAGCUGACGACACUUUUAAAGUUCAGAAUAAGGCUAAAGACUUGGAAAUAGCUAUGCUGACCCAAGAGAGAGUGAAGAAGAUCAAACGAGAUUGGUGAUUAUAGGGUACCGUUGGUACUACCCUGACCAUUGGUGCAACAUCCUCAGCAUACUCAAAUUCAUUUGGAAGUACCUACCAAGUUGAUAAUUAGAAUACUUAAACAAUGAGGUACAUUUAGAUGUACUUAGGAAUUAGAUUUUGAUGGUGACAAAUAUGUGGCUGUACUCAAACCUGUCGACUAAGAGCCAUAUGCGGUGAACAACCCGAAAGGGUAUACCAAGACACUCGGACAAGAAGGUGUGGUUGUGAAGAUCGGAACAACAAUCGGAGGAGGUGCUAUAAGAGAAGUGGCGGCGUACUUGCUCGACCACCCUCUUAGAGGACCACCUCACAACACCCACAAUAUCGGUUUCGCAGGGAUGGCACCAACCGUAAUGAUUAGGUGACGCCUCCACAACGAUUUCAAUCAUGGGGGAGAUGAUGAAACAAAGAAAUUGAAGGUUGGUUCCCUUCAGAUGUAUCACCCAAAUGUGGGACGCUGUGAAGAUAUAGGGACAUCUAACUUUCGGGAUCAUGACCUGCACAAGAUCAGUCGGCUCGACAUUAGGUUAUCCAACACAGAUAGAAACUUGGGCAACAUUUUAAGGUCCCUCGAAGGCCAUCUAUUGGGGACCAUGGCUACUGCCUGCCUAAUAAAGUGAGAAGCCUUACAUUGUACUGUAUUGAUGAUGUCUUUGUACAUUUUACAUUACACGCAGCCACUUUUGUAGUAUUUCAAUCUUAAAUUUUGAAUCCUUGGGCUGAGGAAUGAUAUCUUGUGUACUUUUCAUAUGUAUAUGCAAGUAUGGUGAUGUGACAUUUGAGUGGCUAUAUUGGGAUCAAGCUAAGCUGCCGUAUGGCUCGGACGUUGUUGAAUACCUCAACUCUUUUGAUGAUGAGAUUGAUAUACAACUAUUGAAGCGUUGUGGGUGGAAUAUACCUCAUGGAUGUGCGAGGACUCUACGAAUUUCCACCAUGCUUCUCAAGAAGAGGGCAAAGAGAGGACUCUCUCCCUUUGACCUCGGAAGCAUUCUUUCCAAGACGGGUUGUAAUACACUAUCUCUCAUUGAUAAGAUCAUACAAGAAGCAGAAAUAGCUAGUGAGGCCUCAUUUAUGAAAACGGUGUCAUCCAACAUGGAUCAACACAUUGCCAACACAUUUGGUGACCUUCAGCCAUGGAAGGGUGAACCGGGUGAGGAGAAACUUGGGGGCAUAAAUCGUUCAACCAUGGAAGCAUCUGAGCUUGAAGCCGAUCUAUGUGAGACUAGGCUGACACUUGUGAAGGAGACAGAUACGAGUAAGGCCAAAGAUUUAACGAUAGUAGAUUUGAACAUGGAGCUGAAGCAUGAGAGAGAAAUAAAAAGGAAAAUUAAAGACUCCUUUAAAGUUCAGAUUAAGGGCAAGGACUUAAAAAUAGCUGAUUUAAACAUGGAGCGGAAGCAUGAGAGGGAAAUAAAAAGGCAAGCUGAAGACUCUUUUAAAGUUCAGAUUAAGGCUAUGAAUUUAAAGGUAGCUGAUUUAAACAUGUGGUUGAAGCAUGAGAGAGAAUUAAAAAAAAGCAAGCUAAAGACACUAUUAAAGUUCAGAAUAAGGCCAAAGACUUGGAAAUAGCUAUGCUGACGCAAUAGAGGGUGAAGAAGAUCAAACAAGAUUUGUGGUUAUAGGGUACCGUUACUACUGCCCUGACCACUGGUGCAACAUCCUUGGCAUACUCAAAUCCAUAUGGAUGUACCUACUAAGUUGAUAAUUAGAAUACCUAAACAAUGAGGUACAUUUAGAUGUACUUAUCAAUUAGAUUUUGACGGUGACAUAUAUGUGGCUGUUUUCAAACCUGUCGACUAAGAGCCAUAUGCGUUGAACAACCCGAAUGGGUACAUCAAGACACUCGGACAAGAAGGUGUGGUUGCGAAGAUCAGAACGACAAUUAGAGGAGGUGCUAUAAGAGAAGUGGCGGCGUACUUGCUCGACCACCCACUUAGAGGACCACCUCACAACACCCACAAUAUCGGUUUGCAGGGGUGGCACCAACCUUAAUGGUUAGGUGCCGCCUCCACAUUGAUUUCAAUCAUGGGGGAGAUGAGGAAACAUAGAAGUUGAAGGUUGGUUCCCUUCAGAUGUAUCAUCCAGAUGUGGGACGCUGUGAAGAUAUGGGGACGUCUGGCUUUCGGGAUCAUGACCCGCACAAGAUCAAUCAGCUUGACAAUAGGUUGUCCAACACAGAUAGAAACUUGGGCAACAUUUUGAGGUCAAAGACCAUCUAUUGGGGACCAUGGCUACUGCCUGCCUAAUAAAGUGAGUAGCCUCCACAACAAUUUCAAUCAUGGGGGAGAUGAGGAAACAAAGAAGUUGAAGGUUGGUUCCCUUCAGAUGUAUCACCCAAAUGUGGGACGUUGUGAAGAUAUGGGGACGUCUGGCUUUCGGGAUCAUGACCUGCACAAGAUCAGUCAACUCGACAUUAGUUUGUCCAACACAGAUAGAAACUUGGGCAACAUUUUGAGGUCCCUCGAAGGCCAUCUAUUGGAGACCAUGGCUACUGCCUGCCUAAUAAAGUGAGAAGCCUUACAUUGUACUAUAUUGAUGAUGUCUUUGUACAUUUUACAUUACACGCAGCCACUUUUGUAGUAUUUCAAUCUUAAAUUUUGAAUCCUUGGGCUGAGGAAUGAUAUCUUGUGUACUUUUCAUAUAUAUAUGCAAGUAUGGUGAUGUGACAUUUGAGUGGCUAUAUUGGGAUCAAGCUAAGCUGCCGUAUGGCUCGGACGUUGUUGAAUACAUCAACUCUUUAGAUGCUGAGAUUGACAUACAACUAUUGAAGCGUUGUGGGUGGAAUAUACCUCAUGGAUGUGCGAGGACUCUACGAAUUUCCACCAUGCUUCUCAAGAAAAGUGCAAAGAGAGGACUCUCUCCCUUUGACCUCGGAAGCAUUCUUUCCAAGACGAGUUGUAAUACACUAUCUCUCAUUGAUAAGAUCAUACAAGAAGCAGAAGUAGCUAGUGAGGCCUCAUUUAUGAAAACGGUGUCAUCCAUCAUGGAACGACACCUUGCCAACAGAUUUGGCGACCUUCAGCCUUGGAAGGGUGAACCAGGAGACUAGAAACUUCGGGGCAUAGAUCGUUCAGCCAUGGAAGCAUUUGAGCUUGAAGUCGAGCUAUGUGAGACUAGGCUGACACUUGUGAAGGAGACAGAUCAUAGUAAGGCCAAGGAUUUAAAGAUAGCUAUGUUGAACAUGGAGUUGAAGCAUGAGAGGGAAAUAAAAAGGCAAGCUAAAGACUCAUUUAAAGUUCAGAUUAAGGCCAAGGACUUAAAGAUAGCUGAUUUAAACAUGGAGCUGAAGCAUGUGAGGGAAAUAAAAAGGCAAGCUGAAGACUCUUUUAAAGUUCAGAUUAAGGCCAAAGACUUGGAAAUAGCUAUGCUGACCUAGGAGAGGAUGAAGAAGAUCAAACGAGAUUGGUGGUUAUGGGGUACAGUUGCUACUGCCCUGACCAUUGGUGCAACAUCCUUGGCAUACUCAAAUCCAUCUAGAAGUACCUACCAUGUUGAUGAUUAGAAUACCUAAACAAUGAGGUACAUUUACAUGUACUUUUCAAUUAGAUUUUCUGGGUGGAUAUAAAGGAAUUCAGUUGGUGCUUUAUCAAUUAGAUUUUAUGUACGUGUGGAUAUAUAUCUUUCAGUUUGAUAUAAUGCCAGGUUUUGAUAUCAUUUAGUUUGUUUUGUUAUACAGUUCAGCUAGAUAUAUGUCUUUCAGUUAUGUUUGAUUCUAUCUUGGGUGGUUAAGAAUUGUUUGGUUAAGUAAAUCUUUUUUUGUUUAGCAUACAUCCUUUUUUGUGUUGGUCGGCAUUUUUGAUCAAGAUCUUGAUCAAUCGGAGGUGGUUGCGUUCUUGAAUCGGUUGCGUUGCGAUUUUGAGAGGGUUAAGGGAGAUAAUGGGGUAGAGUUUGGGUCACAUUGUUAUCAGGCUGAGUUUUUUUUCAAUUGUGAGGGAGAUAAUGACGUCUAAUUUGGAGGUGGAUAUGUCGACGUCGCCGUCGGCGAGUAUGAAUUUGAGUAUGGAUUCGAGUAGUGGGAAGGGGAAGAGAAUGGUGAUGGCGCUGCUGCUAGGGAACCAUAGGUUGAAGAAGAAGAAAAGAUUGUCUGGGGUAGUGAAUGGGGAGGUGUGCAAAGAUGUGAUGUGUGAGGAUGGGAGGGAUUUUGUAAUGCCGGUUUGCUUUCGAGUGAGAGGCAGAAGGCUAAGCAGGUGUACGUGGAGGAAGCAUGUGUGGGUGGUGCUGAUGUUGGACUUAUUUGUGUGUGCCAUCUUGUUUGGGGUUGCAAGGGGUUGAAGUGAGUGGUCAAUGCCAAGCAAGAAUGUGGGUUGAUUUGGGAAGGGAUGUGAAAUUGAUGGUGUUAGGAGCUCUGUAAUGGUAACUCUUUGGCUCUCCUUUUGUUCAGUGUUGUAUCAAUGAAUCUUACUUGAUUUACGAGUGUUAUACAGUUAGCUAAAAUCUUUUUAAUGUAAGGGAAAAUGCCAAAAUGCCCAAAAACAGCUAAAACAAUGCCCGGUCCAAUGAAAAAAGUUUUCGAUUGCUCGUAUCAAUGAUUAUUAACAAAAAGACAUUUUCACCCUUUUUAGUAUUAACACCAUAUCCUAACCCUCGUUCUUUUUACGGAUCAAAUUCUCCCUCUCUCUCUUGUAACCAAAAAAAAAUUCUCCUUCUCUCUCUUCUUUCUCUCCUCUCUCAGAUGAGGCUAAACAUCAGCCAGCGAAACAUCGGCGAGCUAAAGCACUGGCGAAGCACCGCAUCGGUAUGUGACGAGGCCUUAACACCGACGAAGCCACGUCGGUCAUCGUCACCGCCCGAUCAUACUGUCACAUCUCCGACCAGAUCUCCUCCUCCCUCUCUCCUCUGAUCUGGAAAACUCUCUCUCUCUCUCNNNNNNNNNNNNNNNNNNNNGUAAGUACUACUCUCUCUCUCUCUCUCUCUCUCUCUCUCUCUCUCUCUCUCUAUGGCUGCCUCGACGUCGACGCCGAUGACGCCUCAAGGACGAAGACAACGCACAGGCAAGGAGCCCGACGAGGAUCAUGGGGUCGAGUCACCUCCGGCAUCUCGAGCUACUGGAGGAGGAUUGCAACCCCGGCCAGGCUAGGGAUUUGAAGGUAGGAUCUGAUCCAUCUUUGAUAUUGUUGGUAAAUUGUGGUUGUUGUUGGUCUAGAGGUUAAAUUGGUGUUGUGAUUGGAGAAGGAGAGAAGGUGAGAAGAGUAGCUGUCGUGAUUUCACUUUGGAUGCAGAGAAAUGGUGCAUGCAUGGUAAGGGAGUAGAUCCAGUGAGUGAGGGUGCAUGGUAAGAGAGUAGAUCCAAUUACUGGGGGUCAGUAAUUUUUCUUUUGGUUUCUUUUUGGUUGGGAAUUGCCUUCUUCUUCUAUUUUUUUUGUUUUUCUGUGUUUUGACAGAUUAUUGAGGUCAAUACAGAGGUCAAUAGAAAAUUACUGGGAGUCGGUAAUUUUCUUUUGGUUCCGUUUUGGUUGAGAAUUGCCUUCUUCUUCUAUCUUCUUUGUUUUUCUGUGUUUUAACAGAUUAUUGGGAUCAGUACAGAGGUCAAUAAAAAUUACUAGGGGUCAGUAAUUUUUCUUUUGGUUUCGUUUUGGUUGGGAUGUGCCUUCUUCUUCUAUUUUCUUUGUUUUUCUAUGUUUUGACAGAUUAUUAUGGUCAGUACAUAGGUCAAUAGAAAAUUAUUGGGGGUCAGUAAUUGUUAUUUUGGUUUCGUUUUGGUUGAGAAUUGCCUUCUUCCUCUAUCUUCUUCGUUUUUCUGUGCUGUAAUAUAUUUUUCUAGCGACCAGUGACCGGAAAAAGUCCGACGACGAGAAUCCGGUGACCGGAAAAAGUCCGGCGACCGAAUACCGGAAUCCGGUGACCGGUGAGGUUCCGGCCAAGUUUCUCUCUUCCAUUUUCUCUCUAUACAUUUUUAAAGGGUGAGAGCAAAAUAGGUAUAAUUCAAUAAUGUUUGUUAAGACUUUAAGUAAAGAUUUGUUUAUUUGGGCAUAAAAUAAGUUACCUUAUAUUCAAAUGGGCUCUUAAAAAAGAUAUUCAUUGAAAUGGGCAAUGAGGAGCUAAAAUUAGUAUUAAAUUGACAUUUUCCCUUAAUUAAUAUAAUGCAUAUCAAAUUAUGUAUACAUAUAUAGAUGUUACCGAUGUGAUGUUGGCAUUGUAUUUCCCCUCUCCUUAUAAUGUUUUCAGUUGAUGUUGUAAAUUUGUAAUUGCUGCAAUGUUUCUCUACAUUUGGUAACAUCAAUAGAAACUGUUGGAUUGCUUUAAUGGAACUUGCUUGACUGUUUCUAAUUUUCAGUCACUAACUAACAACUGUACUUCCAUUUUGGCAUGGAGAAUAUAUCUAACUAUCAAAAUAGUAGAAGACUGUAUCAAACUUCUACAUUCAGUGCUUUGCUCGACUCCCUUAAAGAAAAUGAAUAGCCUCAACUCAAUGAAUCUCAUAUUAUACAUGUAUUAGAGCAAACAAAAUUUGAUCUGUGUAAUCAAUCAACAUCCUGUUGUUGCCGAGCUUCCAAAUGACUAACGCCCCGGUAAAGAAAAUUCAGGAGUCUAAACUUUUGCUGUCGGAUAAGUCUGUCUAUCACAAAUGUUAGUCCUGACUGAGAAGAGUCUUAAAGCCUUAAUCCUUUCUGUUUGAAUGCUGAGAAGUGAUAGAAAAAGAAUAGAUUCUGGGACUUUUGAGCUGAAAAACAGAGCAAGUAAGCCUGGUACGUACUCGAACUCACCUCUCCUGUGCAGCACGCACUAAUCUUAAGUUCAACGUAGAGUCCACUGUAUGCUAUUUAAUUAGUGCCAAUGAGUUUCAAUUUAGCCCAUGAGUUUCAAAUGAAUUACUUAAUUAGAAAGGGCGACAGCCCAAAGACCCACCCAAAACAACAAGCCCAAUUACAAGACAAAGUAAGAAAGGAACAGCAAAGACGCAGAUAGAUACCCUUAGAACUAGAAACAUAAACAGUAACAGCUACCCUCCGUCGUCUACCGUCGCCGGCGUUGGGCAGGGAAGACCAUCGUUUCUCUGAACUCCAAGUAAACGUUUAGACCCACCCGGAACUGGCAAGUCACGCGGACACCAUUCCCAGGUAAUCCGAUCCUCUAAUUUCAAUUUAGAUCUAUUUAAUGAAAACCUUCUGGAACCUUUCAAGUUUUCAUUGCAUUAGUCAAUAUUUCUAUAUAACUGGCAUUGCGUAGUCGCAUAAAUCAAGCCAGAUCGCAUUCUAGAUGUAGAUGAAGUAUUGACAAAAAAAACGUAGAUGCACUGCUACCUCAAUUUUGUUCUUUGCCAUCUUUCCAAGACAAGGAUCUCUCUCUGCACACAACGCACGGCAACCAACUAGCUUAUUUCCACAUAACCAAUUUGCCAAUUUGGAGUAGACUUCACUAUAAAACUAGGUAUUUUACAGUAGUCUUCACUUCACUCAUACACCAGCCACCCCAAUCUAGAACCACCAUUCUUCCAAUUCAAUAGCAAUGGCAUUUCCAAAGCUUAAGCUUAUGAUCACCCUCUUGUUCAUUCAGGCUCUCAUGAUCACAUCCAACGCCUCAAUCAAAGCUGCCCCAUCAAACUCAGAUAUCUUCAGAGAAUACAUAGGAGCUGAAUUCAACGAUGUCAAGUUUUCCGAUGUGCCCAUUAACCCAAAUGUUGAGUUCCACUUCCUUCUCUCCUUCGCUAUCGACUACGAUACUUCAGGUUCUUCACCCACAAAUGGAAAUUUCAAUGUGUUUUGGGACACUGACAACCUCGGCGCCUCACAAGUUUCGGACAUCAAGAAUGCACAUUCAAAUGUGAAAGUUGGCCUAAGCUUAGGAGGGGAUAGUGUCAAUAGUGGCUCCUGCUAUUUUAACCCUUCCUCAGUUGAUUCAUGGGUUUCUAAUGCUGUUUCUUCACUCACAAGUAUCAUCCAACAGUACAAUCUAGAUGGUAUUGACAUUGAUUACGAGCACUUUCAAUCCGAUCCUGAUACCUUUUCUGAGUGCAUUGGUAGGCUUAUAAAAACUCUCAAGGACAAUGGUGUGAUCAAGUUUGCUUCCAUUGCUCCGUUUGAUGAUGACGACGUUCAGAGCCACUACUUGGCUUUGUGGAAGAACUAUGGCCAGUUGAUAGACUAUGUGAACUUCCAGUUCUAUGCUUAUGAUCAGAGCACCACAGUGUCUCAGUUUAUAGAUUAUUUCAAGACUCAAAGCUCAAACUACAAUGGUGGAAAGGUCUUAGCGAGCUUUAGUACCGAUGGGAGUGGUGGAUUGUCCCCUGAAAAUGGGUUUUUCACUGCCUGCAACAGGCUCAAGAGUGAACAAAACCUUAAUGGUAUUUUUGUUUGGUCUGCUGAUGAUUCCAAGAAAAAUGGUUUCCGCUAUGAAAAGCAAUCCCAAGCUCUUUUGGCCAUUCCACAUUAGUAUUGUACACAUGAAUCCCCUGCUUUCUUAUGUAUAUAUAAGUUCAGUCUGUUGUUUCAAUUCCAAGCUAGAGUAAUGUAUUUGUAAUUUCCUUUCAUCCUUCAAAAGCAAUGGGACUUCCAUUGCAGUAGAAGAGUAUACUGUAAAUAUGUGUGGAUAAACAUAGCAAGUAAUUAAUGUACUGGUGUUUUAUUUUUUGUGUUUGCAGAUGUUUGAGAUAAAUAUAAUACCUGAAUUCUACUUAAAUAUAAUACCUUCAGUUUUUCUGUCAUUUGUUUUCAGCUUCUGCAUCAAAGAGUAUGCUUCGAGUGUUAUGCAUCAUACCUGGGUUGAAGCUCAACUUCUCUUGUUCAUACCAGUUUGGCAUUUCAUCUUCUUGUGUGGAUACUAAUACUUGCACAAUACUUUUCUAUACUUGAUAUAUUAGGCUUUCAUGAUCGAUCACAACUUCGUAAGUGGUGUUGUUGCAUAUGGCUUAUGAUGUUCUCUUUCUUCUAGAUUAAAUUUUUGAAAUGAGGUCUACUGAAAUGAACACAUGCCAAAUGGUUUGGCCUUGUGUAGCUCAGUGUAGACACUCAUAACUUGAAUCAUUGGCCCUAAAUCUAUUAUUGGAAUCGGUGAUCCUUAUGUAUCAGUUAUCCUUUUCAUGUCUCACAUAAGCACUAACUAGGAGCCUUAAGAAAAGGGUAUGUUGGAGAAGAUACGGAGCGGUGUAGUUAGGAAGGUAACUACUUCAAAAUAUAAUUUAGAGGUCUAAAUAAUGCUUAUGAAUAGAAGCACUAUUUUUUUUAUUAUUAUGUUUCUGUUUUUUCUGUUCUGUUAGUUUUAGAAUUAGUAAAACUGACAUAGGUACUCUGAUAACUCGAUUGCAUGUUACCACAAGUGAUCUGCAAGGCAAGACUAUUAAAUAUAUCAGGUUUCUGGGAUGCUUCGUCGCUUCUGGCAACUUUCUGACUUCAUUUACAUGGAUGGUAUGCAGAUAAUGUAAGAUGGAUGUUCUGCAGAUAAUGCAAGUUGUUUGAUGUAGUUUCAUUAUAAAAGUCAGGUUCUUUGAUAUAUUGCAUAGAUUAGAACAGCAACAGUUUGAGUUGAUCUCUUACUAAUUUGUGGCUCUUUACCUGAUCAUCAUAUCAGUCAGAUUCUUGCCAGAUUGUUUAUCUCAUCAGUCAUGCAUAUUGCUCUUCUAUUGAAAUAAAGGCAUCGAGUUAUGUAAAUACAUUUAUUGCAUCUGUUAUGGAUAUGAAAAAGCUAGUCACUUCACUCACUUGGGUUAAGGAGAGAAGGAAGUGGAGCUCAAUAUUUGGGUGAGUGAGGAUAUUGGAAAACUUGACAUUGUUGAACUCUGCUCCUAUGUAUAUAUUCUCGGAAUAUAUCUUAGUCUGCUCCAACUUGGGGCUGCUUUGAUACGAUGUGUGGGGGUAUGAUGAGGCCUUGAAUAGUUCAGAACUUCAGAUGAUAAGCUUAAGCUUUGGAAUAGCCAUUGCUGCUGAGUUUACCGUAUUUGUGGGCCUGUGGCUUAGUAGAUACGAGUGAUGUGAACAUUGUAAGCUGCCCUACUUGUAUAGCGUGAAGAGUAGGCGAUUUGAAUGUGCAAAUCUGUAGAAUAAGCUGAUUGAUCUGGUUGUUCGCAAAGCAGUAGUUGUUUUUCUAUUUUUCUUUGGUCACACUUGUAUUAUGCAGAUCAUAAUUGAAACAGGGCCUAAAUCUAGAAGUUACAACUAAAAAGCAACAAUGCUGAAAGGAAAUUUGGGCCUUCAAUUCUCCAAUUCAACUCCAACUACAGAAAGGCUAUAAAUUACACUUGAUUUGCGGGAGGCAGUGAUUGAAAUAUAAUAUAACUGACAAUAAUAUCAACAAUCAGAGUGGCGCAGCGGAAGCGUGGUGGGCCCAUAACCCACAGGUCCCAGGAUCGAAACCUGGCUCUGAUAGAGAGUAGCUUCUCUUUCCACUCGUUAUUUUUUGAUCAAUUAAAGUUGAACACAUGCUCCUUCUGCAAAGUUUAUGGGAGAAGAGAAUAAAGUGGGAUGCAACACAGUGACCUUUUCUAAAUAAUAAUAAUAAUAAAAACUAUUUUGCAUGUUAUAAUGUAAUUUAUUGUCUUGAAAAUGAUUUGUGAUUUUGCUAAAACAUCAAAUUAUGAAGUUUCUGGGAUUAGUUGUAAUUUAGGCCUCAUAAUCAACACAACCAGAAAAGCUACUAGACUAUAUUGUAUACUCAAGUAUGUUUCUCUCUUAUUGAUGAAGUUGAACUCAGACUUUGUGUAAAUGUGACCACAUAAUUACUGGGUAACAUGGAUACAUACAAUGAUGGGAUUUUUUUGCCGUGAUGUACAAAAGCAUAGGCUAAGAUAAAAUCAUGGGACCUCAUCUCUUUUAUAUUACAAGCAAUAAUAUUAGAGCUGAUCCAUUAUCAGUAGUGUGUGGUAACAAACAUGUCCAUCCAUUUUGCCUCUAAGUUUCACUUGUACACUACAUAUUUUUUUUUUUUUUCUCUUCCUUAUUCGUCAUAUAGAUGUGUAAGAUCUGCGAUAUGGAUCCCUACUGAGGUAACCUUCAUCAUUCAUAUCACAACAACACCGCCCUAAACGAGUAAACAUCAAACAUGAACGUGGGUCGACUAGCUAUCAUUACUCAAGACUGGGAGUACCAUAACCUGCAAACCUUGCAAGUCAAUGCAACACUUUCCUCAACAUGCACCUUUACUCCUCCUCAUCGACUAGUUGUGGUUGGAGUAGGAGAAGCACCCAAUGGGACAUGGUUUUCCCUUUCCAUAGUGGAAAAGAAUCAAAAUCAAAGUCGUACUGAGUAGACAUGUCAGUACUCAGUAGAGAGUGAGAGUAGUAAAGCCCACGCAGCACAGAGAUGGAGAUGGAGUGCGUCCCAAGUAAAUUAACAGUAAUAGCUUCUUACUUUGUGAUGGUCUGAUGAUACCAAUAAGGCUGUGAAUAAGUAGAGCAAAGCAAAUCAGAAAAGAAUUAAGCAAGAAGAUCAGAGGAAUGAAGAAGAAGAUGGGGGCGAUCCAAUAGGGUUAAGCACACAUGGGAUAGCGUGCAGGUCCGAGACGAAUGACAUAUGGCAUGCUUUUUCCUUCGUUUUGGUUUUGGUUUUGGUUUUGGUUUAGGUCUAGUAGUGUGAGAUUUGUUGAGCAAUCUUAAUCAUUCGGUUUAGGUGAAGAAGGUAACACGUGGUUUGGAUAUAAAGCAUAGCUGGCUACAGGGAGAACGUGAAAGUACACCGGAUUUGGUUGACGAUCGAUUUCUCAGAUUACAGCCAAGUGUGUACAUAGAUCUCUAGUCCAUUGGUAAAUUACAUACAGAGAGGCCUGUGAUUUGUAAAGAAAGGGUUGCCAACUUUAAUUCCAAACUCUAAGUCAAUCUAUGAGUGGCCAAAAUUCAUUCUAACUACAUCUAGAAGUACACAAGUUUUCUUUGGAAUGUAUAGAGUUGUUUUGGUUUGGAGCUUCUUCUUACUUGUUUAGCGUUUUUAGUUUCAGAAUAUUAACGUGUUGCGUCUCUUUUACUUGUAUUAAAUAUUUUUAAAUAAAUAAAGUAAUAUCAACGUUGAAAAUACAACAAGAGAAUCUGCAUAGGCUUAGUAUGGGCAACUUGUACAUACAAUUAAAAGUAAACGAUAUUUCAUAUCUCUAAACUAGAAUUCUUGAUUUCUAGUACAAUGAGAGAAAUGAAUAAUCACUAUUGCACCAAACCAAUGUUCACCCUUUGGGUGACAUACAACUUAGUUAUCAUACUCUAAACAAUGAUACAAGACUUGGAAAAUCAAGCUUCAAACAUAUACAGGAAAUUAGGAGAAAUGAAAGCAAUCAAGUAGGGGAAUGGUUAAUCUUAGUUUUAACUUUGACAUAUCACAAAAAGGGAAUGUGUUUAGGCACCAACACCAUGUGCCUAUCUCAACAUCACUCUUUAUCACGUGGGACUCCUUUGCCACCACAUAUCAACCCACUUUUGUCUUCUCCUUUUUCCUCCAUCUUUUUUACUUUUCCCGUCCUGCCCUUCUGUUUUGACGUUUUAACCAACUCGGCCCGAUUCGCUAAUCACUGUUAGUGACUCGUGGAGCUGCUGCUGCUUCUUCUUCCCAUCCGGGAAUCCGGGAUAUCACAUUUGCUUAAACAAAUCCAUCGUAUCAAAAAAAAUAAAAAAAUUUGCUUAAACAAAUCCAUGAAUUGCUUGAUGAAUUAUUGAGUCGAUACAACUGACAAAAAGUUUAUAGCUUUUGGUGUAGAUUUUUGUCCACAUUUAUGUAGUCUAAAAGCAAAAUUUCAUUCAAGUUAUUUAUUAUUUUUAGGGUUGUGAAAUCCACAUAUCCUAAAUUAAAAUCCACACACAUUUUUUUUUUUUUUGGUAACUACAUUAACUAAAAAAACAAAGUUGAAGUUAGAGUAUACUUAAAAGAACAAAAUUUAAAGUUAAAAAUAAAAAAAAAAGUAGUGUGGAUUUCAAUUUGGGGUGUGUGAAUUUCACAUCCCUAUUUUUAUUUCAAAUACAUGCAUAUACAUAUUUUAUAUUUAAGGAGAGCGUAUUAUACUUUUAGAAAAGAAUGUAGUUUUUUUUUUAAGCUAGCUGACAAACUUUUUAUUAAAUAAAUGGGUGCUUCUAGAUGUAGCCAGCAAAUUGCUAAGUAGACCCAGCAGUGAAAAUUUUACCACCAAUCUUCUAAUAUUACCCUCUCAUUUAGAUAAUAAGAAAACUCUUUGUUAAACAAACAUAAAAACGAAAACCAAAUUUUCUACGUGUAGAGUUCUUCCACUUCCAUCUUCAAUCCCCACUAUUUAUUCUUCCAAUUCGAUCUAUUGAUUCUAUUCUCCUCCUUGUUCAAUCCCCAUUCUUUCAUCAUAUAUUGAGUGGUUAAUUAACACUAUAAUUUAUGAGGAGAAACCAUCUUGUUGCAGACGUUUAUGGGUUUUGGUCUCUUUGAAGAAGUGUGUGGUUACAAUCAUCUGAGAUCUUUAUGAUCUCAUGUCUCUUAUAAGAGGAUGAAUUAAAUAUAUACAUGAUUGAUGAGUCAUUUCUAAAUUUCAUAAUAACAACAUGGAGAUGGAGGUCCUACAUAUUCAAUAUCUGAUCUGGGUAAAACGAAAGAAGAGGACGAAGAAAGAGGAGAACUAGGCCACAUCGCCAUACUUUGUUUGUUUUUUUUACAAAGAGUCAGUUUCGUAUUUUAUUUUAAUAAAUUAAAAUGAGAGGGUAAUAUUGGAAGAUUAGUGGUAAAUUUUUCACUGCUGAGUCUACAUAGCAAUUUGCCAAGUACAUUUAGCAGCACCCAAAUAAAUUUGUCAAGGAUUUGAUUGUUGAUUCCCUUAAGAGAGCGGCUAGGGUUUCGUUCUCCUCCUAAAGUUUUCUUUCUCCUUGACAUUUAGCACCCCGAUCUCCACUCUCUCAUCCUUGAUGUCUGACGAGGUUUCCUCUCGGUUCGCUGCAACCCUUGUUAUCUAUGAGGGUGGCUCCUCUUCCGGUGUUGUAGCACGCCCUAGCGCCGCUUCUGUGCCUUGUUUCGCAGUCGGGCGUUUGCUGUCCUUGAAGAGAAGGCUGCCGAAACCUAAGGCGGUCAUCGGCACUCUAACCGCCAUAUGGGAUUACCAAAACCGCCUUCAGAUGAGAUUGUUGGGCGAUCAUUACCUUCUCAAGUUCUCCAGAGCCGAUGAAUGUCGUCAUGUACUGCAUAGUGGUCAGUGGUUCUUCGGUCGUUCUCCCUUCAUCACGUCAGACUAUGACGGAUUGUCAGAGAUUGAUGUUGUUCCGUUCUCUUCCUUCCUUGUUUAGAUUGAGAUCCUUAAUCUUCCUCCACGACUCUUCACUAAUGAGGCGACAGAGAAAGUUGGAGCCCUGUUAGGGCAUGUUGAUUGUUGAGCACACUGAUAAGAUCGUAAUCCGGCGAGGAGUGCGUGCCAAAGCCAAGCUGAUCCAUAACAUCUAGGAUCCGGUAAGGGAGGCUUUCCCUCCGAUGGUUUUUGAGUUCGAUCUAGGGGAUACCAUUGCCAAGGUGAAGCUCUCCUUCAAGUAUGAGCGUACUGUGAGUUUUUGUCGUGUGUGUGGUCUUCUGGAGCAUGGAUCUUAAGGCUGUGGCGGUCCACCGGAUCUCACGAAGGUAGAGAGGAUUAGCUUGGUCCCGGAUCGAAGUCACGAGGUUUCCGGUCGUAUUGCUACAGGUUUGGUGUCUGCCCUAAACCCUAACUCUAGGUUCGGUAAGGGUUUAGGGUUUGAUUUCUCAGUGAACAGAAUCAAUCAAUUCUCGUCUACUGCUCUGAUCAACCCUUUCCAAAGAAUAGGUAGCUUGUCCUCGGGCUCAUCUUCGAUGCAGACUGUUGGGCAGCCUGGUGUCACGUUCUCUUUGCCAGGUGUUUCGGUGACGGACUUGGUAGUGCAGCUUGCUAGGUUCAAGUCCAUCCCUUCUAUUGUUGAGGCGGUCAUUCCUCCAUUGGCAUUUCCCCCAGUGAUCCAGAUCCCAUCUUCGGUUUUGGAGCCGAUUCUGGGAGUCAAACGUGAUGCUGACUUGACUUUGGUUCCGCUUGGGAAGAAAGCUCGCAACACUUAUGAACCCAGGAAGGUAAUUCCCUAUGAACCUUCCUUUAUGCUUGAGAUGUUUUUGGCUUUUGAGGAUGGGAAGAUCAAAGUAUCUCCUGCUAAGAAGAAGAAGGUGGGCAAACUUCUUGGCUCCAAGAACAAGAAGAGGGUUGUGGAUGUUCGUCCUUGGAAAUUGGGUGUCAUUGCUGGUGGCCCUAAAAAAGCCAAGAAACGUAGGUUCGUUGCUCGCCGGAAUUUGCAGCUGGGUGAGUCUUCUAGGGGCUCUGGUAGCUCUAGUGGUGGUGUGGAAUUUGAGAUGACUUCAGAUGUGGUGUUGAGUGAGGCAUUAGAUGAUGCAUAUGACUCUGUUCUCCAAUCCGAGGAGGCCCCUUUUGCGUAAGGUGAUUCUGAUUGGUUUCUCUAGUAAGUUAGUUGUGCUAACAGGGCUUUGAUUACUUGGUUACUAGGUUACUUUCGGUCUUCAAGGUAAUGGUUUUAGACAUUGAGAUUGAUUAAUUAGCUCAGGUAGUUAGUUUUGCAUGGUUCACUUUUUACAUAGUCCGAGAGAACGGAUUGUGUUUAUGUUGUAUCGUAUUUCAGAAAUAUAUGGCAUGGAUUGGCGUCCCCUUUUCAAAAAAAAAAAAAAAAAAAAUUUAUUAAAUAGAAAGGAAAAUAGUUCUUUUGUCUUUCUUUGGAAUAAAAAUAGGAGAAAUUAAAUUUCUCAAGAAUUUUUCAUUCGGUAACAUUAGGAAAUAUUAGUUACAAACUAGUGCAAUAAAAUAAUGUAUUUAUGAGUAAUAAAUGCAAGGAAAUAAGAGAAAAAAUGCGUUUUAGAGUUUGGAAUAAAUCAUUUUCCUCCUAUUUUCUCUUCAAUCAGGAUUUUUUUUUUUAAAUAAAUAGUUUGUCAGUUUUCAGUAGAUGUUUCAAAAUUUGAACCCAUGAGUUUUUUUGUUUUUUUUGUUUUUGUUUUAAAAAUUAUUCAGUACCGUUAUCAUAUGAAAGACAAAAUAUAUAUACUAUAUAUACCAUAUAAAGUGUGGUAACCCCAUGCCAAUAGAUGUUUGAUAUACCAUCGAAGGCUUGUUAACCCCUAUACAGAUUUGGCAAAACAAUUAUGUUGCAAAAUAUAUAAACUUCCAUAGAGAAAAUCGUCUUUUUCAUUUGCUCUUUCCGUUGUUCAAGUUAUUAUUUUAUACGAUGUAUACAUAUUUUUUGAUCUAGAUAUUUAUUAGAUUAGUUAUCUACUAUUUCUAGUAUGUCGAAAUGAGUGGUAAUGUUGUACAUCAUAGUUAACUUCUAUAAGAUAUUUUUAUUUUGAUUAGAAACUUCUAUAAGAUUGCAGAUUACUGAUUAGGAACUUUUCUAAUUUUUUCAUUUUGUCUUUUCAAUGAGAGACUUUCUAAUUCAAGAUGCUUAAAGUUCAUCUUGAUCAUGAUUAAACUUUCGCAUUUUUACCAAAUUACUUGUUAUUCAAGUCACCACCAGCCUAUCUCUGUUGUCUCCAUCAAGUAGGGAUCAAAUAUCUUAUAAACCCAUAAUAUCUACACUUGUUCAAACUUUAAACAAUCAAAUCCAAACCUUUUGUUAUUUUCUCUUGUUUGCAAGCAAAACAACCCCAAAUUAUGCACAACUAGCAAACUCGUGACAAAAUAUAUGAAUAACCCGUUUUAUUAAAUUGAUUCACUGGGCCCCACCUCAGGUCAUUAACAAACAAAACCGACUUCCUUCCUUUCCUCAUUUAAAUCCGCACAUUAAUUGAAAAAUACACUUUAAACAGGUUUAAUAAUAGCAGGUGGGGGGCAGUAUCGUAAAAUCCGUUGGAGCCAGGGGCAUUAAUUCAAACGGCAGAUUUGGUUUAAAAAUAUUUGAAAACAAACUGAUCAAAGUCCGGCGAGGACCUGUCUAUAACGGUCGGAAAUUAACAGCAACGGAUCUUUCCGUCUGACGUCGUCAAAUAUUGCCGUCCCCUCUUACAUUUUUUAAACGCCACGUAACGUCUCUCAAGAAUUGUUCCAAUACAAAAACAUAUCAAACGUAAUUAAUUAAACUAAUUAAAUCAAUUAAUAUAAUCCCAUUUUUGCGCUCUUAAAUCCAAAUCCAAAACACACACCACCACCCUAGUAGACAGUCUUCCUUGUUUCUCACACCUCUCUUUCUCUCUCUAAAAGCUCUCUCACUGCAGCUCACAUUCUCUCUCUCUGAUUAUAAUAACACCGAUUUCAUUCACACUCAGACGCACAGUCUCUCACUCUCUCUCUCUAGAACUUUCUCUCUCUAGAAAUCGCCAUCGGCGGCAUUGCUUCGGGAAUCUCUCACACACAUCGCAAUCGUGCUCGCCGGCCGGCCGGCAUUCGGAUUUGAUCGCGGUAAGUUUCGUUUUUUUACCGCUUCUUCUUCGUUUUUGACUCUUCGGUUUUUCGAUUCUGUACAUUUCGGUUUCGAUCGGCGCUCUAUCUGUGUGUGAAUCGGUAGUUGCAUUGCUUUGAACUUGUGUGCAUGAUUCGUUGUAUUGAGAAUUUGCGUUGACUGUUUCGUAUUUUUUGUGGUGGUUCAGAUUGACUGAAGGUUAGGGAUUCCGGGAGGUAUGGAUUCGGUACAGGCGCAGCAGAGAAGAGUAGGAGGAGGAUUGGUGUCGCUAUCGCCGUCGCAGACGCCGCGGUCGAGCGAAAAGUCGGCGAGAGAUCUGCGAUCGGCGGAUUCGAAUUCGAUGAACAGGCAUGAGAAAGAGAAGGGCGUCAAUGUGCAGGUUCUUGUGCGUUGCAGGUGAGUUACGAGUUACGAGUCCCGAGUUUAUUGAUUGAGUUGUUUGUUUCGAGUUGAAAACUGAUGAGUUGAUUGAGUUAUGAGCUGAUGAGUUGAGUUUGCAUUUUGUGUGUAGGCCUUUGAGUGAAGAUGAAAUUAGAGUGCAUACGCCGGUUGUGAUUUCUUGCAAUGAGGGUAGGAGGGAGGUGGCUGCUAUUCAGAAUAUUGCUAACAAGCAGAUUGAUAGAACUUUCGCUUUCGACAAGGUUUGUGUGUUAGAGAUGUCGUAGCUUAUGAGAACAAUGGGUUUUCGUGCAGUUCCUAAAGAUACAAAAUUCAAACCCUUUAUAAAAAAGAUGCAAUUCUAAAUUCCCUGCAAACUUUAGCGGGAGAGAAAAUUGAAGUAUGUUGACUGGUAAUGCUACAUUUCGUGUUUAUUUUUACCAUGUGAAAUGACAAGAAAAUUGGAUAAUUUUGGUUAGGUCUUUGGUCCAGCAUCAGAACAGAAGGAAUUGUACGAUCAGGCUGUAUCUCCUAUUGUGAACGAAGUACUUGAGGGAUAUAACUGUACUAUCUUUGCCUAUGGUCAGACAGGGACGGGAAAGACUUACACAAUGGAAGGAGGAGCAAGAAAGAAGGUUCGUGUUUUUUGACUCUUCUAAGGCAAUUACACUAUAUGUCUACUCUGAAUUCUUCUAUGUCACCUGCUGAUCGAGUUUCGUGAAUUUGUAGAAUGGUGAGUUUCCAAGUGAUGCCGGUGUUAUCCCAAGAGCUGUAAAACAAAUUUUUGACAUAUUAGAAGCUCAGGCUGCUGAGUAUAGCAUGAAAGUCACUUUCUUAGAGCUGUAUAAUGAGGAAAUCACUGAUCUGUUGGCCCUAGAGGAGAGCACAAAAUUUACAGAUGACAAAACUAAGAAACCGAUAGCACUCAUGGAAGAUGGCAGAGGUGGUGUUUUUGUGAGAGGCUUGGAAGAAGAGAUAGUGUGCACAGCAAAUGAAAUCUAUAAAAUCUUGGAGAAAGGAUCUGCAAAAAGGCGUACAGCUGAGACUCUUCUGAACAAGCAAAGUAGUCGUUCACAUUCUAUAUUUUCAAUCACAAUCCACAUUAAGGAAUGCACACCAGAGGGUGAAGAAAUGAUAAAGUGUGGGAAGCUGAAUCUUGUUGACCUUGCUGGUUCAGAGAACAUUUCUCGCUCUGGUGCAAGAGAGGUAAGGCUUAGAAACAGUGUAUUAUAAGCAAAGCAAUGGCGUAGAGAAGUGCACAUAGUGAAUACAUAGUGGUGUCAUUCACUUAAAUUCCCAGGUUAUGUAAACCUUGUAACGCAUUGGAUAAAGCAAAGGAAAAAGAAUAUACAGCUUAUAUGCAUUGUCAGAUCAGGAAAGUAGUUUUAUCUAAUUGAAAAUAAAUUUCCACUUGCAGGGCAGAGCAAGGGAAGCUGGAGAGAUAAAUAAAAGCUUACUUACUCUCGGUCGUGUCAUUAAUGCUCUAGUUGAGCACUCUGGUCAUAUUCCGUAUAGGUACUAUUUAUAUGUUAUUUAACACCUGCUUCAGGUUUUGACUGUUUGCAAGCCCAGAAAGUAAAUUAAUUGUUAUGACAUUGUUGAAUAUCAGGGACAGUAAACUAACAAGACUACUAAGGGACUCCUUAGGAGGGAAAACAAAGACAUGCAUAAUUGCUACCAUAUCACCCUCCAUCCAUUGUUUGGAAGAAACACUCAGCACCUUGGACUACGCACACCGUGCCAAAAAUAUAAAGAAUAAACCAGAGGUCAGAGGCAACUUUCCUCUUCUCACAAAUUGUAGAGUUUGAUUGUCUAUUGCUGCUGUCUUUCUAAAUGCUUUGUUGUUGUUUAUGGGUCCAGGUUAAUCAAAAGAUGAUGAAAUCAGCUUUGAUCAAGGACUUAUAUACUGAAAUUGAUCGACUCAAGCAAGGUACUUGAUUCAUUACAGCAUUGACUGUUCUCUCUUUGUCUCUAAGAUUUUCUUCGUGGGUAUAACAUGUUUCUUAUGCUCAGAGGUAUAUGCUGCAAGAGAGAAGAACGGAAUAUAUAUACCACGGGAUCGUUAUCUUCAUGAAGAAGCUGAGAAGAAGGUCCAGUGCUUGCUAUUUAUAUAUUACUAAAUGGUGGAUACUUCUUCUCCCUGAACUUACUGUGUUCUUUUCCUUUUUAACCCUAGGCAAUGGCAGAAAAGAUAGAGCGCAUGGAACUUGAAUCUGAAUCCAAAGACAAGGUAAAUUUCCAUUUAGAGGUUGUAUUCCUUUGCUUAAACUAUUUUUCAGAUUAUGACUCGGGAAUUAAUACAAUAAAUAUGGUGUGACCUAAGAGCAGGUAUCAAUGGAGCUUCAGGAACUUUACAAUUCUCAGCAACUUUUGACAGCAGAAUUGACUGAUAAACUUGAGAAAACUGAGGUAAGAUAUCAACUUACAGAGUAUCUACUCAUUCUCUGUGUCACAUCCUUGGAAAAAUUCACAUAUAUAACCUUGUUUUGCAGAAAAAGCUUGAGGAAACUGAACAUUCAUUGGUUGAUCUGGAGGAAAAACAUCGGCAAGCAAAUGCGACCAUUAAAGAGAAGGAAUUCCUGAUAUCAAAUCUUCUCAAAUCUGGUAAGCAAAUUCCCUUGCCUUCUACAUUUUCUAGCUUCGAAUGUUGUGACAUACAUACUAUUCUGACUUGAGAAAAGCAAAGCAAGAGAAGUUGAAAGGGUAAGAAAAUGUGCAUUGGUAUGAUUAACUAAUAGCUUGCUUACUAAACAACCACUUGUUAACUUUCAGAGAAAUCACUUGUUGAGCAUGCAUUUGAGCUUCGAGCAGAGCUAGAGAAUGCUGCAUCAGAUGUUUCCAGUUUAUUUUCCAAAAUUGGUAUGCAGCAUUUUUUGGGAUAUAUCUCUUAGGCCUUUCUGGAAAUUCUGGUAUUUGUUGCUGAUCAGUGCUUGUUAUCUAGAGCGCAAGGAUAAAAUCGAAGAUGGGAAUCGGAUACUGGUCCAAAAAUUCCAGUCACAGCUAACUCAACAACUUGAAAUCUUGCAUAAGACAGUAGCAGUUGCAGUGACACAACAGGAGCAGCAGUUGAAGGAUAUGGAAGAAGAUAUGCAGUCAUUUGUAUCCACGAAGGCAGGGGUAAGAUCUACACUAGAACUUACUUGUCUUUGCAUGCAUUCCUAUUAUCUGAUGGUGUCAGGCUGCAACUUAAUAUUUUGGGAAUACUUUUUGAAGGCUACUGAAGAACUUCGAGAAAGACUAGGAAAGCUGAAACAAUUGUAUGGUUCUGGUAUCAAGACACUGGAUGGUAUAGCGGUGGACCUUGAAGGAAAUUCUCAGUCAACUUUUUGUCAUCUAAACUCUGAGGUGUCUAACCACUCUUCUGCAGUGGAGGAUGUAAGUAUUCAGUUACUAUGUAUUGGCUUCUUCAGUGUUCUUAUUUUAAUCUCUGUAUUUGACUUUGUUAAUAACUUAAUAUGAUCAGCUCUUCAAAGGAAUUGCUUCUGAAGCUGAUGAACUACUUAAUGAUCUUCAAAGUAAUCUUCACAAGCAAGAGGAGAAGCUAAGCGCACAUGCACAACAACAGCGUGAGGUUUGUAGCGCAUUGUUCCUUCCGGGGUUCAAUUACUAUGUUUUUUGAAAAUUUAACUUACUUUUUUUGGAGUAAAAAUUGGUUCUCUGAUUGAUAACAGGCUCAUGCCAGAGCAGUGGAAAUGGCACGGUCAGUUUCUAAAGUUACCGUGGAUUUCUUCAAGACUCUGGACAUGCAUGCAUCCAGUUUAUCUCAAAUUGUGGAAGAAGCACAGACUGUCAAUGAUAAGAAACUGUCUGAGCUUGAAGAAAAGUUUGAGGUGAUUAGCUCUUGAUAGCAACUUAUCUAACUCAUGUUCUCAUUGAUAGUAACCUUCUUAGUAUUGUUUUUAUUUUUUUCUUUAUUGCCUUAUAAAUUUGUCCUUAUUUAUGUAGGAGUGUGCUGCUAAUGAAGAAAGGCAGUUGCUAGAAAAAGUGGCAGAGCUGCUGGCAAGUUCAAAUGCUAGGAAGAAAAGACUGGUAUGUCUUGUUCUCAAAUUUGCAGUGAAGCCUUGGUUCCUGGGGUUUACUCCAGCAACAACAUUUUAUAUAGCUUCGCAUCAGUAACAUUCUGCAUCUAUAUUUAGGUUCAAACAGCAGUUAAUGACCUUCGGGAGAGUGCAACUAGCAGAACUAACAAGCUACAGCAAGAAAUGUCAACAAUGCAAGAAUCCACUUCUUCUAUCAAAGCAAAAUGGACAAUUCACAUGGAAAAGACAGAAUCUCAUUACCUUGAAGAUACAUGUGCUGUUGAAUGUGGAAAGAAAGACAUGGAGGAGGUUCUUCAGAAUUGGUACGUAUAGGGUAUUGGCAUGGUGCUGCCAGUUGAUUUUUUCUAGUAUAAACUGUAGAAUGACUUGUACCAAAACCAAAUUGUGCAGUCUAAAGAAGGCAAAAAUGGGUGUACAACAAUGGAAGAAUGCUCAAGAGUCCUUGCUAAGUCUUGAAAAGAAAAACGUUGCUUCUGUGGACUCCAUUGUUAGGUAUGCUAUGCUGAUCCCUUAUAAUGCUGCAGGUUCUGUAAGUUAUUCAUUUUUCUACUAAUGUUAAUUAUUUUUUAUCUAUAUAACUAGGAGGGGAACGGAAGCCAAUCAAGUUCUACGGGAAAGGUUUUCCUCUGCUGUUUCAGCCUCGCUUGAAGAUGUAGAUGUUGCAGACAAAGAUCUGCUCUCUUCUAUUGAUCGUCAGUACCAGUUUCACAUAUCAAUUUGACUUUUGUCCUAAUAGUUAUAUGAUGGGGUUUCCAUGUCAACUCAUUAAACUAAUUCCUGCAUGCAGAUUCAUUACAACUUGACCAUGAUGCUUGUGAAAACCUAAACUCAACUAUUGUUCCCUGUUGUGGGGAUAUGAGGGAACUUAAGGGAGGCCACUACCACAAUAUCGUCGAAAUCACCGAGAAUGCAGGAAAAUUUCUUCUGGAGGAAUAUGUGGUAAGACUUUUUACAAUGAUUGUUUUUGGGGUCCUAUCAACAAUGUGGCCUGUAUAUAAACUUUCCUUGAAAUGUGCAUAUAAACAGGUGGAUGAACCAUCAUGUUCCACGCCACGAAAGAGGUCAUUUAAUCUUCCAAGCAUUGCAUCCAUCGAAGAACUUCGGACUCCUGCUUUUGAGGACUUGUUGAGAUCAUUCUGGGAUGGAAGAUCGGCGAAGCAGGCAAAUGGAGACGCGAAGCACCUUGCAGCGGCUUAUGAGGGUGCACAAUCCUUAAAAGAUUCCAGACUUCCUCUCACUGCUAUUAACUGAAGAGUGGAACACGAAGAUUAGUAGUCAGAAAACAGUGUACAUAAUUUAUCAAUAUUUGGCGUAUAUAAGUGUACUAGUCGCUCGACUAUGCUACGUUAUUCAUUGAUUGUUUCUUGAAAGAAAAGAAGAAUGAAACACUAUGUGGAUGGAGAAUUCUAUAGUAGGCGUCUUGGGGAAACUUCAAAACAUCAGUUCAUUGAAUUUUCCCGCUUUGUAACACACUGAGCAAUUGGGUUUUAUUGAUGAGGAGUUUUUUUUUGAGUGUUUUUGAUGCUUCUUUACCACCACCAUAUAUCUUGUGUUACAUUGUUUGAUAUUUUGUCACCAAAAAGCCACUCAUAUGGAAACAAUGAAUAUUUCGUGGCAAAAGAGAAGCAAUUAGUGAACUGAGCUCCUUGGCACCAGGGCUUCCACCAAGUUUGCUCGAUGCUGUUUCGUCGGAAUCAUGCACAUCGCUCUACUCCUCAGCUGAGGCCAUGGAAUCCCUGCAUGGGGGAACUUGCCGAUAGAAGUACAGUCGUAUAUAGAUUUGUAAAGAGCUUUUUCAUGGGGAGAAAACUUCUGUUUUGUGUAAAAAUUUGAGAUAUUGCAUGUCACAGGCUCACAGCUUAAGGUUGGGGCAUUUCUCUCAACUCCUAAUCUCAUUCUCAUUACAGUUUUCGUUGAGAUGUACUGAGAUGAUCAAAAGUUGCACGACUGAUUUUGGUGAAGAAAACAUAAAAGAAAAAUAUAUUGAUAUUAAUUUGAUCACGUCCAGAGGUGAACUUAUUUGUCAAUCUGUGUCAAGAAAUAGAUCAAUUCAUUUGGAUUUCACACAUAAGAUUGUUGCAGUAGUUCAUUCUCUUCACUUCUAAUGCUGCUCUGGGUGUUAUGGAAGAAUAGGAAUAUUACAGAAAUUGCAGUACCCCAAUGCAAAUAGUUACUCUAACUAUGUGUUGGUGGGAGGCGUUCAAAGAGACCCAUACUAGUAACCGGGAGGUGAAAGACUAAGUGCGUUAAGGUUGCGCAACCCGGAGAUGGGGAGAAACUGAACGCAGAUGGAGCCUUUGAUUCACAAACUGGCAGAACGGGAUUAGGUGGUGUUUGGUGUUUUUCCUGAUCACGAAGGUAACUUUGUAGCUGCUUUCUCUUAUUCUCUAUUCAAAGGAACAAUGUCAUUUCGGCAAAACAUGCAGAACUUCUUGCUUGUCUCCAAGGUGUUCAACUAGCUAGAUCUAAGCAAUUUCACCAUCUCCAAAUUGAGACGGAUUGUUUACAGUAAGCUGGCUAGCUUCAGUUAUACCUUUUAGCCAUGUUCGACGAUCAGCAAACCGGGUUGCUCAUCCUUACUCCCAGCUAGCUUGCCACAAAUUUGGUCUAUCUUUGAACUAUAUCCAAUUGAUUGUACUUUUGCCUAAAGCAUCAAUGGUUGCAUUCUUCAUUUCUUCAUUUCUUUUCCAAAAAAAAAUAAUAAUAAAUAAAGAUUUGUCGCAGCAGAACUGAAAUAUUCCGAGCAUAUGUUCUAUCUCGUUGCUUCUUGAUGUACAAAGAGAGAUCACAAGAAUUUUUCUUUUGGCAGAAACCAAAAUUACAAAAAAGAAACCAUCCACUACAUUCCCACUCUAGCUAAGAGGGAUUGAAAUAUAAAUAAAUCAGGUAUGCCAUAUCUGCGGCUUUUCUACCAGUUUGAUCUUGUUGCCUCAACCAAUCCAGAGACUACAAGCAAACUAUGCAGUAGAAUUACUGAAUUACCCCAACAAACAUAUCAUUCUUGUUUCCUAGGUGAUUUAAUAAAUUAUGUCAUUAUGAUUUUCAUUAUACCCCUAGAUCAUUCAUUAUACACCUUUUAAGUAAAUGCCAAAUUAUUCCUAUAAUCAAAAUUCAAAAGUAAAAUGAAAGUCUUUUCUAAUCCAUCAUCACCGUUUGUUUGUUGGCUAUCUGCCAGAAUCCAAUACCUUUUCGGAUGAAAGGUUUAAACUCUAUUGGACAAUAAUGAAGGAACUGAUGAAAAAUCUAAUUAAACAAGAAAAAGAAAAGUGGAUUCCAGUGAGGUAACGUAUGAGCAAAAUCAGCAAAUUAGGGUCUAAACACAACUCAUCAGCUAGCGUCGAGACCUGUGGAGGGACUCACGACUAAUCAAAUUCAAUUACAGCCCUGCAAUCUUUUCCUCAUUCUGUCUAAAUAAACUUCGUUUGACAAAACAACUGAUUUGAAUGACUGAACACUAAAAAUGUAUAGACGGCACAGAUACUAAAUAAAUCACUUUGCUCAACUUAAUGUACACGAUGGUUUAUGAUCUAAAAUAGAGACAAAAUUUUAUUUAUGGAAUGCCAAACUAUAUAGAUAUCCACCUGUACCAACCCCAUGGUUCAAAGAAGAUCAAAUUUCUACUCUACAUUUCCUGACAGAAUCAAUAUAUAUGCAAAAAUACUGCACCUUCAAUGUGACAACAUUUCCUAGACUCCUUGAUCUGGAACAAAUAGUGCAAUCAGAUGGACGUGGAGGAUCAUUAUGCCUGCAAAAAUAUGAAUGUUCUCAUCCAUCAGAAACUCAUAAAAUGGGUGGCUUAGUACAUUAAAGUAUACACAGAUUAAUAUAAUUAUCACCACACCCAUUAAAUAAUUAAUAAUCACUGUAACACACCAACACCAAUAAAAUGUGCCGCAAGAGAAAAAGAAUGGCAAGACAGUUUCUCAUAAACAACUUUUGCUUUUAGCAAUCGCUCAGUACAAAGAAACCUUACAACAUACAAUUUUGACAGAUUCCCACCAAGUAUCUAUCUAGGUUAUUAAACCCCCACUGCAGCAACUAUUUCUGAUACUAAUUGUACUUCAGCAUAACUAAACUCAAAAUCGAAUACUCAGUAUUGUAUUUGCUAUCAAUGUAAUAGUCAGACACCACAAAGAGAAAUCUAAAUGCAAAUAAAAAUGGCGAACUUUCCAACAUCCGCUCAAUAAGAAACUUUCCAACACCAAAACACAAAGGAGUCAUGGAACUUAAUAAAAUGAACAAUGCUGUUGUCAACUACCUGAAAAAGACCUCAUAGUAAGCUUGCACUCAAGAGCCCAACGGUCCUUUCUCUGCCAAACGCUUCAUCAUCAAAAUCUUCAUUUGUGGAGUUUUCCUGACAAAGCAAUUUUCUUUCGCGCAUAGGAUUUAAAUCAAGACCCUCCCAAAUUGGAUUGUCUUGAUGCAUUUCGUCUAGUUCAGACCCCUGAUUGGGAUCAGCAUCGACAUCUGCAUCCUGUCUCACAUCAUCGUAUUCAAGUUCCAUUCCCUUGUCAUCAUCCAAAAAUGAUGGGUCUGCAUUAAGAUCGGAACACAAAUCAUAUCCAGAUUGUUCCUCAGAUCCAGGAUAAGCCACUGUCACUCCUCCUAGGUCAGCUUGAUCAGCAGCAUCCUUUUUCUGCCUCUUCCAUUUCUUUGUAGAUGAAGUACCAUCAUCCUCAAAAUCCUCUUCUUCUCUUUCUCUAUGUAAAUAGACCCAUAAUUUUCUUUCUCCAUCAAAUUGUACACAAGGAUCACGCUCAUAAUGCAAGCGGUCCAGAGCUCCACUAACAACUUGAUUUACUUGUGUAUCAGACACUUCUUCAACAAUAUACUGAGAAUCUCUUAUCAAAGUACAGACAUCUGCUCUGGUGCCAAUACUUCCAGGCAAUCUAGCAGCUGCGUCUCUCACAAGACAAAGGAUUGUAACAUGUGGUGGUCUGUCACGUUUCAGCAUAAAAUGAUCUCGGGCUUUUGAUGUUGGCUUACCACCGCACCUUCUCAAUGGGGCAACGAUAGAUUUUUUACCAUCAGCUGCGGUGUAAGAGAAGGCCCUGUCAGGUACUGAAUACCUAAGAAGUUCCUCCUUACGGAAAUAAGCUUUCACUUCUUCAGAACUUGGAGUGAUGGUACUAAGACUCUUUUGAGCUCUUAGGUCCCUAAACCUGUCCUUCUCAUCUAUGUUGGGCUGCAUCAGCUCCAAAGGCGGUGCAGGAAGACUUCCUAUUUGUUGGAGGGUCUCUUGCCCACAUUUCAGCCAAUUAGCAAAUGAAUCAACCAACUUGACAAGCAUCUUGUGAGGAAGACCCCAUGCUUCAGGAGAUGUUACCUCCUCAAUGGUCUCAUUAUCUGAUGAACUAUGAGAAACUGGGCCAGUCCAUGACCAACUUUUUGUAGCUUUUUCAUAGGCAGCUAAUGGCUUCCAACCCUUCGCCCCCAAAGGAGCUGUUUUUGAUGAAAAUAUCUUCAGAACUCCUCUCACCAGAUCCUGAAGUGGCUCUUGUGUCUCAAGAAUACAAGGAUCUCCUGGAUUUGAUCUAACACGAUUCACAAUCUCCUGAACUGUUACAAAAGGCGUGCUCCCUUCUCCAUCAUGCUCAGAGUUAUUUGCAUCCACAUUCUUAUCAGUAAUAACGCCAUUGGCACCAUCUUCCUGACUUUUAUUCUUCUCAUCUAUAGGUUCCCCAACAUCUAAAGUAUCUUCCGAACGUGGAGUAAUCAUUGCCAAGCGAACUGCUGAAAGAAGAUGCAUAAUCGAGAAUGAGAAACCAGUAUGAACAGUGGGUGUAAUUAAAAUAAAUGGCUUUUUCUGGGGCUUGGUUUCCAGCUCCAUAUCUGUUGCUCCCAUUUCUGUAACUGGUGGCUCAGAAAUUUCCAUAUCUGAACUACCAGUUUCCGUUUCCAUCUUCCUCUUUACCUUUUUUUUCAAGGAAUUGGACUCGGCACUACGUUGCAAAUGAUUCGACAGAAGAUCUUCAUCUCCUCUACUUGUAUCCAUUGCAUCCUCUUUCCCUUUCCGCUUCUUUGUCACCAAACUGCAACCCAGUAAUGGGACCUCAAUGUUUUCACGGUGAUCCCUCAUGUAUGCUUCGACGUUCUGGCCUUUGUUUCUCAAUCUACCCUGCGCACUACCAUCUCCCAGUAAACGCAUUUGAAGUGAAUCAUCUUCCUCAUCAACAAAGUAGUGAGACUGUGAAACAGAAUGGUCAUGAACAACUUCAGGUUUCUGCUUUCCACUAGCAGUAUAGGUCUUGAGUGAGGGUACAUGCAACCUUUCACCAGCUCCACCUUGAAAUUUUGCAUUCUUGCCCAAUUUGUAGAUCGGUUUCAGUUCAUCGUCAUCAUUGUCGUCAAGGUUAUCGAAGCCGGGGACAUAACGCCCUUCCAAAUGCAAGGGACUACCGUCUCCCAUCUUACCCUUCUGUUUUGUUUUGGAAGAAUAGUUAUCUAAACUACGCAUAUUUCCUUGAUCAACAAAACCACCCAUCUUUUUGGAGGAGUAAUUGAUCCCCUCAAGGGCCUGCAUAUUCUUCACCUCUUUCUGUGCAUAUUUGGCUCUUUUUCCGUCUAGAUUGGGCAUCAACAACGAAGAUGGAGAACCUUCCAUAGAGCCACUGGGAUAAGCCAACUUGCUUCUCAAUAGAGGGUUGUUAUCCUCAUCAUCUUCAAAUUGAUCUGAUGAGUCUGAUUCUGUUUCUUCAUUUUUAACAAACAUUCUAUUACCUUUCAAUGCCACCAUGUCUGAUCCUCCAUUAUGUAGUGUAUUCCCUCUUAACUUCCUUUGCAAUGGUUUUGCUCUAAAUUCGGAAAGUCUAUCAUUCAUCUGUGGAGGGGAAGCUCUAUAGGACUUGUAAUUUAAAUCAGGAGACUCACCCCCAAUCUUCCAUUUCUUGCUCCUCAGACUCCAAUCAUCUGCUCGAAAGGGGGAUUCUGUAGCAAAAGCCUCCCCUUCACUCCUGUUAUUCCAGAAUAGAUCAGCUUGAUCGGAUGAAUCAUAUCGAUCACCUCUGAAAGGUGCCUGUGGAAGUCUGCCUUUCAAGAAUUUCAUCUGAUCACCUACUGCGUACUGCUGAAUAUUUCCUGGAUAUUUGGCCUUCAUACCAAAAUCAUAUGGAGCCCUCAUGUUAGGAGGCUUGGCUGUCAAUACCUUUGCCUCCGACAGAAGGUUUGCAUCCCGGUUCCUACCAUAGGCAUUCCCCUCAUUCUUUGAAGAGAGAGGCAGACCCAUCAAACUGUCAGUUAUUACAUCAUUACCUCUUACAAGGUUCUUUCCCGCUUUCAGAAGACCAGCCUUGUCAAGCAUGCUACCACGAGACGCAAAUCGAUCUUGCUGAACUUUAAUUCCAUAUGUUGCUUCUUCAGCAUCAUCACUACUUAUCAUCUGAUCCCUCAUUCUGAGAGCUGCCCCAGAAUCAUACGCCCCGGGCUUAUUCGACCGAGGAAGAACAACUGCUGAACUGUAUGGUCCAGGAUAACUUGCUAGCUCUUUUUCUGAAGGAGUCUUUGAACCACCCAACUUCAGUAUACCUUUGGAGUUCUGCUUCCCAUAUUUUGCCACUUCCAAAGACGACGACCGCCCUUUUGAUGCAAAAUCCAUGUUCGAGCCCACCCCAUACGGAGAAUGACGACUCAUUUGCUGUGCUACUUUCCUGUCCUUGAUCUUGUUACUGUGCAGACCUUCACCAGAAUCUCUUUCAGAUGAGUCACAGGGCAUAUCUUCCAUCUUCUCAGACAUCAAACUCUUCUGGAUUCUCAUAAUAUUCAACACCCUUAGCCUCUCCUCAAUACUGUAUCCCCUGCAAUUAAGCCAAGCAUCCCUUAUCUGACAGAGAUUACGAACCAUAGUGUCCUGAUGCUUCCUCAGAAGAUUGUAGUGCCGUCGGUGCUGAAAGAAAUUCAAACCCUCGCGGUAAAGUGCAACUCUCGGCUCGCACAAACCUCCCUUCAACAUAUCGAACAGCUUUGUCACGGGGCUCCCGAAAUGGAAGUUACUCCCCUCGAAAAGCUCCUUCAUGGUAAUCAUAAACGUCUCCUGGUCCAUGUCAGGCAGAUACUUGGUAAGCCCAAACUGCUCCUCCUCACUCAAGCACUCAUUCCACACAUCCACAGACAAAAUAUCCUCCAGACUCGGAAGAUCAUACAGCUCGAAAGGAAUGCCGCAAGUCUGAUUCCCAACCUGGCAAUACUCCACACCAGUCUCCCCUAACUCCAACAAAUCAAAGUCAUCCGACCCCGCCCCGGAGUCAGCAUCAUCAAACUCAUCAUCAUCAUCAGACUCGGCAGCUGAGCUCCGCUGCUGAAGCUCAUCGUCGUCACUGGAAACACUCUUCCUACUACCAGGAGACACCUCCGAAUCCAGCCUCGAAACCUUGAAGUUGUUCUUCUCAAUCGCCAUGGCUCCCUCCCUCAAAUCUCAAAUCCCGCCAAAACCAACACAAUUUCAAACCCCCAAUUUCUCACACCAUCACAGAAUCAAUCAAACCCUAAUUCAACACCAAAAAAUCAAAAACCUCAAAAUCAGAGACUACAAAAACUUAAAGAAACACACAAAUCGAAGCAAGAACACCGAAAUUGAACAAACUCCCAAAAAAAAAACGACAUUACAAAUUUCCAUAGAUUGAGAUUGGAACGAAUAAUUACCUGAAACGAGCUUCAAUGGCGAAACUGAAGAAGACCCAGGCAUGGAAAUCGAAGGCUGCGAAAAGAGUGGCGGUUGUGGUGAAACCCUAGAAGACGAAGAAGAAGGCGGUGUUUUUUUUGGGGUUAUAGAGAUAUGUGCGAGAAAGAGAGAGAGAUAUUAUUAUUGUUAUUGUGGUUGUGUGUGUGAGAUAGAGAGGAGGUCGCAGGGGGGGUGAAGAAGACGAUGGUGACGUGGAGGGAGGUGGCCCGUCUGAUCUGGCGAGGAGGGGAGGAGGGUGAGGGCGAAAUGACGAAAAAGGGCAAGAGCGGGAAAGCGGAAAAAAGGUAAAGCGUGUAGAGCAGAGAGGAGGAACUGGGGAAAGCAACAGGGUAGGGGAGGAGGAAAGCCCUUCGGACCGAGUCGACUCACCGUUUGCCGCUGCCCCAUAUUACCCGGCACGGGACCCGUUUCGUUUCUUUUUUGACCCGUUUGGAUAUCAAACGGCGUCGUUUGAAUUAAAUUUUAGACUUUUCCGCUGUUACAUAGGUGGGCCCUAGUUUUUUUUUUAAGAAAUUUUAUUAACACAUUGUUAAUUAUUAGAUACACAUUUUAUACUUUAUACAUCAUCUAUUAACUUUUUUAUUUUAAUAUUUUACUAUAUACACAUACUCAAACUUCCUACAAUACCCUCGUUUAACAUACACAACUUAUUCACUAAAUACACAACUCAUUCACUACACAUGUUUUUCUACAUCUUCUCCCAUCAGUUUUCCUCGAUAAAUUUUCUUCUCAAGGAGCCUCUUACUCAAAUUGAUUUCAAGAUUUCUAUUUAUUGAGCAUACCGAAUCAAAACAAACAAGACAAUACAUCACCAAAGUCUUUAACAGAACUUUCAACAUUAGAAUAUUCAAUCAUGUGUAAAACUAAAUUAAUCAAUUCUUAGGAACUAUUGCAUAAUAUUCAUAUGCAGUGUCAAAAUAUUGGUACUCGAUUCAAACUAAAAAUUAAAAAAUGUUUGAAGUACAAUAGUUAAUAUGAAUGUUUUAAACGAGAUAUUUUAUUUCAAUUGAGUUUCUUUAUUUUGAUAUGAAUAUAUUUUUUUGGUAAUUUUACGUACUCACAAAGUCUUAUAUAAUUUGUAUAUAUAAAAAAAAAAUGUAUCUAACAUUUAAGGAUGUGUUAAUAAAAGGGCAUAUAACACUAAACUACCAUUUGAAGGUACAAAUGAUAAAAUAGUCUUCAAAUGUUCCACUUGAUAAAAAGGUCACCAUUAAAACAUGUACAUGAUAAAAUGGUCACCUCAUAACAUCUUAAAUGAUAAAAAAAUCUAUUUUCACACUUUAUACAUGACCAUUAUACCCUUCUCUCUAAUAUCACAUUUUUUUUAUCAUUCUCUCUCUCCUGCAUCCAGACCAGACGUGAGGAUGUGAGGACCAUAGUCUUCAUCCUACGUGAGGUUGACGAUAGAUCUAGUGAAGGCACGCUCUAGUCUAGUCUUGAAUCCACAAGGAGUUUAAGAACAUGGACCCGACUCGGAGAUCUGAAGAAGGUGAGUCCCACCAUUUUUCUCUGGAUUUAGGGGUUUUUUUUAGAUUUUCCCCAAAUUUUUUGACCCUAGAAUCCCCAAAUUUUCAAAGAGUAAACAACGGAGCGUGCAGAUCGACGUGGGAUCGCCGCCGUCUUCUUCUCCGAGUUUCGGAGAGGUCUGCGUCUCCAACACGGUUUCGGCCGAGGUGAAGCGCUUCGAAUCGGUAUGUGACUGUGUUGCUUUAGCUUGAAUUUUUGAGUUUUGUGUUGAGAAUUAGUGGAUUUGCUUAUUUCUGUUAUUUGGGUUUUGUGGGAAUUAGUCUUUGAUUUUGGUUUUGCUUGGAUGUUAUUUGUGCUUAGGGUCGGCUUGGUUUUGUGAAAUUGAGUGAUAAAAAUUCGAAUUUGGUUUGUGAAUCUGAUGGGGUUGGAUUAGAGUCAACUGAAUUGCUUCUAGUAUUGAGAUUUUUUUUGUACCCUGUUUGUUUUGGAUUUCAUGGUUGUUCUUCCUGGUGAUUUCGAAGUGUAAAGUUUUAAUCUAGUCUUUAAGCUCUUGAGUUUUGAGGGAGCUUUGAUGAUAAAUGGGCUGAUUGAAUCUCUGGUCCGUCAACCUGAAUUGAGAGAGAGUUGUAAGCUGAAAACUUCUGCUGGAAAUCAUUCCCGUCAGUCAACUUAACAGCUCAAAAGUUCCACUUCUAUGAUUUAUUCCAGAACAGUUUCUUCACAAAAGUUGUUCAAAAUCAUGUCUUAUAUUUUGUGAUCGAAAAUCGUAGCGAUCCAAGAGUUGUAUUGUUCUCAAUCAAGGCAAAUCUGCAUACUGCUCAAGAACACAAUUCUGUUUUGAUAGUCUGCAAGACCACCUACAUUGCCUAGACCACCUACCCUAGAUUUUAUGAUACCCAGAAAGACCUGACAAGUUCUAAUUAUGUGCUGGUGAUUUUAAAGUGUGAAAUUUAAAAUCCCAUCUUUCAAUUUACUAGUUUGGUUUAUAAUCCUAGGUUGCACUAUUGUCUUUUAAUGAUGUUUUGAGAACUUCACAAUUUGCAGGAACAUAGGGAAAAAAGAAAGAGAGAGAGACUGCUAUGACAAAGUUUACAAUUAGUUUUUGUACAAGACUACAAGGUAUGCAAUUUUCUGAUUACUUAUGGACAAUAUAUGCACUUUGUACAUGGGUUUCCAUAGUCUUAAAUGGGGAUUACAAUAAAGAUUAAGUGAACCUUGUAAUUGAACUAUCAUUUGGCUGUAAGAAUUUAGUACGACAUGAUUCAAGGUUUCUUAGGAUUUUUAUUACUUUCAUUUCUCUGUUACCUUCUCUUUUGCUCAAAUUGUCUCUGUAUUUUUAGAUGAGAAUCAUGGUUAACAGAAGUGUACAUAACCCUUUAGUGCUUUCCUCUGCCUUUUUAGUAAUUGUAACAUGGUAUAUCAUCCAAAUAAAAUUAGCCAAUUGUUGUCAUUCAAUACCAGAAACACAAACUAGUUUUAUUAGUAUGUGUCUAAUAUACAAGUUCAUCUGUCCAAACUAAUGUUCUCUCUUUCGCAUGUAUUUACAUAGGCACUGUUUCUCCAGCAAAUUAAUGUUUAAUGCUCUCUUUCUUUGAUGUUUUGGGGGGUUCUCCUUUUGGUUUUGAAGCCAAAUUCCUCGGCACCCUUCUCCAGCAAGCCAACGAAGACCAGGAGGUUAACGAACCAGGCGGGAAUGACAAAGAGCCUGUGGAGGAGUCAGAGGGAUUGAUGAGUCAAGGCGAGGGAGAAUCGUUUGGAUUUGAACAGUUACAUGAUUAGUUACAUGAACAGUUACAUAGUUACGUUGCUUUCAACAGUUACAUAGUUACGUUGCUUUCAACAGUUACAUAGUUACGUUGCUUUCAACAGUUAUAUAGUUACGUUGUUUUCAACAGUUACUUGACUAGUUACAUAUUAUCAUUUGGAUUGUGUAAUUAUUAUGUGUACCUGACUUGUGUAACUACAUUAAACUACAUAUGUAACUAUCCAUGUAACUAUAGAUGGUCAGCUACAUUUGCAUUUAGUAGUUACAUGUCUAGUUACUUUUGCAUUUGUGUAUGUUGUUAUGGCCAAGAAAUAUAAAGUGUUCGUCGCGGUUCAACAACAUGCUAAAAGCAACAGAACGUUGUCGUCGCGGUGCAGCGGUACGCUACAAUUAUUAUUUACUUGACUUAUGUAACUACAUUAAGCUACCUAUGUAACUAUCCAUGUAGCUAUAGAUGGAUAGUUACCUGGGUAGUUACUUAGAUGCUACACUUGUGUAACUACAUUAUCUUGCCUAUGUAACUAUCUAUCCAUGUAACUACAGAUUGAUAGUUACCUGGGUAGUUACAUACAUGCUACACUUGUGUAACGACAUUUACCUGCUUAUGUAACUAUCCAUGUAACUAUCUAUCUAUGAUCUAUGUAACUAUGCAUGUAAUUAUCCAUGUAACUAUCUAUCUAUGUAACUAUGCAUGUAACUAUCCAUCUAUGUAACUAUGCAUGUAACUAUUCAUGUAACUAUGCAUGUAACUAUACAUGUAAUUAUCCAUCUAUGUAACUAUGCAUGUAACUAUGUAACUAUCUAUGUAACUAUGCAUCUAUGUAACUAUCCAUGUAACUAUGCGUCUAUGUAACUACCCAUGUAACUACCAUUUAUAUUCCAUAACUAUUUUGUUGAUAUUUGCAACGUGUCGCUGCACCAUGGCGCAACAUUUCGAUGUAACUAUUAAAAUGGAUAUGUAACUAUCCAUGUAACAUUAGCGCAACAUAUAUAAAAGAUUUAUCACUGGACAUCAAUCUUAUUUAUCUUAUAGAAAAGUAUGUAAAGAGAGAAUCUUGAUCUCUUACAUGUAGACCAAAUUAUCUAUACAAGAACAACAAUUGCACCAUAUUCUAUCUUUGUAGAAGCUAAGGACAAACUUUUGGUGAGUUUCUGAACAACAGAAAUCAGGGCUUGUUUUGAACAACCCAACAAACUUGUUCCGAGCUAACUGAUUAUAUCCCAUCGUAGCAACUUGAGUCAAAUAUGCGUAGAGGGUGUAAUAGGAAUGAGCCUCACCAACUUAACAUAGAACAACAUACAUUAAAAUGUGAGCUUCUAGUUGAUGGACGGCAGUACUUCUUGGCCACUUCUCUCAAAUUGCAGCUAAGUUAGAACCAUUGCCAUUACAAUAUAAGUGAUGCAGCAAGUUAUCACAAUCAUAUAAAUCAGAGGCUUGGUAGUUUAUAAUGUAGAAUUCUGGACAAAAAAAAACAAAAACCAAAUUCCAUGUCAAGCAAGAGGGAAUAAAAUGUAUGGCCAAGAAACAAAAUCUGACAAAUACUUUCAUACACACCCAAUGCCUUUCUUUUGGAUAUAAACCCUAAAGUGUGAUAUACACCAAAUACAUAUACUCUUUAAAACACUGUCCAAAGCUUCAUUUGCUAAAUGUCACCAAUCUUGUUGUAAAUCAUAGACCGAAUAAGAUUUCGACUCUAACAUUAUUUCAUAGAGCUUCACCUUAUAUAUCAAUAGAAACAAUGGAUUCAUGCAAUUCAUUUACAAUUUGUUCAAACUUCCCAUAUGAACGAAUAUAGAAGUCAUCUUCAUUUUUAAUUAAUCUCCCCUAAGCUUCUCUUAUUUCCUAAAUUUUCAGAUAUGAACAAAUCAAUAAGCAAAAAUUCAAUCAAACAUUAAGAGCUUCAUGUCGAAAGUGAAGCUUACCUGAUCGGUGGACACCGCUUGUUUCCGCGAAAUUAACCUCCAAAAUCAUCAUCCACAUUUAACGGUUAUAUUGCCAGUUACAUGAACACUUGCUUGAUAGACUUUUCUUCUUCAUUUUCCAGUUUUCGGCAGAAUGACCUUCCCUUCUUCCGAUGGCCAUAACUUCCUCUACAAAAUAGCUAUCAACGAUCCGCAAAAAGUUCUGGAAACUAGACUCUUCUAGCUUUCCGUUGAUAUAAGGCAAGGUUCCUGGAUCGCUCUAAGCUGCUCGCAAUUUGCCGUCGAAUUUGACUAAAAAUCUGGGCAGAAUUUUGUAUUUCUUAAGGUUUCAUCUUUAAUAUGCAUCUCUUUGCAGCGUGUAGCAUCUCUUUUCUCACACUCUUUACUCAAGAACUUGAGAAGGUCAACCCUCGCUAGCACAUCAAGGUCCAUUGUGGUCUCAUCAAGCAAAAACACCAAAAUUCAUUCACAAACAUUUCAUCAAGCACCUGGUAUGCAUAACCAAAUUCAAUGUGGUUCUUCUCGUAAAACCAAUUCAUAAGCAUCACAGAUCGGUGCCUAUUCAUGAAACUUUGAACUGAAACCUAUCAAAUUUGAAGUGCGCCACAAUCUCGCAACAAAUGUGAUAUUCCUAUAUGAUUCAAAUUUUCACAUUUCAAAGCAAUCAAAGAGAGCCAAACCUUGAGGCUCAUUGUACUCCUGACCCUCCGCCCGCAUCGGAAGCAGCACGUCCUUCAGCAUAUCGACGUCGGCCUUUGAUUUCUUGCCGCCGCUGGCGGUAUAUAUGGCGUAGUCAAUGGGAACCAGCCCUAGUCGGCGUAGUUGGCAAGGUCGAGGAGUAGCGUUGGAACGAUGAAGGGUUUGUCGCUGGCGGAUUUAAGAGAGAGAGAGAAGGAGGUGGUGAUCUGAAAUGGAUUUGGGAUUUGGAAGAGAGAUGGAAGAGAGUGGAUUUGCCUUGAGAGGGAGGGAUAAGGAUUCGACGGUUUUCAUCAGUGGCAUAGAUCGUAAUUUUUUUAUUUUUAUGGGCAACGCUUUAAGGGAUUUAAAUAGGUAUACUGUUUUAUCAUCAAUGAACAUUUAUUAACAGUUUUAUCAUUUGUUACUUCUAAAAGUACAUUUUUAUCAUUGGCCCUAUCAUCAAUAAACAUUUAUUAACAGUUUUAUCAUUUGUUACUUCUAAAAGUACCUUUUUUUCAUUGGCCCUCACUAGUAGAAAUAAAGACUUAAGCGACGGGAAUAAAUAGUCGCUUAAGUGCUAAUUUUUGUCGCUUAACAACUUAAGCGACGAAACUGGCGUCGCUUAAGAUUCGUCGCAUAUGGCGCGUCUCAUAGGUACUUAAGCGACGAACCUGUUUGGUUUAGCGACGAGAUUUUUUGUCGAUCCUUUUUCCGUCGCUAUAGCCUUAUGCGACAAAAGACGUUUUGGCCUGUCAACUUUUAGCGCCUAAUUUUUACUCUUAAGCGACGAAAGAUGCUUAUUUUGUCGCUUAAGAGUAAAAAUUAGGCGCUAAAAGUUACUCUUAAGCGACAAAAUAAGCAAUCUUUCGUCGCUUAGGUUUUAGUUUUUUGAAAAAAAAAAUAAUAUUUUUUAUUAUUCAGAGAGAGAUAUUAUAAUAACUUAAAAAUAUAUUCCUGUAAGUUAUAAAUAAUUUAUUCCUGUAAAACCAAAAUAAAUUAACCGAAAUAUUUAUAUUAAUAAUAAUAAAGUUAUCGUACCAACCAAAUAAAACUAACUAAUAUUGUUUGUAUAAUUAUUUAAACUGAAAAGUCUACUGAUUUCCUAAACUAAUCUGAGAAGUGUCAAGGCCCCUAUCAUCAUCGUCGUCUCGAGGUUGUUGGCUUGGGACCGAGGGUGAACACAUAGGCUGUAGCCCUAUUCGAGCCAUGAUUUGCUCCAUUUGCAACUUCAACAGUUGAUAAUCUGCAACAGACUGCUCAGCGAUCUUUUGGGCAUUUUCAGCCCUCUCUUGUGCUUUGUCAGCCCUCUCUUGUGCCUCAGCCGCCUCCUUUCUAACAGCCACUAUCUCAGCCAUCGCCUCAUUAUUCGGUCGAGAGCAUGAAGAGGAAGAUGAUGACCUUCUGCUCUUCUCUAGGACGCCUACUCGUCCAAUACCACGAAUGUAAGACCCUUUUGUUUCUCCCAUAGCAUUUUGCACAACACUUAGUUGAGUUGGCCAGUCCAAAGGAGGCAGCUGAUCCGGUGGGAUGUCCGGAUGUUGAGUGCUUUGCAAAGUCUUAGCAAUAGCACCUUGUUCCUUCAACUUUUCCUACAAUUCAAGAAUAAUAUGUACAAGUCAUAUAUGCAACUAUUAUAACAUCAUCAAAACAUGAUAACUGAAGCAGUAAUCAGCUUUACCAAAUACACAUCACAUGAAAUAUGCAACAGGCAUCAACUUUACAAUAUAACUAUCAAACACCAAACUACUAUGGACACCCAUAGUAUCAUCACACAUGCACCACGAAAGCUUCUAAUGAGGCUAGUAAAUCAUCCUCAUAAUUCAUGAACGUAGCAUGGUUCUCUAUACACUAGCUUAUACACACACACACAGAGCUCAACAGAAAACUCCAAGCAUACUCAAAAUUCUGGGACUUUAUCAACUGCAGGGUAAACUUUGAAAAAAUCACUGACUUGUCAAUUUACAUUGGAAUAAGCUGAAACUUUCCAGAUCAAUAGUUCUCAUAUAGAAGAACAAGAGUACAAAGUUUCAGACCAAAAUGAGUCUUAAAUCCUUAUCAAAUUCAGACCACAAUUUCAGCACAAAGCACUUAAUUCAAUAAAAUCAUCAUAAUUCAUCUAUCUUAUCAAAUAACACCAAAAUUUGCAGACCAAGAGUAAACAUAAGGAAGAACAAGAGCACAAAAUUUCAAGCCAAACGAAGACCCAAAACCCAAUCAAAUACGAAGCAACUUAACUGUUGAACACAAACACAAUUUCCAGCGCAGUGUACCCAAUUUCAAAAAUUCACCAUGAAUCAUCUCCCUUAUCAAACAACACCAAACUUUCCAGAUCAAGGGUAAUCACAUGGAAGGACAAGGGUACAAAGUUUCAAGCCAAACGGAGUCCUCAAUCCUAAUGAAAUUCGAACUCAAGACAGCUACACCGCAUAACACCAAAAGUUUCAGNNNNNNNNNNNNNNNNNNNNNNNNNNNNNNNNNNNNNNNNNNNNNNNNNNNNNNNNNNNNNNNNNNNNNNNNNNNNNNNNNNNNNNNNNNNNNNNNNNNNNNNNNNNNNNNNNNNNNNNNNNNNNNNNNNNNNNNNNNNNNNNNNNNNNNNNNNNNNNNNNNNNNNNNNNNNNNNNNNNNNNNNNNNNNNNNNNNNNNNNNNNNNNNNNNNNNNNNNNNNNNNNNNNNNNNNNNNNNNNNNNNNNNNNNNNNNNNNNNNNNNNNNNNNNNNNNNNNNNNNNNNNNNNNNNNNACAACUUAAGCGACGAAAUCUUUAUGGUUUUUGUCGCUUAGGUUUGUUUAAAUUUAGGCCAAAAUUUGAGCGGCCUGCCAAAUAUUUGGGCCAAAGCGACAAAUUGUUUGUUUGUCGUCGCUUAAGUGGAUUAAAAAUUUUUCUUACCGCCAAAGAAUAUACGUUUUAAAGCGACGAAAAUGACAAAAUUCGUCGCUUAAGUUGUAAAAUCAUUUAUAUUUCACUUUCUUUCUGCUAAUUAAUACUCAUAAAGUGUGAUAUAAAACAGAUAACGAUAAAGAUUGAAGAGCAAAUCGAUCGAAACAAGUCUAAACCCGGUUUGCUCUAUAUUUGGUGUUUGGUGUCUGAUUGACUAUUAUGAUACCUUUCUGGAAGCGGAACGGCCCAACGAACCAAACUCGUCGCUUUGCCACGACAUAUGGGCUUUUUAGGCCAUCCGAGUCCGUUUAGGCCUUCAAAAUGCAAAUUUACUUAUUUUUAUACAUUAAUUUUAAUAGUUUUUUUAUAUUUGGUUUUCUUUUAAUCUAUGAGCGUUUAGGCUUUGAUGUUAGUUGCCCUAGGGUUUAUUUGCUCCUAUAUAAUGAGCUUUUAUCAGUUGUAGUCAUCAGUUUUCAUAUUAGCAAAAAAUAUUGUCGACUAAAGUGGUAUAUGAACUAAACAUAUUGAAGCUCGAAGUUGAAAAUAAAAGAAGUACAAAUAGAAAAUUUAAUCGUAUGAUAUGAUCACUAUACUUCAAUACGGNNNNNNNNNNNNNNNNNNNNNNNNNNNNNNNNNNNNNNNNNNNNNNNNNNNNNNNNNNNNNNNNNNNNNNNNNNNNNNNNNNNNNNNNNNNNNNNNNNNNNNNNNNNNNNNNNNNNNNNNNNNNNNNNNNNNNNNNNNNNNNNNNNNNNNNNNNNNNNNNNNNNNNNNNNNNNNNNNNNNNNNNNNNNNNNNNNNNNNNNNNNNNNNNNNNNNNNNNNNNNNNNNNNNNNNNNNNNNNNNNNNNNNNNNNNNNNNNNNNNNNNNNNNNNNNNNNNNNNNNNNNNNNNNNNNNNNNNNNNNNNNNNNNNNNNNNNNNNNNNNNNNNNNNNNNNNNNNNNNNNNNNNNNNNNNNNNNNNNNNNNNNNNNNNNNNNNNNNNNNNNNNNNNNNNNNNNNNNNNNNNNNNNNNNNNNNNNNNNNNNNNNNNNNNNNNNNNNNNNNNNNNNNNNNNNNNNNNNNNNNNNNNNNNNNNNNNNNNNNNNNNNNNNNNNNNNNNNNNNNNNNNNNNNNNNNNNNNNNNNNNNNNNNNNNNNNNNNNNNNNNNNNNNNNNNNNNNNNNNNNNNNNNNNNNNNNNNNNNNNNNNNNNNNNNNNNNNNNNNNNNNNNNNNNNNNNNNNNNNNNNNNNNNNNNNNNNNNNNNNNNNNNNNNNNNNNNNNNNNNNNNNNNNNNNNNNNNNNNNNNNNNNNNNNNNNNNNNNNNNNNNNNNNNNNNNNNNNNNNNNNNNNNNNNNNNNNNNNNNNNNNNNNNNNNNNNNNNNNNNNNNNNNNNNNNNNNNNNNNNNNNNNNNNNNNNNNNNNNNNNNNNNNNNNNNNNNNNNNNNNNNNNNNNNNNNNNNNNNNNNNNNNNNNNNNNNNNNNNNNNNNNNNNNNNNNNNNNNNNNNNNNNNNNNNNNNNNNNNNNNNNNNNNNNNNNNNNNNNNNNNNNNNNNNNNNNNNNNNNNNNNNNNNNNNNNNNNNNNNNNNNNNNNNNNNNNNNNNNNNNNNNNNNNNNNNNNNNNNNNNNUGAUGAGAUCUAACCACCUAUGUAAAAAUUUAGGGAAGUUCACCUCCCGACGAUAAGGCUCCCCAUAGGGAAGCAUAAGCGUAAAUAGGGUUGACCGCUUAUAUCGAGGACCAAACAUUAUCGGAAAUAUGUGAUUUUUCAACCAAAGCCGUAUUUCAUCAUACCAAUCACAUUCUAUUUCACAAGAUUUUUGAAAAUAUUGCUUCCUACAUAUAAUUGGUUCACAAAGAAAGAAGAUUUCACUUAAGCGACGAAAUAUUUCGUCACUAAAGUCAAAAAGUUUCGUCGCUUAGGUUAAUAAUAUUAUGCGACAAACACUUUCGUCGCUCAAAACUAAAGUUCCGUCGCUUUAGUCUUAAAUUAAAACGACGAAAUGAAAUUCGUCGGUUAGGUGAAGGAUAUAAUGCGACACAUAAUUUUGUCGCUCAAGAUCCAAAAGUUCCGUCGCUUUAGACUGAAACUAAAGCGACGAAAUAUAAAUUUGUCGGUUAGGUUAAGGUUGUAAUGCGACAAACUUAUUCGUCGCUUAAGUGUUAACGUUUUCGUCGCUACAUAAAUACUUUGCGACAAAAAGACUUUUGUCGCCUUAGUAGGACCUGUGGCGACGAAGCUUAGGCGACAAAAAUAUUUCGUCGCCCCAGAAAAUUGUAGCGACAAAAAAAUUAUCUUCAGCUACAAUAUCGAUUUUCGUCGCUUAGGAUUUGCUUAAGCGACUAAAUGUGAAUAUACCCGUCGCUUAAGCCUUUUUUUUCUACUAGUGCCUUAAUAAAAUUUCUCUUUUUGUUUUUACUUCUGAAGUAUGAGCCUCUCUUUAAGUACCCAUAUAAUCAUACAAAGUUAAAUUUGCCAAAAGAAUUUCUAAACAUCGUAUUAAAAAAAUUUAAAUAUGUAAUCUCACUUCGUCCACGUACCAAUUUCACGAAAUUUACCAGUCUUAACUCGAGACGGUAUAUCUAAUUUAAGAUUAAAUAUAUAUAAAGAAAUUAAGAUGACUACUAUAUGGUCUAAUGAUGAUAUGGAUAUUUGGAUUUUGAUCGUUCUGAAUAUAGAAAGGCAUUGGAGAAGAUUUUGUUUACCUAUGACAUAUCUAAACCAAUUCUUUUGGAGAGGCAGGUUCAUCUGGAUCCAGAGGCAGGUUCAUUUGAAGUUUAAUUUCAUGCAUAGAUGUUCCAUAUGUGGUUUGAUCACACAUGGAGGGGAAAAGUGCGACGAAGUUCAGGCCUUACCUGAUGCUUUAAGAGGUAUUCAAUUCGGUGCACAACCGAAAGUAGGGUUUGCUUUUUCAACAAUGUAUUCUGCUGGUUUGUCUAUUAAUUCAGCCGAAGACAUCCUCGUCUCCAGCUCUAAAACGAAAGCCAGUGGUUCGUCGAAUUGACCGAACUAAAGCAACAUGGACUAUAGAGAAUGGUCAUCGCCUUUGGGGCUAUUCUUCACGUCUUGUCAUUCUGCUCUUGAGAAUGAGGUUGUCUCUGAGUUGGAUACAUCUUCCAUUUUGUUGGGGUCUCAAUCUGCUGCUGAGAAGGAGGUGGUGGUGUCUACUCCCUCUAAGAAAAAUGGAUGCAGUGGCGUUGUUCUCCCUUCCCUAAAAAUUUGAAAACUAUCCUGGAGGUAAAAUUCUCACACUACAUGCUGAAAUUUAGGGUUUAGUCGAUACAUGAGGUGAUGAGGAGACUCUUAUAUCCUUGAAGAAGAAGUUCGGCAGACCAUUGGUAGUAGGAAUAAGGUAUCUCGGUCUAAGAAAAAAGAGGUCCUUGUACGUAUUACCUAUCCGGUUGCUGCCAAGGUUAGUGAUAAGGCUCCCUAAUGCCAACGGCAAGGAGAAGACUUAAAAUUCGGGUUGUUCUCAGCAUGAGCAUCAAAAUUAGUUUUAUUACUUAUCUCGUAAGCUUAUCAGAUGUAUACCAAUUGAGAUCUUAGACAAUUAAUAUUAUGUUCCACGGAUAUAGGUAGAAAGAUUUUUUUUCUUUUGCUACACUUUUUAUGAGCCUAUGUGUAAUCAGCUGGUCUACCAUCGCCCAAAUCAUAGGUCAAUUUAGCUUGAGUUUGGUCUACGAUCGCCCAAAUCAUAGGUCAAAUUAGCUUUGAUUUUUUCUAUUGCUUCAGACUCUUUAUGAGCCUAUGUGUGUAAUCAAUUGGUCUACCAUCACCCAAAUCAUAGGUCAAUUUAGCUUGAGUUUGGUCUACAAGUAAUUUUGUUUUUUGUUUUUUGUUUUUGUUUUGUUUUUUUUUCGAUUUUCUUGCAUAUUUGAAUUAGUGCCAUGAUAUUUGAGUUAGGGCUAUCAGGGGCGAUGUCGUGUUAGGAUCGGAUUGAGAUGAGGUAUUCAACGUGUCAAGCUGCUUAUAUGAAGCUGCAAAACAGAGGCAGCCUCCCAAUCAAAAAAGGAAAAAAGAAAAGAAAAAGAGAGCAGGUGGGAGUGAAUUUGUUCUGGUUCCUAUUAUUAGACAAGACGGAAUGAAACCUUCAAUUGCCCUUCCCUCCUUUGCAAACCCUUGUGACCAUUUCAACUUUGUUUUCUCUCCACAACCCCCAACCUGCAGUUUCUAUGUCCUUCUCCAAUAUCUUCGUUCUUCAAUCUUCAACCUUCAAUCUUCAGUCUUCAAUCUUUAUUCACAUGACAGUUAGCUAGGCUAAAUUUUACCUGGCUUCAAUGAACAUCUCAGAAAAUGAGGGUAAGGAGGACGUCCCAUCAAAAGGGGUCCUUCAAAACAUCGAUAUUGAUCCCAUGGUUGAUGUGCCAAGUAGUUCCAAUGAGAAUGUAUUGACGGGGACCAAUAACAUUGUAAGGAGGAGAGCUGGAUUUCAUGGAAAUGUUCCUAGUGGCACGGGAAAGGUUGAAGCAAGAGGAGGAGGAGGAGGAGGAGGAGGGCUUAAGGGCCUGCAUUUUCUUAAUAUCAAAGGGAAGGAAUCUGAAGCAUGGAAGCCUAUGGAAAAGCGCUUCCAUCAAUAUGCAGUUGAAGAUAGGCUCUCUAGGGACGACUUUGGAACCUGCAUUGGUAAGUUGUGCACGUUUUUUUAAUUAAGUACAGUUCUUGAAAUGGAACAAGGAACACGAUGUAUAUGAGGAUUUAGACGCUUUUGUUUCGUAGGAAUGGGUGGACGAGAGUCGAAGGAGUUUGCAGGCCAACUGUUUGAUGCAUUGUGUAGGAGAAGGAAGCUGUGUGCAGCCGAUGGGAUUACUAUUGUUGAAUUGAGGCUGUUUUGGGAAGACUUGACUAGUGAAGACACCGAAUCCCGGCUUCAGAUAUUCUUUGACAUGUAAGGCAAAGCUCUUGUUUCUUGGUUUAACAUGCUUGAAAAUACAAACUAGAAUGAAAAGGGAGGCUGAUGAUUUUUGUUAGGUGUGACAAGAAUGGUGAUGGGAAGCUCUCAGAGGAUGAGGUAAUGGAGGUAUGAUAUUAUGAGACUCAGUUACAUGUUUUCCUUUCCUUUUCUUUUUUUUCUUUUUUUUCUGUUUAUGAAAUGAGAUUUCUAAAACUUCUUAUGGUAAAGGUUAUAAUUUUGAGUGCCUCCACGAACAAGUUGGCAAAUCUUAAAGAUCAAGCAGCAACAUAUGCAGCUUUGAUCAUGGAAGAGCUUGACCCUGACCACCUCGGGUAUAUAGAGGUAGGAACUAUGUAGGUUCACACCUUUAGCUACUCCCCUUUCAUUUCAUCUUCUUCUUAUCGUUAGCUUGAUAUACAUUGUCGGUCCAGUCACUAUCUUUUUAAGUUCUAACCAUCUAGUUGUAGUUAAUAUACAUUUGUAUCACAGUUAGAAACUUCGAUUCAUGAAUCCCCACUUCUUAGUUAGAAAGGGGCAAGAUGGGGUUGCCUAUUAGGUUUUCCCGUUUUUGCUGAUUUCGUAUCAGCUAAAGCUUUAAAAUGUUUGCCUAAUACUUGUACUCUAUUUCUCCAGAUGUGGCAGUUAGAAACUCUACUUAGGGAAAUGGUAAUGGUUGAGACGGAAGCAAAACCAAAAAUUAGCAAGAGAACCCAAACUCUCGCAAAAGCCAUGAUUCCUAGAAGGUACAGGAAUCCUAUGAGCAAAUUCACAUCUACUACCAUAGAGCUUGUCUACGAAAACUGGAGGAAAAUAUGGAUUAUUGGGUUGUGGCUAGCGGUUAACGUGGGCCUGUUUACUUGGAAAUACCGCCAGUACCAGAAAAAUUCGUUAUACAAAAUCAUGGGUCGAUGCCUCUGCUUUGCAAAGGGUGCUGCUGAGACCCUUAAGUUCAACAUGGCUCUCAUUCUCAUUCCAGUUUGUAGGAGAGGUCUUACAGCCCUUAGAUCAACAUUUUUAAGUAACUUGAUCCCUUUUGAUGACAAUAUCAAUUUCCAUAAGUUGAUUGCAUUGGGAAUAACAGUUGGGACUGGUAUACAUGGAAUCGUGCAUCUAGCCUGCGAUUUUCCUAGAUUGAUUUCAUGUCCACAUGAUCGGUUCAUGGACAUUGCCGGGCCUUAUUUCAAAUAUAAGCAGCCAAGUUACAUGGACUUGGUUAAAAGUAUUCCAGGCAUAACUGGGAUUAUCUUUGUUGUUAUCAUGGCAUUUUCCUUCACUCUUGCAUUGAACUCACUCCGGAGAAGUAUCAACUUACCAGGGCCUCUCAAGAAUUGGAUAGGGUUUAAUACCUUCUGGUAUUCACAUCAGUUGCUGGCAUUGGCAUAUAUACUCUUCAUCAUACACGGUUUUUUCCUAAUAUUUCAGGAUCUAUGGUACAAGAAGACGGUAUGUAAACUAUUUCUUUGAGCUCAAAUUCCUUUGACCAAAUAGAAUCAAUAAACUGUGAUGAUGCAUAGCUUGUCACAAUAGUCACAUUAUCUCUAAGAAGCUUUAUUUGAGUUAUAUAAUGUAUAAUGCUUUAUACAUUUUCACGUGCACACAAGAGAGUGACCAGUGCAUUUCCGCAAAUCUUAUGCUUCUCUGUUAUAGUUUUUGUUAACACUGAUUCAACUGCAUCUGCGAGCACCUUUUAGUUAUCAGUCCUAGAAACCAUCUGGUUUCAAAUUUUAUGACAGUCUGUAAAGCAAAACAAAUGCUGAAACAAUCUGAACUGUAAUUUUGGCAGACAUGGAUGUAUGUAUCAGUUCCAGUGUUAUUGUAUGCAAGUGAACGACUGGUUACAAUAUUUCGAGAAUUUUCACACCCUGUCUGUGUCAUUAAGGUCAGUUUUUAGCUGAAACUUUACCAGUUCACUACAAUAUAUAGAAAGUUCAUGAACGUCAUCAAGUUCCUGGAACAUUUCAGGCGAUAACUUACACAGGAAAUGUUCUCGCACUGUACAUGACCAAACCUCCCGGAUUCAAGUACGAAAGUGGAAUGUACCUCUUUCUCAAGUGUCCUGAUCUGUCAAAUUUCGAAUGGUAAUAUAUCACACAGUUCUUUGACAUUAUCAGAAGCUAAACUAUCCUCAAUUACUCAAAGCAUUUCAUUGGAUACAGGCAUCCCUUCAGCAUCACUUCUGCCCCAGGAGAUGAAUACUUGAGUGUCCACAUCAGAGCUCUGGGAGACUGGACUACAGAGCUCAGAAACAUCUUUUCUAAGGUAGUACAAUUGUUUAGAAUUUUGUUCUAAUGUUUUAAUUCAGAUCAUAUCAUCUAAAUCACAUCAAGAUUUUGCUACUGUUACGCUUUUAGGCUACAGAUUUUUUAUAUUUUUUUUUUCAUUUGAAUCUGUUUGUUCUAUGGUUCUACCUACAAUGUUUUCUUCUCUUUUAUAGAUCAUUUCAUUAACGUAUGCAGGUCAGCAGUCAGGUUCAAACUACACAGACUACUAGAAAGGGAUCUCUGGUUAGAAUAGAAACUAGAGUGAGACCGAAAACCUAUGAUCCUGUAGAAGACUUCGAUAAAUUAGAAGAAUUCGAUCCUAAACAACCAGUGUGAGCAGACUUUAAAAUGAUUUCACUAUGGUAUCAUAUAUUGGUACGUAACUGCUACUUUUUGUAACAGAUAUCCGAGGAUUGUAUUAAAGGGACCCUUUGGAGCCCCUGCUCAGAAUUACACCAAGUAUGACAUCUUAUUGCUCAUAGGUCUUGGAAUUGGAGCAACUCCUUUCAUCAGCGUCGCAAAGGAUAUCAUAAACCAUAUAAGCAAAAAAUACGCUGAAGGGCCUGUAAGUUAAGAAGCAAAAGACUUGAAUAUAUCCAAAUUGUGAUGAAAAUGGUAAGUAACACUUCAGAUUAGUUAACUUAUGCAGGAGUCAGGAGGUCAUGUUCGACGAAGAAGCUCCUUAGGAAAGUUGCUAAGCGGCGACCAUGUUGAAGUGAACACAAAGACUCCAGAAAGAGCAUACUUUUACUGGUUAACAAGGGAACAAGGUUCAUUUGAAUGGUUUAAAGGCGUCAUGGAUGAUAUUGCAGAAUGUGACCAGCAUGUGAGUUUCAAAGCGCCUGCUUUAACAGGAACCAUCACUACUGAUAUUCCACUAAUGAGAAUCGAUGAUUGUUGCAGCGAGUAAUAGAAAUGCAUACCUACUUGACAAGCGUCUACGAAGAAGGAGAUGCACGGUCUGCGCUUAUUACCAUGGUACAGAGACUGCAACACGCUAAGAAUGGGGUUGAUGUUGUCUCACAAAGCCGGGUAUUCACUAACCAAAUUUACCACAUACAAAAAAAAUUGUUGAUGGAUUAAACACUAAUUCUAGCUAUAUCUCAUUUUUACCGUAAUUGUGACAGAUAAGAACACAUUUUUCAAGACCUAAUUGGAGAAAGGUGUUUUCAGACUUGGCUGCAGCUCAUCAAUCAUCUCGAAUAGGUAAGCAUACUAAUUAAUGAUGAGUAGUACGUAGUGAAUCCUUCAAGCUACAAAGUUUUCUACACUUGAAGCAUAAGAUGGUUCUGUUUAUUUUCUUUGUUGCAGGCGUCUUCUACUGUGGAACUCCAGUACUUAUCAAAACACUAAAGAACCUUUGCCUAGAAUUUAGCUUAAAUUCAUCAACCCGGUUCCAGUUCCACAAGGAGAAUUUCUAGAAUAGCUACACACACCACAUGCAGGACAUGUAUAUGUAGAAACUCACUCCUCCCCUUGACCUUAAACAUUGUACAUUGAAGGAACAAGAUACAAUAAUAGAAAAGCGAGAACAGAUUAAUUAAAGUUGGUAAAUUUGGAAGACUCAAGAUAUAUUAGUUUGAUGUACAUUGUUGUUUCGUUCUUAAUAUAGAAGUCUAAAAUUAUGGUGAUGCCGAGUUAAAACCGUCAUGUCUAGAUAUAUCGAUUGCAUAAGAAAAAAGAAGAAGAAUCUUCUUCCAAAAACAAGAACAUCUGAUCACAAAAAGGAUAUAACCUUUGCUAUUCACCUGUAGCAAUGUCUCAUUGUCAUCCUCGUGGUUAUCAUGAAAGGUCAAAUGAGGGAGGACUGAUAUUGACAAAGAGAUUGAGCGUUUGAUGAUGUCGUUUGGGGUCGAUUCCUCCACAGGAAGUGUCUCUUUCCACUGUGACUGUGUUUUGUCGUCGAGGCAAUUGGUCGGUUUGGACCUUUGGUACUGUAUUUUCUGGUUUGAGAUUGAGUCAUGAAAAAAAGAAACACAGGAGACGCCGUCUGUGGGAAUCGAACCCACGACCUUUCUGCUUUGAGAUUGAGUCAUGAAAAAAAGACACAAAGGAAACGCCGUCUGUGGGAAUCGAACCCACGACCACGUGGUUAAAAGCCACGCGCUCUACCAGCUGAGCUAAGACGGCUUGUAUAUCUACUAUUGCAGAAAAUUAAGUUCAUCAGUUUUAUCAACUUCGGUACACCUGAUUGUCACAGUUUUGCCAUCACUCGACAAAUUUGUCCAUUGUAUAGUAUAACGCUACUUACGCUAGUGAGUUCACCCUUUCAUUAUUUCACCGUGGUGUUUUGAAUUUGAAUUCAACAUACAGAAUGUGAUGAACUAAUAGUGCAUGCAUGCAUUGGCUUGAUUGAAAGGUCCAAGACACAAGUAAAUACCAAAAAGCUGACUUCUACGUGACUACAUAUUGUCAUAUCUACAUGUCCUUCUAGAGCAUGGCCUUCCUGCAAUAUGUAUGGCAGCUAGCUUUGAAUUAAGCUACAUACAGACAAACUAUAUAAGAACUAAAACCAAGAAAAAAUAAUACUAACACCCCUUUGAUUAAAGCUCAAUAUUUCUAAGCAAUAAUAUACAUAGGGGUAACAUAGCAGAUGCAGUAGUUGCAGUACUAGUGGGUGAGUUUAGGUUACACAGAUGCAUGAUAGUAACUAGGCUAAAGGAUCGGACCCUUUUUACUCACUAGACAAUUCAGAUCUUUCACAUCGUACACCUCAGGAAAACACAAUACAGAAACCAAGACACCGAUACAAGUCACAGACGCAAAUUUUAAGUCUAGCUGUAGCAAUGUAGCAUCUCUAGCUGCAGCUCAAUACUGAAUAUGAGGGAUCAGAGAGACGCAUGCAUGAGGCAGUUGUCGAGGUAGCUAGGGUUUUUACUUAAAUAUAGUUUCUAGGGUUGGAUGGUGAAGAUGUAGAUUCUUCUCCUUCUUCAUGAUCUUCAGCUCUGAGACUAGAGGACUUGAUGGGGAAGAGUUGGAGGGUUUUGAGGGGUCUGGGAGGAGUAGCAGUAGCUGAUCUGAUACAACAUGCAGGUGAUGAGGAUGGGGCCAGAUCCAUCGUUGCUGUCGUCGUCGUCAUCCAAUCAUGGCCAUACAUGUUAAUCACCGACUUCUCCAUCUCCGAUCUCUCUGCUGUUGCUGAUGGGAUUUCAUGGACCUUGCGCGUGAAGUUCAUCAAUGCAUCCUCAACUCCCACCUAUAUACAUGCCAAAACAGAAUUCGAUCAUAAGACCAAACUGGAAACCCUAAUUUCAUCAGAAACUUGGUGUUUAAAGAAGUUAACAAGUACCAGAAACAUGCAUUGAUUAAAGGAAACACAGAAAUAGAAAAGAUCUAAAAAACAGUUUACCUUUCCAAUAGUAUCUUUUUCCAUUCAACUUGUAUUUUUGUCUCAUAUGAUUUAUAUACUGCUCAGUACGUGUUAAUUUUGCAGCUAUAGGAAUCAGUACGUGUUAAGCUGAAACAGUCUCAAUCCCCAAUAAUAAUGAAGAAUGUCCUCUCUUUCCACUAAUACACAGAUAUAUAUCUCAUCAAAUUAAUUAUAAAAGCUAGAAAUGAUAGAUUCUUGCAUAUAUAUAGACAGGCACAUACUUUUCUCUCACAAUAUUCGUGAUGAUGACUAGAAUUGAUGAUCGAAUUGUGACAAGAUCUUUUCGUACAAACAUCAAUUCAGAUUUCACAGUUAGAGAUCACAUUAUAUACCUAUAUCUAUAUAUAAUUAUGUACCUGAGGGAGAAAACCGGUACCGGAAAAUAAGUUAUGAUGAUGGCAACAAAGCGGCAGCUGAUGAAGAACAGAAGAAGCAGGAGGAGACUGAUCAAGGUACCCUAGAAGGCUCUGCUGGUUGAGCAUUAGCUGCUGUGGGUGAUGAUGUUGAGAAUGGUAAUAAUUAUGGUAGAGUUGUUGCUGUUGAAGAUGAAGUUGCUUGCAAAGCUUCCUCCUAAGCUUUUGUCUGUCCCUUGCCUUGUGGUUCUGAAACCAGUAGAACACAUUCUUGCCCUCAAUCUUUCCAUAGUAAGAGAGCUGGGUAGUGAUGUGUUGAAUUUGGGAAGCAUUGGGAGUUCUGACUCCAGCCCUAUACAUCUCUUCAAGGAUCAUCAGUUGCUCUGGGGUUGGGCACCAUCUUGAGGAUGAUGCUGAAGAAGAAGAAGCUGAAAAAUUCGCUGCAGGAGGCAUUGAUCUUGACCAAGUUGUUAAUUUGGAAUGAUUUUAUCAAUUGGAAUUGUAGUGGAGGAGGUUUGGAUGCAGAGGGAGGGUAUAUGUAGAAAGACAGAGAGAAAGAUACAGUGGAUAUAGAGAGGGAGGAGAGACAAAAAGAGGGGUAUUGCAAACAGAAAACAGUGUGGGGUUAAAAGAAAAUAAAUAGUAGCAGCAGUUGUGCUGCAGACUUGUCAAUGAUGAUGCUUCAGUUCCUUGAGAGGGGCAUUCAAGUAGUGUAGGUUUCAGUACUGGACUGAUGAGAGGGUAUGGCAUGGGUGUAAGGUACUUGAACGAUUAUGUCAUCAUCACCAAAUAAUUUUACUUAAUCAAUGCACAGAAUAAAAAAGGACACCAAUCAAAGUAAGUAAUAUUAUUCUAGUUUGUUAUUACUUGUUACAACAGACACUAGUUAGUGAAGUAUAACAAAAUUACAAAAGAAAACCUCCAGGAUCAGUCGAUCUUAUUUAGACGAUUGAAGAUUGAAGUCUGAGAUUCCAUUUCUGAACUAAAACAAGCAUGCAUUCGCUACAAAGUUAACUUCUUCGGACAUACUAGAUUAGACAAAUGUUAAAUAAGAGAUAGCGUAUUUUCCUGAUAAUUAUUAAUGUGAUUGCACGUCACGCAGAUACCCUCAACUGAUCAAAUGUUUGGAUCCGGCAGCCCUUACAGAAAAUAUAUAGCGCUUACCAAAUUUUUGCCCUCAUAAUAAGAGAAGUGUCAUGCAUCAUAGAUACAAGACGGUUUCAUACCUAAGCCAUAUUUUCCAUUUUCAGUUUCAAGUUUUUGUCCACCGUUUCCAUGAUUAGAAAGUCAUUGCGAACUUUAGGCAAAAUGUGGAAAUAUGAUACUGAUCUUUUCAUCAGUGACCCAGCUGAGACAUGCAGAUUUCAAAAAUUGACUACAUAUAUAAUUAGCAUUUCUUCGUAGUUUUCAUGUUGCGUAUCACUAUCAUAUUUACUCACCACAUCGUUAUAGUAGAACUUCAUUGGAUACAUGAAUCUUGAUUUAUAUACUACGAAUACUGUAAAAAUUAUCAAAUAGUUUUACCGGUGAAAUACAAGUUUAACAGUAUAGCUAGCUAAUCAAGAUCUGGCCAAAAGAGAGCUUCAAAUGCCGAUCAUGUCAUCCGCAAAUCUUUACCUAUCAUCAAGAACAUACACUCAACAUGAAUCAUUCAAGAAUAUUCGAUCUCACUACUCACUUUCUAAUUUUGAAAGAAUCUAAUCAGUUAGAGAAAAAAAAAAAUCUCAGAUGAUGAAAAAACGUCUCCCGGCCCCUACAAAAGGUCUUGUACAAUAAUGUGAACCAUUGCAGACAGCAGAUUGAGCUAUCAACCAUUAACCGACAGUUUCAAGGGGACUCUACUGUGGAAAUGGAAACUUAAGCUCUCAAUUUUCCAGAAGCAGACAUAUAACAUUCAUAAAUAUGAAUGCAGGAUCCAGUAACAUGUCUUCUCUUGACUUUCUUGCUGGUCUAAUAUUUUUCUCUCUGACAACAUUCUCCCAAUCUCAACCAUUCAUUUGUCAAUUAUCCAUAUCAGAAAAAUUGUCGACAGCUCCAUGCAGUGACAGAUAUAUAGGACUAUUGAGAGCUUACGACAAACCAAAGAAAUUAUUUUUUCAAUCAUGAAGUUAAAUAGUGCGUAAAAUUUGUAGGCACGCAACAGCAUUCUCUGUUGAGCGCAUUUAUAAUUGAAACUCUUUGUUCUACUUAAAUCAUUAGGGCCGCAAUUGAUAUAUAUGCUCUUUAAUCUUUAUUGCCAUUUGUUUUACAUAAAUAACUAUUGGAAUAUCAUUUGUAUUUAUGAUUUACACGAAUAAUGAGUGUUGUUAAGGUGUGAGAGAAUGUGCAUUAUUUUCUGUGUUGAAAAAUGUAUAUGAAUUUGGGUGUACAAUACAAUUUUCCAAUACUACUAGUAUAUAAUAGUCUAUUUUUCGUUUGAACGAUCCUGCAUGUUUAAUGUUUCAUAUUCGGGUUUCAGAAGUUAUAUCUAAUGUCUGCUAUGAGUGGGAAAAUUGUUCAUACAAUUGUUCAUCAAUGGGAUGCCCGAUCUUUGUCCUUCUUGGCCCGAUUUCAUAUAUAUUCUAGUCGAUCUCUACUAAUCUCUCUCGAUCUCUUUGUUAUUUUAUUUUUUAUAAUAGUGAUUAGUUGAAGUUUUUCACCUUUCGUUUUUGUUAGUUUUUAUUAUUUAGUUACGAGUUAUAAAUUUAUUUUUUUAUUUUCGAUGAGUAGACAUACUAUGGUGUAACACUCUUUUUUCCGUUUCAUCGCGGUUUAAGCCAAAAACAAAAAAAAAUCUCUCUCGAUCACCUUUUCAUCUGUCUCAAUCCUCGAUCAUUCACUUCAUGAUCACCUCAUUUUGCAAGUGUCGUGAUCGACAUGGUCAAGUCAUUGUCUAUUAACAAAAAAUAUCUAUGGAAUGUGCAAUUCCCCAGAUAUAUCUUAAGCAAAUAAGAAACCCUAAACUACAAGCCCCAACAUUUUAUGACGUCUUCAGUAAAUCUAGUAGAUCCUCGUCUCUAUAUAUCUAAUAGAAAAAAGAUAAAAGACAAACAAGUACGCUGCAGUUGAUACCAUUGGGCAUUGCAGUGAGUAUUUCAAUCAGUGGUGUGAAUUGAUCGAGGAAUACGCAAAUAAAAUGUGCAUAUAUACACCUACUCGUACUGGGCUUAGGUUUAGCUUAAUUAACUUGAUUGAUAUGAAUGAUCACAUGGUUUUUCAUGACAUCCUGAUAUAUAUGUUGUUGGCAUUAUUUUACCUUUAAUAGAGAAAUUAACCCCUCUUGUUUACCUGCCCACAUCAACAUCUGGGCCUGGGUUUUUGCUUGGAUCUUCCAAAACCCAAAAAUGGGCAAUGUGGCUUUUUCAGGGAGUGUUUGGCACUGCUAGUGCUUGGGCGUGAGGAUGAAGAUUUAUUUAUUUUUUAUUAUUUUUUAAUUAACGAAGAAGCACGCAUAUCUUGGUUGGGUACCUCCUGAAUAAGGAGAUUGCAUAGAAGAUGAGGUGUGGGUCAUUUUAAUUUGGGGAAACUUGUCAUACGCGUUUUGGUUUAUCGAACAACUUUCGUCACAAGCUAUAUAAGGUUAUGGGUUAGAUUUUGAGUUGUUUGAGUUCAAACAUGUCAUGCAAUAUUUUAUAUAAACUGAAAUUCUGAUAUCAUGGUGCCAUGAUACGAGUAUGAAGUAAAACUGAUCUAUCACUAGUUCACUACAGAUCGAUCAUAGCUGCUUAUGUCCAAGACAAUUAAACAAGAUAUACAUCUACAGAAACACUCUAUCUUGUUUGAGGAAUGCAAAUUACAUUUCUAUAUAUACUAGAAAGCCAAUAUGCAGAAGUUCAUGUAUAUCCUACGUAGAAAGGUUAGCUGGUUGAAUAAACCAAGUACUCAUCCUAUCUAGAGGUGGAGGCGGCAGAAGUGCCAGUAGCUGCCGGGUUUCAAGCAUUUGUGCCAUUGGCUGCGCCUGCUGAUGUAUUUGCCUUGAUGCCACGGGCGGCAGCUGCCCUCCUUAAAGCUUCGGGGCUACCUAACAUACAAGAAUCCUUGAGAACAGCUCUUGCUUUCCAGUCGACACCAGGCACACCAGGGUGAGGUCUAUCCUCACCACAACACAGACAGAGUAUUUCAGCAAAAGGGCCAACAGUUGCACCCACUGGAAGUUCAAUCUGGUAUGGGCAUGCUGAAGAGCAGUAGUCUUUCGACAAACAAACAUGACAAUACCGGUCAUCAGGGUGGAAAGCCCUAAAUGUUCCACCCUUGAGUCUUGCUUCUUUUAGCCAUUCCUUGAGCUCAGGAGUGAGGUUGGGGCACUGAAAGGUCGGGUGCCAAUCUGGAUUAGGACACAUCUUACAAGCCAAAGCAAAUUCACCUAUUUUAAUGUAAUUAGCCAAUGCUGGUCCUUCCGCCUUUUCCCCUUUCACUUUUGUUUUCUCAUUCUCCUUCAUAUAAUCUUCGGGGGCCACAAUAACCAUAUCUCUGUUUGGAUCAUCUUUGGGUAGAUCUUGCCAACGGAGGAUGACCGGCUUAUCAUCUUUGGGUAAAUCUUUCCAACGGCGGAUGACCGGCGGCGCAAAUGGCGGUUCUUUAGCUUUCUUGACCUUCCCGGAUGAUCUCCCCAUGGCUGUGUGCAGUUAGGAUUCGGCUUCGCUCUUAAACUUUCUUUCUCAGAUCCUUCUCAAAGUAAUGGUUUGGUAAUACUAUGUGAGAUAUGUAUAGAGAUGCUAACAUAAUCCUAAUAGGAAAAGAUCCAGAGAUACUAACAUAAUCCUAAUAGGAAAAGGAAAAGAUCUCCUACGUACAAUUCUACAUAAUAUAUAUCCUACACACACAAGGAAAGUAAGUACAUAAUAUAUAUCCUCUACACACAAGGAAAGUAAGUAUAUACAAUAUAUUUUACACUCACCCUCAGUGUCAUCGUCGACAGUUGACGGAGGUGAGAAAUCCGACUAGGUCGGAUUAUCCAGAUACGGUUGGGUCAAACGGGUUUCGUCUACACCGGAAGGUAAAAAGAAUUUAAUUAUCAUAGGUAAUUUUCGCAAAGUUUGGUGUGAUGCAAGUUUUUUUCAUGGUUUAUUAGAGGUCAAUAAACUGAUUAUUAGAGGUCGUUAACCUAAUUAAUAGGGGUCCAAAAGCAUGAAUAAAGUUUAUUGAACAUGAAUAAAGCCUUCACCGAGGAUCCAGUUAGGUUCCAGCGAAAUUAUUGAUGCGGCUCAAAGCCUCUCUGGACUCAAACACACAAGACAACAUGAGAAGAAGAUAGUGAUGCCCUGGCGGCUGCCAAUACUUAUAAUAUAUGAAUGAUCAAAAGACCCCUUACAAGAGCCAAUACAUCUUUUAAAUAGAGAACAAAACCUAGCUAGUCCUUAAAAGGAAGUAAGCAACAACAUUAAAACUACCACAACUUAAUAGGUACGUAAAUAACCAAAGCAUAAUAUAAUAAGGAAUCAUCUUUUGGACCAAACCUAGUCCUUAAGAUACUCUGGCGCCUGUGCAUUCCUCUUGGCCCUUGGUUCAUCACCAGGCAUAGCUCCCGCAUCAAUUAUGGUGACGACCGGAGAAAUUUCGGCAACCGAAGAAAGUUCUGGCAAAAUCUUCACUCUUCCACUUUUUCUCUCCAUAUACAUGUUUAAUAGGUAAGGGUCAAAUAACCUCAUCAAAAUAAACAAAAGAAUAAUUUUUCUUUUUUGACUAGUUAAAAAUUGUUGAUUUUGUUUGAGCCCAACAGAUAUUUUGGUCCAUGACUAGAUUAAUAAAGUCUUGGAUAUCAUUUGGGUCAAUACAUGUGGCUCUAGAAAUAAAGCCUUUUUGGAUAUGAACCCUAGAGACACGCGAGAGGUGGGUUCCUAAGCGAACUGUAACACUUCGCGGGAUAAGGAAGUCUUCAGUGUUUGAGUCCGCCUCGGAGAAUGAGAAGUUUUCAAUAAGCGAAGGGUCAGUACAUGUGACCUAAGCGAAGUCUACCUAUGUAAUUGGACAGGCGUCACCCAGUUACUUAGUUUGCAAGCAAAACGAAUCCUUGUAUAACUUUGGUAGCAGAAUCCUACUUAGGUUGUGGGAUUGCAUCCUUAUCAGUUAAUUACAAGCCCCUAUAUAAGGAGGGUUCGAGGAUCAGUCCAAACACAUAAUCAUCUCAUACAAACAACUACAAACCUUCGAUCUAAUCGAAACCGAGACGCUAAAGCACCUCGCCUUAGCCUUACAGAGCUCGUUUGGUCUCGCCUUGCUUACUAUCCCAAUUGUUGCUCUGCUCGCCCGCCGAGUAUUGAUCGAUUGCAAACGGAUAAGAGGAUUGCUUGUAAUCCUCGUCCGCAAGGUGGCACCGGAAGCCCCUGUCGUUUGAUUAGAAGUCUAGUACCGGUGCACUUUGCAUUCCGCGUCCGCAUGGUGGCACGCCCCACACCCUUCCUUUUAUAUUUGGACUUGCCAAGUUACCCCUCUACCCCUGCUGAGGAUCGUGGCCAAAACAUAUUUAGGCACAAAUAAAGUUAGAUUACAUUCAAAUGAGAUGAAUUUUAUAGUGUCAUUAUUUUUGAAUCAAGAAAAAUAUCAUUGAUGACUACCAAAGCAGUAGGAGUACAAAUGUAGAGUUACAAGCAAAUCAACAACUAAAGUAAAAUUCUUGCGUACAUAUAUAGGGCAAAUAAGAAUAAAGUGAUUUGCAAGGGACCACAUCCUCGUUACACAAUUCAUGCUCACCUAACUAAGCAAGCCUAUAGUAGGCAAAAAACUUACAGGAAAAUCAAUAACUAAACUGAAAUUCAACCAUGCCACAUAGGGCAGAUUUAUUUGCAAAAGUAAAUAUAACGAGAAAUUUUUAGAUGCUACAGGAGGAUCACGUGACAGUAUGAUGUGGUCCUACAAUCCAAUCAAAUAUUGACAUGUGGAUUUAUUACAACUAAAAUAUAAACUAAGGUUUUCUAUUUUUUGUGAAAUGACCUUCAUGGGUCUUUGUUGAGUUUGGACUUUGUUGAUUUUGGACUAGGAUUUAGGGGUUAGGGUUUAGGGGUUAGGGUUUAGGGUUUAGGGUUGAAGGUUUAGAGUUAAAGGUCUAGGGUUUAGAGUUUAUGGUUUAGGGUUUAAAAAGCAACAACAAACCCAAAAUUGUCUUUGAUAAAAUAGCUGAUCUAAUUUUUCCGUAAUAAAAUCUAUGUGUUAAUAUUUGAUUGGAAUGUAGGAACACGUCAUACUGCCACAUAGUCCUCCCGUAACGCUAAAAAAUUUCUCAUAAUAUAACCUAUUAUUUAUGGAAAAUAGAGCAUAGCUAUUUAUUCUAAGAAUAAUAAAAGCCAUGAGUCUAAACUCAGAUUUUCUCCUUUGCCCUUAGAAGUAGGACAAGGAGGUGCAGGCACUGAAACAAACUCGAGUGGAGGUACCUCUGAUUGUCCGACUUCUUAUCCUUGCUUUCAAUCGGACGGCCAGUCUUUCUUUUCCUCACAUAGGUCACUGGACCUUCCACUGGGACAUCUACCAGCUCACCAAUGUGAAAGAGAAAAGUUCCCAAUCCGGCCCAAAAACCCCCCCGAUCAAUUGAUUUUUUGAAGAAGAUUUGGGCCCAGCAGCCAGCCCUUUAGAAACCAAGUCCAACCCAGCAGAAAAAUGCAUCCCCACCUCCGGCCCAUGAUCCUCAGGCCCAGUCAAUGCCAAAUCCUGAUUCUCAGCGGUCAACCCUAAUUUGAGAUUAGGUUUCCCGCCGAAGAAUCCGAGCAUAGCUCGACUUCCUCUGGCGCUGCCGUUUGACCCGUUUCGAUGUCGUCCAUCCUCACCUCAGAUCUUGCCGCAUUCCUCCCAGGUUCAUCGACCUCCAACACCUCCUCAUCUCCGAGUUCAUAUCCAACACCACUAAAGGCAGAGUUGCCAUGACAGCAACCUCCAAACCCUUAUCACACACACCGCCGCCAUGUCCAAAGAAACCACAUGCCCCGCAGACGCCGUGACAUUUCUCAAAGCGAAACUCCAAGUUCGGCGCCUCCAAAUUCACCGACGAACAUCAUGGAUUAGGAGGAUCUUUUGGAUGUGCUCCUUACGCAGAAGGGCACCUUGCUCCGCCCUAACGAACUGCCCCAACGCGUUUCCAAUUCGGGUUAGUCACAUAUCAUUUGGUUGGUCACUACAAGCGAAACGAGGUCUUGGUCUAUGGAAACGAAUAUUUAUCUCCUUACGUUAUCUUGUUUAUCUGUUGUUACCCCGAUAACAGGUUCCGUCAACAGCAUUACAAUCCCCAGAGAAAGAAAAAUGUGACGUUGGUUUCUGGUCAACCUAAAAGCAAACUAACGGAGUAACAACUCUUUAUCGUUAACGGAUCAAAUCAUCAAUCCAAACUCAUCCAGACUAGAACUAGAACAGAACCGCAAAGCAUUUUGGUCCAAAGAAGAUCACCAAAGCGACAUACGCAAACCGUGUAUGAGGAUGAGCACCUGCUGCAUCAGACUAAUCAAAAGAAAUGGGACGACAGAGAUGAUAAGAGCAAACUGAACUAUAUAGCAUCCAACCAACUACACAUCAUAUCUGCAUUUGUCCUAGACAAUUAAACAAGGAUAUACAUCAAUAUAAUAACUCUAACUUGUUUGUUCCGAAUUACAUUUCUAUUCCAGAGAGCCCAUCUGCAAAGGUACAGGCAAAUCAGACUCUAAUGUAUCCUACGCAGAAAGGCUGGUUGAAGAAACCAAGUACUCAUCAGAUGUGGAGGUGGAGGUGGCAGUGCCAGCAGUUGUGGCUUUUGAAGCACUUGCCUUCAGGACAGUGCCACUGGCUGCUGCAGAUGUAUUUGCCUUGAUGCCGCGGGCGGCAGCUGCCCUUCUUAAAGCUUCAGGGCUACCUAACAUACAAGAAUCCUUGAGAACAACUCUUGCUUUCCAGUCGACACCAGGCACACCAGGGUGAGGUCUAUCCUCACCACAACACAGACAGAGUAUUUCAGCAAAAGGGCCAAUUGUUGCACCUACUGGAAGUUCAAUCUGGUACGGGCAUGCUGAAGACCAGUGGUCUUUCGACAAACAAACGUGACAAUACCGGUCAUCAGGGUGGAAAGCCCUAAAUGUUCCACCUUUGAGUCUUGCUUCUUUUAGCCAUUCCUUGAGCUCUGUGGUAAAAAUGAAAAGUUAGCGGUGACCACAUGACAACAAACAAUACAUAAUUCAUGCAUCAGUAAUUAUCCUAAUAAGAAGAUAAAAAAUGAACCAUAUCGUUGAUAAAACUAAAAAUCAAGAGACUGCAGAUUAAAUGGGAAGGCAUAGUUGACCCAAACAACAUUGGUAACGCAAGGGACUGGAGGUGUGAGGUGAGGUGUAAGUACGCACAGCUAGAUUCUUCCUUGCCACACAAACUCACAUCCAUGAAUGAAGUUAUGAAAACAUAUAUGAUAUAUCAGAACACAAUGCUAGAAAGAAUAUAUUAAGGAUUUAAGGUAAGUUAUACUUUACGAAAUUGUUUAAUAAACAUUCUACAGCUAAUAGAAUUUGAAUCAAAGCUCAACGUGUUCAGAUAGCGGAGCUUGCAUAGCUAACCCGAGGAAUAUUCCCAAAAACUAAACAAACAUUUGUCCAGAAUAAACUCAUUGAAAGGAUUCAAAAUAAAGAAGAGAGAAUUCCGAAACACACAAACAGCAGGCAGCAAGCAAAGUAAAAUUUAAUUACAUUAUCAAAAAUGAAAAGCAGAGUACAUACCAGGAGUGAGGUUGGGGCACUGAAAGGUCGGGUGCCAAUCUGGAUUAGGACACAUCUUACAGGCCAGAGCAAAAUCACCUAUUUGAUGUAAUUAGCCAAUGGUUUUUCACUCUCCUUCUCUGUUAAAUAAUCAGUAAAGAAAUCAAACUAUGGCGCCUGCAAGAUCUAAACUCAUCGAAAUCCCUAAAAUCAAAAUAGAAAUGACAGACCAGGCGAUCGAAAUCCUUAAAAUCAAACUAUAAAUUACAUACCAGGCGGGGGCAUAAAAUCUUCGGGGGCCACAAUAAUCAUAUCUCUGUUUGGAUCAUCUUCGGGCAGAUCUUGCCAGCGGAGGAUGACCGGCUUAUCAUCUUUGGGCAGAUCUUUCCCACGGCGGAUGCCCGGCGGCGCCACCUGCGGUUCUUCAGCUUUCAUCUUUGGCUGUGACCUGUGUGCAGUUAGGGUUUGGCUUCGCUCUAGAACCCUCAAGCUUUCUUUCCCGAUCCUCUACUCUUCUCAACUCUUUCUAAUUCCAACCUUUAAUAAGCGACUUUGUAGAGACCUAUGGAGUAUGGACCCAAGUCACCCAACCAACUUUGUUCUAGUCCAACGCUCGGCCCAUUGUGACAUCUGCUCGGCCCACACUCUUGUAGUUGCACAUGUUUUGUUUUUUUUUCUUAAAACGAGCAACACUUUUCUUUUGGGCCGAUUACAUAUAAGUCCACUUUGAGACAUUUUUUCCCACAUAGAUCCACCCCAAUAUUUUUACCCACAUAAGUCCACCCAAGUCUAAAUAAAGUUUUGUAUUAAGUAUUAAAGUUCAACAUAAUUACAGACUGCCAUCCAACAAAAAAAUUAGAUUUUCUCCUUUAUAUUUACAAGAAUGCCACUAGUAUAAAAAGUCAACAACCACUCUCAUUUCGGAACAGUCUCCGGCGGACCUCCGGCGAGAUUUCCAGCGGACCUCCGGUGAGGUUUCCGGCCGACCUCCGGCGAGAUUUCCGACUGACCUCCGGCGAGGUUUCCGGCCGACCUCCGACGAUGACAAAAAUUACUACUACCAGCUAAAAAAGCUACUACCACCAGCUAUAAAAGCUACUACCAUCGCCUACAAAAGCUACUACAAAAGUUUCCGGCCGACCUCCGGCGAGAUUUCCGACCAACCUCCGGCGAGGUUUCCGGCCGACCUCUGACGAGGACAAAAAUUACUACUACAAGCUAAAAAAGCUACUACCACCAGCUAUAAAAGCUACUACCACCGCCUACAAAAGCUACUACUGUGAGGUUUCUGAUGAAAACAAAAACUACUACCACCAGCCACAAAAACUACUACCACAAGCUACAAAAGCUACUACCACCGCCUACAAAAGCUACUACUGUGAGGUUUUCGACGAACACAAAAACUACUACCACCAGUGACAAAAGCUACUACCNNNNNNNNNNNNNNNNNNNNGGAGAGGAGGGCAUUUUAGGUACAUCGUAAAAGUAAAAUAACAGAUUUAGCCUUAAAAGUGGACUUAUAUGAGUAAAACUGUUAUGGUGGACUUAUGUAGGAGAAAUGUUCAGAAUGUGACUUAUAUGUAAAUUUUCUAUUUUCUUUUUUAGCAUGAUUUUGUAAUCACAACCCUUUUCUCUUUUUUUUUUUCUUUUUUUUAACUUUCCUGCUACUGUUAAUCAAGCUGGGAACUUCGAUCAUUUUGGAGCUUGUUGCUCUAGAAGUUUUUGAUUGUAACUUAGUCUUUUAGCAUAAUAAUAAAAUUAAAAAAAUCUUUUUUUUUCUUCUUCAAUAAGCUUAUCCCUGAGCCUUAGCCCAAUCCCGUCCUACCUUUUGCCUUAACGUCCACAUGUGCAAAAUUUGGAGCAAAUAUCUAACUUUAGAUUCUAAUAACCACUAUUUUUUUUAAAAAAAAUACCUCACACCACUUAGAUUCAAUCCAUUUUUGGUAUUAAUUGUUUGCUUGCUACUUGCUAGAGUGGUGUGUGUGAUGGUAAUAGAGUUUUUUUUUUUUUGAUUGAAAAAAUACUUUAUUUAAUCAAACUGCCAGACAUCAAUUUGAAUUACAUCAGUAAGUUUCUCUGAAAAGAAACCCAGAACUAGCUUCUACUAUGAGCAACAAUAACUUUAUGGAGCCAUGGGGGCCCUGAUUCAUAACAAAACAUAGACUGAACCAUCUUCAAAACAUUUCGAGCAAGAGUAUGAGUAAUCUUGUUAUGGCACUUGCACACAUGUUUACAGGACACCCAUUCAAACUCUACCUUCAUCUUACGAACUGCAUCCAUAAUUCCUCCAACAUCGCUCAAAUCGAGUACAUUUCUGCCAAUUGCAUUGAUCACAUUGAUCACAAUUUAUCUAAAACAGAACUAAUUCUACUCCAUGCGUGUUGCGCAGGUGAAAAAGCUAGUAAUGAGAAAGCUGAGACUAUCAAUAAAUACUCCCAACAAAUAUAGUAGAGCCCAGCCCAUAACAACGCAUGGGCCCACACUUUUGUGGCAACACCUAAACUCCUUAAUCAAGCAGGAAACAAGAAUUGUAGUUUGUAUGAGAGUAUGAUUAUUGCACUAUUUUACAGAGAAUGAUUUCUUUAGGCCCCUUUCUGUAGCGAAGAACAGUAUUUCCGGAACUCAAUCAUCCAAUAUACACCUCCACAUGGAAUUACCAUAACAUAUAUCAUUUCAAAAUAUCGUUAAUUCCAGAUGAAAAAGUAAUCAAUCAUCCAAUAUACACCUCCACAUGGAAUUACCAUAACAUAUAUCAUUUCAAAAUAUCGUUAAUUCCAGAUGAAAAAGUAAGUAUAAAGAACGAAUCAUUCAGUUUAUAUUUUGCAAAAUGGAGUAAGUUGGACCAAUAUAUUGGGUAAUUCCUUCGCUUAUAAUGUUGAGAUCACAUGCAUGUAAGUUUCUAUACAUGCACAAUAAGUUCGAUUCAGAUGCUUCAUGCUUGAUGCGAAUUUAACUUUCUCAUGGAUAUAUCGUACGUACUUUUGUGGAUGGAUACUUCUGAGAAUGAUGUUACUUAGAUGAAGAGUACUCUAACAUAGCAGCUUUAUAGUUUAAAACAGGACUUGUCUCUGUUAAACUGAAACACCGUUAGUUCCAUCAUGGUUUGUCUGACAUUUGUAUCAUUUUGAAAGACUAUAUUUCAUAAGGGCCAGGAUCAAAUACGAGAAACCUUAUUUACACAAGAUUUGAGAUUUAUUGUGAGGAAAUGUGAGCCACUAUCUAGGAGAAUUCAAUGUUCUCGAUUCAGUUCCACAUGAUCUAGCUGAUGAAUUCACUUCGACCCUCCAAUUAUUUUUUUUUUGCAUUUGGAUUUUAGUAGAUAAAAAUUUACAUAGUGCUAAGGUCAAGGGGAAAAUUUGACAUUUUACGGUGCGUAACGAAGGAAUGCCGUACAUACCUCUUCAUAAUAUUAACAUUUACGGCAUGCUUUUAUUGCAAGUUGUAAAUGACUCGAGACACAAUCUCAUUUACGGCACACUUCAGAAGCACGCCGUAAAUAACUCUACAUAACAUUAUAUUUACGGUAUGCUAUAAAUGCACGCCGUAAAUGACCCAUUGAUGCAUGCUGUAAAUUUUAGGCGGUAAAAACCCUGAAUUCUUGUAGUGAAUUUCUCGACUAUAACUACGCUCUUACGUACUUUCUGACACUAUAUACAACAAUGGAUGUGCUAUAUAUAUUAUGUAAACUUUAACUAUAUAUGAACUAUCUAUCAGAAUCUAAUAUUUGCUAUAUUACACUUCCGUUUGGCAAAUAUCACCAAAGCAUCAUGCAAACAAUUGAAAACAAAGAACAAUACAAUUAGACUUUAAGUAAUUGAGUAUUUUUUUUUUUUUAAACUAGGAAUUGAGAAAUUUAUUUGAUCAUGCAUAUUAUUGCAGGAAGGGGGCCGGGAGUGAAACUAAUACUAGUAUAUACUUAUAUAUACGAUAGAUUAGUAUCCUUUAAACACCUUUCAUCACGUAGAAAACUGCCCGCCUACAAUUUUCUCUCCCACACGGCCAUGUAGGAAAGUAGGAAACUACACGUAAAAAAUAUCAAUAAGAUGACCUGAUAAUUAAUAGUCAUGGACUCAUGACAAUGACAUAUCUUUCCCAGUUUCUUAUUUGCAAAGACCUUCUUUUGCUUGAGGCCAAAGAGAGUGACCUCUUUUUGACAUGUAUCUGAACCAUGCCAAGCACGACGAGGCAGGUGCCGGCGGAAGUAGAAGUAAUCGGAGCUCAGACGAGAGUGAGAUCCCUCCAAGACAUGGACCUGAGCAAAACCAGGCCUCCAGUCAUCAGUUCCAGCCAGUUUGAGAUACAAAUUAAUAGCAGAUGGGGAAGUCAACACAUUGACCCAUCACUUGAAACUGAUCCACAACACACGCUUGAAAUGGUUUUCUGGGCACAUCAUCGACUCAUCGAGGACUUGGGGGUCUACCGGAUCCACCCUUCUUAUGUGCUUGGAGUUUGGGUGCUUUACCAGAACGUCAUUAGAAUUUGUGUCACCAAAUCUUAGGCUAAUGUUGUUUGAGGUCGAAGCACCUUUUGUGCAUGUUGUUUCAAUCGUAACUGCGUAUGUACAAUUUUCCUGUUUAUAUAAAUGAAAUGCCAAUCAAUACAUAAAUAAUUUGUUCUUAUUAAGCUGUUUUGGUUACUUUAGUUCUAACGAGUAAGAUAAGUGUGUGUGUAUAUAUAUAUAUAUAUAUAUAUAUAUAUUAUAUAUAUAUAUAUAUUUGUUAAAAUGCCAGAGACAAAAUGACAACAUGUAGAAUAUGUGGGAACUAGUGUGGCAUACAUAAAAACCAAAGUAAUUAAUGAAUGCCAAAAAGAGUUUUAUGCAAGAAUAUUUAGAUGAAGAGAUGAAGCUUUCAUGCAAAUGCAUUGCCUUUAUAUGUUAUGUACGUUGUUAAUUAAACUGUCGAUCUAAUUAAGCACUCAAAUCUGCAAAAGUUCAGGCAAGUCAGACUCCCAUGUAUCCUACGCAGAAAGGCUGGUUGAAUAAACCAAGUACAUCAUAUGUAGAAAUGGAGGUGGCCGUGCCAGCAGCUGCGGGUUUUCAAGCACUUGCCUUCACGACAGUGCCAUUGGAUGCGCCUGCUGAUGUACUUGCCUUAGUGCCACCGGCGGCAUCUGCCCUCUUUAACAUGUUGGGGUCACCUAACAUACAAGAAGCCUUGAGAACAGCUCUUGCUUUCCAGUCGACACCAGGCUCACCAGGGUGGGGGCUCACCUCACCACAACACAGACAAUGUAUUUCAGCAAGAGGGCCAACUUUUGCAUGUGCUGGAAGUUCGAUCCGGUACUUGCAUUGUGAAGACCAGUGGUCUUUUGACAAACAAACAUGACAAUACAUGUGAUCAUCAGGGUGGAAAGCCCUAAAUGUUCCACCCCUGAGUCUUGCUUCUUUUAGCCUUUCCUUGAGCCCUGUGGGAAAAAUGAAAAAUGUUAGCAGUGACCAAAUGACAACAAACAAUGACAAACAAACAACAUACUUCAAGCAUCGGUAUUUAUCCUCAUAAGAUCAAAAUUGCAUCAAAUCUUUAAUAAAACUAAAAAUAAAGAGAUGGCAGAUUAAAUUGGAAGACAUAGUUGACCCAAAAGAGCAUUACGCUAAAAAUAACCAAGUAACGCAAGGGACUGGAGGUGUGAGGUGAGGUGUAAGUACGCACAGCUAAAUUCUUCCUUGCCACACAAACUCACAUCCAUGUAUGAAGUUAUGAAAACAUAUAUCAAAACACAAUGCUAGAAAGAACAUAUUAAGGAUUUAAGGUAAGCUGUACUUUACGAAAUUGUUUAAUAAACAUUUGACAGGUAAUUGAAUUUGAAUCAAAGCUCAAUUUGUUUAGCUAGCGGAACUUGCAUAGCUAACGCGAUGCAUAUUCCCAAAAUCUAACCAAACAUUUGUCCAGAAUAAACUCAAUGAAACGAUUAAAAAGAGAAGAGAGAAAUCCAAAAUACACAAACAGCAGGCAGCAAGCAAAGUAAGGUUAACAUUACAUUAACAUUGUCAUCACAAACCCUAUAACAAAAUCCAAAAGCAGACAUUACCAGGAGUGAGGUUGGGGCACUGAAAAGUCGGGUGCCAAUCUGGAUUAGGACACAUCUUACAGGCCAGAGCAAGAUCACCUAUUUUGAUGUAAUUAGCCAAUGGUGGUCCUUCUGCCUUCUUCCUUUUCCCUUGCACUUUUGGUUUCUCAGUCUCCUUCUCAUUCCUUUUCCCUUUGCCUUUGCCUUUCCCUUUCCCUGUUAUAUAAUCAGCCAAAAAAUUAAACCAUGCUCCUGCAAGAUCUACACUCAUCGAAAUCCCUAAAAGCAAAAUAGAAAUUGCAUACCAAGCGAGGGCAUAUAAUCUUCGGGGGCAAUAACAAUCAUAUCUCUGGCCGGAUCAUCUUCGGGCAGAUCUUGCCAUCGAAGGAUGACCGGCGGCUCCGCUGGUGCUGGUGGUUCUUCAACUUUCUUGCCCUUCCCGGAUGAGGAUCUCCCCAUGGGUGCGUGCAGUUAGGGUUUGGCUUUCGUUGUCCAUCCUUUUCCUCUACUCUACUCUUUCAAUUUCCAACCUGUAAUAGGACAUUAUAUAGACUUAUGGACAACUGACUCUGAACAAAGAGCCCAGAUCCCAGCCCAAUGUGACGUCUGCUCGGCCCACAGUUUUGUAGCUACACGUUUUUUAAUCGCAUCCUUUUUCUUGUUCUUCAAUAGGGAGCUUCUAUUUAGAUUCUCCAAAAAAUUUAAAAUAGGGGUAUAAAUGGUUCGUAGUCGAGCCGAAUACUGAUUAAAUUAAUAAUUUCAAACGGUUCAAUUAUUUUUGAACUCAAAGACAAUUUUGUCAUUAAUACUAAAAUAAAUGGUACAAUACGAAUCAAUCUGUUGCCAUGCAUAUAGAGGACAAACAAAAUCAUCUGAUCCGUAUGAGGGUUGCAUCCUCAUUACAAAUUUCGGCUCACUAGGAGCCUAUAAUCUAGUAUAAUCUAGUAGCAAAUAGAUCAUAGGUUAAGAUCCCACCUAGAAAACUAGAAAAAGACUAAAAGAAAGAUAGACUCAUAACGCCAAGACGCCAUAAGGUACAGAAAAUGCUUAGACACAAUUAUUUAAUACUUACUGAACUGAGAGAAUUUUUGCAGUCACAUAGCUAUUACUAUGAGUUUACAUUAUAAUAAACGUUUGACUGUAUAACAAUCCUACAUGUACUAGCUCAUUACCCGCCCAGAAUCAGGACCCUUUCUACAGUAUCUGUAUCUGGUCUCAACUCUCAACCGUGAAGAUGGAGACGGAGAUUGAUGUUUCCUGCAUGUGUUUAUUUUUUUGGAGAAGUCAUGAAAUCACAUACAAUUCUUUCAGGUAAAUGAAAUAGAAGGCUCUGGUGUCUUGAUCUAGCACUGAAACGACUGAAUCUUUGACACUGAAGGCUCUAUAGUGGAAAAGGACUUGUCUUUGCUAAUUAUAGGCUACACUCAAACACCAUUAGUUGCAUCAGGCCGGGUUGCAAUUGUCUGACUUUGUAUCAUUUUGAUAGACUAUUUUCCCUAAGGGCUAUAGGAUCAUAUGAGACACCUUAUUUUGCACAAGAUUUUAGACUUAUUUAAUUCGAGCUAUAAAUUAAUCUAGCUGAAUUCAAUGGUCUCGAUUUAGUUUCCUCACGAUAUAGCCACUACUAGCAAAAAAACAACUCACACAGAUUUAACUCACACGGACUAUUUUAAAGCCACAGAUAUCAGUAUGAAACACAAUUUCGCACAUAUAACCGUGUGAGAUGAUCAUAAUCGGUCCCACAUGAAUUUCUGCAACAACAAAAAUGACUACAAUCCGUGUGAAAAAUCAUUAGACACAGAUGUCUAUGUGAAACUAAACUAUCUAUUCACACGGUUAUAUGUGGCAUGCUCAAUAUGCACAGAUUUGUGUACGUAUUAGAUAUUAAUAUAUUUAAAAAUCGUUAUAUUUUAUAUUAUAUGAAUUAAAUAGUGAUAGAUUUCCGUAACAAUAUCUUUUAGCUACAAAUAUUUGUGAGAAUUGUACAUACACAUAUAACCGUGAGAAGUAAAAGACACAUACGUCCGUGUAAGAAAAAUACCAAACACAGAAAUCCGUUUGAUAAAUAAACCCAAAUAUUGAAAUUCCCUCCGAAAAUUUGAAUGACCACUUACUUCAAUUCACACACAUGUCUGUAACAACCGCAAAAGUAUUACAUACGGAAAUAUGUGAGAGCUGUGCUCCUUCUAUAUGGAAAUCUGUGAUAGGUUUCAUUAAAUCUUAUAUCAGCCAUCAGAUCAUUCAUCUUCACUUCUCUCCUUUGUAGUUUAUAGGUUCUCUCCUAUUCUUUCCUCUGUUGGAUGAGCAAGCUGCUCUAGAUCUUCUUCCACUUUGUUACUUUGAUCCAUGCCUAGUUUAUUGUUAAAAAUAGCAGAUCUCAUGAUUUCCUUGCUCUGUUUGAUAUCUUCGAACCCAGAUUCGAUCUCAGAUCUAAGAAAUAGCAGAUCGAUUCAGGUUUAUUCUUUGAUCCAUUUUUCAUAUACUUUAUGUUCAACUUGUUAUUGGAUUUUGAAUAAUUUGAGUUGUGGUUCUUGGUUCCAUCAGUUUGUGGUGGAUUGCUUUAGAUGUUAUUGCACGUAAUCAUUGUCCAAAUUUCCAGAAUUUGCAUGUUUAUAUUGUGAGAUUAACUUGGGUUUCCUUGCAAACCACCUCUGUGCUUUGCCAUAAAAAAGCCUUCAAAAAUUCUAUCAGAGGUGCAGAUUGUUGAGGAUAGUCUACUAACAGAAAGGGACUUGAAGAAAUCCCAGCCAGUUAUAUAUAGGUAAUAUAUUGUUAUUCAAAACUAAUUGUCUAUUAAUCAUUUUAAGUGUUCAUAUACAUACAGUGAAUAUCCACCUUGCUUGUCUAAGUUCUUUCAUGUUGUUUAUUUCAUUUUCAGCAAUAAAAGAUGUUGUCAGAGAGCCAUAUGGCAUAUGAGCAGCUAACCAUGGUAUGUGAUGGUACCAGCUGGUUGAUGGUGUUUGAUGAGAUGGAUUGACCAUGUUUUAGGAUGGUGUACAAGAUGAUACUCAUGAUAGUGUAUGAGAGCCAUGACAUAGAUGACAUGCUAGGCCAUAGGUCUAGACACCAAACAUUUUUUUUUAGUAAUAUUACUCUCUCACACAGAGUUCAGUGUCAGUUGAUAUUUACUAUUACCACACAUAUCCGUGUGAAAUAUCCGUGUGAAUUAGAUAGUUGUUCCCACUGAACACCAUUUAAUAAAUGAAUUAUGUCUAUGAAAAGAUAAUGGGGUCCACAUCCAUAAUUCACACGAACUUUUUUAUCAGUGUGUAACGAGCAUUAGCCCCCCUCUAAACAUUCGUGAGUGUACUGUGAGUAAUGGCUUUCUGACACUGAUAUCCGUGUGAAAUAAGCUUAUUUCACACGGAUUAAAAUCAGUGUAAGAGCUAAUUUUGCUAGUAGUGAGCUGAAUUCAUCAUCAGUUCGACCUUGAAGCAUCUCUAAUUUCGUUCUUUUUGCAUUUGAAUUUAGUGGAAUUCUUGUAUGAAUGACGUGUAAAUACACGACACAAUCUUAACCGUUCAUUACAAUUCAUAUGUUUGACCACCAUGUUUCUAUAUUAUUUUCUCUAAUCUUAAUCAUUCAUGUAUGUAUGUGAAAAUACACGUCGUGUACUGAAGAUAGUGUUAAGGUUAAGGGGAUAAUUUGACCUUUCCAACGGUAACUACGACCAUACUUUCUGACAUUAUAUACAUCGAUGGAUGUGCUAUAUAUAUAUUAUGUAAUAUUUAACUAUAUGUAUAUAUGAACUAUCUCUCAUAAUCUAACUAUAUAUAUUUUCGAUUACAUUCCCUUCGCAAAUAUCACCAAAGCAUCAUGCAAACAAUUGACAAUAAAAGCAUUAGAAUCAAUGAAACAAAGAAUGAUAAUACAAAGAAUGAGGUACCCAAGGAGCCAUUUGUUUCAUUGGUUGACCAAAACAAUUUAGUUGAUUCGCGGAGUGAUGAGAUUAUCAGGCCUAUUGAUUCAACAACGGCGGUGUUGGUUUGUCCAAGUGUACCACAAUUGGAGAGCAUUGUUACAACAAGAUCUGCAGGUAAUAUUGUUAAUGUUACUGUUAGUAACAACUUUGAGAUCCUUGGUCAAAUGCAAGAACAUCCUAUUGUUGCAAAUGAACAAGAGAUAGUGGGACUCCCCUCAAACACUUUAGUUGACUCUGAAGAUUCUACUUUAGUAGAACAUAAUGUUCAUAAAAUUUGUUUGGGGGGUGGAUCUAGAAAAUGAAGAACCUCUUGGUAAUACAGUUUUUGCUCAAUCUGAGAUUAGAUAUGAAACCUGGUUUGAUGAGGGUGAAGCAGCUUCAGAUAUUAAUCUUCUCUGUGCUCUCCCAAAACAAAAGAAUUCCAAGGAAAAACAAUGUCGAUCGAGUCCAAGAUAUCUUGCACGCAAUCAGACACCUACAGUGCGUCUGAACCUUUAGUCUAGCUUGAUCAAUUCGAUUCCAACCAUUUGCAUGGUUUGUUUGAUGUCUCGUACAUCUUUAGCAUUUGUUAAAAGGGGGUUUGGUUAAUGUCUCUCUUUUUCUUGUCGAUUUCUUCUCUUUUAUUUAAUAAAGCUUAAUUUCUUUUGCCAAAAAAAAAAAGGCAAUUGAGACGAUUAUUUGAUCAUGUAUAUAUUUCAGGAAGGGGGAGUGAAACUAACAGGCCCGCUCACCUACGGGACUGAAUUUGAGGGCCAAAACGGGACACUUCAUUUGUAGCCAUUAGAUCUAAAUGAGAGAAAUCUGAGGGAUGAGACAAACUUUACACACUUUUUUUUUAUCCACCCAAUCCCUUACCCCUCCAGUCCUCCACUCCUUCAGUUUUUGCACUCCGCCUCUUCCUUUCUCAUUUUCUCUUCCUCUCCCCCUCUCUUUGUUCUUCUGGGUUUUCUUUGAGAAUUACGAGAUGUCACCGGCGACGGGUCGAAGGUGCCGAAGGAGGUGAUCGAGUGGAUCGGGUAGAACAAGAAAAGCGGGUUGAUGUGUGCCGACGCUGAUGGGCAUCGGCGUUAGCUCACUGAACAUGCAGCUCCAGCGAGCCCUCGAUUCCUAUGCUUUGUUGGUCAACUGCUUCAAUCUGCAUGAUCCCUUUUCUCAAGUUGAACUAGAAUUUAGGGGUUUAGAGGCUCUGAUGUUUAGCCAGGGGAACAUUUGGAAUCUGCCAAUUUUGUCUUUACAAAAGAAAGUGACGCAUCCGUUAAAAAAGAAAGAAAAAAGAUGCAUUUGGGUGUUCUGGGUUGUGUCUGAAUUGUUCUUAUGCAAUUAAUUGGGAUAGGUAACUUUGAUUUUAUCCCCUUAUCUUUCAUUUCGUUUUUUCAGAAGGAUUGCAUAUUCAUAGUUACAAAAUGAAUCCUGGAUUUUGGUUCAACCUAGAAAACAAUAAGAUUGAAAUUUAAAGCCAAAUUGCUUACUGUAGAGAAAACCCAGAAGAACAAAGAGCAGGGGAGAGGAAGAGAAAAUGAGAAAGGAAGAGGCGGAGUGCAAAAACUGAAGGAGUGGAGGAUUGGAGGGGUAAGGGAUUGGGUGGAUCUAAAAAAAAGGAGACGUCUGGAAUGUACCCAGAGGGUGCUGCACCCAGAUGUCUGCUCACGUGUCGACGAGACAGAGGUCACACAUGAGAUAUCUGAUACGUAUAGGGUUGGAGUAAAUACGGGGUUAGUAUUUGAGGAUUAGGGUAAAUACGGGGUAAGAGAAUGUGGGUAAAUACACAGAUGUAUUUUAGUUUGGAUAAGAUUUUAUUUUUUCAGCAAACCUAUAUCUCUCUCCAAAAGAAAAAAAAAUAGCAGGAAGUCGUUGGCUUUUAGUAAAAUCAUGGCCAGUCAUGUUCACCGCCAUAAUCAUGGCUUUUAGUAGAGGACGCGGUGUCUAUCCUUAUCGUUGAUGUGGGGCUGGCUAGAAUGCUGGAUCGAUCGAGCAUAGAAGAGUAGCAGGUCGAAACUGUCGUAGAAAGAACCAGAAAGAUGUUACUUGAAUUUGGAUCUGUUAGGCUGAAGAGUGGUUGGCCACCGAUUCGAUUGGUUCGUGGAGGCCUCGGCGGCAGACUCGCGGGAUCACUUGGUGGUCUGGGAGACUGAGUCGGAGAUUCGACGGAGGUGGUGAUGGUCUGCGAUUUCUUAGCGAAAAUCUUGGCUCCCUUCUACGGGUCUUCCAUUGUUUCAUCUCUUCGUAUAUAAAUUUCGUUGAUUUGGCGAUUUCUACUUGGCUGCUAGCCUGCUACUCUGGUUCUAAAGGAUUGGCACUUUGGCAGAGAAAGAACGAUAGGCAGCCUAUCAUAGGCUGUGAAGCUAUGAAAACUCUUAGUAUUGCUAUGUUUAUUUUAGAUAUUAGAAGGUCAAUUUGCUAAAUAAUAAUUGUGGCAUAGUGGUAAAGCCACAUAUCUAUUAUCUUGGCAAGAGGUGUUCGAAACACCUGGACUACACUUGGUUAGAAUUUUUUUAAUUUUUUCACUAUUCUUUUCAACUUUUGAAAAAAAUUAUCAGAUUUUCUUUUAGUCUAGUUUUUAAUUUUUUUUNNNNNNNNNNNNNNNNNNNNAGAGUUGACCGCCUUGAUCGGGGUCCAAAUAUUAUCGAAAAUAUUUGAAUUUUCUACGAUAGUUGUAUUUCACUAUACCGAUCACAUCCUACGGCCGAUUUUUCAAAAAUUUUUCUCUAUAUAUAGUUGGUUUAUAAAGAUGUAUGUUUGUAUAUAACCCAUUAAAUAAGUUACAGCACAUUAGUAGACACGUUGUGGUUCUAAUGACUAAAAUUCACAAAAUAAAAAUUUGACCGUUUAAUGUGUUAAGUACACUUAAAUAUGUCUAUGGUAAAAAUUCAUAUAUUUUCGAUAACGUUUAAGUUUCAAUCAACGCAGUCAACCCUUAAUCAACGUCACUUAUUACAUGGAAUCACUCUUAUUUACCUCUUUGUGAUUUAGUUUGGUCGAUUGUUCCGCCACACACUCUCACGUAGAUAAGAUGUAGUAGCCCAUAUAAAAAUUAGCGGAAGAUUUCCUCUCGAAAAUAGGGCUCACCAUAGGAAUACAUAAACGUAAAUAGUGUUGACCACGUCGAUAGGGGCCCAAACAUUAUAAAAAUUUUGGAUUUUUCAACCAUAGCCGUAUUUCACUAUUCCGAUCACAUUAUUUCACGAGAUUUUUCAAAAUUUUGCUUCCUCUAUUGUUGAUUCACAAAGUUGUACACUUGUAUGUAACCUAUUAAACAAGUUAUACCACAUUAGUAGGCACGUUGUAAUUCCGAUGACUAAAAUUCACAUAAUGAAAAUUUCACUGUCCGAUAUGAUCAUUAUAGUAAAACAUAGUUAUGGUAUAAAAUUCAACUCGAUUCGACAAUGUUCGGGGCUUGAUCGAAGCGGUCAAUCCUAAUCUAUUGUCACUUAUCACACGAAAACGCUCUUACCUACCUCUCCGUGACCUAAUUUGGUCGAUUCUUCAACAUGAUAAACUCUCAAAUAGAUGAGACGUAACCACACAUGUAAAAAUUUAGAGAUGUUUAGCUCCCGAAGAUAGGGCUCCCCAUAGGGAAGAUUAAGCAUAAAAAAUGUCGACCGCUUUUAUUGGGAUCCAGACUUUAUCCGAAAUACGUAAUUUUUCUACCAUAGCCAAUUUUCACUAUUCUGAUCACAUCUUAUUUCACGAGAUUUUUGAAAAUUUGCUUCCUGUGUGUAGUUGGUUCACAAAGUUGUACACUUGUAUGUAACAUACUAAAUAAGUUAUACCACAUUAGUAGACACGUUGUAAUUCCGAUGACUAAAAUUCACAAAAUGAAAAUUUCACCGUCUGAUAUGAUCAUUAUAGUAAAACAUAGCUAUGAUAUAAAAUUCAGCUCGAUUCGACAAUGUUCGGGGCUUGAUCGAAGCGGUCAACCCUAAUCUAUCGUCACUUAUCACACGGAAACGCUCUUACCUACCUCUCCGUGACCUAGUUUGGUCGAUUAUUCCACACGUUAAACUCUCAUAUAGAUGAGACGUAACCACACAUGUAAAAAUUUAGAGACGUUUACCUCCCGAAGAUAGGGCUCCCCAUAUGGAAGAUUAAACGUAAAAAAAGUUGACCGUUUUUAUCGGGAUCCAUACGUUAUCCGAAAUACGUGAUUUUUCAACCGUAGCCGUAUUUCACUAUUCUAAUCACAUCUUAUUUCACGAGAUGUUUGAAAAUUUUGCUUCUUGUGUGUAGUUGGUUCACAAAGUUGUACACUUGUAUAUAACCUACUAAACAAGUUAUACCACAUUAGUAGGCACGUUGUGAUUCCGAUGACUAAAAUUCAUAAAAUGAAAAUUCUACCGUCUGAUAUGAUCAUUAUAGUAAAACAUGACUAUGGUAUAAAAUUGAAGUGCAUUCGGCUACGUUCUGAGCUCAAUCGAAGUGGUCAACUCUAAUCUCUACGUUUUGGGAAUAGAGUUGACCGUUUCAAUCGAGCCUUUAACGUUACGGAAUCAAGUUGAAUUUUCUAUCAUAGACGUAUUUCACUAUAAUGAUCAAAUCAUACGGUCGAUUUUGGAUUUUAUGAAUUUUAGUCAUUUGAAUCAUAACGUGUCUACUAAUGUGAUAUAACUUGUUUAGUUAGUUAUAAACAUGUAUACAACUUUGUGAACCAACUAUACAGAGGAAGCAAAAUUUUCGAAAAUCUCGUGAAAUGUGAUGUGAUUAAAAUAGUGAAAUACGGCUAGGGUAGAAAAAUCAUUUUAAUUUGGCAACGUUUAGGACCUGAUCAAAGCGGUCAACCCUAUUUACGCUUAUGCUUUACUAAGGGUGCCCUAUCUUGGGGUAGUAAACAUCCCCAAAUUUUUACAUGGGUGGUUGCAUCUCAUCUAUGUAAGAGUUUAAUGUGUGAAAGAAUUGACCAAACUAGGUCACGAAGGGAUACUUAAGAACGUUUCCGUAUGAUAAGUGACGAUGGAUUAAGGUUGACCGCUUCGAUCAAGCUUUUAACGUCACCAAAUCGAGUUGAAUUUUCUACCACAGGCGUAUUUCACUAUAAUGAUCAAAUCAUACGGUCGAUUUUGGUUUUGUGAAUUUUAGUCAUUGGAAUCAUAACAUGUCUACUAAUAUGGUAUAACUUAUUUAGUUAGUUAUAAACAUGUAUACAACUUUGUGAACCAAGUAUACAAAAGAAGCAAAAUUUUCAAAAAUCUUGUGAAAUAAGAUGUGAUCGGUAUAGUGAAAUACGGAUAGGGUAAAAAAAUCAUUUUAAUUCGGCAACGUUUGGGACUCGAUCCAAGCGGUCAACCCUAUUUACGCUUAUGCUUUACUAAGGGUGCCCUAUCAUCGGGUAGUAAACGUCCCUAAAUUUUUAUAUGGGUGGUUGCAUCUCAUCUAUGUGAGAGUUUAAUGUGUGGAAGAAUAGACCAAACUAGGUCACUAAGGGGUACUUAAGAGCAUUUCCGCAUGACAAAUGACGAUGGAUUAAGGUUGACCGGUUUGAUCGAGCCUUUAACGUCAUCGAAUCGAGUUGAAUUUUCUACCAUAGGCGUAUUUCACUAUAAUAAUCAAAUCAUACGGUCGAUUUUGGUUUUAUAAAUUUUAAUCAUUGGAAUCACAACCUGCCUACUAAUGUGGUAUAACUUGUUUAGUUAGUUAUAAGUAUGUGUACAACUUUGUAAACCAACUAUACAGAGGAAGCAAAAUUUUCAAAAAUCUCGUGAAAUAGGAUGUUAUUGGUAUAGUGAAAUACAGUUAGGGUAAAAAAAAUCACUUUAAUUCAACAACGUUUGAGACCCGAUCCAAGCGGUUAACCUUAUUUAUGCUUAUGCUUUACUGAAGGUGCCCUAUCAUCAGGUAGUAAACGUCCAUAAAUUUUUACAUGGACGAUUUUGUCUCAUCUAUGUGAGAGUUUAAUGUGUGACAUAAUCGACCAAACUAGGUCACAGAGAGGUAGAUAUAAGCGUUUCCGUGUGAUAAAUAACUAUAGCUAAAGGUUGACCGCUUCAAACGAGCCUUGUCGUUACCAAAUCUAGUUGAAUUUUAUGCUAUAGUCAUGUAUUAUGAUCAUAUCAUACGGUCGAAUUUUUAUCGUCUAUUUUAGUAAUUGGAAUCGCCAAAAUCACUCUCAACAGUAGACAAGAAAUUUUGAACACUGAAGUCAAUGCUCUGGUACAAUCAACUCAUCAAUAAGCACCAAAUAAAGGCUAAUCAAUUCCAUAUUCGACAACAGAGUGAGACUAGCAUAUUCACUCCAAACUACAACAACCUAGUGAGGUAUGAGAGCUUGUACAUGGACUGUCCUAAUAUUACUCCAAGGCAGCAUAUAUAUACAGCAUGUAUAUAACAACCACCAUGAACACUAUCAUGUCACCACUACAGCUAGAACAAAAGGCAUUAGUUUAGAGAAUGCUCUCUGAUCAUCUUGGUCUGGUGACAGAGAGGAUAAAACAAGUAUCAAGAAUCAAUUGAUUACUGCAUAAUAUGAACUGACAUCAGUAGCCAUCUUCUUUGCCUUGUACCCAUAUAUUACUACAAAGAAAAUGUACCCAUCAGUUCUGAAAGCACGAAGCAAAGGAAGUAUUCAAAAAUGAGCAAGUUCAUCAGCUGAUCAGCCUCUAUGCAGCUUACAGAGUACAUGGCACUUGGCAGGACUUCCACUCUGAAAAAGUCAUUCUUCUCAGCAAUCACAACGGAAGCUAGCGACAAAUUCUCAUCAAUGACAACUGAUUGUGGAUAACACUUUAAUGAGCCUAACACUGCCAGCCUCUACAGACAGAUAUUACAUCAAAUUAGAGCCAACAAAUAUUAAAUUGCAGAAAGCCAUAAUAACAUUAUAACAGACGUACAACAUAAGGAAAGCUAUUUAGCUUGAUGCCAAAAGUUAACAAAUAGUCAUCCAUCUCAUCAGGUUAAUAUAACUCAACUAAAAAAGAAAGGAUAAUGAGGCAAUUACCAGGCCUAUACGACAGUUCUACACAUACAAGCAACAAAUCUACAAUUCCCAUAAUGUAUGCAUAAUCACCACAAUCAGGAUUGAAAUCCUCAACUGCCAUCAAAAGAACUUUUUUCUACCUAAGGGAGCGGAAUAUCAGAAUCAAGAAAAUAUAGAAAAGGAAAACAAGAAAAACCACAAAUGUAAGCUAUGAAAAUAAUGAAACAAAAGUCAUCAUAACAAUUUUAGUCAACUUCUACCUUAUAAAACUAUAAAGUCAUCCCGACCUGAUCUAGAGGCAUAGAACCCAUACACGGAAAGCAUUCAGUGAAUUUAACCAUGCACAUCAACUAAGAGUACAUAUUUAAUCUAACCAUACCAGAUGAUGUUUGCGAAUAUAUCAAGCAGUGCUCCCAUUUUCAUUGACCAAAAGAAGACCAAGAAUCUGAAAAAAUAACCAGACAUUAACACAAGAAACAUACAAGCAGCAUGUUUAAGAGCUGAUAAUAUGGCUAAUAUUGCUAUACAGCUAUGUCACGGCAACAAUGGAACACAAUAUCUUCUAUCAUCUACCAACUGACCUCAAAUUCAUGGAAUAAGCUCCUCCCGUUUCGAAUAUUUUGAAUUAUAGAAUCAAAAUCUACAGUUUGAAGAUGAACUAGGAAUUCUGAGAUUGAAUAGUACUCACAAAUAGAAUAAAAAAUAUACAUGGUUAAAGCUCAGUUUCUGAUUAACAAACUAUCCAUUACAAGCAUGAGUUUCACGGGAGCAAGUUUAUCGAAAGUAAAAGAUAAUAACAUAAGAGAAAGAGAUGGACAAGAAAGCUGAAAUGUUGUUGCAUGAAUCUUGUUUUGCUUCAUAAUAGCCCAGAACAAAAUGUAAGAGCGUAAUCUCAUAAUAAUGAUAAUAAUAAUAAUAAUAAGGGGAUGUCUGUCAGUAACUCAUCUCUUCAAACCUUUAACCCAAUUCUUAACAAUCAAAUUAGAGACUAAAAACCAUUCUACAGUAUUAAUACCUGAAAUCGAAUCAGAAAAUUGAACUCAAUUCAGUUCAGUAGAUGAUGGUGGUGCUCCUUGAGCUCCUUCUAACACCACCGAGUCAACGACUUGAACCUCCUUCGUCGGUGGCAAAUUGAACUUAAUCCCGUUUCGGUCAACCCCGCUCAACACCAUCUUCAAAAAUUAACAACUAUCACAUGUCCCAUUGUUCGGUAUCUAAAGAAAUAUACAGGGAUCUCGAAUUUAGUACCGCUUCGUCCAUGGAUGAUAAGCCUGUUGCCGAUUUCUGGAACGCUCCUUCGAUGCACUGGAUUUCAAUUUCGGGAUCUAGAUCGAAAACCGGCGACUCAGGGCCGUAUUUUCUGGAAUUGCGCAACACUCCGAUGGCUGAUAUGAAGCAACGGAAUCGUUCUGCUUUCGGUCCACGCAGAGAAACCCUAGAUUUUGGAGAUGCAAAAAGGAAUAAGAAGAUCUGUUGAAUCAAUCCUCUUAAUCGAUUAUGGAUGGCACGUGCGAGACGCGUGCGUACACGGUAAAACUAUUGAGUGAAAUCUGGGAUACCUAUACAUACUAGCCAAAUACAAACCGUCUUAAUACAGAAUCCAGGGAGACAAUACACAGACAGUAGGGGGGCAGCUGGGUGCAGCACCCUCUGGGUGCAGCACCCUCUGGGUGCAGCACCCUCUGGGUGCAUUCCAGAAUUCUCCUCUAAAAAAAGUGUGUAAAGUUUGUCUCACCCCUCAGAUUUCUCUCAUUUAGAUCUAAUGGUUUCAAAUGAAGUGUCCCAUUUUGUCCCUCAAAUUCAGUCCCGCAGGUGAGCGGGCCUGGUGAAACUAAUACUAGUAUACUAUAGAUUAGUCAUUAGUAUCCUGCUAACACCUUUCACCACGUAGAAAACUUCCCACCUACGAUCUUCUCUCCCACACCCGGCCAUGUAGAAAACGAUCUGAUAAUUAGUAGUCAUGGCAACAAGGACAUAUCUUUCCCUAGUUUCUUUGCAAAGUCCUCUCUCUUUUGUUUGGGGCCAAAGGGAGUGACCUCUUUUUGACAUGUAUCCGAACCAUGCCAAGCACGACGAGGCAGGUAGCGACGGAAGUAGAAGUAAUCGGAACUCAGAUGAGAGUGAGAUCCCUCCAAGACAUGGACUUGAGCAAAACCAGGCCUCCAGUCAUCAGUUCCAGCCAGUUUGAGAUACAAAUAGCAGAUGGGGGAGUCAACGCAUUGACCCAUCACUUGGAACUGAUCCACAACACAAGCUUGAAAUGGUUUUCUGGGCACUUCAUCAAGGACUUGGGGCUCUACUGGAUCCACCCUUCUUAUGUGCUUGGAGUUCAGGUGCUUUACCAGAACGUCAUUAGAAUUUGUGUCGCCAAAUCUUAGGCUAAUGUUGUUUGAGGUCGAAGCACCUUUGAUGCAUGUUGUUUCAAUUGUAACUGCGUAUGUACAAUUUUCCUGUUUAAAUGAAAUGCCAAAUUAAUAUAUAAAGAAUUUGUUUGUGUUUAUAAUUUAGUCAUUAAGUUGUUCCAGAUCUGGUUACUUUAGUUCUAAACAAUACGAUAAGUAUUUGUUGAAAUGUCUGAGACAAAGUGACAACAUGUACAGAAAUACGGAAUAUGUGGGAAGUGCAUGCAUGCUGUGGUGUUUUAAAAACCAAAGUAAUUAACGAAUGCCAAGAAGAGUUUUAUGCAAGAAUAAUUAGAUGAGCUUACAUGCAAGAUUUAAAGAAAAAAUAAUACAUGUAUUGCAUUUUUAUUCAUUAUAACUUUUUGAUAAUCUGAUAAUCUAAUAUAUUAUGUUGUUAAACUGUCGAUCUAAUUAAACACUCAAAUCAUGAAAUGAUCCAUAUAUGAAUUUAUAUAAAAGACUAGAAUUGCAUAUGGUGCCAAAACACAGAAACAAAUUUUACUUAAUUAAUUAUGAGUUUAUAUAUGAUGAUCACCUUGUUUCCUGGCGCGAGACUUUCACCUCCGGCAAGCAAAGCAAGCAAAAGUACACAGCAUGUUAAGAACGAUCCAUAGUUCUUUGUUGCCAUUUCAAAACAAACAGAAUGGUUUUGCGUAUGAUUUUCACAUAUAUGUAAUGUACGUGGUAUAUGAUUUAUAGCCUACGUUCUCGAUUGAUCCGAGGCUUCAAUAUGUUCUUUCCUUGGCAUAAUUGGAAAGGCAUAUUCAGCUUUAUACUGGUGCUUUUUUAUGUACUUAACUUGAGGAAGUUCCUUAACUUUUACUUAAACUAUCAGCUUUCUGAUAAAGCAAUUUCUUUUCUAUAUUUUUCUUCGCCUUUUGCUCUCUAGCUAAUUGAUUUUCCAUGUAUUAGAGCAAAGCAUCUUUUAUUAGUGCUAAUGCUUUUCAUCUUGCAUGCAUGGCAGGCUUAACACUUUUAUUUAUAGGCACCUCCUUUAGAAAUCGAAAGCUCAAUGUAUCAAUUCAUCAAUAUUGUAUCAUCUCUUUCAAUCAUGUAAAGAGUCCCAACACAACCGUAAAUUUCUACCAGAAAAAAAGAGAUCGAGCUAGUAGAGAAAUAUUUAGGAAAAAGAAACAUAUAUAAGAUAUCAGAUACUCGAUCAAGAAGAGUUUAUACUUCCAACAUAGAUAUUAAUUUGUAACUCUUCCGAUGUUACAUUGUCGCACCCUUUUUAUUUCCUCAAUUCAAAUCAAGAAAAAAUCUCCACAUUGAUAAAUACAUAAACUGGAAUUGGCCAAACUAGAACAGAACAAAUUAAAAUGGUUAACAAAAGGAGAUGGCCGGGUUAUAGUCCCAAAAUUCAUGAAGCUACUCGAUCGGGUUGGAGUUAAACGUUUAAUCAACAUGUCGGAAGAUCUGACGGUGGAGGAAGCAGCUUCUGGUUGGGAAGCUUUCCAUCUAGCACUACCCAUGCCAUCUUCAAACCCCAACUCGUAUGGACCUCCAGGUGACAAUGCAUGAACCAUACACCUAAACAUUAAUGGAGUUUCGUUAAAUUAAUUAGCUACGAAUUCACUUAAUCAAUGAUUUAGAUGGAGGAACUGAAUCAAUUAACUCACCAGGAUUAUCAGCUAGGAAUCGAAUCGCAACCCACCCACCGGAGGGCACACCAACCGUGUUUCGUUCAACAGGAUCGACCAAAUUGAACUUUUUAGGGUCCUUAUUCUGGUCAAAGUUGCCAAAUCCUUGACCAACAACAAAGAAGUUGAAUCCAUGGAGAUGAAGAGGAUGGCUUUCAGCACCAAGAAUGCUAGUGCCUUGCAGCACCAACUCCACGCUAGUGUUAAAAGGAAGCACCAUUAGCUUUGUACCAUUUCCCACGUUAGUAUUGUUCAGCGGAGGUCCGGUGUAGUUAAACGGAGUUAAAGGGCUGAUCGGAAAGUCGGAGGAAUAGACUCCUUUUGAUUGGCCCGAGAAGUGGGAUUGGAGUAGGGCAGUGGUUGGCAUAGUGAAAGAAACGUUGUUGAUUGAAGCAGCAAACAUGGUUCCAUUGGGCCCUUGGCAGGUUUGGUUGCUAUUCUGCUGCUGGCUACAUGGGUUGGAUCCAAGUCCUACCGUGAAGAACAAAUGCUUAUCAACUUUUUGUGGGACGUUAGCUGGGAAUUGUGGAGUGUUCAAGCUGCGGAGUUUGCUGACGAACUUUGUCACAAACGAUGUGUCGUUUAGAGCUGGGAGGAUUGGUUUGUGGAGGGGAAGUUUCUUCAUUGGGAGGGUUGAGUGAAGUGUGGUUGCUUCGUACUCAAGAAUGCCAGCAACAGUGGAGUUGUCAAAUGUGCCUAGACCAGUCACGUAUGGCCUUGCAGUCAUGAGAAAUGUAGCAUUUGGGAAGUUGGGUUUGGUUUUGAGAAGAACGUUUGUGGUUUGUCCCGGGGUAAUGAGAAUGGUGUUGGUCUUGAAGGGCUUAACAUAAACGGCGUCUGUUUCGACCACUUUGAGUGUAUGAUUCGCAAUGCUGAAGAAGAGCUCGUCAUUUAGCGCUCCGUUGAUUAGGCGAAGAAGAUAUGUUUUCCCAGCUUGAACCUUCAGCUUGAAUGUAUCUGCAAGCACAUGAUAUAAUGAAACAUGACGAGCUUGCCUUUCCAAAAAAAAACUUAGAAACAAGAUUUGAGAUGACCUAUUUCCAUACCUUUAGCAGAACAGUUAUACAGUGGUCCUGGGAGUCCAUUGAUGGUAUAGGCGUCAGAGACAUUUGGACCUCCACCAGUUUGUAGUGCCUGGUUUAUGACUGCUUCUGGAUCUGCAUUCCACCACUCUCCUGCAAAUUGAAGCAUAUAUUGCAGGUAAUUAUUAGUGAAAUAACUAAUGGUUAAUUAAUUUUUUGGCAGGUAAAUAGUUCAUUUGUUCUCAUUCCUCUUGUGUUUAUAGCGAAUUACAUACCAAAGAUGAUGGGUACUUCCUUGUAGGGUUUGAUAAACGGGUAAGGAGCACCGCGCUUUGGAAGAAUGAUUAGAGGACCAUAAACAGUUGAUCUGAGCCAAGAAAGAUGAGCAUGCCACCAAAGGGUGCCUCUUUGUCCUACAAUUGUGUAGUUGUAUACAUAACUGUUACCCGUUUGUAUAGGGCAUUGGGUCACGUAUGCAGGUCCAUCAGCCCAUCCGGAACGAAGUUGUCGAAUUCCAUGCCUUAUAUGAAACAAUUGAAUCCAACACACUUUCAAUUUUGAUACCAAUCACCAUUUAGUCAUAUCUUUUGCAAAGUUUUGGAUUACUGUUUAUGCAAAUGAGUCUCAUUUUUGUAAAAGAUAUGAUGACCUAUGUAAGCAAGAAGGAUGGUGCAUAUGUUAACCAAUGUAAUGAAAAUUUAAGUAGAGAACGUCCUGAUAUAUUUACCAAUGAAUGGAGAUGUUGUUGGGGACAUGAUUAACCACUUUAAUAAGGAGAUUGUCGCCCUCCCUUGCUACAAUCCGAGGUCCAGGAAACUGCCCGUUAACUGUUACAAUGCUCUUUGUAUGGCACAACCUUGUGACAUUUUGCAGUUUGAUCUUUGAAAUUAACAAUAAUAUCAAUUUAACGAAAGAAUUCGGAAGGCAACAAACGAAAACAAAGAAUUCAACAGAAAGAAAAAAGAAAAAGGAAUAAGACAUACUUCAAACUUGUAGUGCUUGGUAAUGCUUGCAGCUGCAAGCUCAGAACUGAGACACAAAGUUAGGACAGAUAAGAGAAAGAGCCUAAAAAAUGCUUGCAAUGAAAGAAUAGAGAAACCCAUUUUACUCUAUCUCUCUCUCUCUCUCUCUCUCUCUCUCUCUCUGUGGAAAUUGAAGUAUGUUCUGUCGAUCAAAUCUUGUGGAUUGUGCAUGUAUAUACAGGGGUGUUGAUGAGGAAAGCCUGUUUGGUUGUUUAGGUAAUUGACAGAAAACGAUAUCGACAUGGUUUAAAGAGGAAGCAGAAGAAAAACCAGAAGCUAGCGAAGUUCAGACAAAUAUGGCUCUGUAUUCUAAUGCAUAGCUAGGGCCAGUUCUUGUUGUGAGAUAGAACAAACUUCUUAGAGUAAUGUGAAAGACAAUCAAAUUUAAGGCCCCUCCUUUCUUUUCAAGUCAAAUCUUUGAUUAUUACCUCUCGUAAGGUUUUAUUUCCUUUCAUGCAUAAGUAGGCUUGACGUGGACGAAGCUGUAGCUACUUCCAUGCUUACCAACAUCUGGGAUUUAAAAGGGAAACGUAGAUAUGAAACAUGCAGUUACGUACAUCACUGAAAAGAGACUAUUCACCAUUCUUUUAGGUGGACACCAGAGAUCAUAAGAUUAUAAACCGUACCUUUUGUUACUAUUAUUUUCAUUUUUAUUUAUGUCAAUCACUGCCUCAGUGAAGAAACAAUUGUCGAAAAUAUAUAUCGUGCUCAGAUGAUAUAUUGUUAAAUAAGAUAAGCGGGUGCAACAGCAAGCGCUCAAUUUCUUUCGUUUCAUUCUUACGAUUAUUAAUUGUUUCAACGCGACCAGACAAAUUAAACUUGUUUGAGAACUAACCACGUACAUCUUGAUAGCAACUCCUAAUUUGCUUAAUUUCUUACCACUAACAAGUUUAACGGCUGAAAAAGGUGCAUGUCAGUACUACUUGAAAACUAAAACCCUAGCUAAUUACCUUCAAUCUAAAACACUGAGGUCUCCUAUUUUGAUAACAUCUUUUUUUUUGUUAUUUAACUUCUAAUUUGGAGAAAGCACAUCUAAAUGUGUAGAACUCCGAUCAUUCAACAACAUAAAUAGACUAUAUAUCAGAGGAAUUAAAAAGGGUGCAAGUGAAACUAAUCAAUCCCGCUUUAGUAAAUUCAGGUAAAGUGUCUAAUGAAUAGUCUCAACAGAAUUAAUUAGAAUCAAAUGCAUGCAACUGAGUAAUCUAACAUAUCAAUUUCUCCCCAAAAAAUAUAAUUCCGUCGAAUCUUAUUAGUGAAGAGGAUUGAAAUUUGGUGAGAUUUCAAACUAUUGGCUUGUUGCACCAACACUGCUGAGAGAGACAAGCCCUGGUCCGUCACAUAAUUAUCUUCUUAUUCACAGCAUGCAAUAAUAGUUGCGUAUCCCGCCCUUUUCCCUUUUCUCAUGGACUUGGGGUAGUUUUUAUUUNNNNNNNNNNNNNNNNNNNNNNNNNNNNNNNNNNNNNNNNNNNNNNNNNNNNNNNNNNNNNNNNNNNNNNNNNNNNNNNNNNNNNNNNNNNNNNNNNNNNNNNNNNNNNNNNNNNNNNNNNNNNNNNNNNNNNNNNNNNNNNNNNNUAUAUAUAUAUAUAUAUAUAUAUAUAUAUAUAUAUAUGGACUUGGUGGUUGGCAUGUUGCAGAAGCUGGAAAACGUGCAAAAUCAUCUUAAGAGUACAAAAUGUACGUGAAAAUACUUGGCAAAGUUUGGGUUGGUCGAGCCGAACUGGUUGGACUUCACUACCACAAUAUUGAGCAAAGGCCACAUAUCAUGUGUGGGCAAUAAAGGUGUUGUAUUUUUCCAUAAGUGUGGCAAAUGAGGGUAUUAAUAGAGUAUAAGUGAAAAUUGCCACAUAUAUAUGAAUUUUAUAGAUUGCAACACCUCUAUUGCUCACAUAUGAUGAGUGUCCUUUGCUAUUGUGGUAGUGCUUGAAACCACGGGUUGGGAGGUCAACAGAAAAUGAUCAUUCUUCGACACCGCUCUAAAGUUGUUCUAACAUUUGCAACCUUCCUGCUGAUUAAUAAAAUACCUUUCUAUAAAACAAAAACCUUAUUGAACAUAUUGCACCUGAAACUCUUGUAUCUAAUCCAUCAUACUCUUUCCUUACCUUUAUAAAUAUAGAAACAUAAUAGCCAAAUCGUCGUUUUCAACACACACUUGAUUUGGACUCUGGAGCAGCAUCAUUUCUCUCUAUCACUUCCCCGUGCAUUACAGAUUUGCUUAGUUAUUACUUAUUAGCUAGCUCUAAAAUUUCUGAGGGUGUAAUGUAAUAUUAAUGCCCUUAAUUUCAAGGAAAGGAACAUUAUAUCAAGAACAUCUGCUAUUACAAUGUGUUCAAGUAAUGAUCUUAUUAUUCAUUAUUAGAUGCAGUGGCGUAGCCAGAAACCACAAGUAGAAGGGUCAAGAGUUUAAACAAUAAUGUCACACAAAAUAAAAAUAUAAUUUUUAUUGAAUAAUAUAAAAACUUAUAAAUCAUUAGAAUACUUUGAAAACAAAAGCUAAAUAAAAUAACAAAUCUUCUUAAAGCAAUUAUAAUUGUCCUCGACGAUUGCUCAUAUUUUUGAAAUUUUGGAGGAGCUUCAGAUGGUGUCGAUUAUUCUGCUGCUUUUCUCUUACGAUACUUUUCAAAUAAAAUUAAAACAUCCAUAAUUGCAAGUUUUUAAUUAUGAAGGUUGUCGACGACAGGGAAAAAUUUAUUAAAGGAUAACAAAAAGAAAUACAUAAAGAAGCGACUAAAAAUGUUUAUAUAGAGGUGCACGAGAAAUCAAUCACAAUAAUUGAUUGAUUAGGAAAACAUAUUAAUUAAAAAGACAAAAAAAAAACUAGGAAUAUGUUUUAAUUGUAAUAUUAAAGGGAGAUGCUAUCAAUCAUUGAUUCGGAUUAGAAACCUAUAUUAACAAAAAAAUAAGAGAACCACACGUAACAAACACACGUGAGGAGUUGAACACUCCUCUGUCCAAAUUGAUUGUUGUAAUUAAUAUUUUAUAUGCCGAAUUUUUCUUUAAUUAGUUAGAAUUGUCAAAAUAGUACCAACAUCAUAUUUCAACUAACAAAUUAGAUAACAAUAUGACCUAAUAAAAAAUGUGAGGGAGGUCAGCUGAACCCCUUGACCCUCCCUUCCCUACGCCCCUGAUUAGAUGUACGAACUAACAUCACGCUUACAUCUGUUGCAGACAUUAGCUCCAACAAUCAAUCAAUAUGGAAUCCAGGACUCUACAAUAUGUGAUCAAGCAACAUGAAAUGAACAAGAUUUGGCUACAACAAAUUGAUGAUGAUAUGGAUUAAUAAUCAAUCACUAAUGAACAUGGGUUUGAUUACAAUCUCAACGGAACUUGCAACCUAUCUUUAGUACUUCUACGGCGGAUGGGACACCGGUUGGACUUAGCAAAACACUUGAGGAGGCAUUCAAGGUGAAAAGUGUGCUGACACUUAUCUAGCAUCGAACACUGGCGUAGCGAUGAUGUUUCAAUCCAGGGUGAUGUUGCUAUCCUUAGAUCACAAAUACCAAACAGAAAUAUUACUGGGGAGAUGCGUACGUAUACAAUGUAUUUAUCCAAGGGCGAGGUAGAGUUUCAAUCCAGGUCUGCAGAGGACCCUUAGAUUUCGGUCGAAAUAAGGCGUGAGCCCGUACACAACGAGUGAGAGUCGAAUUGAACAAUAAUCAAACAUUUGCAUCAAAGAAACGCAAUCUUCAAUACUUUGACUAACUUCAGAGAUGGACUCACCAGCUUUGUUUAGAGCAGCAACCAUUAUCAUUGAGUCACUCUCCAGCUCAAUUUUCCUCCAACCUUGUUGUGCGGCUAAAUGUAAUCCUUCCCGGCAAGAUGUGGCCUCACCAUGAUAGUUGAGUUGAGGUAUGGGAGAACCACAGAUUUUGCUGCCACAAAGUUACCCUUGUCAACCCAGUAAGGCCCAAUCGCAAUUGACUUUUAAUCUCCCACUUGGUGGGCAAGUCCAACGGUCCCUUUCCUUUCUUUGUGCUCUCUCUUUCUCCUUUGGUUGAUGACGACUUUUGUACUCUAUAUAAGUUUAGGUACCAAAAGUUGCAAUCCAUAAUAGUUCAUGUAUCAUUUGAGGAUUUUUUCGUAAGGUCUAAAUAGCUAUAAUUGAGAAUUCAAUUGUUUAAUACAUAAGACCUACAUUAGAAACGAGAAAUUUUAAAUAUACACUCUUAAUAUCUUAAUACACACCUCACAUAUCAAGUUUUUCAUUUCAGUAUUACACAUCCCAAACUGCUUAAAAUACAUUUAAUUUAUGAAAUAUUUUAUUAUUUAAUAUAAUUAAUCUAUAUUUACUAUUUGGGACCUCUUUUUACAUAUUAUUUAGUCUAAUUUUUGUUAGAAUUUUUUUAUUAUCAUUGUUCAAUUUAUAAUCAAAUGAUUAUUGUUAUAUCCCAACUCUAAAUCAUCAAUACAAGUUUUCAAAAUUCACAAGUUAGUAGAAGUGUAGAAGUACAAUAGCUAUUAAACAUAGAUAUCUAGUUAUUCGAUAAAACAUAUCAUGAUAAAGAUGCAGUACUUGAGAAUAUGAUAUGCAAGAUCAAACUAAAGCUGAUACAGAAAAAAAAUAAAAUAAAAUAAAAUAAAAAAAGAAGAAAAAAGACAACCCAAAUGAAUUGUGGAGAAGAGUUGGGGUUAUAGGAGAAGACGUACUUUCAACGAUUUUAGGGUAGAAAAUGUUAAAAAUAAUACUUCUAGCGCGAUUUUUUUUUAAUAAGAGAUGUUUGUUUUGGUCAUUUAACUUACCUAUAAAAUCUUAAUAGAAACAUAAAAUAAUAAAGGUGUGUAUUAAGAGAUUAGGGGUGUGUAUUUAAAAUUUCUCCAUUAGAAACAUGUGGUCACUGCUAACUUUUUUUUUUUCAUUUUUAAUAGAGAGUUCAAGAAAUGGCUAAAAGAAGCAAGACUUAACAGUGGAACAUUUAGGGCUUUCCACCCUGAUGACCGGUAUUGUCAUGUUUGUUUGUCGAAAGACCACUGGUCUUCGGCAUGCCUGUACCAGAUUGAACCUCCAGUGGGUGCAACAGUUGGCCAUUUUGUUGACAUAAUUUGUCUGUGUUGUGGUGAGGAUAUACCCCACCCUGGUGAGCUUGGCGUCGAAUGGAAAGCAAGAGUACGUUGUUCUCAAAACUUCUUGUAUGCUAAGGAGGGAAGGUGCCGCCCGUACAUCAACAUGCGCAACCAAUGGCAUUGUCGUGAAGGCUAAUGCUUGAAAAGCCGCAUCUGCUUGGCACUACCACCUCAACCUCUACCUCUACAUAUGGCGAGUACUUGGUUUUCAACCGGCCUUUUUUAUUUUUUUGUGAGAAAUGAAUAAAUUCAUUAAUCAAGGUUACAAAGCUUGCAAACGUGAGGCAGAAACUAUAACAAACAAAGAGCAUGGACCUCCAACUCGAUCAAGCUAGAAAGAGUGAAAGGAAACCACAAUUCAUUAAUCUAUAGGCCGGAUGCCCUACAACCGAAAAUAAAAAUGUAACAAAACAAACAAAUCUAUCACAUCCUCCAUCCAUGCUUGUUAUCAUUGUCGUCGCCAUCGCCGCCAACAAACGUAAGGUCGUGAGGAGUGCUAAAUCGGAGGUUUGAUGCCUGAGACACUGAUGCCAAACAAAUUUCAAUGUACACACCCUAUGGAAACCCUCAACCCAAGGAAGUAGCUCCCUCAAAACAACACCAUAUAAUCCACCAUCGCAAAACACACCAUGACGAUGUUGUGGCUGACCAUACAAUGCACUAUUCAACCAGGCUUUAUGUGUAGGAUACCUAGUACUGAAUACAUUAAUCUAUCUAAAUCUAUGAAAUUAAUCUAUCUAAGCUUAUCUAACGAUGAUUGAAUAAACUACGGAUUAUAACAAUUUCCUAUCUAACGAUGAGUGGUGAUUUUGUAACUUAAAAUCCACAUUACCUUGGGUUUAGUCCUAGCAGCUGCUUCUUCAUCCUUAAUAAUCUUUUCUUUUUUCUUUGAUGAUCCUGAUGUCUUAUAACUGCAGCUGCAUGCACAUGUAUUUUCUUCAACUUAGAAUGCACUAUGCUAGGUUGCAGUGGGUAAAAUUACUAAAGAGCUAGCAAGAUGUAACAGUGCAGGAUCAUAGAAAGCUAGACAUUCGGUCACAUUCCAGGCUAAAAUUCGAUCGAGCUUCUCCUAGCUGCUAGCUUGCCCCUUGUUUCGCUUCGUGCUUUGUAUGCAUGCUUCUAUAAAAAAGAAUGAAGAAAGAUUGUUUUCUGCAUAACGUACGUGCUGAUGAUGCCAAUUAGAGAAUCAAGAAUAAGUCGUUCUACAAGCUAGAGAGCUGAGCAAGUGCUUCCAUAUAUACUAUGGAGCCCUCAAAUAAUUGAGCAGUAGCAGAUAUGCAUAUUCGAGUCAAAUAGAUAAUCAACUGCUGCGUAACGAAUAUGUACCGUACAUAAUUAUAAAGUACAAACAACCAAAGAGGCAAAGACUACAGAAUGCGAUAUCCAAUAUAGUCCCUCAAUAAAACACUCUAAACACUGUUGAAUAAGAAAAAACAAAGAAACCAGUUGCAUUUCCUAAGUAUACAAAAACAAAAGGAUUAUGCAUCUAGUGGUUGGUGCCAUCUGUGAAGAAUAUAGAUUCCCUUAGACGGGGAAUCAUAUGAAUCUGGUGUGCAAAUGAACAACAUGAUGCUUCAAAUUAGAAGAGACACCAGCUCCACAACAAAACCGUUGUAAAUAAUCAAUAUAUUCAAACCCUACCUCACUUCUAUAAAUCCUCCCUUAAAUUUUCACAGCUGCAUCUCAGAAAUACAGACAGAAAUCCACUAGUCCUACUUUGAAAAGCCAUGAACUCAACCAGCUGGCUGCAGCUGUUUCUUUUCCUCCAUAUGACAUUGUUCUUCACAACAAUGUCACUAGCCGUAGCAGCGAACUCGAAGCUCUUCAGGGAAUACAUAGGAGCCGAGGGCGUCGGUAUCACAUUCUCUGAUGUACCAAUUGAUCCCGGAGUCGAGUUUCACUUCCUUCUUUCCUUUGGCAUUGACUACACAACAUCUUCCCGUCCUAAACCCACCAAUGGCAUCUUCAAUGCGUUCUGGGACACAGAUAAUCUCAGCCCUUCUCAUGUUUCAGCCAUUAAGGCCCGUCAUCGAAAUGUUAAAGUAGGUCUGAGUCUUGGAGGAGAUACCGUAGCUGGUGUUUCUGCAAACUUCACUCCUAUAUCAAUCAACUCUUGGGUCAGAAAUGCCAUCUCUUCCAUAGUAAAGAUCACAAAAGAAUACAAGUUGGAUGGAAUCGAUAUCGACUACGAACAUUUCAACACAGAUCCUAACACCUUUGCUGAAUGCAUUGGGCGACUAUUUUUCUACCUGAAACAAAACAAAGUUGUGUCCUUCACAUCAAUAGCACCAUAUGACGAUGAUGCUGUGCAACCAUAUUACUUAGCAUUGUGGAGAAAGUAUGGGCAUCUCAUUGACUAUGUUAACUUUCAGUUCUAUGCCUAUGAUAAGGGCACAACUGUUACUCAGUUCAUGAAAUAUUUUGGGACUCAGAGCUCAAAUUACAAAGGGGGCAAGGUCCUAGUGAGCUUUGGAACAGACCAAAGUGGGGGUUUGUCACCUGAACAUGGGUUCUUUGACGCUUGUGCUACGCUUAAAAGUCAGGGCAAGCUUAAUGGUAUUUUUAUUUGGUCUGCAGACGACUCCAUGAAGGCUCACUUUCGUUAUGAGAAGCGAUCACAAAGCUUACUUGCUAGCUAGCUAAGAUGUUUUCAUUUUAACUGUUUUGUGUACUAUUUUCAGUUUUAUCAAUGAAGAUUUCAUUCAUAACUUGAUUUGAGAAACUUACAUCAAGGAGUAUAUAAUGGUCUGACUAAAUUAACCGUGCUAAAGUAAUCCGAAGAAAGUAUCACACUAUUACAAACUUAGAACUCAACUUCAAUAAAAUUAAAAAAAACAAAAAAUAAAAACUUAGAACUCAACUACUUUGGUCUAUCUUCCAUGAUUAAUUUGAUUACGCCAAACCGAUCAGGUCAAAUUCAAGUAGCCUCUUACAUAGAUUGAUAGAUAUGUCCUUGCUCACAUCCGAUCUCUUAAAAUGUGAAAAAGAAAAGACAAUACUAAUGGAAUAGCCCUCUAUAUAAUCCCUUGGAACUUCACUCUAGAACGUACUAAAAUUUGACGAGUUUUAAACACUAUACAACUUGUUGCACCUACACUGUUGACAGGGACGUACAGACCCUGGUCCUAGCUAAUAAAAUGAUUCAUAUUCAUUAUCUAAGAACUUGACAGCAUGCAGAUAGUUGUUGGCAUGGUGGUGCUAAUAAAGCCUGGAAAUAUGCAAGUCACAAUCAUUAUCUCCAAUUCUGUAUUUAGAGUUCGAAGAGUUACAUGGAGACGUGGUGAUACUUGGCAGAGGUUGGACUUAAGAGGAAAGGCCGGGAGGUCAGCAGAAAUUGAUUGUCUUCGACACCACUCUAAAGUUGUUCAAACAAAUGCAUCCUGAUUAAUAAACUACCUCAUCUGAAUUGUUCUAUCUUCUGCCUGCUAUGUUUCUCCCCUGUAAGCUACUUCAAACUUCUAUGACUACCUAUCGACCAAACUUGCUCUUUCCUCAACCCUAUAUAAACACGACCCAACAUCAUCAUUUUCAACACACACUUGAACUCGAGCAGCAUCAUAGCUCAUAUCUCUCUCACUUCUCUGCAAGAAGAACAAAGGGAGAGAUCAAGUAAAAUGGGUGUCGCUCUUUUUUCACUUGUUAGGCUCUUUGUUCUCUGUUGCAUCACAUUGGGUCUCAUUCCUCAGCUAGCUCUUGCAAGCAUUACAAGACACUACACCUUUGAUGUACGUGCAUUUGCAUAUCUAUGAUAUUUCUACUUGUAUAUACGUCUUCUGUCACCUAUAUACAACUUCCAUUUGCACUGCUGGUUCACCAUUGUCUUCAUUUAACAUUUUGGAAUGGUCGACUUCAUAGGUUCAACUGCAAAAUGUGAAAAGGUUGUGCCACACGAAGAGCAUUGUAACCAUAAACGGUCAAUUUCCCGGGCCUCGGAUUGUUGCUAGGGAGGGCGAUCGCCUCCUCAUCAAAGUUGUCAACCAUGUCCAAAGCAACAUCUCCAUCCAUUGGUAAUGAAUAUAUGAUAACCUAUAUAUACUAUUAAGAAAACGCUUACAUGAAUAUCCCACACCCGAUAACUCAUACAUAGUGUAGUCAUGCAUAUGCAGUAUCAUCAAUCACACAUGCAUCUAACAAAUGGAGUGUUAACUCACUUAACUGUUAACAAUCGGCAGGCAUGGGAUUCGACAGCUACAAACUGGGUGGGCUGAUGGGCCUGCAUACAUCACCCAAUGCCCUAUACAAACUGGCAACAGUUAUGUGUACAAUUUCACCAUUGUAGGCCAAAGAGGCACUCUUUGGUGGCAUGCUCACAUUUCAUGGUUAAGAUCAACAAUCUAUGGCCCCCUAAUCAUUAUUCCUAAACGUGGUGUUCCUUAUCCAUUUACCAAACCCUAUAAGGAAGUUCCCAUCAUCUUUGGUAAGUUAAUAACUACAAGCACAAAUCAAUUUUAUUAUGAGAAAUAAGCGAGUAUAAAUAGCUAAUUACAAAACCUGUUGAAAUGCUUGAAACUACAGGAGAAUGGUGGAAUGCAGAUACUGAAGCAGUCAUAAAGCAGGCCUUGCAAACCGGUGGAGGGCCAAAUGUUUCUGAUGCUUACACAAUCAAUGGACUCCCAGGGCCUUUGUAUAACUGCUCUGCUAAAGGUACAAAUGUUUCCCAAAACAUGUGCAUAAGAAAACUGCUAGACUCGUCAAAAACAUUAAAUGUUCAAAGUUCAAAUGAUGCAUUUUGUUGAAACUAGAUGAGGUGUAAAGUGUGUCAAAAACAUUAAAUGUUACCAUAUCAGUCGGUAAAACAAAUUUAGCAAAUGUAAUUUGAUCCUUCAUCACACAUGUUGAUAAUGUUGUCUAUUUGGAUUAUGCAGACACUUUCAAGCUGAAGGUUCAAGCUGGAAAGACAUACAUGUUGCGCAUAAUCAACGCAGCACUGAACGACGAGCUCUUCUUCAGCAUUGCAAACCACACCCUCAAAGUGGUGGAAGCUGAUGCAGUUUACGUCAAACCUUUUGACACCAACACCAUUCUCAUUGCCCCCGGACAAACCAUUAAUGUUCUUCUCAAAACCAAACCCAGCCACCCAAACGCCACAUUUUUCAUGACUGCAAGGCCGUAUGUGACUGGUCUAGGCACCUUUGACAACUCCACUGUUGCUGGCAUUUUAGAAUAUGAAUCAACUGCACUUCAUUCAACCCUUCCAAUGAAGAAACUUCCACUCCACAAACCGAUUCUCCCGGUUCUAAAUGACACAUCGUUUGCGACAAAAUUCUCCAACAAACUCCGUAGCUUGAACACUCCCCAGUUCCCAGCUAAUGUUCCACAGAAAGUUGACAAGCGUUUGUUCUUCACAAUAGGGCUUGGAACCAACCCAUGUAGCCAGCAGAAGCACAACAACCAGACUUGUCAGGGACCUAAUGUAACCAUGUUUGCUGCUUCAAUCAACAACAUUUCUUUCACUAUGCCAAACACUGCCCUACUCCAAUCCCACUUCUUUGGCCAAUCCAACGGGGUUUAUUCCCCUUAUUUUCCUAUCAGUCCUCUAAUUCCAUUUAAUUACACUGGUGCACAGCUGAACAAUACUAAUGUCAGCAAUGGUACAAAGCUAAUGGUGCUUCCCUUUAACACUAGUGUGGAGUUGGUGUUGCAGGACACUAGUAUUCUUGGUGCUGAAAGUCACCCUCUUCAUCUUCAUGGCUUUAAUUUCUUUGUUGUUGGUCAAGGUUUUGGCAACUACGACCAAAAUAAGGACCCUAAGAAGUUCAAUCUGAUCGACCCUGUCGAGAGAAACACCGUGGGUGUGCCCUCCGGCGGGUGGGUGGCUAUUCGGUUUCUAGCAGACAAUCCAGGUGAGUCUACCAAACAAUCUUAUACGUUACAUUUUUUAUCUUCAAUCUAGAUGAUCAACUAUGUUCUAACAUAACUUCUGUAUGGUAGUGUUGCUAACGAAUUUAAUCACCACUGAAUUAGGUGUAUGGUUUAUGCAUUGCCACCUUGAGAUCCAUACUAGCUGGGGAUUGAGGAUGGCUUGGCUUGUCUUGGACGGAAAGCUUCCCAAUCAAAAGUUGCUUCCUCCCCCGCUUGAUCUUCCCAAAUGUUGAUAGAUGUUUAACUACACUCACUUCUAUAUCUUACCUCCGACUCUGAUCACAACAUUUCCCCAAGAAUUUUGUAAUCCAUUGGUUUUAUUCUUUGGCAUGAUUGAUGUUUCAGAAUCUAUCAUGCUGAACCCAUGACAAUAAUAUUCAUUUGUAACAUUUCUUGAUGUAAGAGGGCUCACAACAAUAAUGUCACAUUCAGAUUACUGCCGUUCUUUUAAUUUCUUGCUUACAAGGUAAUUUGACUAAUUUCUUUAUAGCUAAUGGUUCAACUAGCAGGGGCUUAUCUGCACAAAGGCCAAAUUUUAUAGUCCAAUAAAGAAACCAUUUAGAGAACAAACAUAAAAACACCUCUAUGCUUUCUGCCAUUGCCGCCGAUUAGCCUAAACCCUAUCAAUAUACCAUUGUUGUUUUCCUCUGAACUUAUAAAACAAGGAAAGACAAAAAGGGUGUACAUACAUAAUACUACACACAAGAGUAAAAGUAUAACAGUAGAGAUCAUAAGACAAUAGUCGUGGUUCCAAAUGGUAAAGUGAAUAAAAAUUUACCUCAGAAAUGAGUGAUUAUGCAUCUAAUGAUUGGUGCCAUCUGCGCCAGAAUCAUAAUUUCCCUGGUCACACACUGGACGGGGAAUCAAAUGCAUCUGGUUUGCAAAUGAACGGCAUGAUGCUUCAAUAAAGAAGAGACACCAAACUCCAAAACAAAUUUCUUGUACAUAACCAAUAUUCCAACUGUACCUCACUUGUAUAAAGCCGCUUCCAAGAGUUUGUACAGCUGCAUCUCAGUACACAUCACAGAAAUCCAAUUUUCCUCCUUUUAUUAGCCAUGAACUCAACCAGGCUACAGCUGUUUCUUUUCCUUCUAAUGACAUUGUUCUUCACGACACUGUCAACAGCCCAAGCAGCCCCAGCAUACUCAAAACUCUUCAGGGAAUACAUAGGAGCUGAGGACAACGGUGUCAGAUUCACAGAUGUACCAAUAGAUUCCCGAGUCGAGUUUCACUUCAUCCUCUCCUUUGCAAUUGACUACACAACAUCUUCCCAUCCUAACUGCACCAAUAACUUCACAACAUCUUCCCAUCCAAAACCCACCAAUGGCAACUUUAACGUGUUCUGGGACACAAAGAAUCUCAGCCCCUCUCAUGUUUCCGCUAUUAAGGCUAGUCAUCCAAAUGCUAAAGUUGCUCUGAGUCUUGGAGGAGAUACUGUAAAAGGUAACCAGUAUGCAUACUUCAGUCCUACAUCAAUCAAUUCUUGGGUCAGAAAUGCUAUUGCUUCAAUAGUUCAGAUAACGAAAGAAUACGAGUUGGACGGAAUUGAUAUCGACUGUGAACACUUCCAGACAGAUCCCAAUACAUUUGCUGAAUGCAUUGGGCGACUAUUAUUCCACCUUAAACAAAAUAAUGUUGUGUCCUUCACAUCAAUUGCACCAUAUGAAGAUGAUUCCGUGCAACCAUAUUACUUGGCAUUGUGGAGGAAGUAUGGGCACCUCAUUGACUAUGUUAACUUUCAGUUUUAUGCCUAUAGUAAGGGCACAACAGUAACUCAGUUUAUGAAAUAUUUUGAGACCCAGAGCUCAAAUUACAAAGGUGGCAAGAUUCUAGUGAGCAUUGGAACAGACAAUAGUGGGGGUUUGUCUCCUAAAAAUGGGUUCUUUGAGGCUUGUGCUAGGCUUAAAAGUCAGGGAAAGCUUCAUGGCAUUUUUAUUUGGUCCGCAGACGACUCCAAGAAGGCUUCUUUUCAUCAUGAGAAUCAAUCACAAAGAUUUCUUGCUAGCUAAUUUUUUUAUCUUUUUUUUUUAUCUGCUCUUAUUGUAUUCUUUAAUGAAAAAAAUAAAAAAGCUCAGACCCUUUACACUGGUAAACCUUUCACCUUAAACAAAGCAGAAUUCUCUGGCUUUUAAGUAUUCAGUUUUGAACUAAUGAUUUGUUUGGAGUGCCUUUCUUUUUUGUUUCAAUUUAAUGAGCUAGUAUGAAGGUAAGAAUGGAAAUGAAAUAUUCAAAAACUAACCAAACAAACACCAUAGAAUUCCAACCAAACAAAGUUGGUAGAGAGAAUUUGGUUAAAGAAAUGAAAAUGGAAGCACUAAUGAGAAAGUAUCAUACCUUGUAGACCUCUCAAGCACAUAAGUGGGUUCCAUUGUCUUUUGGUAAACACUAACUAUUCAAACUCCAAUGAGUAUGAGCCUUUGGAAAACACUGUGAGACAUGUUCAACUAUCUGCAUCUCCACAACUUCAUUUUAUUGUAGCACCACUAACUCAUGCAAUAAAAGCGCAUAAUGAUAUGUCAUAGCAGAUAUGCAAAAACAGGGCUUCCACCAAUUCAAUCUUAAAUCAUAUAUCCAAAAGCAGAGGAAUGUCAAACAUGAAGCAAAGGACAACACAACAUAAAUCGAAAAGACAAAAGAUCAUAACAAACUGGUUUAAGGAAGCAGCAUAACUCUUAAAUUUGUAGAAAAUGUGAGCCAAACACAGUUUUUUCCAUUGAUUACAUUCAUCCUCCCAGGUUUCCAUGUGCACAACUAUAACAUUGCAAUUGAUACAUCUGGCAGAAGUUGCAAUAACACUAAAUAACAGUUACAUUAGGAAUCAAAACCAGGCAAAAUUUUCAUCGCAAUAAAUAAUAUAACAAAGAAACACAUCCCCCUUUGUAUCACAUAGGGCAAAGAGUAUCUAUCCUACAUAGAAUUACCCUGAACCUGUCGAGCCAAACAUGGCCUCUGAAAUCUUUCUGCAAGACUCAAAUGCAACUGUUUUAUCUUAUCAGCUUUUCCUCCUCUUCUUUCUCUUCUCCUGUUGUUCCUCCAAAGCAUCAACCUCGUCAUUUUCCAACACCUCACUCUUCCUCUCCUUCUUCUCUUCCUUCUUCGCCUCUUCGCUCCCCAUUUUACCUUCCCCAUCCUCCUCCUCCUUAAUUCCACCCCCACUUUCAUCCACAUUGUCCCCCUUCUUCUUUUUCUUCUUCUUCUUCUCCCUCUUUACCUCUCCAUUUCGCAUCUUACUCUCACCAUCUCCCUCCUCAAUUCGGCCUCCGUUUUCGCCAAUAUUACCAAUAGCACCCUUCACCUCCUUUUCCUUCUUCUUCUUAUCAUCAAUCUCCGCAAUUUCACCUCCAUCCUUCAAAUUACGACUCCCGCCCUUACUCUCUUCUCCAACCGCGACUUUCCGAUCGAUGACGUCAUCAUGACGGUGGCUUGUGGGCAUGGAGCUCACGUCCCGGCUCGACACGAAACUCUGCGCCGGAUUGUCCCCAACGGCGGUCUCUACGUCGUCGUUUUGAGACUCCGACCUCCGAUUGCGAUUGGACUUGGGCCCCUUGAGCUUGUGGUGGAGCUGCUCCAGCUCCUCGAAGGAGGCCAGGGCGCGUCGGACGAACCAGCAGGUCUCGUGGGACGCGGCGAGCGAGGCGGCGCCAAAGCCUCCGCAGACGGACUUGUUGAAGGCGGAGAGGAAGGAGGUGGCGUUGGAGAGGGAGAUUGGGUCGGAGGAGAGGACAUGGCUUUGGACCGUCUUCAUGGUUCGACUUUAGGGUUUAAGGCGAUUUUAGGAGGAAAAGGUGGAGGGGGGUUUAGGUUUCAAAGGGUUCUCAUUUCAUAGAGGAGGCGGAGCUUGAAAGUCCUUACAAUUUUAUUUGAGGGGUUUUAGGCCUAAAACCCUAAAACAAUCUCUCUUUUUUUUCUUUUUUUUUCUGCGUCCACUAUUUUCCUUUUUUGUUUUUCCUUUUCCUUUUGUGUCUUUAUAAAUUAUAAUGCAAUAUAUUUUUCUGAAAAUUUUGGCCAUGUACAUAACUGAAUUCGUCGUAUACCAGUAGUGCUCGGUCGUCAUUAGAUUUAUAUUUAAGGGUUAAAACAAGUAACUCUACAUAAAAAUAAUUUUUUUUACGGUUAGACAACCAAAAAUAGUUGAUCAUGAAUUUCAUAGUCAGUUAGUAAUCAGAUGAACAUGUCAUAGAAGUAAUACAUUUGUGUUUUCCGAUUGAUGAUUUGAAAGUUCAAACGAAUUUUUCUUGAUGCGCUUAACGUAUUUUCUUUCUUAUAUAUAAGAAGCAAGAAACAUAGAUAUGUAAAGUCAUAUCCUUUACCCUAGUGCAUUCAUUGAUGUGGCAACACUUUAUUUUUUUCCUCACCGAAAUGGGUUUCCUUAUACGAGGUGAAAGUAAAGAAUAUAACUCACUGGGGUUAGUCUAGUGGAAGCAUGGUAUGCUUCAAGGAUUUUCUUGGUGAUAAAAGGUUAUUGGUUCAAACCCCAGUUUAUGAAAAAUAUCCCUUGGGGAGAGGUCAUACCUACACAUUGCUCCCAACCCCAUAGUGGUUACUCACUCGACUACCAAUUUUAGUAAAAAAAAAAAAAAAGAAAAAGAAAAAGGUAAAGAAUAUACAUAAAGGGUUAAUUUGCAAUUCAAAAAAUUUCAGUGCCUAAUUUAUGCUAAAUUUCACGGGUAUUUUUUCUUUAUUUUUGUGACACAGGGUAUGUACUUAAGUGAAGAGAGUGCAGUCCGCUGAAGAAGGCUUAACAAAAAGAGGGUAGGCACUCCCGCCCUUUACACUAAACGCAGCGAAACCCAAACCCCUUCUUCAACCCAAAACCCUCUUUGCUUCCUGCCUUCCGCUCCCUAACUUCUUCCCGGUAAGGUUUCCGAUAUCCUUCUUCUUUCUUCUUCGUGCUUCCGUUGAUCAGAGACUACUGGCUCCAAUUCAAUUGAAUAUGUUACUGCUGCUCACUCUUUUCUUUUCAUUGAUUAGAAACUGCUGAUUUAUUUGCUUCAGAAUCUAGUCCCCAAUUGACUAGUCUAUUCACUCUAUUGUCAUAUUCAAUUCAUGCUCCUUGUAAAUUUUUUUGGGGUGAAAUUGAUUGAUGUUUCAUUGAGAUAGCUUGAUGAUUCGACUGUUGUUUCAGUUUUUGAUUAAAUGCAUUGCCCCUGCUGUUUAUCUUGUUUAUAUUAUUCGUGGUUGCGAGUGCUCUAGUUUGAUUUGAAAGAGAUAAUAUCAAUAUUGAAUCUGCUUGUUUGUCGUGUAAACUAUCCUCUUUGUCAAGAGCCUGCUGUUUGAAUGCUGGUUAUGUUAGGUACUUAAACUUAUAAAUCUAGGUUUUAAGUUCGGAAACUAAUCAAAAUCGGAAGUAUUUUUGGUUCAAAACAUAAUGUGCCGGUCAAUUGUUGCCAAAGAUCUGUGGAUGCCAUGGCUUCUUUCAAUUUUAGAUAAUCACUGUUGUUAAGGGCUGGUUAAUCUGGAAGCGAUACAGUAGCUUGGAAUCAUGGCUUUAUGGAUGGAAAUCUCUCUUCCAUUUUUCUUGUUGCACACCAGCUGUCAGCUUGGUCGUUUUAGCACUGAGAUUUGUUGAUAGUGCUUUGUUUGAUGUAGGUUGUGGGCUCCUUUCUGCUAAAUGUAACUAUGAGAAUUAAUCAAAUAGAGUUUCAUUUAGUAAUGACUUAAUCAAAUUAUAGAAUUUUAAGAUUCUGAAUUGUUGUCCAAUUAAAAAAUAGGUUUUGUUGAAUUGAGUUAAGCAAUGAAUUGAGGUGGAUGGAUAAUGUUAACGCUCCUGAAAGUUAUGCUCAUCAUCAUUGUAUUCUGGUGCUAUUAUUUUGUGUCAUGCGAUGUGUAUCUGUUUAAAUUCCUUGCUUGUUUCCUAGAUAAUUUUGUCAGUACAUAUUGAGAAAAGUACAACAAUUUUUCUUUUAUUCUUUCAUUGACUUAAAACAUCAAAUACCGAACCAAACCAAGGGCAUAUUACUCAUAGUCUCUGCUUUUAUUAUGUCUCACAGAUUUUCUCGCUCCACUUUUGAUAGAAAAGAUGAUGAAAAAAGUCCAUGCCAAAACAAUAGCCUUCACAAAAGAGCCUUUCAUUGAAGAAGAAGGGCACUGCAGAAUGUAAGACAUUUUAUUUUCAAUGAAAUUCAUUCUGUUUCUUACGAGUAAAUUGAUCUUCUUACUACUUAAUGCCCACUGUUGUUUUUCCUGAAGAGCACAAUGGCAAUUCAAUGCUAUGUCCCAAUCAGAAAUCAGCAAAAUGGCUGCAACUCAAAUUUUUCUAGGUCGAUAUUACGAUAGCAAUCAAAAACCGAUCAGAGGUGGCUUGUUGGAUGCCCGCUUGGUAUGUUCUCACCCUUUAGUUAUUCUUUCAAGUGCUUUGUAGUUUUGUUGAAGGAAAUUUUGGUUGCAUUAGUUGGACCAACAAUAAGAGGCAGAGGGAGGAGAGAAAAAUAUCACCAAAACAGGCGCUUAGAUUCAUCCACACAUUGACAUUUGGUGCUUGCUGCUAUUUGUUUGGAUGCAUCUGUACACUCAGUCUCGAUGAAUGUAAUUAGAAAUAUAAAACAAAGAAGGGGAUUGAAAUUGACACCCCCUUUUUGGAAACCACACCUCCUUAUUUCCUUCUGCAUGAGUGCUUUCACAAUGUACAUGUGCAUGACAAAAGGAUGGAGGGUUGGGUGGGUGGGUAUGAUUUCCAAGAAAGAGAGUGCCAAUUUCACCCCCACCCACAAGAAUAUCUAUGUAGUAGUUCAAGUGAGGAUUAUGCUCCUUUUUUCUUUUGUCUAUAUGGCGACAUUUUUCUUUUUUGACCUAUUCUUAAUAUUUGCUUCAGGGCCCUGCAAAUAAGCAAUGUGGUGACUGUGAGACUUGUGGUGCAAAACUGUCAGAUUGUCCUGGUCACUUUGGAUAUUUGGUGCUUGCUGUCCCUGUUUUUAAUGUUGGAUAUUUAAGUACCGUUGUGGACGUUUUGAAGUGCAUUUGUAAGGUACAAAGAUAUCUUUCAUUCCCUUUUAAAUACUUUUAGUAACUUUUUAUAUGAUUAUAAAAGCUUAACUUCCUAACAAUUUUACUAAUGUCCUGUCAUACAUUUUUGAAGUUAGAUUGUUCCUUUUAUCAUAUGUAGUGGGAUAUCUAUAGGAUACUUAGAUUUAUGACAUUCUAAACUGUACAUUGAAUUUAGGAUCUUUAUCUUCAUACCUUAUGGAUAUGUGUCGAGCAAAACUUGGUGAAUAAAAGAUUAUAGAUGUUUAAUCGAAGAAAUCCGCAACCCAGCUUAAAAGAAUCUUGUUUCUUCCAGAAAAGAAAUAACAUUGUAGUUUAGUUUAAUAUACUGGUGGAUGCGGAAAAGUUUACCGGGCUAGCUAGAACAAUGUGGUGAAUACCGAACCUGUUUAAUGACUGACUUAAAACAUCAGCUUAAAUUGUAAUCAAAUAAACUAAUGGUUCUAAAAAAGGUGUAGCUUUUGAAAGGCUUAGUGCAGCUUUUGUUUGCUAAACAUUGGGUUUCUGGUUACAGUUGAUGAUUUUCAGUAGGUUCUUAAACUUCUAAUUGAAUGUAAUAUGGUUGUCUACAGAAAUUUUACGUAGGCAGAAUAGUUAGUGUUUUUCAUCUGAAUGGAUAAAAUUUAUUGGAUAAGAAAACGGUACAGCAGAAAUGAAGAAAGACUAGUCUUUGAAAAGGUUUGGAACAUAAGCCCAGAGAGCUGCCCUAUAUUUUACUCUCUCAUAGCUCUCCUUCCUUUUACCUCUAAGUAGUCUUCAAAGACUUUUGUGUUUCUUUCUAUCCACUGCACCUCAAUCAAAUCAUUCAUAAAUGAUAGAAACCUCGGAAAAUUCUAUGAGGUGUUCAAAAAUGGUUGAACUAGUUGAAUAGGAGGAUCACUAUGACUAGCCCUUGGUAAAUUUACUGAAGACGUAAUGAUUUUUUUAAUAUUAUGGAUGCCUGGUUACGGAGUAAUGACAGUGAGAACACUAUACCCCAGAGAACCUUGGCUUUCUUCCCUCUCCCAAACCCGACUAUGUGAUGGCUGAAAAGAACAUGGCUUUCAUCUGCAUACUCCCAAUUGACUAUAGCUUCCCUAAAUGAAUUCUUCCAGAGAAAAGAAGCAACUUCCCAGUGAUCAAAAACAUGACCAUUUUAUACUGUUUCCGGAUUGCAUUGUUGAGGCUUGUCUUUGUACCCAGAGACCUAUGGUUCAAGAUGAGUUAGUUUCUGUAACUAGACCUAUAUAAAUGCACUGCUAUUGUAGGAAUAAUGGAAAACUUCAGCUUUGCUUAUAUUUGUGGCUGUUUAAUUGUGUUUCCAGAUACCCUACCUCUAGACAAGGGACUUAAAAGUAUGACUGCUUGGACACAGGGAUCUUUUGAUUUGAGGCUAUAUUACUAUCAAUGCAAAACUUUCUCAUUGGAAUUUGAUAGGUGCUUACAUCAAACAAUUUUUCUUCUUGGUAGUUGACAGAGUCAUGUCUUACAACAUCUGAACUCUUCUAUCAAUUGGUGCAGUUCACAUAAUGUAGGAGCAUGAUUGAGCUAUUUUGCCUUCUGUUUUAUAUAUGCAUCUUUUAUGUAUGCAUCUUGUAUAAUAAGUGAUGUCUUUCUGCAAGUAAGAGAUGCUAUCACUGCAAAGGUUAAAUUUAGUCUAUUGACCUUAUGUUUUUUGAACAGUCAUGCUCUCGAAUAAUUUUGGAUGACAAAUCACGCAGUCGCUUUUUGAAUGUUGUGAGAGACCCCAAAAAGGAUAAAAGUGUGACGAUGAAAUUGAUAGUGAAGAAGUGUACUAGCAUGUCAAGCAAUAAUAGAUCAGUGAAGUGCCCAAAAUGUGGAUAUAUGAAUGGUAUGACUUUACAAAUUUCUAUCAAAUUUUUUUUUUUCUGGGAGUUUCCGUCAGUUUUAAGUAGGUUUUCUUUGCAGCUUGUUCUUUAUUGGUCAUAAUUCAUGAUAACGCUGCCCUUUUAGGGUCUUUGUUAGUUUUGUAUGUAGUGAUCUUGUUGUUCACUAGUAAUGUAUAUUAAGGAGAGUUUGGUCUGUUAAAAAAAAAAGAAUAAGAAGGGAGAGAGAGGCUUGAACUGAUGUGUUUUUUGUUUACUGGAACUUUAUUAAGACAAACUGAGAAAAUCCAGACUGAAAGUCCACACAUGAAAAAGUUUACAAGACUCAAAACAACACAAAGUAUCCAAGUUACAGUUAUACUAUAUGGAAGGCAAACAUAGACCCCCAAUAGCUGCUGACACAGAAGCGCAGAAUGAGGACCAAUAAAACAAGUUUUUCCCACAACUCCAUCCUCUCCUCUCUAUGCUUCUCAUAUAGUUGAUAUUACUUUACAACCAAAUUACCCAGAUAUUAAUGAAAGUAUCGGUUUCUUAUAAAAUGAGAGGCUGGACUGAAGCAUUAACAUUUGUAAUUAUACUAGGGUGCAGGUCAAAUGUAGCUUCAAUCAAACAACAAACUACAGUAAAAAAAUUAACCAUGAGCUUUGCAGUUAUGUUCUAAAUGUAGUUUCAAACAUUUUACAUGCUUAUACCUGUAAUAAAAAUAUGCUUCAAUUGUAGUUGUAAUAUGCUGCAUUGGAUGUUUUGGACCUGAUAAUACAUUUGUAGUUUGUCAUACACAAUUGUAGCAUUAGAUUUGAUCUUCUCGAUCUACAUAUGUUUGUUCCAGCGUAAGUGCGCUACUGGCUCUCUCAAAAAAAAAAAAAUGUGUGCUACUGGCUUGUCUAGUGCCUCAUAUGAUGGACAUCUGAGAAUUUCAAAUUUGUUCUAAUUUUCAUGUCUCAUAGUUUUAUGGUUAUUCCUUUAAUAUAUUCUGGUAGGGAUCAGCUUUGUAUCAAAUAUGUUACAGGUUCAGUGAAAAGGGCUCAAGGUAUGCUGGCAAUUGUUCAUGGUGCUGUUGAUGACUUUAAAUCAGUGAAUCCUGUCAUGAAGGAUCCCAAGGCAUCCAUUAAUCUGCAACCUCAUAUGCUUAACCCUGUUAAAGUUUUUUCUUUGUUCAAAAGGAUGCUUGAUGAGGUACUUCUUUACAAAUGCAGAUUUUAUGAAUCCUUUAAUUCAGUUUUAGUUUGUCACAUUUUGUGGCUAUGAUUUUAUAUAUUUUUAUAAAGAAAAGACAACAAAACAUUUUCUUGCAUGUCUUUCCUCAUGAUACAGAUUUGUAUUGUCAUUUACAGGAUUGUGAACUUCUUAAUCUUAAAAGUAGACCAGAGAACCUUAUCAUGACAACCAUUGCUGUGCCACCUAUAGCCAUUCGUCCUUCCGUUCUUGUGGAUGGAUCACAGAGGUAAUUGCCACCUUUUGUCCUUUUUAUCUUCUGUUUCAUUGUAACUUUAAGUGGUUUUGUGGUCCUAAAGUUGUUAAUGAUGCUCAUCAAGUUUCCACAUUUGCUUAUGCAGUAAUGAAAAUGACAUUACAGAGAGGUUAAAGAAAAUUAUUCAAACAAAUGCCUGUGUUCAACAGGACCUAUCAGAAGGAUCUACCACAAGAUUUUUGGUAUGAUUUAUUUUGACUAGCCUUUUACCCGUGCAUUUGCACAGGCUCACAAUCCCCUAAUAAUAUACUGGUUAAUAUUGGUUUAUUCGAUUUUUAUUUUUUUUAGAUAGCUCAAUUUUUUUUCAAUUUUUCCUCCAAAAAAUAAAAUUAUUUUACAUAUGCAUCGCAUGUCAUGAAGACUAUUUUUUAAUUUAAAUCUACUGUAAGUGUAAUGUCAUUAAUGCUAUUUGCACAUCAAAAUUUGCAUGCUUGAUAUGGAUUCCUUCAUAAUGGGUUCAUGCUACUGCUUUGCUUCUUUAUUCACUUUCUGACCACUCUUUUUUUGUUGGAUACUCUUAUUUCACAAGAAAUACCAUUUAAAUAUGUUGAAACUUUUCUUGAAUAAGUGUGUGCAGUUUUUUUUUCUCUUGUUUCUGUAACAUUUUACAAAGAAUGUUUUGCCAUUAGAGCCUGAUACAGUUAUCAAGCCACUUUUUGGACAUAUGUGGUAUUAUAUUUCUAGAAAGUGUAUAUUAUUCUCUUUCCCCCAUUAUGCUGGUUGCUGGUGAAUCUACUUGUUCAUAGUGUGUGAUUUUGUACUGCUUUUGCUGGGAAUUGUGAUUCAGUCAAAUUGGGAAAUACUUCAAGCCGAGGUUGCGCUGUACAUAAACAGUGAUGUUCGCGGUGUGCCCUAUCACAUGACAGCAAAUGCCAAGCCAUUGAAUGGAUUGGUGCAGCGCCUCAAAGGGAAGACGGGGCGUUUUCGUGGAAACCUAUGUGGGAAGAGGGUUGAAUAUACUGGCAGAACUGUUAUUUCGCCUGACCCUAAUCUGAAAAUUACUGAGGUCAGAAUUGCACCUAAACUGUGAAAACAUUUGUACAACUUUUUUUUGUCUAAACUGUUUGCUGGAUCUAGGUUGGAAUCCCUAUCCAAAUGGCCCAGAUUUUAAGUUAUCCAGAACGCGUGUCCGAUCAUAAUAUUGAGAAGUUGAGGCGGUGUGUAGCUAAUGGACCUUUUAAGUACCCUGGUGCCCUAGUGCUCAAAUGUCAAAAUGGCGAAGAAUGGUCGGGGACUUACUUUCCUUUUUUUUCUUUCUUUCCUUGUAAUGAAAUAUUGGUGCUGUUAGUAACAUGUGCUUAACUUAAUUGUGCUGAAGGUCCUUGAAGGCUGGGCAAAAAAGGAUGUCUCAUGCUGAUAAUCUCAAACCCGGGGACAUAGUCGAUCGCCACUUAGAAGAUGGGGACAUUGUUCUUUUCAACAGACAACCAAGCUUACAUCGGAUGUCUAUCAUGUGUCAUAGGGUGAUCACAUAUUUAAAAUUGAUUUUGUAUAUGUACAUUGUUUAACAUGAAGCUUAGUGUUGAUAUUAUAUGGUUGCAUCUUACCAUUUAAUGCAUGCAGGCAAGGAUUAUGCCUUGGAGAACAUUGAGGUUUAAUGAAUCUGUAUGCAACCCUUAUAAUGCUGAUUUUGAUGGUGACGAAAUGAAUAUGCAUGUGCCGCAAACGGAGGAGGCUCGAACUGAGGCUGUUAUGUUGAUGGGGGUAAGAUACAUUUCACUUCAUUGAGAUAUAUCCAAUGGUAUACUAAAAAAUAUAGUUCUUACACAUUACACACAUCUUGCAUCGGUAAUUAAUACUUCCUGUCAAACUAGACGAAAUCCAAAAUCACUACCUGGUUUGUUAGAAAAUCACCCUUCAUGCCCCAUCCUAAUUCAACCUGCGGAGAAAUAGGCAAUAUUAUAGAAAAGUAUUUGAACUCUCCAUCCUGCAGUCCUCUGAGGCGCCGCUGUUUUCUGCACCGUGUUGGCAUUGAUUUUUGUAUAUUUUCUUCUCAAGCCUGGCUCAGCUAUGGCUUCUUCUUCUUCUUCUUCUUCUUCUUUUUUCUUUUUUUCUCCUAUACUGGUUUGCCUAUAGCGUUAGUGAACCUUACAUCAGUUAGGUAUUACUUGGCGGAUGUACUUCGGCUUAGGCAGGACUUCUGUGAAACAUUAUUAGUUCCAUAUUACUUGUCUAACUUCUUUUGCAUCAAUUUGGUCGAUUGUUUGUCAUAGACCUUUUUAUUUAUAGUUUUUUUUUUUUCCAUCGUUAAAAAUAAAUUGAAGAGUAGCUCUUGUUUCACCGACUGCAUAUGAUGGAUGUCCUAGUUCUCAUGAACAAGUUGCUCAUGUGUGUAUUGACUGUUUGUCAGGUGCAAAACAAUCUAUGCACUCCCAAAAAUGGGGAGAUUUUGGUUGCUUCCACUCAAGAUUUUUUGACAUCGUCUUUCCUUAUAACAAGGAAGGACACAUUUUAUGAUCGUGCAUCUUUUUCACUCAUGUGUUCAUACAUGGGGGAUGGUACUGAGCAUGUGGAUUUGCCAACACCUGCUGUAGUUAAGGUGAGUUACUGAAGUCUGUAGCCAUCGCUCAUCUCUUCUAUAACACAGUCGGUUGACUUGGGUCCGUGCAUAUGGCAGUUUCAGCCAGUUGUCCAUGUCAUUUCUAGCAUUUGUCUUACUAGCUGACAAAAAAUUAUUGCUUUGCAGCCAAUAGAGCUAUGGACAGGAAAGCAGCUAUAUAGCGUGUUAGUUCGCCCGAAUUCAAAUGUCAGAGUAUAUCUAAACCUAACUGUUAGAGAGAAAUCCUACUCCAACAGAAAGACUGAAGAUGGAAGAGAAAUAGAAGCAAUGUGCCCAAAUGAUGGGUUUGUCUAUUUCCGUAACAGUGAGCUAUUAUCUGGGCAACUUGGGAAGGGCACUUUAGGUGAGUCUUCUGACUACUGGUCCGACUACUGAUCCUAUGACAGUAUAUGCUUUUGUACAGAUAUGUCUGUUGGUUAAGAUUGGAACAAAAAUAAUGACAGUGAGAUGCGAUUUGUACAUGUCAUAUAAAAGAAGAAUUGACGGAAUAAUUUUUUGUUUUCUUUUUUAUCAAGAAUCAAAUUCUCUAAAAUGUAGCUGAUUUCGAAGAGAGUGCACAUGAAUUUACCAAUUUACAGAUGUCCUCUGACAAUCAAGCCUAGAAGCUAGAUUAAAAGCAUACAAGAGCCCUUCUAGGUUAAAGCAGCCCCCAAUCUACAUAAAUAACAAUGGAAGAUGCAUCCAAAAUAGGGUAAAUGCAAUGGACCUCUGAAAAUGUGGGAUCAUUGCAGUGGCUGUAGAUUUGAAAAAUUACACCGCUUCUCUUUACAAGUUUUUUUUUUACUGAAGCAGCCGCCCAAUCUGCUUAAAUAACAAUGGAAGAUGCAUCCAAAAUAUGGUAAAUGAAAUGGACCUCUGAAAAUGUGGGAUCAUUGCAGUGGCUGUAGAUUUGAAAAAUUACACAGCUUCUCUUUAAGAAUAACCUUUUUGACCUGGAUUCCUUUACUAUAUGCUCUCGUAUUUAGAUAUCUGAUUGAAUCUGAUGUUUCAAGUUUUCAAUUUGCCUCACUCCAGGAAAUGGCAAUAAGGAUGGACUUUUCUCUGUUCUUCUCAGAGACUACAAAGCUCAUGCUGCUGCUUCUUGCAUGAAUCGUGUAGCUAAAUUAAGGUAUUUACACAAUUCCUUUUGAGUGUCUGUAUCUUUCAUCUUUGUUUUCUGUAUUGUAUCUUGCUCAUAAAUCUGUUUGACAUUCUACUUCUUUUUGCACUGUUCAUAGUUCUAAUGUAUUGUUCAUCAUUGGAUUUAGUUUCUCUUUUGCAAUAAUUUGUAGAGAAUGAUGAACCAACAAAAAAAAAACUACUACUGAUAUUUACCAACACUGCUGAAUUUCUGUGUCAACUCUUCACACAUUCUCACACGUGUGGGAAUGGGCACUUGGGUCGGUUGUUAACUCCAAGUGCUGAUAUAGAAAACAUAACUUUUUAUUCUUGCUGUUUUGUUUAUAAAAAUUGAUGCUUGCUUGUUGUAUAUUUAAGAGGGUAGGUUUUUUUGUUCUUUUACCAUCAGAAGGUUUGUAUUUUCAACAAUUUUAUUUGCACUUUCUUUAUUCUUCAUUUGCUUCCAAUUUCUGUGCUGCUUUCCAUGUCUUCCUAUUUCAUUAACUCUCAGCUGAUUGCUUGUUGAUUCAUUAUUUUAUCGCUGUUCUGGUAUGAGGUAUUUGUAUUUUGAUUUCAGUGUUAGUAUGUGUUCUUAUUGUGAAAGUAUUCUUGGGUUGCAGUGCCCGGUGGAUCGGUAAUCACGGAUUCUCAAUUGGGAUUAGUGAUGUACAACCCAGUGACAUCUUGUAUGGAGAGAAAGAAAAAAUCAUUAAGAAAGGUUAUGACAAAUGUGACGACCAGAUUAAGUUGUACAAAGAAGGACAGCUACGACUUGCACCUGGUUGUGAUGCUGCCCAAUCACUUGAAUCUGGGAUUACUGCAGUUUUAAAUGAUAUUCGAGACCAAACUGGAAAGGUCAAUUUAUUAAUUACCUAAAGUUUUUAUGAAAAUGAAGAUGCGGAAGCUUUUAACUCCUAAGAAUAUUUGGUUAGAAUUACUUUGUGGCCGUGUUCAGCUGACUCUUAAUGUUUGUUUGAGUUGGUGUAAGAAUUAUUUUUAGUGUAUCUGGUUAUUUCAUUUUGCAAUUAUAUCUUCAGUUCUUCACAAGAGAUGGUUGAUUCUGAAAUAUUCUAUAUUUUUCCAUAGUUGUGCAUGCAAACGCUACAUUGGAGAAACAGUCCCCUGAUUAUGUCCCAGUGUGGUUCCAAGGGAUCUGCUAUCAAUAUCAGUCAGAUGGUUGCGUGUGUUGGUCAACAAUCAGUUGGUGGUCGUCGUGCACCAAAUGGGUUCAUAGAUCGAAGCCUUCCUCACUUUCCUAGAAAAGUGAAUACCCCUGCAGUAAGUUCUCUCCUCCUAACCAGUCAUACUGCUUGUGAGAUGCGGUCAUAUAAAUGACAUUUUCAUGCAUGUUUUAGAUCCAUGAUUACUAAUAAAUAGUUCAGUAAUGGUGAAGGAUAUUCGCGAAUUUAAUUGAAGGAAAGAGUGUUUACCAAGAGAUUACCGUCAUGUUAUAACUACGUCUUGCAAUGAUAUCUUCCAGAAGCUAUGAAUUUGGAUAACAGCAAAGGAGUUCUGAACCCCAAUGAAUAUAACUAGUGUUUAGCAAGUGAAAACUCUAGUGGGUUUGUACUGUUUUUGAACCUUGUGAUUAUUAAUGGAGAUCAACAUACUGACAACCCAAUCAAAUGUGUGAUUGAUUUGGGUUACAAAAGCAGAUUCUUCAAAUGAACCAAAACAAUGCAAAGUGUGAUUGGGGUUAUCAGCUGGGAGGGUAGAAGUAGAAUGAAAAAAAAAAAAGAAAAAAAAGGUGGGUAUCAAGUGCCAAUUAGUGAUUCUGAUAAGGGAGACAAAUGUCACUGUCAUUGCUCUUGCAGUGUUGGUGGAGAAAGUUUUUCUGGAGCGCUGGUUUAAUUGGUUGUGAAUUUUUUUUGAAUUGUAGUAGUGUUUUAACAUGUACUAAAAUAAAAGGCUGGUCCAAAUUCUAAAUGUGGAGGUUUGAAUAGAAACACUCUUUUUAAUUAAAAAAGAAGAAAAGAUUUAUUGAAAGACCAAAGAGUUGUUGGUCCAGUGGUCAGACACUUGGUUUGCUCCCAAGUGGUCUGGGGUUUGACCCUCUCCCAUGGUAUCCACCUAGCAAUUGCUAGAGUUUCCAGUUUCCCAAAUGUUGUGGGGUCAAAGGCGGGAAGCCUAGAUUAGUCGGGUCAAAGAUCCGGAUACCCUAUUUUCAAAAACAAAACAAAAAAAGAUUUAUUUAAAGCAAUGAAACGAGCUGCAUGUUUCGAAGUCCGAUAUGAAAUCAGGAUAUUAGAUGCAGCAUAUAGUCUUCAGUUACCCCUUUACCAUCCUCUUGUUUAGACAUAAAAUGGAGAUAGUUAUACAAUUUUAUAGGGAUUUGUUUGAUGGAAGUAACAGCCAUGCCUCCUGUUGUUUGUGCCUUAGACCCUUUUCUCAAUAGUUAUGCCUCCUGUUGUUUUUGCUUGUAAUGUAUAGUUGGAUAAGAUAUAUCUUUAGAUAACUUUGUUUAGAAAACCCCAUCAUCUGUAUUCAUGUGAAUUAACAGUCUGUUUCUCUUUAAUGAUGCAGGCUAAAGGCUUUGUUGCUAGUUCCUUUUACAGUGGCUUGACAGCAACAGAGUUCUUUUUUCAUACAAUGGGAGGUCGAGAAGGCCUUGUGGAUACAGCUGUAUGUUUAUUGCUUUAUUUAGAUUCAUACUCGCAUGACUGUUAUUUUGAAAUUUUCCUACACCUACUUUUCUUUCUUGUUUGUUUGUUUGUUUUUUUGGGUACUUUGACUUGCAUAUUACUUGCUACUGCAGCAAUAUUAAAUUGAAAUUACUGCAGCAUUACUGUGAGCUGUACUUAAAGUAUAUUGGAGAAAGAAAUUACUGUAUCUUUGUGCCUUAGACCCUUUUCUCAAUAGAUUGUUUGCGAUUGAUGCAGGUCAAAACUGCUGAUACAGGGUACAUGUCUCGUAGGUUGUCAAAAGUUCUAGAGGACCUCUCUGUUCAGUAUGAUAAAACAGUGCGGGCCGCAAAUGGAGGUAUUGUUCAGUUUUGUUAUGGAGAUGACGGUAUGGAUCCUGCAAUGAUGGAAGGGAAAAGUGGAGCGCCGUUAGACUUCUACCGGUUGUUUUUCAGAGCCAAGGUAUGAAACCAUGCUUAUCUGAAGAGGGCAAGAAUUAUUUUCUUUUAAUGUUGAAAUGUGAUAUCUGUAAUUCUGUAUACAGGCCACUUGCCCUGCUGGAGAAAGCGAAAGCCUUUCUCCUGAUGAAGUGUCUGAAAUAGUGAGAAGCAGGCUUUCGGAACAAGAUAUGACUCCUGAUGGUGGUUGCUCUAUGGGUUUUAAAAGUUCUAUAGAGCAAUUCCUGGAUGAAUAUGUUAAAGCAUUAAGAAAAACACAGGAGGCUUUUUUAUUGAAUCAAAGUCCUGGUUGGGAGGUGAAGUCUGCAACUCUACAGAACAUCGUCCAAAAUAUAUCUGGUGUCACUCCUAGACAGCUGAAGGUACUUGUUAUCUUUUCUGCUUUACUAGCAUAUGCCAUUUUUUGAGUUCUCUUUUGUUUUUAUGUUACAUUGAGGAAGGACCGGAACUGUGCGUUUUCUAUGGCAUUGCACAUUUGACACUUUAAACAUCUAUGUAUUUCACCCUUGUAUUUUAUGAGUGUUGGUAAGAAAUAUUGAUGUCUGCCUCUAUUAAUUUCCUUUGCGUUUAAACUGUAGGUUUUUCUAGAUACUUGUAUUUCUCGUUAUCAUUCAAAAAAAGUUGAUGCUGGUACAGCAAUUGGAGUAAUUGGAGCUCAAAGUAUUGGCGAGCCUGGGACACAGAUGACAUUAAAAACUUUUCACUUUGCUGGAGUUGCAAGCAUGAGUAUCCUUGAUUUAUUUGCUUACUCAUAAGAAUAAAUAGAGAUGAAUAUGUAAUACUUGCAUAACUUUUUGGCUAUUAAUUGGUUGGUUAUUUGAUCCUUAACUCUUUGUUAGAUGUUACACUUGGAGUCCCUCGUAUCAAGGAGAUAAUAAAUGGAGCAAAAAAUAUUCAUACCCCAAUCAUUACUACAGUACUCGAGUGUGAUAAUAAUCCAAUGAUUGCACGGAUGGUGGCAGGUCGGAUUGAAAAAACAAAUUUAGGGCAGGUAUGUAUGAAAAUUUUCCAGUGACAUAUUAAAUUCAACUUGGCCUUCUUUGUUAUUUGUAGCUUGCUAUUCAUAUCCAUCACUCAAUGAAGUCAAUGUUGGGUUUCCAGCCCAUGUGUUUUUCCUAAGAUGUUUCGUCUUAGAGUAUGGUGUUCCAAUAAGGAAAGUAAAUCCUUAUUGAUGAUGGUGUACCUGUAAUCUUGUUGAUUACAGAGAAGGAAGGAGGCAUUAUUGCCUACCACUAAUAGGAAUAGGAUUUCCUGUUUGGUGAAGAGAUCUGAAGAUCCUUAUGGCUAUAUAAGGAGAGGUUCAGUUCUAGGUUUUGUAUCGCAGAGACAAAGAGCAAAGUGUGUUCCAUUCUUGGUUAGAGGGUGAGAGAGGGCAGAGAGGAGUGAGAUAGGAAGAGAAGUGAGAGAGUCCUUGUUUUCUUAUUCUUUCUGGUGUACCCAUUAUUAAUAUAGUGGAAGUGUUUUCUGCCGGUGGAUGUAGGCAAAAGUUUUGCUGAACCACCUUAAAUCUGUGUUCUUUGUGUCUUAUCUCUGUGGUUGUUUCUCUUGGUUUGCUGUGUUCUUUUGGGGUUCCUUGACAUACGUAAUUGGCCGAUAUCACAACAGUCAAUAGAGUCUAAUGCUCUACUCACUGAUGCAUAUUAGGAUUGUUGUUUUGUUCUGCUAUCGAGUUGCAUAUAUGAAUUGGGUUCUCUUGUCUCUCUCUGUCAUGCAUGAUUUUACUUAGAUUGUCUUGUUGUUUUGAAGGUUGCUGAGUGUAUAGAGAUUGUAAUGAGUCCAAGAGCAGCAUAUGUAGAAGUCAAGCUUGAUAUGGCGGUGAUACAAGAUGCACACUUGUCAAUAGAUGCCAAUGUUGUAAAACAAUCAAUUUUGGGAACUCCAAGGAUUAAACUGAAACAUGAGGUAGGGAUUUUAGAUAUUAGUUAUUAACUUUAUAUAUGUUAAUACCUCAUGGUUACGUCUUAUAUGCAGCACAUUAGGGUUCCAGAUAAUCAAACAGUUGAAGUUCAUUCUCACGAGAAGGAUAGAAGAAAACUUCAUUUUCACCUCUACUAUUUGAAGAGUAUACUCCCCAAUGUUAUAGUACGGGUGAGGCUCCUAGAAUUUUUUUACUUAUGUCUUUUCAGUCACAAGAUUAUUGUUCCAUGAUGAUAUGAAUUAUUACUUUUUUUCAAUAAUAGGGUAUAAAGACAAUCGAACGUGUUGUCAUCGAUGAAGAAAAAGUUAAAAGGGACAAAAAAGAUAUUGAUAUUAAAUGUGGAGACGAAAAGAAGUACAAGUUGUUUGCUGAAGGGUGAGUUUGUUUUCUUGGAACAUAUUUCUCGAUUUAGUAAUGAUUUGAGUUCCCUUUAUGUUCACAUGUGUUAAUUUCUAAUGUUUUAUGUAGGUCUCAUGCAUAAUUAGUGGUACACUUUGUUACAUUUGAUAUCCAAAAUUUGUUAAUGAUACCAUUUUUCGAUGUCAGCAUAUACAUAACCGUAUGGCACAUAAUAUUACUAUUUUUCGUCUAUGUUCAUGGGUUUUUAACACUUUGUGGCAUAAUGUUGGGUGGUUUUCCUAAGUUUUCUUGGUUAUCAUGAUUAUUGAAAUUUGUUUGAACCAUGCUUGUUUCAUGUAUCUUACAUCGGUUAUGUAACUUUUCAGCAAGGGUCUUCUAGCAGUAAUGAGCACUAAAGGAGUAGAUGGUUGUAAAACCACAAGUAAUGAUAUUAUUGAAGUGCAGCAGACACUUGGAAUUGAAGCUGCAAGAACUUGUAUCAUUGAGGAGAUAAAGUAUACUAUGAAAUCACACGGAAUGAACAUAGAUGAUCGCCAUAUGAUGCUUUUAGCGGAUGUAAUGACGUUCAGAGUGAGUAAUUUCAUAUGAUGUCUUUAACUGGAAAGCUAAAAGGACCAAUGGACUACGCUUAAAUCUUUAGACAUGUAAUUGAUGUGUCAAUGUUGUUAUAUGGCAGGGUUUAGUUCUUGGAAUCACAAGAUUCGGCGUUCAACAGAUGGGCAAAAGUGUAUUGAUGCUGGCUUCAUUUGAGCGAACAGAUGAUCAUCUAUUUAAUGCUUCCGUUCAGGGGACAGUUGACAAAAUUGAAGGAGUAAGUGAAAGCAUAAUCAUGGGUAUACCAAUGCCGAUAGGCACCGGAAUGUUCAAAAUUAAACAACGGUAAGUGUUACUGUUUUACUACUUCUACUCAUUAUUACACUGUUCCUUACACAGGUCGUAUCUUUCCAUAGUUUAUGAGUGACAGUGAGUGAUAAGUAGUAGCAUAUUAUGUGAUGAACCUGUGAAGGUAAAACCAUGACUGUGUUUUGUCUACUGUAGCCUCCCUGAGAUGUGAAACUUUGCGUUCAUGGAAACAUCAUGGUCUUCCGGCACAAGUAUACAUGUAAAGAAUGUUGAAUGAAGAAGAGGCCACACGCUAACCUAAUGGCGAGACAUGGUAGCCACUAUGCUGCGGGAUAAUAGCAGAGCUUGUUACUUGUUUUACAAAAAAUCGCUUUAAGCUUGUAUUGAAAAAUGUAUACCUGCUAGGGAUUACUUGUAGAUUUAUUAGGUUGUUACAUCAAUGUUCUGGUAAACUGACAUCUCUGGGAAGUUCCAAAUUUCCGGGCACUGGUUAUAGAGAAAAAAAUUAAAAAGAUAAAAAAGGGUAAGCAGCCUUAUGAGUUAUAAGGACCUUACUCAAUUUUGAUGAUUUCGAAUAAUCCUGUAAAGAAAAGAUGCAGAGGAUACAAAAAAAAAAGCCAUAACAGAAAUUCUAUGAACAUUGCUAAUAUGGCAAUUGAGCUACAUUACUUGAUUAUGUCAACUGUUUNNNNNNNNNNNNNNNNNNNNNNNNNNNNNNNNNNNNNNNNNNNNNNNNNNNNNNNNNNNNNNNNNNNNNNNNNNNNNNNNNNNNNNNNNNNNNNNNNNNNNNNNNNNNNNNNNNNNNNNNNNNNNNNNNNNNNNNNNNNNNNNNNNNNNNNNNNNNNNNNNNNNNNNNNNNNNNNNNNNNNNNNNNNNNNNNNNNNNNNNNNNNNNNNNNNNNNNNNNNNNNNNNNNNNNNNNNNNNNNNNNNNNNNNNNNNNNNNNNNNNNNNNNNNNNNNNNNNNNNNNNNNNNNNNNNNNNNNNNNNNNNNNNNNNNNNNNNNNNNNNNNNNNNNNNNNNNNNNNNNNNNNNNNNNNNNNNNNNNNNNNNNNNNNNNNNNNNNNNNNNNNNNNNNNNNNNNNNNNNNNNNNNNNNNNNNNNNNNNNNNNNNNNNNNNNNNNNNNNNNNNNNNNNNNNNNNNNNNNNNNNNNNNNNNNNNNNNNNNNNNNNNNNNNNNNNNNNNNNNNNNNNNNNNNNNNNNNNNNNNNNNNNNNNNNNNNNNNNNNNNNNNNNNNNNNNNNNNNNNNNNNNNNNNNNNNNNNNNNNNNNNNNNNNNNNNNNNNNNNNNNNNNNNNNNNNNNNNNNNNNNNNNNNNNNNNNNNNNNNNNNNNNNNNNNNNNNNNNNNNNNNNNNNNNNNNNNNNNNNNNNNNNNNNNNNNNNNNNNNNNNNNNNNNNNNNNNNNNNNNNNNNNNNNNNNNNNNNNNNNNNNNNNNNNNNNNNNNNNNNNNNNNNNNNNNNNNNNNNNNNNNNNNNNNNNNNNNNNNNNNNNNNNNNNNNNNNNNNNNNNNNNNNNNNNNNNNNNNNNNNNNNNNNNNNNNNNNNNNNNNNNNNNNNNNNNNNNNNNNNNNNNNNNNNNNNNNNNNNNNNNNNNNNNNNNNNNNNNNNNNNNNNNNNNNNNNNNNNNNNNNNNNNNNNNNNNNNNNNNNNNNNNNNNNNNNNNNNNNNNNNNNNNNNNNNNNNNNNNNNNNNNNNNNNNNNNNNNNNNNNNNNNNNNNNNNNNNNNNNNNNNNNNNNNNNNNNNNNNNNNNNNNNNNNNNNNNNNNNNNNNNNNNNNNNNNNNNNNNNNNNNNNNNNNNNNNNNNNNNNNNNNNNNNNNNNNNNNNNNNNNNNNNNNNNNNNNNNNNNNNNNNNNNNNNNNNNNNNNNNNNNNNNNNNNNNNNNNNNNNNNNNNNNNNNNNNNNNNNNNNNNNNNNNNNNNNNNNNNNNNNNNNNNNNNNNNNNNNNNNNNNNNNNNNNNNNNNNNNNNNNNNNNNNNNNNNNNNNNNNNNNNNNNNNNNNNNNNNNNNNNNNNNNNNNNNNNNNNNNNNNNNNNNNNNNNNNNNNNNNNNNNNNNNNNNNNNNNNNNNNNNNNNNNNNNNNNNNNNNNNNNNNNNNNNNNNNNNNNNNNNNNNNNNNNNNNNNNNNNNNNNNNNNNNNNNNNNNNNNNNNNNNNNNNNNNNNNNNNNNNNNNNNNNNNNNNNNNNNNNNNNNNNNNNNNNNNNNNNNNNNNNNNNNNNNNNNNNNNNNNNNNNNNNNNNNNNNNNNNNNNNNNNNNNNNNNNNNNNNNNNNNNNNNNNNNNNNNNNNNNNNNNNNNNNNNNNNNNNNNNNNNNNNNNNNNNNNNNNNNNNNNNNNNNNNNNNNNNNNNNNNNNNNNNNNNNNNNNNNNNNNNNNNNNNNNNNNNNNNNNNNNNNNNNNNNNNNNNNNNNNNNNNNNNNNNNNNNNNNNNNNNNNNNNNNNNNNNNNNNNNNNNNNNNNNNNNNNNNNNNNNNNNNNNNNNNNNNNNNNNNNNNNNNNNNNNNNNNNNNNNNNNNNNNNNNNNNNNNNNNNNNNNNNNNNNNNNNNNNNNNNNNNNNNNNNNNNNNNNNNNNNNNNNNNNNNNNNNNNNNNNNNNNNNNNNNNNNNNNNNNNNNNNNNNNNNNNNNNNNNNNNNNNNNNNNNNNNNNNNNNNNNNNNNNNNNNNNNNNNNNNNNNNNNNNNNNNNNNNNNNNNNNNNNNNNNNNNNNNNNNNNNNNNNNNNNNNNNNNNNNNNNNNNNNNNNNNNNNNNNNNNNNNNNNNNNNNNNNNNNNNNNNNNNNNNNNNNNNNNNNNNNNNNNNNNNNNNNNNNNNNNNNNNNNNNNNNNNNNNNNNNNNNNNNNNNNNNNNNNNNNNNNNNNNNNNNNNNNNNNNNNNNNNNNNNNNNNNNNNNNNNNNNNNNNNNNNNNNNNNNNNNNNNNNNNNNNNNNNNNNNNNNNNNNNNNNNNNNNNNNNNNNNNNNNNNNNNNNNNNNNNNNNNNNNNNNNNNNNNNNNNNNNNNNNNNNNNNNNNNNNNNNNNNNNNNNNNNNNNNNNNNNNNNNNNNNNNNNNNNNNNNNNNNNNNNNNNNNNNNNNNNNNNNNNNNNNNNNNNNNNNNNNNNNNNNNNNNNNNNNNNNNNNNNNNNNNNNNNNNNNNNNNNNNNNNNNNNNNNNNNNNNNNNNNNNNNNNNNNNNNNNNNNNNNNNNNNNNNNNNNNNNNNNNNNNNNNNNNNNNNNNNNNNNNNNNNNNNNNNNNNNNNNNNNNNNNNNNNNNNNNNNNNNNNNNNNNNNNNNNNNNNNNNNNNNNNNNNNNNNNNNNNNNNNNNNNNNNNNNNNNNNNNNNNNNNNNNNNNNNNNNNNNNNNNNNNNNNNNNNNNNNNNNNNNNNNNNNNNNNNNNNNNNNNNNNNNNNNNNNNNNNNNNNNNNNNNNNNNNNNNNNNNNNNNNNNNNNNNNNNNNNNNNNNNNNNNNNNNNNNNNNNNNNNNNNNNNNNNNNNNNNNNNNNNNNNNNNNNNNNNNNNNNNNNNNNNNNNNNNNNNNNNNNNNNNNNNNNNNNNNNNNNNNNNNNNNNNNNNNNNNNNNNNNNNNNNNNNNNNNNNNNNNNNNNNNNNNNNNNNNNNNNNNNNNNNNNNNNNNNNNNNNNNNNNNNNNNNNNNNNNNNNNNNNNNNNNNNNNNNNNNNNNNNNNNNNNNNNNNNNNNNNNNNNNNNNNNNNNNNNNNNNNNNNNNNNNNNNNNNNNNNNNNNNNNNNNNNNNNNNNNNNNNNNNNNNNNNNNNNNNNNNNNNNNNNNNNNNNNNNNNNNNNNNNNNNNNNNNNNNNNNNNNNNNNNNNNNNNNNNNNNNNNNNNNNNNNNNNNNNNNNNNNNNNNNNNNNNNNNNNNNNNNNNNNNNNNNNNNNNNNNNNNNNNNNNNNNNNNNNNNNNNNNNNNNNNNNNNNNNNNNNNNNNNNNNNNNNNNNNNNNNNNNNNNNNNNNNNNNNNNNNNNNNNNNNNNNNNNNNNNNNNNNNNNNNNNNNNNNNNNNNNNNNNNNNNNNNNNNNNNNNNNNNNNNNNNNNNNNNNNNNNNNNNNNNNNNNNNNNNNNNNNNNNNNNNNNNNNNNNNNNNNNNNNNNNNNNNNNNNNNNNNNNNNNNNNNNNNNNNNNNNNNNNNNNNNNNNNNNNNNNNNNNNNNNNNNNNNNNNNNNNNNNNNNNNNNNNNNNNNNNNNNNNNNNNNNNNNNNNNNNNNNNNNNNNNNNNNNNNNNNNNNNNNNNNNNNNNNNNNNNNNNNNNNNNNNNNNNNNNNNNNNNNNNNNNNNNNNNNNNNNNNNNNNNNNNNNNNNNNNNNNNNNNNNNNNNNNNNNNNNNNNNNNNNNNNNNNNNNNNNNNNNNNNNNNNNNNNNNNNNNNNNNNNNNNNNNNNNNNNNNNNNNNNNNNNNNNNNNNNNNNNNNNNNNNNNNNNNNNNNNNNNNNNNNNNNNNNNNNNNNNNNNNNNNNNNNNNNNNNNNNNNNNNNNNNNNNNNNNNNNNNNNNNNNNNNNNNNNNNNNNNNNNNNNNNNNNNNNNNNNNNNNNNNNNNNNNNNNNNNNNNNNNNNNNNNNNNNNNNNNNNNNNNNNNNNNNNNNNNNNNNNNNNNNNNNNNNNNNNNNNNNNNNNNNNNNNNNNNNNNNNNNNNNNNNNNNNNNNNNNNNNNNNNNNNNNNNNNNNNNNNNNNNNNNNNNNNNNNNNNNNNNNNNNNNNNNNNNNNNNNNNNNNNNNNNNNNNNNNNNNNNNNNNNNNNNNNNNNNNNNNNNNNNNNNNNNNNNNNNNNNNNNNNNNNNNNNNNNNNNNNNNNNNNNNNNNNNNNNNNNNNNNNNNNNNNNNNNNNNNNNNNNNNNNNNNNNNNNNNNNNNNNNNNNNNNNNNNNNNNNNNNNNNNNNNNNNNNNNNNNNNNNNNNNNNNNNNNNNNNNNNNNNNNNNNNNNNNNNNNNNNNNNNNNNNNNNNNNNNNNNNNNNNNNNNNNNNNNNNNNNNNNNNNNNNNNNNNNNNNNNNNNNNNNNNNNNNNNNNNNNNNNNNNNNNNNNNNNNNNNNNNNNNNNNNNNNNNNNNNNNNNNNNNNNNNNNNNNNNNNNNNNNNNNNNNNNNNNNNNNNNNNNNNNNNNNNNNNNNNNNNNNNNNNNNNNNNNNNNNNNNNNNNNNNNNNNNNNNNNNNNNNNNNNNNNNNNNNNNNNNNNNNNNNNNNNNNNNNNNNNNNNNNNNNNNNNNNNNNNNNNNNNNNNNNNNNNNNNNNNNNNNNNNNNNNNNNNNNNNNNNNNNNNNNNNNNNNNNNNNNNNNNNNNNNNNNNNNNNNNNNNNNNNNNNNNNNNNNNNNNNNNNNNNNNNNNNNNNNNNNNNNNNNNNNNNNNNNNNNNNNNNNNNNNNNNNNNNNNNNNNNNNNNNNNNNNNNNNNNNNNNNNNNNNNNNNNNNNNNNNNNNNNNNNNNNNNNNNNNNNNNNNNNNNNNNNNNNNNNNNNNNNNNNNNNNNNNNNNNNNNNNNNNNNNNNNNNNNNNNNNNNNNNNNNNNNNNNNNNNNNNNNNNNNNNNNNNNNNNNNNNNNNNNNNNNNNNNNNNNNNNNNNNNNNNNNNNNNNNNNNNNNNNNNNNNNNNNNNNNNNNNNNNNNNNNNNNNNNNNNNNNNNNNNNNNNNNNNNNNNNNNNNNNNNNNNNNNNNNNNNNNNNNNNNNNNNNNNNNNNNNNNNNNNNNNNNNNNNNNNNNNNNNNNNNNNNNNNNNNNNNNNNNNNNNNNNNNNNNNNNNNNNNNNNNNNNNNNNNNNNNNNNNNNNNNNNNNNNNNNNNNNNNNNNNNNNNUCACUAACACGCACUGGGAUCAACUACGAUGAGAUAUGCUCUCGUAAUGGAUGUCAUUGAACUCCACUACUUUGUCAGUUUGGUAGUUUCUGAAUAACUGAACAUGCAGCCUAUGAAUGUGGUCAUAAUAACAUCUCUAUGGGAUCAGAGAUAUACAUGAAGAUCUUAAACGGACUUCAUUCAUCCGAAUCAAGUGGCUCCAAACCACAGGAGUAUGCGUUUGCUAAAUGUAUUGAAACGCACAUAGACUCUACUUGAUUUGGAAGGGAUAUGGUGAAUUAUGCCUUUGCGUGUUCAUUCCGGAUUUACAUGGACUCUUGAUGGAUCAAGAGAUGCCAAUAUGUAUCAACAUCCGAAGAAAAAGAUCUUGGGAAGACAUGGUCUCGAUAAGGCACUCGAUGACUGUAUUGAUGAUGAUUUUCCAUCAAUCGGCUUAGGCGCUCUCUAACUAGUGAGGCCUACAUAUACUCCCAUGAUUAGUCAAGGUCUUUGCUCUAAAGAGAGAUCCGUUGUUUUGUCUAAAGCAAGAUGACAAAUAUGUGUUAAGAGAUGGAGUUCCCAUCUAAGUACAAUAAGACGCAUCAAUAUACUCAACACAAUACGAAAGACUUGACAUCUCAUUCGCUAUGAAAAGUUGUAAAGCUAAGUGUAGCUAUGCGCCCACGCAAUGCCAAUAUAAUGGCAGUAACUCCUUUUUCAAUACUUAAUGGUAUGAAAGGUCUAGGCUUAUUCUAUCCCUACAUAAGAAAUACACAUCAAUAGCGAAAUCAGAAUCUGCCAAGUUUCUUAGGUCAAGCUCCACGGGACUUACAGGAAACCUCACUCACUGGAAUAUGGUAAAAUUGAUACCAUUGGAAAGGUCUAUGUGUCUACUUUCUAGAGACACCAACCAUUUGAUCAUACCUAUCAUAUUGAGUGAGUUAUGGCCGUUUUCGUAAAGUAGGACGAAUCUGUCCAAGAAUCUGAUUUUGGCAAAAUAGUCAACUUCGACGGGACUUUGUGAACAGCUCCUGAUGAACCAGAAUGUGUGUAAUAUACGGUUGGAAAGCUAAAUGAGUCUAGUUUCCAAAACCGUUUGGUUCGUUCAUAUGUGAUAGGCGCAAAAGCACCUACAAAGAUACCCUAUUAUCAAAUCAAUUACAUCAAUGUAGUAAAUGGCAAAUAGGGGUCAUUACCCGCAGAGGAUUGGUGAUACUAAGACUUAAACACACAAGAAACACAAACAGACGCGUAAACCAGAAAUCUGGCAGACUUGACCUAGGAGCAGAAACCUAAUUAAUUAGCUAAUCUAGACUCAACCAAAAAUUAUGAAAUUAAAUAAACAGUAACUAGACACAGUGGCGGACUACCACACAAAUUUUGAGGGUAUUCGGAGUUGGUUUGAUUGGUGAACAAAAAUAGAUAAAACAGAAGUACUGCUGAAAACAGAAUAUUAAAAAGUGAAUAUGGAUGUAAAUAUGAGAGAAACAAUAGCUAGAGACUUCUCUCCACCACUAGAUACGCUUCAAUCACCCCAAAACAAUGUCAAUGACUAAAGAUGAAUGCACUCACAGUUAAGCCAAUGUCGUUAGGUCAUUAACCGUAUUACGUUCUCUUAUUUGCCAUGUUAAGUGAAAUGUCAGUAUCGACUUAACUAUAUUCCCAAUUAAUUGAUCUAUGAAAUGUCGGUAUCUAGAUCAAAAUAACUGAAAUCAUGAAGAUCUAAGAACGUUUGAGUAGCAACAAAGAAUCUAAGGUCAAUGUCGGUAGCCUUAGAUUACCAAGGAAUUACUUCACACAAGUACCUGGAAAGAACUUGUUAUCUCUCAUAGAAUAUGCAACGAUAUGUCAGUCAUAAACACAUUCAAAAUAAUAAACCCUAAAACAUGCAUCAAAGUGUCGACUCAAUGAAACAUGCAAUAGAAUUAUCAAUGAACAAUCAGUGAAGAAAUUCUCAUCUAAAAUUAUAUAAAUCAAUUGGGGUUCGAAAUCGAAGACAUAUCUAGGGCUUUGAUCAGCCCCUAACUACUAAGGAGUUUAGUUACACAUAAUCUUGAUUAAGAACAUCAGAGAAUACAUGGAAGAUGAAAUAAGGGUGAGAAGAAGAAAACUUGAUUGAAGAAGAUCUUUCUUUUUCCUCUCCUUUCUUUCUUCUCCUUCUCUCUCUUUUUCUUCUCUUUCUUUCUUCCCUUUCUUUCUUCUCUUUUUCUCUCUGGUUCUUGUUUUCCUCUUGUUUGGCUGCUCCCUUGUAUAAAUAGGUUAGUUAACCUAUAUCUCACGUCCAUCACCAAUCCAACUAGGAUUAGGGAUCCUAAUUAAGCCCAAUUAUCUCCUUUUCUUUGUUUGACUUCAAAAACACCUAAAAAACAAAUAAAGUUAAUUAAAAAUAGGNNNNNNNNNNNNNNNNNNNNNNNNNNNNNNNNNNNNNNNNNNNNNNNNNNNNNNNNNNNNNNNNNNNNNNNNNNNNNNNNNNNNNNNNNNNNNNNNNNNNNNNNNNNNNNNNNNNNNNNNNNNNNNNNNNNNNNNNNNNNNNNNNNNNNNNNNNNNNNNNNNNNNNNNNNNNNNNNNNNNNNNNNNNNNNNNNNNNNNNNNNNNNNNNNNNNNNNNNNNNNNNNNNNNNNNNNNNNNNNNNNNNNNNNNNNNNNNNNNNNNNNNNNNNNNNNNNNNNNNNNNNNNNNNNNNNNNNNNNNNNNNNNNNNNNNNNNNNNNNNNNNNNNNNNNNNNNNNNNNNNNNNNNNNNNNNNNNNNNNNNNNNNNNNNNNNNNNNNNNNNNNNNNNNNNNNNNNNNNNNNNNNNNNNNNNNNNNNNNNNNNNNNNNNNNNNNNNNNNNNNNNNNNNNNNNNNNNNNNNNNNNNNNNNNNNNNNNNNNNNNNNNNNNNNNNNNNNNNNNNNNNNNNNNNNNNNNNNNNNNNNNNNNNNNNNNNNNNNNNNNNNNNNNNNNNNNNNNNNNNNNNNNNNNNNNNNNNNNNNNNNNNNNNNNNNNNNNNNNNNNNNNNNNNNNGAGCCCUAUGAUUGAUGUAAAGAUCAGGGGGAGGUGCGAACUUCAAGGGGAGUCUAGCACAUACAUACAUGUCACUAUCAAAUGUGAAGGGUGCGUUGUACUUUUUUUUCUUCCUACGAUCAAGGUUCAGUUUUUCUCCCACAGGGUUUUUGUGACUUGACGAGGUUUUUGACGAGGCAACAGAUCAGCACCAUCGGCAUAUCAGCGCGCGGCACAAGGGGGAGUGUUCUAGGAUAUUCUCUAUGUGUGCCUUGGGCUUAUGCCAAUAGGAUAUGUAGUUAGACUAGAUCUAUGUAUUCAUAUCCUUACCAUAUUGGUAUUAUGUAAUUCCCUAUAUAAAGGGCUCCUAUCAAUGAAUAAGAUGAUGAUUCUCUUGCUAUCUCUUUGUCUCUACCAUUAAUCCUUCAUCAAUAUUUACUUUCUGACAUUUUACUUUCUAGUGGAUAUAAGCAAGUUUCAACUUGGUCCUCAAAGAUAAAAGUUUCAACUUAGUUGCCGACUGAUAAUCAAAACAGUCACGCCACAAAGUGAACCUGCAAAAUUAGAUGAUGAAAAACAGUCGAUCAGGCAUACCGCCCCGUUAUGUAUUACAUUCUUUAUUAAGAAGAAAAGACAAGCAAGAGGACUGUAUAAAAGUAAAACAAAGAAUCAAGCCUCUUCUCUAUAAAAAAAAACCGAGUAUAGGGGGUGACGGAUGAAGAUGGGUUCUUAGAUCAGAUCAUUUUUCAUAAUCAAAUCGCAUCAGAAAUUUAAUUGGGAAGUGAGAACAAUAAGGUUGAUGCUUUCUAUAUACAUGUCGAUUCUAUAAACUUGGUUUAACUGGGAUAAUCACAAACAGUUAUUUGCAACCUAUGAUUUUCCUGCUCUGCCACAUGUUUGACGAAAGCUCUCCUCCACCACACUUCAAAAGCCUUCUGAAUGUUGGGACAGUCAUCCCCCUUGUUUAGAAAUCGGUCAAACCAAUUCAGCAUUAUAGCCUGUUGUUGAUGCAAAGGAAGUGUAAGAAUUGUUUGGCUCAGACCCUCUUCAACAAGUUUCUUGUCAACAGAUCUCGAAGCCCUCCUCAUCCAUCCGAAGUCCUCAUAAAGAGCAUCCAGCCAUGUUGAGAGCAAAGAAAAUCUCGUGUCUUUGGGCACCAGCAAAUGUCUAGUCCCAAUCGCGAUGCAUAGCUGAGCUGUGAUUUUGCUGAUUUCAUGUCGGUACAUGGUUGGAAUCUUUGAGUGGAGGACUGCAAGCUCCUUCUGAUCUGCCCAUAAUUUCACGAAGUCUUCACCCAUUUUCUUGUCUACCAUAAUAUCAACAAUCCACUGCAUGUUAUCAGCCUCUCUUGCUAUCUCAGCCAUCAAUAACCCGCGGUCUCGCUUUUCGUCCAUGCCUGUAGCUUCAGAUAAGCACAGGACAAGGGAACUCAAGCAUCUGUGGCAAAGAUGGUAAAGGGUUUCUUUAGACACAUCAAGCCUAUUGCUGUCAUUCGCUGAAUCUUCUCGAAGCAACCUGGAAAUGAGAGUCUUCAUUUCUCGACGAGCUCUAUCAUCUUUCGCUUGGAGAACACCAGUGAGCAGUCUUGAUAAGAUUUCAUCAGCUCUAGCAGAUGUGGAUGGUUCAGAGGAAACUCUAAGCAAAACUUGAUCACUAGCCGAGUCAUGAAGAUGAAGUUCACUGAGUUGAGAUUUAACUUUCUCCUCUUCCUCCUCAGACCACGGAGCCGCUUCCAAAUACUCCAAGCAUGAGGCAAUGCCUUCAUCAAACAUCAGAGCCGCAGAAACCUGCAACAGAAAAAACAGAGGAUUUUACCAAUACAUUCCAGUGAUUCCACCAUUAACAAGCUCAAUGAUCUAAGCAAAGACGUUACAGUCACAUAAAGACAGAAAACAGAGCACCAUCUGUAUACCCUUUUGAAUAUCCAAAUUAUUACAGCUAAGACUACACAAAACCCAUCUUAACUAUACGAAUUCUCACCAUAUUUGGAACUCCGAAACUAAGAUACACUUUCCAUUCAGUAGCUUUUAAACAACCUCAGAUUCCACUAAACUGACUCCCCAAUUGGCAUGACCUCAACAUUCACUCUCUACCACUUAAAUUCAAAACUGAAAUCCACCAAGCCAAGACAACCCAAGGCUUUCCAUAACCUAAGACAGAAUAUGGUGACCUCAAGCAGAAUAAUGUCCUCAUCUCAAGCAGCUUUUACAAACCCCCAAGACAGAAUCUUUUCUCUCUUUCUUGGUUAAACCCCCAAAGAAAAAGACCUCUCACAAUCACAAAACCCAGUUUCCUACUAACCUCAAAAGUGCAAACCCAAUAACCAAUGUGUUCAUCCAAACUUUCCCAGCAACCCAAAACACACAGCACAAAGACAAAGCAUAAUACAAAAGCAAAAGCCAAAAAUACAAAGAAAGCACAAACCUUUAGCAAACCCAAAACCCUGGAGACCUCCUCACCCAUCAACCUCUUCUUCAAAUCGUCGCAGUACAUCAACACCACACUCUCCACAUACACCUCCACAUCAUCACAAUCAGAAAUCUCCACACAAUGUGAGACCCCUCUAUCUUUCCUCAGCUUUUCGGCGAAAAACCGGCUUUUCGAAGCCAGAACACUCUUGUGCACAUCCAUUGAGACCCUAAACCCGUCCUUGGCCACCACCGUCAGCCUCACAUCACCGGAAACAAGCCCUCCUCCCCAAUUGGGGUUCCGAAACGGCGCCGUUUCGAGGAGCCUGUGGACUUUCUGGUGGAGGCUCCGGUCGGGGACCUUGGAAUCGCGGUGGUGCUCGUCGGACAUCAUCUCGUAGAGGGUCUGGGAUUGACUCGGGCGAGUCAAUUGCGCGGCGGAGAAGGGCGGCGGCGGAGAGGAUAGGGUUUUGGAGGUGGGGGAGGAGUUGGGGGAGUGGAGCUUGGAAAGGUUGGAUCUUGACGGCGAGAAUGAGAGGGAUUGGUCGGAGAUGAAGCCCUGUUUGAUCAUCGCCGAGACCUCUUUGGAUUUCAGUGCGUUCUCGGCCGCCAUUGGAGCAAGAAACCCAGUAAUUAGGGUUUUACUGGGUUUCUUUAGGAAAGCAGAGAUUGAGAGAAUGGAGAAAUGGGUUGUUUGGAGGAUUGGAGAUAGUGAAGUGGGUAUUCAAUCAGUCAAAGAAAGGAGUAAACUUUUCUAGAGAGAGAGAGAAGGGUUUGAAGGGAGGGAAAAUGUAUAAAGCUUCCUUCUUGGGAAGUUGAAGUAAUUUUGAGGGGAAAGUAGGAAUCCAAGAAAAUGGAGCUUUGGAUUUGUGAGGUAAUGAUGUGAGGGAUUAUGAACCCAAAAAGGGGGUUACUUUUAAGACAAAGAAGGAUUAUUGGGGAUGGAUAUGGGAUUUGAUUUUCUUACCUGCAUAUCUGUAAUUAACGUUUUAUGAGUAUGGAGUUUAAGGACCUCCUUCUGUUAUAUGUUCUUAAGCUUUUAGCCUUAAUAAAAAAGAUGGACAGGUGAGGACAGGUAAUGCCAACCCAUAAGGACAUUUUAAUUUAUUAGGGAAGCUCUGUGCUAAGUGCUCACCCUUAGUUUAGAUGGGAAUCCUUUUGUUUUCUUUUGGUGAAAAUGGUUGGAGAUUCUCUUUGUAUUGAGGCAGGGACUCCAAAUCCAGCUUUUAAUAAUUCACUGCCGGUAACAACAACCAGUUGUGAUUAACAUUUUCUAGUUUUGUAUCUGGGUUGAUGGGGAUUGAUUAAAGGAAAAAGUGGGUGUUAUGGAAGUGAGCGCUCUCAGAUGAGUUCUGAGCGUUCUGUGCUAGCUCAGUGAGCCACUGCCGUAUGUUUAGCGAUGCAGCGCUACUACUGGUGUAGCCUUAACUAGUAGCCUGCCGUUGCAACAAACUAGCAUGGAGUAGCUAUAACAUGUCUCCAACCUUUCUAGCGUCAAUUAUUUGUCUCUCGAUUAACUUUGCUCAAUGACCAAAAAAAUUACUUUGCUCACACAUUUCACAUUUGAAAGAAACGGAUUCCACGCAUCAAGGUAUACUUGCACCAUCAUCGAAGAUAGAAUGAACACUGAAAUCUCUCAAUUCCGUCAUCUGGCUUUUACAUUUUUUAUCUAAUCAGAUUAAACGCUCAUAAUAAGAUAUUUUGUUCUAUCUCAGGUCCCACCUCUUAUAUUUGAAACAUUUAGGGGGGUGUAUUGUAUUUGGAAAGUUCAUAGACUUUCACUGAUUUUAAUCAACUGACUUUUUUAAUCAACUGACUUAUUAAAAAGACUUAUUUUAAUCAACUGACUUUUUAAUCAACUGACUUUUUAAAAAGUCUACAGACUCUUUGAAAAGUUCAUAGACUUUCACUGAUUUCUUAAAACCAUCGAUUUUUAAUCACAGACUUUCACUGAUUUCUGAAAUCUACAGAUUUCAUAUGAAUGACUUAUAUAGAUUUCUCAAUACUUACAGAGUUACAAGAAAGAAAAAAAAACAAAGAUGCAAUGACAAACACAUAAUGACACCGAUUAUAAGUUUAGUACUCAUCUAUCUAAUUUCGAUGCAUACAGUUGUAAUAUUUGAUUGAGAUACAUAAACAUAGGUAACAAAAAAGAUUAUAUUAAUUUAAGUUACCAACACACAUACUUGUACGUUAAUCAUAGACACAUGUUCUAAAGUGGGACAUUAGAUGUUCACAAGUUUAAUUCAUGUACGCAAAUAUAAUAUAAUAUAUGAUCAUGUAGUUCUAGUAUCAAGAGUUAGUAGAUAAUAUUUAGGUUAUCAAUAGUUCCAAGCAUUACAAUUGAAAGACAACAAAAUGUUAACAUUAAAAAAACAUUGAAAAGAAUAGAUAGAAUAGAACGUUGAUAACAUAAAAUAUUAUAAAAAGGAAAAAAAAAGAUGAUGUAUCACAAGAUCAAUCUAUUCACAUGUAAAGAAAAAGUCUAUCGUAGACUUUUCCAAAUCUUUGCUCUAAUGGAUGGAAAAAUAUUGGAGUUUGGUGUGUGUAAUUUACACUACAAAGUCCACAGUUAUCCAUGAGUUACUAAUUCCAUAAGUAUGAAUGAUAUUUUAAAUACAUCUAAACUUUUAUUCAUUUUAAAAAGUCUUAAUUGAAUACCCAUGAACUUUGAUGGAAUUCAUAAUGAUUUUUUAAAAUCUAGUUGUAUACACUUAGACUUUGAUGGAUUUUUUAAAGUCUGUAUUGAAUACACCUAGACUUUUAAAUUCCAUAGACUUCUUUAAAACUGCCACUAAUUCCAUAUACAAUACACCCCCCUAGACUAAUUUUUUAGGUUUCAAUUUUGUUAACGGCGUUCGCAUAUAUCUAAUAAUGUCAUGUUGAAAAUUCUUUUACGCACCAAGGUGCAAGUGAACCAAACAACUAAUAUGUAAUAUUCUGAUCCGGUCAUCCACAUCGUAUUAUCAUGCAUGUAUUCUAAUAUCAUUAACAAAAUUGAAACCCAAAAAAAUAAUCCUAAGUGUUUCCAACAAGGAGGUGAUGACCUGAGGUAGAAUAAAAUGUACUCUUAUUAAGAGCGUUUAAUUUAAUCGGAUCAAAAAUGAAAAUGAAAUGAAGGAAUACGCACCAACGUGCAAGUGAACCAAACAACUAAUAUGUAAUAUUUUGAUUUGGACAUCCACAUCGCAUUAUCAUGCAUAUAUUCUAAUAUCAUUAACAAAAUUGAAACCCAAAAAAAAUAAUCCUAAGUGUUUCCAACAAGAAGAUGAGGACUUGAAGUCGAAUAAGAUGUACUCUCUUAUUAUGAGCGCUUAAUUUAACCAGAUCAAAAAUGAAAAUGAAAUGAAGGAAUUUAGAGUCUUUAGUCUUCAUUAGAUCUUCACAUACAGCGAUUUGAGGACUUGCACAUUAAUGAUGCAAGUGCACCUUGGUGAGUAGAAUCCGCUCCGAAUGUCAUGUAUGUGGCUGGAUCAAAUAAGAGGUUGAUAUUGCAUAUAAGUUUUUCGGUUCACUUACAUCUCGGUACAUACAAGAAUUUUCGCAUUUGAUUUGAGGUUAUUACCUUGGACGACCAAGACAAUUCGUGGAAUAUUCUAUUUUACAUAAACAUUUUUGGUUUUUUAUGAAGAGAUGUUUGGAUUGUAUCCGGUUAAGAUUGUACUAAGCUUGUCGAUAUUGGCAAAUUAUCUAUAUUACCCUCGCUAACGAUGUUGGCGAGUAUUUAUGUUCUUGUGGCCCUGCCCCUUCUUAGCCAUCAAAAACAUCUCCUAGGUCACAACAACAUUGUCCUCUUUUUCUUCUUCAUCGACCUUGGGAUUAAUGAAGUUGAACGUCAUCAAGGUAGCGCGUGUGGACUACAAAGCUUGAGCAGUCCUUGGUGCUAAAGGCCUUGUCAUUGACCACAGACGAGCUCGACAUUCUGAACUCUUCCAUUUGUGUCGUGUUGCUGGAGCCUUCUAGAAACAUACCGUGAAUUGAAUCACGACGUCAUCGGUUUGUUCCAACGACCCGACCCUGUUGUGAUUAAGAUUCAACAUGAUCUGAUUGAGUUCUAUUGAGUCGAUGAAAAAUAAAUAAAACCACAAUGUUCAACAUACUUAUGGAACAUUGUUGCUCAUAUACUAGCAAAGCUUGAAAACACAAUGCUAACUGUGUUUUUAAGCUGUUUGUUUUGGAUGUCUUAUUAUCAAUUCUUUUUUUUUUUUUUUGAAAAGAAUAUAGUUUCAUUUGUUACGUUACCUAUAAAAGUAGGUUAAUAUGAGCUGGGACAAUCAUAUUCCUUGACCUACCGGGAAAAAACCCUUUUCCCUAGCUAUUUGGGCACCAGAUUGCCGUGAAGUAUGGGAAUGGGAAAAACAUAAAAGGCAGCUCUCGCUCACAAUAAUGAGAAAAGACAGACAAAUGAAACGAUAAAUGUGCAAUACAUGGUAAAAAGAUUACACAAUGUUUAAAACUUUAAAUUCAUGAUAAUUUGCAAUACAAAUUGAGUACACAUGGGUGGACCAAACAUUAUUCAAGAACCUUGUAACAUUGCCUUGUGCAAUGGGUGACCCCUGCAUUUACGUAAAGUCAGUAAGAGGAUGUGCCUAACAUGUCCAACCCAAUAAAUGUAAGUAACUAACUGUACUCGGUAUUUACAGUUUUCUUUUCUUACCCUAAAAGGGUGGAGGUGCUUCCUAGAGUUGCAGCAUGUCAUAUCAAACAAUAACUAAAGAGGUACGAUUUGAUGGGCGAGUUCUGGCCACGUUUUCAACACUUGAAUAGUUACAUCACAAGAACCAGACAAUAAAUCUUGUAACAUUCUUGGUAUUUAUGAUGGAUUUGAGGAAUGUUUAGGUACGAUAGAUUGAUUUUGAGUUGGAUGUUAUACGUCUCUAACUCCAUGAUGAACAACCGAAUAAUGUGAUGGAAUUGGUAAGGCCUCAUUAUUGGUUGAUCAUAGCUCUAUCUGGGCAAACAAGAGCUUAUCUUUUGGUUAUGAGUAAUUUUAUUAACACAUCCUUAUUUACUUAAUACAUAGUUCUUAAAUUUUUUUUUUAGUCAUUUUUUACCCAUUAUUUCCUCAUUUCCCCAUCCUUUCUUCUUCGUCAUCUUUCACUAUCUUAAAGUUGAAUUCUUUCCCUCGCUUCGCCAACUACAAGGCUGCAACAACAACAAUUACAUCCCCCUUUCUCUUUAUCAAUCUGUUUUUCAAACAAUAAUUCUAAGUUAGUGAACUAAAAUAUCUAUAAGUUUACUAAAUUAAGCAAACAAUAAAAAUGAGAGAAUUAGAGAUUUUGAUGACGUGAAACACCUAUACCGGUCAAUAAAUUCUUCUAUAAAAAUUGCAGGGCUGUAAUUAUGUUUACUGUAAAUCCAAACAGUCCUAUAUGAAUAUUUGUUUGAAUGAAUUAAUCCUUUAGUUCUUCACCUGCGGAGGUGUUUGACAAAACAGAAUUACAGAGUACUAUUUUUUUUUUUUUCCAUUUGGUUCAAUAACUAUGAGUUGAUCCUUAGUUCUUCACUUGCUCAAUUGAAUAAAUUAAACCUUAGCCAUUGCUUGAAUGAAUUAUUAGUUCAUUACCUCCAGAGGUGUUUGACAACACUGAGUGGUUUUUUUUUCUCAUUUGUUUUUGUCAAAAAAAAUUAUAAAGAGGGAUAAAAGAGGAAUUAAAAAUUUUACAAAAAUAUGGGAUGUGCAAAUAAAAUUUCUCUUUGGGUAUGUAUAAACCAGGAAACCCUUCUAGUGAGGGCCCUUAAGUUGAGGACUUGGUGAAGACUUUUCGGCUAGCUUAUCCCACCUUUUGAUCUUAUAUCUACAUCUUGACCGUUCAGUUUAUAGGUAUUUAUGAGUAGAUCAUUUCUUCAAAUUUUCAACUAUAUUGAAAAUUGUUAAGACAUUCAUAAGUGAGAUUUAUCAAUUAUGAACUUGAACGGUUCAUAUUUGACAGAUUUGGUUCAUCCAUUAAUUUGAUCUAGUUUGUUAUCUUCACGAACACCAAUUUGGGUGAAAAUUUGUAGAAAUGAUCUACUCAUAUAAACCUAAAAACUGAACGGAUAAGAUGUCAAAAUGUGAUCGAAAAUUGGGUCUUUUAAACCAUAAACCGAAAAGUCCUCACCAAAUCCUCAACUUAAGGGUCCUCACUAGAAUGGCUCCCGUAUAAACCAUUCUAAAAAAAAAAAAAAAAAAGUUUACACCAGCAGUGUCUGAACACUUGAGUGAUUAACAAUAUAGUACCUUAACUUACAAAGUGAUCAACCUUAACUUACAAAGUGAUACCCAGACUUAAGUUUGAUAUCUUUGUCGUACCUGCUGUUAAUUUCCUUCACUUCUCCGUUAGUUUCACCAUCUACCAGACACGAGACUGUUAAAAUAAAUCAAAAUGUUCUAUUUGCCCUCAAUUCGUUUGAGAACCGCAACUUUUUCCCCCUCCCCAAAAAACACAUUAAUCUGACCAAGAACAUCACUGAUAUCUCAACUGCUAACCUAAUUCUUUAACUGAAAAUGAAAAGGAGCACCACUAAUCAAGUAAGUUAAGAAUCACUUUCUGCAAGUGUACCUGUGAUAUAACGAAGCUACGAUUACUUGAUUUUUGAAGACUCUGGUUUCUAAUUUCUAUCACUUUGUUGAAAAACAUGGUUUUAGAUGAAUCGAUGGCAACGAGUGCUGAGUGGCUUAAGAGGUUAUUCAACCUCAACUUUGCUGAAGAUGAAAGCUUAUAACUCAACAACUAAUUUCACAGAACAAAAAAGAGGAAAAAAAAAUGAAAAAAUGAUUAAUAAUCCACCCAUGUAUGACCUCGGUUGUAAUUGAAACCAUACACCCAAAAAUUUUAGAAGAACCAAAUGCUAUCGCAACCAUUAACUCCCAAUAUGCAAUUUGGGGAUUUUAUUCGAAACCCUUAAAAAAAUUGAUUCUGAAAUCAACUAAUCUCGAACAACUACAUGACAAAGAGAACUAUAAAUUUCUAAUACCUGAACCAGUGCCACUAAAAAGAACUUAAGAGAUUUGGUGAUAUCGAAUCAAAUAUUUUUACACCAACAGUAUCUGAACUCUUACAUAACUGACAAUAUGAUACCCUAACUUAUAAAGUUAUCAAAGUAGUACCUAAACUCAAUUUUUCGUAUAUAUAUGGUACCUGCCGUUAAUUUUCGUCAAGUCUCUGUUAAUUUGACCAUGUGCGUCCCAUGUGACGACUUAAAUGAGGCGCAAAAGACUGAUGCACCCUCCAUUCUUUCAUAUCUCUUUUUUUUCUCUUCUUUUUUUCUUUUUUUAUACGUUCUUUCAGAUCUCUCUAUCCUCUCUUUCUCACCCUCUUCAUCUCUCUCUCUCUCUCUCUCUCUCUCUCUCNNNNNNNNNNNNNNNNNNNNNNNNNNNNNNNNNNNNNNNNNNNNNNNNNNNNNNNNNNNNNNNNNNNNNNNNNNNNNNNNNNNNNNNNNNNNNNNNNNNNNNNNNNNNNNNNNNNNNNNNNNNNNNNNNNNNNNNNNNNNNNNNNNNNNNNNNNNNNNNNNNNNNNNNNNNNNNNNNNNNNNNNNNNNNNNNNNNNNNNNNNNNNNNNNNNNNNNNNNNNNNNNNNNNNNNNNNNNNNNNNNNNNNNNNNNNNNNNNNNNNNNNNNNNNNNNNNNNNNNNNNNNNNNNNNNNACCACAUUCAUAGGCUGCAUGUUCAGUUAUUCGGAAACUACCAAACUGACAAAGUAGUGGAGUUCAAUGACAUCCAUUACGAGAGCAUAUCUCAUCGUAGUUGAUCCCAGUGCGUGAUAGUGAGAGACCUUGCGCCAUAAGGUGAGUCUAAACUCUUAUUCUCACUACGCUAUCUAACAAAAGUAUAGUUGAUAGGGUUUAGCUUGCGGUGUCGGCAUCACCUGCCCAAGGACCUAUCUCUUUGUUAAUGCUGGAUCGCAUCUUUCCAUUAGGCCAAUCAACUAAGUUGAUAUUCAUCAACGAUGGGUGGUUCGAUAGUAGACUCAUUAUCCCACGUCCUCAUGUACACUAGUGUAAUACUUGUAGAGAUCUCUAUAUGGAUUGGAUUUCACAUUGAGGCGUCCCCCAACGAUAAUCACAAUUCAGACUUCAUGAGACGGAUUUGAGUAUCACUGAUCAAUGGAUCAGGUUGUGCCAAGCUCGCUUUCUUUCUAGUGCAAGACAAUAUCGAACCUAAGGGCCUCCCUCCUUUUAGGGAGCCACACAGCCUUGUGACACUAAUUUUUGCCACUAUAUGGCGUCACCAUAUCACUAUUCAUGGUGAUGGCAUUAAGACCAACACCUUUUGGUCGCGCCAUGUCCUUUUGUAGGACAUCAAUCCUUGCAGACAUAUUUGCAGCAUGUGAUCUCGUCACUUUAACACUUUAAGCAUUUGGGAUCAAGAUGCGACUUAGUGGGGACAAACCAUGACAAUUUACGUCGUUCCACUUGAACACUUGUGUUCUUAUCUCCCCCUAACUGCGGGAAUAUUGUCUCAUCAAAGUGACAAUCCGCAAUUUAGUGGUGAAUGAGAUCGCCUGACAAGGUUCCUACAUAUGCGGAUUAUAGGUGGAGGUUCAUAUCCAACCUAAACUUAUUCAUCUCAAAUGACCCAUCAUUGUACGCAGUGGCAAUGCGAUUUGGCACUUAGAAAUAACAUCUAGCCGAGCUCAAAGAUUGGAGAUCCGUUUCAAUCCUGCCGAGCUCAAGGAUUGCAAUUUCGUGUCAAUCCUAGUACACAGUCACGAGCUGUAGUACAACAAAAUUCAAUGAUGGUGGGUCGUAGAUGAAUAGUAAAGCUGCAUGCGAAUAUUGCAUAGCCCCAAGACGCAAUAGAAAGAGUGGUGCGCAUCAAUAAUGUUCGAGCGACAAGCUAAAGUUGCUUGGUCGUAGCCUCGGUGAGACCGUAUUGCGUGUGAACAUGGGGUACAUGACACUUCAACUUACAUCCCGAUGAACUUCUUUAAAGAAUGGGUAGUGAGCCCGUAGAAGUAUAAGCAGCAUAAGCAGUAGAUAAUAGUGUAACACGUGACUAGUGUGCUAACACUUCAACCAACACCAUAAAGCAUAAAAGGUGUCCGCAAGUUGGUUGUACCUAUCUACAUAAUUUUAUGUAAGAAUAGAAUGUUCACUUUUGUGUUAUUUAGCAUAGGAGGGUCUCACUCUUAAUUUAGGUAAAGAAUAGACUUUCAAAACGAGCAAUGAGCAUUGUAGGGGGUUAAUGCGACAUCGAGGAAAGGCCGGUGCACCUCAAUUGCUUGAGGAAUUGACCAGACGACCUCCAGGAAGUUGGAGUCGUGUUCGAGUGACGUCAAUGUCCCCCGGGUCACCACCAUGCUUCGUUGGUAAUUCCACACCAACUUGGAGGACCUAGAGAACUUGAUGGUGAUCGAAUCCGCUAAAGAUUAUGGAUCAUGAUGCCACAAAAGAUCAUCGACAAUAUGUAGUCAAUUAAGGUGGUAAGCAAUCCACUUGACUAAUAACUCAACAAGUAGAGUUAUAUGAACGUUUCAAGAAACGCUCCUUGAGUGUGUUCCACAGUACUUUGUGGUCAUUACUUUUUGCACAUAUUGCCGUUGAAGGCUUUUGUCGAUGUGGCGUUUCAAAGACUUUGAGUGCAUGAGAUGUGAAAUCUCGGCAUCUAGGCUUGUUAGCCUAGGGGUCAAAACAUAUGGUUUAAUCCUUUCCAAUGAAAGGUUCCACAGAUACCAAGCGAAGAUCCGCCUUAGGCAUCUAGUACGUCGAAACUCAAAGGAACAGAAUGUUACAUUGCUCUUGCAUACAAAACCAAGCUGUUAUGAGACUCGAUAGAGGUCACAAAUGAUGCUUUUAAUGGUUUGUCCUUCGGAUUGAUCAUACACAAUCCGAAAAAGCCGCGAAUUGAUCAAACACAAUUCGGAAAAAGGCCUCGGAUUGAUCAAACAUAAUCCGGUGUUAGGUCGGGGUUGAUCAUACACAACCUGGACAAGGAAACAAGAGUGAUCAAACACACUCUUGACCCGCGAAUAAAAUUCCGGGAUUUUUGGUACCUGCAAAUACACCGACCCAAGCAUAGAAUGGAGUAGAAGAAGGGGAGAAAGCACUUUAUCUCCCCCGAGGGUAUUGAACUUGGAAGAGUUUUAGGGUUGUAAAAUAAACAUACCGUAAACACUUGGAUGCUUGAUCGGAUGCAAAGAAAGCAGCGGAUGGGACUACCGAGAGGAGAAACGACGUUUUGCCCACUUCUACUUCGAAUUUGGGGCUGAAAAUUUGAUAGAAGGAGCAGCUAUGGAUGAGGAAGCUGCUGUCAAAAAUUCAGGUUGAUCGGAGCAAGGAAAGGUGGUGAACCGGUGGUUGGUAGCGGCGGCGGUCUGGAAUCUUCCGGCGGCCGGUUCGGAGACUUUCCGGCCGGUUCUCAGGGUGAGGUUGGCGGCGUUGGAUCCGAGACGGAAAGAGCUUUCUGGGGAUAUAAAAUUCCGGUGGAGGACAGUCGGAAUUUUGGUCGGAAAUCAGGAAAAACAAGGCUGCCCGAUUUUAUGGUUUNNNNNNNNNNNNNNNNNNNNNNNNNNNNNNNNNNNNNNNNNNNNNNNNNNNNNNNNNNNNNNNNNNNNNNNNNNNNNNNNNNNNNNNNNNNNNNNNNNNNNNNNNNNNNNNNNNNNNNNNNNNNNNNNNNNNNNNNNNNNNNNNNNNNNNNNNNNNNNNNNNNNNNNNNNNNNNNNNNNNNNNNNNNNNNNNNNNNNNNNNNNNNNNNNNNNNNNNNNNNNNNNNNNNNNNNNNNNNNNNNNNNNNNNNNNNNNNNNNNNNNNNNNNNNNNNNNNNNNNNNNNNNNNNNNNNNNNNGAACAUAAAUGGGUGCAAGACUUGAAAGAUUGCUAGAUAUAUAUUUUUUUGUUGUUGUUUAUUUUUUUGGGUUCUUGCUGGGUUUAAGAUGUACAUGAAUAAGUUGGAUUUGGUGAUGGAUUUCGAGAGAUUACCUGUUUGCAAAGUUAGUUGGUAUAUAAAUGUAAUUUGAAUUAUGUUUGAUUUGUUUUUGAAGAACCUAAAUCCAAAUUCUAAAUGACGAAGAAGAUCUAGAUGUCUUUGGCUUUCGUGGUCAAAUAGGUGUUAAUAGAGAUAGGGGGGAUGUUAAGAUUUAUUUAUUUUUUGUUUGGUUUUUGUUCUGGGAAUGUAUUUGGAGCAGGAUCCUUGGUCAACAUAACAAAGUAAAGAAAAAGUUUUCAUCAAGUUUCUAUUAUCAAAUUUAUUCAUUUUAGGGGUUGAUGGAGUGAAAAAGUCCUAUUUACCCUCAUUUUUCGGACCCACGUGCAUCACACAUGGUUAUUGUUAACGGCGAUGUGACGGAAAUAAACCGUAGGUAUGACAUGGAUACUAAAAAUUGAGUCUGGGUACUUCUUUGAUAACUUUGUAAGUUCGGUAUCAUAUUGUCAAACACUGUUGAUGCAAAAAACCCAAUCAAAUAAGAAAAGAACUUACUGCUGUCAUCGCCAAGUUUUGUCAUAAACCAACUCGAUCGAACUGAAUAUGGGUUCAGAAAUUUAAUUUCCUUUUAAUCAAUCUUUUGGUUUGGGACCCAAAGUUUGAGAAUCAGAUUUGUGUUCAAUUGUGUUGUUUUGAGGAAUGUUUAAUCAAGUUUCUGGGUAGUUGUAUGAAAAUGUCUGUUUUGACAUCCAUCAGCAAAUCUCAUGUGUGGCACAUGGUUACAUUUGACGGAGACGUCAACAAAUUUAACAGCAGGUACGAUAAAGAUGUGAAAAAUUAAGUCUGGGUAUCACUUUGAUCACUUUGUAAAUUCGGGUACUAUAUUGUCAGUCACCCAAGUCUUCAAACACUGUUGGUGCAAAAAAUCUAUAAUAAAUAAAUAAAUAAAUAAAAAAACUGAGCCAUGAUGAACAAACAUGAUGAAUAGUGGAAUUCAUUUACUAACAAAAUUUCCGAGAUUACAAACCCUACAAAAGAUUGAUUACAGAAACAUUACAACGUUGCAGAUAUCAUAUACACACAAUGAUUGAAAACCCUCAAGCAGGGUCCAUCUACAAAUUGCAAACAAUUUCCAUCCACAACCAAAUCAUUAAGAACUCAAUUCUUCAACAACAUGAUUAGCUUUCUCCAGAGCCUAUUCUUAUGAUUUACGGAACGAGAUGCAGUACGUUGAUCAAGUACUCAAAAUGUGCAGCAAAGGGUCCUAAUUAAGAAAGCAAAUCAUGUAACUAUUUAACAUCCUGACGAAAGCCUAGUUCUUAAGAAAUACCGAAAGGCCGGGGAAGGAAUAGUACCUCUUAGAAAAUAUUUGUUUGUAGAUCUUGCAUCUCAGGAUCGACAAGCUUAGCACCCUUUUCGGCUUCAGUUGUCCCGAAGAGAGGGGAAUCAAGUUUAGGAGGAUUCUGCACAUUACAAAAGUUCUUCAGUUUAAGUUGAAACCCUUAGAAUGCAAUAGCUCGACUACAUGUAUAUAGGAAAGUUUAACCCCUUUGAACUUUUUAGAUUUAUGGCCUCAUUUUCAUUUCUUCUUUUUGUGUGCAUAGCAAACUUUCUUGUAAGAGUUAAGAUAUACCAUGCAGCGAACUAGAGCCCAGUUGACACCCCGAAAGAAAGGGUGACGCUUAAUUUCGUUUGCCCCUUCCAGAGACCCCAAUCUGUUUUUAGGAUCACGAUGCAGCAACCGAUACAUCAGCUGCUUUGCUUGGAGACUUGCCUGCAUUAGGACACAAAUUUUAAGUUCAUGCAUAUUAUAUUGAACUCAUCAGCUUUGUAGUAUUUCAUGGUAAGAAGAAAAAUGUUGAUGUUAAUUCUUUGCAUCAACUUCUGUUGAAUCACACUUCAUAAAAAUUUGCAAGGAUUUGCAAAUGACUCGACCGAAGAUGCAACAUGCAAAGAUUUGCAAAUACAUGUUGAGAUACACAUGAUAAUAUAGAGUUGCACAUGCAAACGAAUGCAGAUUUAUAUAGAGUGAAGAUCUCACCGGUAUACUUCCUGGAAAUUUGAGAUCCUUGUGAAGAAUAUUGGCGAAUGUCUUUUGCCUUGUCUUUCCCCUAAACGGUGUAUAUCCAUAGAGCAUUUCAUAUAUAAGAAUACCUGAACAAAGAAGGUGCAGUUGAUUAGCAAAGAUGGUUGAUGUUAAGUGACUAGCUGAAAUAUCACUCCGGCAUAUGUUUGCACUGAAGUGAAUGCUAUAAAAUAAAUUUUAUCUUGGUUUUGGGGACGAAUUACCGCUUGUCAUUAUAUAUCAUUAUUCACUUUUUGACAGCUUUAAUGAUUUUUGUCAAACGAGUGAUUCAUCGGCCAAAUUUGGAGAAUGAAUCAUUCGUUGGAGUAGGCGUGUUCUAUUUUCAUGUUUUGUUUUAAAAUCCAAUUAUUUGGUGCACAGACUUAGAAGUAGAAACAGGAAAUUUAGAGUUGAGCGAAAUUACCAAGAGCCCACCAGUCUACUGCACUAGAAUGGCCAGCUCCAGUUAUGAUUUCCUAUAAGAAGUGGGAAAGAAUUAAGCAGUCAAUAUAAGCAACAGACAACUAAGGAACUGUUGAGAAACUUCAGAAAAGAAUGUCAAGAGUGUCAUACUGGAGCGAUAUACUCUUCCGUGCCAACGAAUGAAUUUGAUGCUCUCAUUGGUUCAGCCAUGAAGAUUGGAUCGUGUUGACGUUUGUGAUGCCUUUUCUUUUCGUUAAUGGUUGGAAGUAAAAGCUGAAAGAACCAGAUUACAAUCCUGUUUGUUAAAAAACUACUCGAGUCUAGAAGAUUAAAGGGUAAGUUCCAAGAUUUGAUGAGACGGAGUCUUUUGUUAAAGUUUUCAAAGCAGAGUUGCUCAGAAACACUUGAGAUGGAAAAUAAAGGAUUUUGGAAUUAUAAAGAAUUUUGGUUUCAAGUUUCUUUGGUGGGAUACCUGUGGUUUGCAAGAUGUCAAACAUGAUAAAUCGAAAUCGGUCAGGGUUACAUGCCCAUUGCUCUGAAGUAAAACAUUUUCAGGCUUCAAAUCCCUGUAAAUUAUCCCUACAAGUAAAGGAACAGAAGGCUCAAAAUAUCAGGUCAUACUGCCUCAACAAAGCAAUUAUAAAUAGCAAUUAAUUGCUAUGUAGAUAGAGUUCCAUUCUCACUUCAUUAUCCUCAAAUCAUGAUAUAAUUGUACGAAAGAUGCAAACAAUUUACCUUGACAAUGAAGGUACUCCAAGGCAACAACUACCUCUGCAACAUAAAAUCUACAAUCACCAACAAGACAACAAACGAGUCAGUCAUCCACUAGAGAAUGUGAAUAAACAAUCUAACUGCAAGGGUAUUUGAACCGCAAAUUCUGCUCCAAUUAUCACAACAACUUCAAGUUGUAGGUGACUUAUCUGCAUUACUAUUACUUAUUGUGUAAUGUACCUCACUGAAUCUUCCUUCAGGACCUUCGUUGGUUGACUGUCCAAAAGUAGGAAGAGUUCUCCACCAGGGUAGUAAUCAGUGAUCAGGCAAACAUGCGUUUUGGUCUGCAAAGUAUUAUACAUGGUGAAGUUUGAACUAAUUUAAGUAAACGACGACAACAAUGAUAAAUGAUGGUUCAUCCGGUUAUACUUAGUAAAAUGACUUUGUACAUGGUAUUAUAUCAAAAUUUCAUACCUGAAAUGAAGCAUAUAAUGCAGGAAGAAAAGGGUGAUCCAACAUAUCGAGGAUCUCUCUCUCCGCACAAGCUCUAUGCACCUGCAAGAAGGGAAUCAAAAGACUUCUGUAAAUAGAAAUGGCACAUAACCAUUCAUAAUGACAUUAUUUCUGACUCCUUAUGAUGUGGACAAUAAGGUAGCAAGACAUGUAAAAUGAGUUUUGAACUCUUUUAAAUACCUUGUUCCGAUUGAGCAUGAUAUUCUUAUCCAUAGCCUUCAUGGCGAAGUACUGAUCAGUUCCACACAAUUGCACCAAAUGCACACUGACAUUCAAUAUUUCAAAAGUUAGUAUAAGUAGAAUCUAAGUGAAGAUUCUUCAAUUUCCAUAUACUACUUCAAACCUGAGGUAAAAAAACUAUUUAACAUACUAACCUGCCAGUAUCACCAGAUCCCAAGGGCUUUAUAGGCUUAAAAUGUUUCAAUCCUAUCUGUUCUCCACUGUCUAGAAUCUGCAAUAUCAAGAGUUACUUCGAGCAGCAAUGUAUCAUGAUAUAGAGAGAUGAAAAUAUUCAAGAAAAACAACAGAACAAAUCCCUGGUAAUUGAAGAAAAUUUAGUGAUGAAUCUAUGUUAUGUUUUUGAACUAGUAAUAGACCCUGAACAAAAUCAAUGAUUAUCCCUGGCAGUUCAUAAAGAAGUUGUUAGCGAAACCAUACAUAAUGAAUAAUUAAUACCUUUUGAAUAGCUAUCCAAGGGGGGCUAUCCUUCCUAUGAGGCUUUGGAUGAACGACCUUCGAAUGAUUCAUCCAUAAAUCUUCUGGUUUCUGCAGUUAGAGAAAACUUCUGUCAAGGUCCUGAACCUUUAUAUUUUAUGAACCAUGGAUUAAGAAACUGGCAUUACCAUAUUGGCAUCCGGAAGUUCUCUUGCUGCCUCAUCAACAUUCACUGCAGUCUCUUUGACCUGCGUUAUGAAAUCAACCAAACAAUUCAAGGAAAAGAACAUUCAAUAUAUAUGAUCAAAUCAUCAGAAAGUGCAUAAUUGUAUCUUUCAUACCAGUUUUUCACUCUCUUUUGCUGCAACUUCAGGAAUAGAGUUCUGGAGAGGCUCAAUGUGCUGACUGCCAUCAAGUUGUACUCCAAUAAAAUACUGUACUUCUCCCUGUAUACAUAAACAAGUAGAAUGGAAAAUCAGUUCCAUAUUCUUUUCUGUUUGGUAAAUUGUCUAAUAUGUAAUUUUAUUGUAUCCAUAUAAUAUAAGCACACAUUCAACAGUAACAUUGAUCAUUUUAUCUAAUAAAGAUUAUGUAAGGAGAUAGAUUACCUUAUGAUCACGCAUAGGCUGCAGAUGAAAGACAUUCCAGAACUUUUUGCCUGAAUUGAGUACAAAGAGACUUUUAGCUAACUACAUAAUCAAUGAGCUUAACGGACUUAAUUUUUACAGAAGAAACAUACCGCUUUUCGUGUAAUUGAUGAGCUGUACGGUCACUUCAGUCUGGUUGUCAAUUGCCUCUCUUAUUUUCUUCACAGUUGCUGGAUCAGUCUCUGGUCCUUGAAGGAAUCUGCAAAAUCCAAACAAACAAGAACUUAGCAUUUCAUUAAGGUUUGAAAGCAACAAUAAGCACUAUUACACUAAAUACUUCUUGAUGCAUUAAGCCAAUUACAGAUGUUGGAGUUGCUAUCAAUUUGAUCUUAGUACCAUUUCCAAUUUAGUUAUAGUUUAUAGUGAAGCAAACCUGCAAUUUCUUCCCAAUAUUUCUUCGCGGCUGUACUCCGUUAGCUCUAAGAAGCUGUCGGAUGCAAAUAUCUGAAAUACAAACGUUCAAAGACAUCAUAUGCUUGUAACAUCCUGCAAUACAUCUGGGGUGAAACUGGAAGAAUGAACUAAACAGUUCCUGAGUGGAAAUCUUACAAUGGGAUUAUCAGGCAGCCUUGGAUCAGUAAUGACAAAGUUUUUCUCUAUACGUUCCAGCGUUGUAGCAAGAUCCAUACCCUUCCUCAUUUCCUUCUUCCUCACUUUGUCGUCAAGACUCAUGGGUCUCUCAUCAUUGUCACUGUCGUCACGGACGUCCUCAGAAGCUCCAAACUCAUCAAAUGUAUCAUCAUCGAGUUGGCUUUGAGUUUGACUUUUCUUCAUAAUCCUGAAGCAUGAAUAACACACUUGUUAAGCUACAUAUAUCCAUGGUCAUUUGAUUUUCAGCAGUUUCUUAUGAGAAUCGAAGAAGCGAAACUAUACCCCAUGAAAGAGCGGCGUCUAGGUUUUUUCUGUUUCUUUUCAGGAACCUCCUUGAUGCUAUGCAUUGAGAAGUUAGCAUCACCAAGUGAGUUACGUCUAGGUGGUGCCACGGACUCCGAGUUUCUCCGAGGCAAACUCUCUGAGCUUCGCCUCGCGUGAGCUUCUAUUACCUCGUCUCCCCUUCCACCACCACCUGAAUUUCUAAAGGGACGAUUUGUCGAUUCACUAAGUGACCUCGGUCUCCUCACUGCCUGCACAAGCUCAGUUACUGAAUGUGUAGCCUUCUCUUUCUGACGAGCUGCAACAAAAUAACAAUUUUCAGUUAGCUCAAACAUAUGUAGCAAGCUUAAUAGAACUCUGUCCUUCAUUUCAAAGUGUCAUAGACUCAUCACUCAGAAUGUAAAUGCAGAGAACGAAAGAUUACAAAAAUUUACUUAAUGAUCACCCCAAUAGGCCAAUACUAUACUACUACACUGAACAUUUCAAUGGCUGACUUAGAUUUAGAGGUAUUUGUUUACAGCAUAUUAAUGUAUAAUACAAAAAGUCCUCGACUAGUUUCAUAUCGAAGUAGACUGAUUCUAUGUAACUGUAGAUUAGUUUGAUACAAUGGUAGAUUUUGCUCUAUGUAUUGGUACACACUUCUCAAACAAGUCUAUAAUAGUAAGAAGUUAGUCUAACAAUGUAAAAAAGUAUAUGUAUUUGAUGUAUCGAUACAAUAUUAAUGUCGACGUGUAGACUAACAUUUCCCUCUCCAUAUAUGCCCCUCAUCAUAUUAUUACGUGGCAUAUAGUGAAUACCAUACCAUCAUAUCGAAUGAGAGAUUCAGGCAGUCCAUUGGGGCGCAGCAUCUUAUCCUUGGACCCCUCAGUGUGCUUGCUCACCUCCACUUGCAUUCUGCCACAAAAUACAAACGAAACCAAAUCAUUGAGAUUUUAUAAGAAUCCAAAUUCAACCCAAUCAAUUACCCAUAGUCCCCUAUCCAAAUAUAAUUUCCAACAUAACCCAACACAACAGUUCCCCAUAAUGUUUCUCUGUCAUGUCCAUCACAACCACUCACCCCAGCAACAUCUGAAUUCCAAACCAAGCUCCAUUGGGACAGUGAUGGAGACAUGGGGUUGGGCAGCACCCCAAGUUAAUUAGGGAAAAGUGAGAUGAACAAUUAUAUGGGCCCAAUUAUAUGAGGUCUUUCUUUUUCUUUUGGUCUGGGGUACCAUAAAUGUUAUCUACAUGUUUAUGUUUCUAGGUCACAUGUAGUGUUUUGGUUUCACUACCCCACAUCUACGCAGCAACUACAUGAUCAGACAAUUGCAACCGUGAGAAAUGACUUUUGCCAAAAUGGCUAAUAAGUUAUAAGUGGUUGGACUGUUACAUCUCUUUUUCUGAUAAUAAUUGAUCAUAUAAUUCGUGUAUUUGUGUAUCUGUCAUUCUAGACUAGACGAUGUGAUUAAUGAAAGUUAGAAUUAUUACGAAAAAGCAGUUGAAAUAGAAUUAUUUUGAGAAAAAUCAGAAAAUUCUUCCUUGCCUAAGGAUGAGUUGUGAGGGACUGUAAAAAUAAGUCCAUUAUCAUUCUAGACGUACUGUUUGAUCGAUGAAAAAUUAGAACAUAUUGCGGGUAAACGUUUGAACUUUGAAGCAUUGUUAUCUUGGAUUUUCAAUCUUACUUGACCUAAUGAACCGCUUUUUAAUGAUUGUAAAUGACAAGUGCAAUUCAGCUACAUUAAAAAUGUUAAUUAAUUCAUUUUUACAAUUCUCUUGAAAAUCAUCUCUAAUGUGAGCAGACCGAGUAUGUCUCGUAAAAUUUAUGUGUAUCAUUUUCACUCCCAUAACCUAAAACUCUAUCACAUCGAUGUAGUUAUACGAAUACUGAUCAAUCAACUUAUGUUUUGUCGGUCCUAACGCAAAACUUUCACAUGAAAAUCCCCAACAUGAUUUAAAAAAUAAUAAUAAUAAAAAAUAAAAAAUAGAAGAAACAUACCCGAUGAAUUUGAGGACCUUUCCAGUUUCGUCCUUGAUGGGAGCAAUAGUAAGUAAAUUCCAAAAAGGGGUCCCAUCUUUCUUAUAAUUCAACAACCGCCCACAAUAGCUCGUGUUCUUCGCCAACGCCUCCCUCAGCUGCGCCACGUCUUCCGGGUCCGUAUCCGCUCCCUGCAAAAACCGGCUAAACACGAACCCCACACACCCAAAUUGUCAAAACUACCCUCCCAAUGACCGUUAUUACCGUUACAAAUCCAACAAAACAGUAAUUUCCAUACCAGUUUCUUCCGAUGACCUCCUUGGAGGUGUACCCGGUCAUCUUGAAAAACCCGGCGCUGGCGUACAUGAUCGGGUAAUCGGGUUUGGUUGCAUCCGACACCACAAACGUCUGCUGAAACGUCGACAGCACGUUUUUCAAGUCCUCCGAAACUCUCGGGAACCCUUUUCCGAUUCCUCCGCCACCGCCGCCGUCGUCGGAGAGCUCCCCGGAGCUCCGGACAGAGUUGUUGGAGUUUCUUCUCGACGUACCCGGUUUGUGACUCGGGUCCUCGGGUCCGCCGGAGUUUCUGGUCGUCACUCCCUGCGGCUUCCCGGUCUCGGUGUCCGUCUUCAGCACCAGCCCCCACUCGGCGGCCCUCUGCGCAGCGUCGCCUUGCUCCGGGGUUGACUUGUCGUUGACCGCGGCGGAGAUGGUCUGCUGCUGCUGGAUAUAGGGCGGGGACUGCUGGGACUGUUUUGACGGCUUGGAAGGCGGCGGCGGAGUUGGAGGGAAGUCCUUGAGGGCCAUCCAUGAGGUGAUGGUGCCGUCGUCGCGGCCGGACUUGGAGGCGGGGAUGGGUGGUGGUGACGGGUCGGGUUUGGGGUUUAGGGUGUCACGCGGGUCGAGCCAGGUUUUCCAGGUGGCGGGUUUGGAUUGGCGAAAGGGAGGCGGGCUGGCGGGUCGGGUCGAGGAGGGGUUGAAGAUUUCGAGGGAGCCGCGGGAGUCUCUUGGGAGUGGAGGAAUGAGUGAGGCUGGGGUUGUUUCCGACGGUUCGUCUUCCAUUUCUGAUCUUCCUCUCUGCAUGAGUAUGGACAAAUAAGCCUCAAUAAUUUAAUAUCUAGAAAAUCUUAGUAGGGUGUGUGUGUGUGGAGAAAAACUGUUAUUUAUGUCGAAUUUUUUUGGUAUGAUCAAUAAGAAAAUUAUACAUGUACGACUAGACUAAUUAUAAUUAUAUGAUUUAUAUCAUUGUCAUCGUUAAUUUGAAUACAUAACAUAUCUUGAGUUAUAUGUGACAAUAUAACAAAACAAAACACUAACACGUUCGAGUUAUAUGUAGAUUUAUACUCGUGUAUGUGACGAUAUAAUCACACGGUUCAUGAUUAUUAUUUAUAUCACUCAGUAUUUAGCAUAAUCAAUAAGAUUGAUAACAUAACAAUAUGACAUAUCACGUUUCUGGCUAUAAACCAAAACGAAGGCCUAACUUUAACAUUUUAGCUCAUUAGUGUAUCAAGAAAUAUCUAACAUUUAGUCGAUUUCAAUUAUAUAUUACUAGAUUCUCCUUCAUUAACGAGCUAGAUCAUAAAAUGGAAAUGUGGAUCAUCUCUACCCAUUGUUCGUCUCAAUAAAGUAGUUCGAUCAAGACAGUUACACAUGCAAGACAUAUAAUUGGAUAUCUAAAUUUGCAAAUAUAUAUUUUGAGUGAAAUAGAAGAAUCCAUGUCAUCAACAAAAUGCAAUUAACAAUCAAGUGAUAGGCAUGUAUAUAUGUGAAGCAUAUAAUGCAUGUACGUAGCGGUAAGUACACAAAUCAUUCUCCUAGCUAGAGAUCGACACAGACCCGAUGCUUCGAACACAAGCAAGCCACACCACAUGUUCAAGUGUGGGCGCCAUUUAGAUCAUUUUGGAAUGAUGUGGAAAUGCAACAGAAAACACCAAAAUUGCAAGUAAAUUUGACAAUUUUCAAGGGUUUUUAGCUAUUCGACCUUUCAAUUCAGAUUGACCCGAUCUUUACUGUAAGUUUUGUCAUGAAUAGAACUGAAAGCUCUCUUUCAUGACUGACCGAUCGACCUAGCUGAUCGACUAGCUCUAUUUUGAGGGGUAGUUUGUCUAAACCUACAAGUCGAACAAUCACAUACAUACAUACAUACAGACUGACAUAUAUGCAUAUAUCUGAACCUGCACUUUCGGUACUCUAUAUGAUCGAUGUGAGGUAGCAGUGAGAGGGUAAGAGUUGUGGGUGUAUGAUGCUCUGAGAAUUAAUGGCACUACAACAGCUGAAAGCAGGUGGGUUGGCCCAUGAGAGUGAAAUACUGGUGCACGAAAAAGAACAUAGAUGACAGAAACAUAAAGUGUCUUUCAGUUCAUAUUUCAGGGCCGUAACUCAUUCCCAACAAACAUGCAAAGAAAAAUGACUAGUUUGAGAAUUACCGAUGCAACUUCGGAACUUGAAACCAGUAUCUAAAAGCUGAUCAGCUGAAGAUUCUAUAUAUUUUAUAUGUAUCUGAACUGGGAUUUUUUUUUAAAGAAUUAUUGAUCUACGUAAAAAAGAAAAAAAAUUAAAAAUCCAAAGAAAUGAUGAUAGUAUGCAGACGUAUUUCUGAUUUCGACCGAGUUUGGUCCCCUGUGAGAAUGAACCUACAACUCAACCUGCAUCACUGGCUAGACAUAAGCCGGAGAACUGGAGGGAGGACCAACGUACACGCUCUAUUAUUAUCGUUUUCUCUUGUCAAAAAUAUUCCGAAGUUAUUAUGAGUGAAUGGACCAGAUGAAAUAGUUUGAGCUAGAAUCCAACAACGGCAGUAUAUAACUGGGCAUCAAUUGGCAUAUAUAUUUGAUGAGUUAUAUCAAUGUUCAGCAAACCCAGAAAGAUAGGAACCUUUUUAUUUUCUGGGUAGAAAAAAAUAGGAAUAUAUUGAUAUGCUCAGCUAAAAGCAUGAUAUAUAAAUGCAUAGUAGAAGAUAGGUAUGAUCCAACUUCCGGAAAAUUAAAUACCAAGUAGAAUAGAAGAACUGAAGUAAAAGAUCACUAACUUCAACUGUUUAAAGAGGAAAACAUUCAAAGAUUGCGAAGAACUAGCUUGCAUACCCGAUGAGCAAGCUGGAGUCCGCUAAAGAAGCUAGCUAGCUAGUUAGGUCUCUAUAUUUGGACUAUAGAUGAUUCCUUCUUGCUUCAAUUUAUAAGCAAACUAAACAAGCUUAUUAUUCUGAUGCGUAGCAAACUUUUCUCUGUAGUGAAAUCAAUAAUGGGUGAAAGAGAAAGAGAGCUAGGAUUUGGUUAAGGAAAUGCAAUAAGAGAUUAUGGGUCACCCAACACUUAGAAUGGGCAAAAAGAUUGAUCUAGAAAAAGAAAACAAAGAAAGGAAGAAUGAUUGUCCAAAAGGGUUUGGCCUAGCUCCCAUCCCUCUACCACUGUAAUCUCACAUGUCUCACGUAUCCCUAUAUACCUUCCUCAUUAAUCCUCAAACAAAGAAAAAACACAAACUCUUUAUAAUUCCUUUGCUUCCAAAAUGCAUGUCUUCAGUAAUCUUACCUUCAAUGAUUUCUUCUGGCUUUUCUUUAUGCACAGACUGGCAAAAGCAGAAGCUGAUGAUGAGAAGCACAAGCAGCAACAGCAGAAGGAGAAGCAGAUCUUGCUAAUAAGAUUAUGAAGAGAUAGGAUCGGAGCUCCAUAUAUGUAUCAUUGUGUCUUCACGUACUACUGUUCUAAGCAUGUUGGGAGUUGGAGACUGAUCCGACCAUUAGCUAGUAUGGCCAUGGGACCUGUGCUUUUGUGUCUGGAUAUAGUGCGGAACGAACAGUUCUUUGUGUUUUUGAGUGGUAAAAAUCUUAGGAACAGAGAGGAACUAUUGCACUGCGGAAGAGAAAGGGGGCUAGGUGCAUAAUGAACUAUAUUUAUAGGGGACUUUUAGUAACAUGUGGAGCUCAAACUUUCUCGAAUGAUAUCAUUGAGUUUCUCUUUUGGGAGAAAUUUUUAAGUGUCACGGGAUGACCACGUGGCAGUCUGACGUGGUUCUACAUUCCAAUCAAAUUUAGACAUGUGGAAUUUUUACAACUAAAAUAUUAACUAAUAUUUUCUACUUUUUGUGAAAUGACAUUCAUGGGUAUUUAGCAAGUUCAACCUAGGAUUUAGGGUUUAGAGUUUAGGGUUAGGGUUUAAGGUAUAGGGUUUAAGGGUUUAGGGUUUAGGGUUUAGGGAUUAGGGUUUAGUAUUUAAAAAACAACAUAAAACCCAAAAUAGUCUUUGACAAAAUAGCUGAAAUGAUUUUUCAUGAAGAAAAUCCACAUGUCUAAAUUUAAUUGGAAUGUAGGACCACGUCAGACUGCCACGUGGUCCUCCCGUAGCACUGAAAAAUUUCUCCUCUUUUGGACAAGAGAGAUACCAUGCAUUAGGUCUUAGUGACUCUUUGUUGCUAUCAUUUUUGGAAAGGAGAAACUGGAAACUAAUUCUAAAAUCGGUAACUAGGUAUAAAUAAUGUAAAGUUAGGGUUUAUGAAAUUAGUAAUAAAGUGCACAAACAUAUAUAAAGUUAAGGCUUGCUUUAAGAGUUUCACACAAUUAAGAAAGUUGGAUGCACUCAUUUCUCGCCGAACAAUUUUAUUAUAUACCUACAUUCAAAACAUGGAUCCUGAUAUUUUCUGCAAAUAAAGAUUUCAAGAAUCGACAUUAACGAUCACUCAUCGCUAACUAAUUCACUAUCAUCAAUCCGGUAUUGAGGAGCAGGUAAUGGCCAAAUAGUCGUGGUGGGUGGGAGAUGUUCAUCACACUAGCGAAGUGUAAACCAUAAAAAUCUAAAGCCAAUCAAAGAUCACCUUGCUUGAUAAGGUCUCCUUGUAGCCAAGGGAACAUAAAUAGCAUAAACCAGGAUGAAAUAGACUAAUCAGAAAAGGGUGGAUUAUAGGGUUGUGUGGUAACUCACACAUGUGGCAGGUCCCGCCGGGCACGUGAACAACCUUUCGAUAUCUUAUCCCCUCACGGCUUGAUUGGGAAGGGUCACGUCGAGGUUUGGGACCUUCACUCUCACUCCGGUCUGGCACCGUGUGUGUGAGAUUAAACUUUAAUAGAACCCACCGUAAAGUGGUCCACCCAGACUCCGGUUGCUCGAGUUGGCAAGGGUUGAGAGUGAUUGGGAGGAGGGCAUGGAAAUCAUGCCGCCAUGUCGCGGUAUAAAAGCAUAGGUUGAGAGUCAAUUAUUCGACACCCCUAAUACAGUGAUAAAUGUCGGUAAUAAGUAUAGUCCUCACUAUAUGCAUACAAUGAUUAUAAGUAUAAGGGCGCAAUGAUUAAGUGGGUGAGUAAAUAUAAAUAUAAAAUCAGGUAAUCAUGACGACUUACCACGCAAGUUACGUGCUACUUGUUACGCAAGUAGGCGAUCAUAUAAAUCGUAGGCUUCACAACCAGGUAAAGUCAUCUUAUAAUCGAUCAAUUAAGAAAAAGACUAACUUAAUUAAGAAAAAGACUAACUUAAGUGUCAGAAAGUUUUCUGUAGGUAUCCUCCCGAAGAGAGAUUCAGGUUGGCCAAGACUGACAUUGAACUAAGGAAAGUAUCGGGGCGACCAUGGCCCGAGUAAAGAAUGUUUAGCUUUCUACCAAGUUUAGUCGCUUCAGAGCAUCUUUACCAGACUCUUAAUCUUGUCUUUGUAGAUAUUUUGAAGAGCAUAUUUGUCACAUCCCGACCCUUAUAUUUUUACCUUAUUUACUAGCUUGAUUAUAAUAAGAAUUUUACCGUCCCCGUCAUUGAGGUAAUAGUUUAAUUGGUCCCUAGAGGUAUUUUAAGGGACGAUUAAUUUCGGGGAAUUAUUCGUGGGAGAAAAUAUGACGACGGUAAAAAUGGUAAAUCUUAGCUAGUAAAAGGUAAUUUUUAUUCGGGUAUUAUUUUUCGGGGUGUUUUAUUUUUGGAAUUGGGUUGUUAUAAGCUUGGACCGGUUUGGGGUGUGAGGCCCAANNNNNNNNNNNNNNNNNNNNNNNNNNNNNNNNNNNNNNNNNNNNNNNNNNNNNNNNNNNNNNNNNNNNNNNNNNNNNNNNNNNNNNNNNNNNNNNNNNNNNNNNNNNNNNNNNNNNNNNNNNNNNNNNNNNNNNNNNNNNNNNNNNNNNNNNNNNNNNNNNNNNNNNNNNNNNNNNNNNNNNNNNNNNNNNNNNNNNNNNNNNNNNNNNNNNNNNNNNNNNNNNNNNNNNNNNNNNNNNNNNNNNNNNNNNNNNNNNNNNNNNNNNNNNNNNNNNNNNNNNNNNNNNNNNNNNNNNNNNNNNNNNNNNNNNNNNNNNNNNNNNNNNNNNNNNNNNNNNNNNNNNNNNNNNNNNNNNNNNNNNNNNNNNNNNNNNNNNNNNNNNNNNNNNNNNNNNNNNNNNNNNNNNNNNNNNNNNNNNNNNNNNNNNNNNNNNNNNNNNNNNNNNNNNNNNNNNNNNNNNNNNNNNNNNNNNNNNNNNNNNNNNNNNNNNNNNNNNNNNNNNNNNNUUCCGAAGUUUGGUAUUUUUGGCGGUUAAUUAAUGUAGAAUCCGUCCGUAGGAUUUAAGUCGUAUUUUGGGGAGGUUGUAUUUACGACUGUCGAGUAUGAUAUUUAAGUUCGGAUCGUUUCGAUUUAAGAAUAUCGAAGUUAGGCAAUGAUGAGCGUAUUUAUGGCUCUCGGGUAAUUUUGCCUAUUUUGAUUAAAUAUUGGAUUGUUAGUUGGGAAAUUAAUAUUAUAUUUGGAACAGGACGUGAGGAGGCUCGAGCAGACGAGGCCCCAGAUCGACAUCAGGCUUAGGCCUAAUUUGUGACUGGACUUUUGUUUUAAAUAAAAUGCAUGCUAGAGUUCAUGGUUGAACAAUAUUUGUUGCGGAAUAUUUUGACGUCAUUUUAAUUUGACGAAUUUUAUUUCUCUUGGAGAGUUACCGAAAAUGGGAUUUUCGGUGGAUAUAAAUAUGUAUUUAUGAGAGAGUAUGUAUAUAAAAUGCGAGCUAGCCAUAUGUGUCUGUCCACCUUAAUGGCGUAGUGUAGCACCGCAUUAAGGCAUGACGUGAGCGUUGGAAGCGAGCGUAGUAGCCCUAUAUAGACCCAUGAAUUUAUAUAGGGAGUAUGGACGAGUGUAAAUACAUACAUAUAUUUUAGAGUCUGAGAGGCUCGAUAUUUUAUGAGAUAAAGGUUUUAUCGCUUGCGGUAUGCAUUCGAUUUUUUCCUUAGAAAUUAAUUUGGGGAAACAUAAAUAUUUUAUUUAUUAUUUUAUUUUUGUCCACUCACUCUAACGUUAUUAAAUGUUUUCCCCUGGGCCCUUCGUUUUAAAUUGCCCAGUCUGCAGAGUUCGGGUUGAAUCUAGUAGGAGGCGAGGCAUAGUCACCUGCAUUUCAGCCAGUUUUCAUCAGUAGGUUACAUGUUUAACCUACUCGUGUUUUCUUGCUUCCGCUAGUGUCUAGUAGCUCUGAAUACUUUGGGAUUAUUGUAUAUUAUGUUUAGAAUUUCUGAAGGAUAAUUAUGUGAUGUUUGGACGUGUUGUAUUAAGAGUGUAAUUUGGAAUUUUCGAGUUAGGGUUGUCCAUUUUCAAGGGAGAUUUUAGAAUUCUUCUCAGUAAAUUUUCCUUGGAGGUGGUCCCCGCACGACUUACUCCGGGUUUCAGGGUGAAAUUCGGGGUGGGUCAUGUCAGUUGGUAUCAGAGCUAUAGGUUUCCUUUUCCUGCUUCCUUGUCACUAUCAUAUUUGCCUAUGUAGCAGGUAGUGUCUAUAGAGUGAUGAUCCGACCGCGGCGGAUUCAUUGGCAUUUUAUGGUUUUGAUGCUUUGUGUUAUUGAGUAUGUGUGAUUGUUGUGUUAGUCUUGUUUAUGGACUACUAAAUUUCUUCUUCCUCAGGUACUAUGCCUUCUAAGCGCCCACGGCAACCCCGUGUGGCUACUUUGACCAAUGCCGAUGAGGGCAAUGAGGUCAGGGGACUGGUUGAUGAUAUUGGAAAUAUGCUGAGGGAUGUUAUAGAUCGAGCUCCACACCCUCAUACAGUGAAGAGGAGAGAAGUUUAUGAGGCUGGAGCAAGAGAGUUCAAGGGUGCCAAGGGACCCCUUGAUGCUUAUACUUGGGUAGACAAAAUGGAAAAGGCUUUUGCGAGCACAUAUUUGCCAGAAGAAAGGAAGGUGAAGAUGGCAGUGACUUUCCUGGAUGAUUCAGCACAUCACUGGUGGUCGCUCGCUAGCAGGAAUGUUGAGGAUGCUUUGAAUAUGUCGUGGGAGCAGUUUAAGACGCUUUUCUUGAGGCAGUAUUUCAGUCCUGCCCACCGUAGCAGAAUUCAGUCGGAUUUCCUGAAUAUGAAGAAGAGGGAUGAUGAGGGUGUUAUAGAGUUCCAGGAGAGAUUCACUUCCCUGAGUUACCAUGUGUCUAUCUGGUUCCUGAUGAGAGGACCAGGAUAGAGAUGUUCAUUGGGGCACUUGGUGGAGUGUUUGUAGAUAAGAUGACGGGUGUUUAUUACCCGACUUUUCCUGAUGCUGUUCAUGCAGCCAUGACCAUUGAGUCUAUGGGGAUUUAUAGUGCUCGGCCACGAGAUUUCGGUGGCCCCAAUCAGGGUCCAUCCAAGAAAGCUGUUUCAUCAUCCGCUUCAGGUUCUUCAGCUGGUAGUGGCAGUAGUGGGGGAUCAGGUUCUAAUUCUCGGUUCAGGGUUAGAGGACGUCACAGGAGACCUGCUAGGAGUCAGUUAGGUAGGCAGCAGUCUGGGCAGUAUGAUUCUGGUGGUAGCUUCCAUGGUGGGUCAUCUGGUAGCCAGACUUUUUCUUAUGGGCAGCAGCAGCAGUUUUCUGGGUGCUUUGAGUUUGGUGGUCAGGACCACUUCAGGAGAGAUUGCCCAUUGUUGGCUCAGAGGACCACUCCCACCCCUACUCAGCCUGUUGGUCAGUCUUCAGCUUGAGGCUCUAGUAGUGGUGCCCAGGGCAGUGCUUCGGUCAGAGGUGGCUCUCAGCGGGGAAGUGGUCAGCGUGGACGUCCCAUGACUCGCGCUAGACUGCAUGCUAUGACCCAGCAGGAGGGUCGUACUUCUCCAGAUGUCAUCAUUGGUACGUUAUUAAUUUUUGGUCAGCCUGCUUUUACUUUAAUUGAUCCCGGAGCCACGCAUUCAUUCAUGUCUAGUAGAUUUGCCCUCCAUGCCAAUGUGCCAUCAUCGUCUCUUCCAGGCGAGUGGCAUGUAUCUCUACCAUCCGGUGAGGUGAUGAGAAUAAAUUGGGUAUUUAGUGGUUGUGAAGUUUUAGUGGAAGGAGUUAAUUUCGAGGCUGAUUUAAUUCCUUUAGAUAUAGUGGAGUUUGAUGUGAUCUUGGGAAUGGACUUUUUGGAAGCAUAUAGAGCUAUGGUAGAUUGUUUUCAAAAAGUAGUGGUGCUUCGAAGUCUAGAUGGUUUUGAGGUUACUUUCCAAGGGGAAAGAGAUGUUAUUUCUAGUUGUAUAAUUUCCGCUGUUGCUGUAAGGAAAUUGUUGAGUAAAGGCUGUCAGGCAUAUUUAGCUCAUGUGGUGGAUACAAGUAUGGGAGUUGUGGGAUUAGAAGAUAUUCCAGUAGUAAGGGAGUUUCCGGAUGUUUUUCCUGAGGAGUUGCCUGGUUUGCCUCCUGCAAGGGAGAUAGACUUCUCUAUAGAAUUACUUUCUGGAACCAUGCCUAUCUCUCAGGCACCUUACAGAAUGGCUCCAGCGGAAUUGAAAGAGUUGAAGACUCAAUUGCAGGAGUUGAUAGAUAAGGGUUUUAUUCGGCCUAGCAUUUCUCCAUGGGGUGCUCCAGUGUUGUUUGUUAAGAAGAAAGAUGGCACCAUGAGACUAUGCAUUGAUUAUAGAAAGUUGAAUCAGGUCACAGUGAAGAAUAAAUAUCCGUUGCCUCGUAUCGAUGAUUUAUUUGAUCAGUUGAGGGGUGCCUCUGUUUUCUCUAAGAUUGAUUUGAGAUCGGGUUAUCAUCAGUUGCGGAUCCGAGAGGGGGACAUAACCAAGACUGCUUUUCGGUCACGAUAUGGUCAUUAUGAGUUUGUGGUGAUGCCUUUUGGACUUACUAAUGCACCCGCGGCGUUCAUGGAUCUCAUGAAUAGAGUGUUUAGUCCAUACCUUGAUCGUUUCGUGAUCGUAUUCAUAGAUGACAUAUUGGUUUACUCAAGAAGUGAGAAGGAGCAUGCCAAGCAUCUAAGAAUAAUAUUGCGGGCUUUGGAAAAGUCACAGUUAUUUGCUAAGUUUAGCAAGUGUGAGUUUUGGCUAGAUAAAGUGGGGUUUUUGGGUCAUGUGAUUUCGGCAGAAGGAGUUAGUGUGGAUCCCCAAAAGGUGGAAGCAGUGUCGAAUUGAAGAAGACUCACCACUGUGACGGAGAUUCGUAGUUUCUUGGGAUUAGCAGGUUAUUAUCGGCGCUUUGUGAAAGAUUUUUCAAAGAUUACUGCUCCUCUGACAAGAUUGACCAAGUAGGGGGUUAAGUUUGAAUGGUCAGAUCAAUGUGAGCAAAGUUUCCAAGAAUUGAAGAAUUGCUUAACAAGUGCUCCUGUUUUGGCACUUCCGGAUGAUAGUGGAGAGUAUGUGGUCUAUUGUGAUGCUUCUAGACGUGGUCUAGGUGGAGUUUUGAUGCAGCAUGAUCGAUUUAUUGCCUAUGCUUCUAGGCAAUUGAAGCCGCAUGAGGGGAAUUAUCCUACCCAUGAUUUGGAGCUUGCAGCGGUAGUUUUUGCUUUCAAGUUGUGGAGACACUAUCUUUAUGGAGCCAAGUGUCAGAUUUUUACCGAUCACAAGAGUCUUCGGUAUGUAUUCACUCAAAGAGAGCUAAAUAUGAGACAGAGAAGGUGGAUGGAGUUAAUCAACGAUUAAGAUUGAACUAUUGAGUAUCACCCUGGAAAAGUUAAUGUGGUAGCUGAUGCUCUUAGUCGAAAUCCCUCCAUAUCUUUAUCUCAUAUAAAGAUGGUUCGUGUUCCGCUUCUUUGUGAGUUGCGAGCUACAGGAGUGGAUUUGUCAGUAGAUGAGGUUGGUGCUUUGAUAGCCAGUUUUCAUGUGAGGCCAGUUUUGGUUGAUAGAGUGCGGGAAGCACAGUAUAAUGAUCCUUCCAUAGUUCAAUUGAUGGAAAGAGCUUCGAAUGGAGCCGCAGCCGAUCAUUUUUCCGUUAGAAGAGAUGGGACUCUAUUGUUUAAGAACCGGCUAUGUGUUCCAAAAAGAAUGAAGAGUUGAAGAGUGAGAUUAUAGAGGAAGCUCAUAGCUCUGCAUAUGCUGCUCAUCCGGGUAGCACAAAAAUGUAUCGGAUUUUGAAGGAUUAUUAUUGGUGGCCAAACAUGAAGAGGGAAAUUGCAGCUUUUGUGAGUAGAUGUCUGGUUUGUCAGCAAGUAAAAGUUGAAAGGCAGAAGCCUUCUGGAUUGCUUGAGCCGUUGCUUAUUCCAAUGUGGAAGUGGGACCACAUCACCAUGGAUUUUGUUUUUAGUUUACCUCGUACCCGUGAUGGGCAUGACGGUAUUUGGGUGAUUAUGGAUAGACUCACCAAGUCUGCACAUUUCUUGCCAGUGGGAAAGAAGUAUAAAUUGGAUAAAUUGGCGGAGCUUUAUGUGAAUGAAAUUGUGAGGCUUCAUGAUGUUCCUGAAUCAAUAGUGUCAGAUCGGGAUCCUCGAUUUGCUUCUAAAUUAUGGGGAGCUCUUCAGGCAGCUUUAGGUACCCAAUUACUCUUCAGCACUGCUUUUCAUCCUCAGACUGAUGGGCAGUCCGAGAGGACUAUUCAGACUUUGGAAGAUAUGUUGAGGGCUUGUGCCAUGCAGUUCAGAGGGAGUUGGGAUAAAAACCUAUCUUUGAUGGAAUUUGCCUAUAAUAAUAGCUAUCAUUCUAGCAUUGGUAUGGCUCCCUUUGAGGCUCUUUAUGAGAGGCAGUGUCGUACGCCUUUGUGUUGGAAUGAAAUGGGGGAAAAAGAGCUUUGUGGCCCAGAGUUAAUCCAUGUUACGAAUGAGAAGAUUAAAGUGGUUAGAGAUAGACUCAAGACUGCUCAAAGUAGGCAGAAGAGUUAUGCAGAUGUCCGUAGGAGAGAUCUUGAAUUUCAAGUGGGUGAUUGGGUGUUCCUGAAAUUAUCUCCUUGGAAAGGGGUUGUGCGCUUCGGUAAGCGUGGGAAGUUUAGUCCGAGGUAUAUUGGCCCUUAUGAGAUUAUAGAGCGAGUUGGCUCACUUGCUUAUCGGCUACUUUUGCCUUCAGAGUUAGCUAGGAUAGAUAAUGUGUUUCAUGUAUCCAUGCUUCGCAAGUAUAUUGCCGAUCCUUUUCAUGUGCUGCAAGAGCAGCCGAUCGGUUUGGCGAGAGAUUUGACCUAUGAAGAGGAACCGGUUCAGAUUCUCGAUCGAAAGGAGCAAAUGCUUAGGAACAAGACAAUUCCGCUUGUCAAGGUGCUUUGGAGAAGUCAUCAAGUAGAAGAAGCUACUUGGGAAUCAGAGGAGGAAAUGAUGCAGCAGUAUCUCUAUCUCUUCGGAUGAAAAGUAUGUAAAUUUCGAGGACAAAAUUUUUAUAAGGAGGGGAGAAUUGUCACAUCCCGACCCUUAUAUUUUUUACCUUAUUUACUAGCUUGAUUAUAAUAAGAAUUUUACCGUCCCCGUCAUUGAGGUAAUAGUUUAAUUGGUCCCUAGAGGUAUUUUAAGGGACGAUUAAUUUCGGAGAAUUAUUCGUGGGAGAAAAUAUGACGACAGUAAAAAUGGGAAAUCUUAGCUAGUAAAAGGUAAUUUUUAUUCGGGUAUUAUUUUUCGGGGUGUUUUAUUUUUGGAAUUGGGUUGUUAUAAGCUUGGACCGGUUUGGGGUGUGAGGCCCAAACCCAUUUUCUCUUUUCUCUCUUUUCUUCCCGGUUCUCUCUCUCUCUCUCCCAAUUUCUUCCUCCUGCUGCCCGGUUUUCCGGCCGUCCUCCUGCCGCCGUCCGGCCACCAGCUGCCGCCGCUCCAGCCCAGUUCGGAGCCCCGCCACCUCCUCUCCCUUCCCGGCCUUAGUGCCCCCACCAGUAACGCCGCCGAGCGGGAGUUUUCCCUCCGAAGACGCCGGACUAUCUUUUGCCGGAACUUCCUCCUCCGGCCACCAAAACCGGCGAUCCUUGGCUCGUUUUGUAGCCCUCCUCCCGUGCAGCAACCCCUCCAAACAGCUCACCCUCUCUUGAGCUAGGUAAGGAGAAAUGUGAAGUUGAAAUUCUAUAGCGUUUUUGAUGUUUCUGUUCGAUUGGCAUAGCUAGGCUUGGAUUUUGGGUUUGUGUUAGUUAGGAAAGUUGUAGAGCAUGAUGAGAGGAAGAUGCUGUCAAAAUUUCAUAGGUUUUGGAGGUCACCGGAAUCGGCCUCUGGCCGCCGCUGCCGGCGCCGCCGCGGUUUGGGAGAAUUUUUAGGGUUUUAAAUGUGGAAUAUUAAGGGGAUUAUAUUGAUGUGAUUUAUGGAAUUUUUGGAUGAGAUUUGGAUAGGUUUGUGAAUUUCCGAAGUUUGGUAUUUUUGGCGGUUAAUUAAUGUAGAUCCGUCGUAGGAUUUAAGUCGUAUUUUGGGGAGGUUGUAUUUACGACUGUCGAGUAUGAUAUUUAAGUUCGGAUCGUUUCGAUUUAAGAAUAUCGAAGUUAGGCAAUGAUGAGCGUAUUUAUGGCUCUCGGGUAAUUUUGCCUAUUUUGAUUAAAUAUUGGAUUGUUAGUUGGGAAAUUAAUAUUAUAUUUGGAACAGGACGUGAGGAGGCUCGAGCAGACGAGGCCCCAGAUCGACAUCAGGCUUAGGCCUAAUUUGUGACUGGACUUUUGUUUUAAAUAAAAUGCAUGCUAGAGUUCAUGGUUGAACAAUAUUUGUUGCGGAAUAUUUUGACGUCAUUUUAAUUUUACGAAUUUUAUUUCUUUUGGAGAGUUACCGAAAAUGAGAUUUUCGGUGGAUAUAAAUAUGUAUUUAUGAGAGAGUAUGUAUAUAAAAUGUUAGCUAACCAUAUGUGUCUGUCCACCUUAAUGGCGUAGUGUAGCACCGCAUUAAGGCGUGACGUGAGCGUUGGACACGAGCGUAGUAGCCCUAUAUAGACUCAUGAAUUUAUAUAGGGAGUAUGGACGAGUGUAAAUACAUACAUAUAUUUUAGAGUCUGAGAGGCUCGAUAUUUUAUGAGAUAAAGGUUUUAUCGCUUGCGGCAUGCAUUCUAUUUUUUCCUUAGAAAUUAAUUUGGGGAAACAUAAAUAUUUUAUUUAUUAUUUUAUUUUUGUCCACUCACUCUAACGUUAUUAAAUGUUUUCCCCUGGGUCCUUAGUUUUAAAUUGCCCAGUCUGCAGAGUUCGGGUUGUGUAAUACUCCGUACCUAAAAGGGUACUGUUCGGGGUUAUGGGUUACUACAGAUUUUUUUUAUUCGCGCUCGGAGAUUUAAAUAGUGAUUGCUUGAGUUUGUUUUCGAGUUUUUCUGAAAACGGUAAAUAGUGGAUUUAAAAUUCUGAAGUCGUGGUACACGUUUAUACGAGCUCAUCGGGUGCCCGGAUUAUUUUCCGGAGCGACGAGCUAUGUUCUUUGAAUUUAUGAAGUUACAGUAAAUUUUCAAUUAUUGUUUCUUGUGACCGGUUUACUGUAAAGGAUCCAAAGGUUGACUUUUCGUUCAGUCGAUAAUUUUGGAAAACUUCCUUCAUGGAAGUCGUAGAAGACGUUAAUACGAGUUCUUGGACACGUGACACACUCAAAUCGGAGUUUGUAUGAGAAAAUUAUAUAUGGUCUAAAAAACGGAAAGUUUCUAUUUCGGUAAAGGGUUAAAAAAAAAGAAAAAAAAAGAAAAAGAGAGAGGAAGGUUCUAGAGGGAUCGGUUAAACCGACCUAAGCAAAAAAAAUUAAAAGAGGAAAGGAAGGUUCGGGAGAAGGGGGAGAAGAAAGAAUUCAGACCCAGACGGGUCAUUCUCGACCCGAAUGGAGUGGACGGGUCAACCCGACUUUUUCUUUGUUCUCCGGAGGUGGCACGGCGAAAGAUUCUUGGCGGUGGCUUCCUCUCGUCCUUCCCGACCUCCCUGUGAUUCCAGUUUGAAGAGUGGAGCUCUGGAGAAGAAGAAUCGAAGAAGGAGAAGAGAGACUGGGUUGGCCGGCGAAUCUUCGAUUCCAGCAACGGCGACGCCUCUCACUGGUAUGGAUAGCUUCAUUUCGAUCUCAGGAACCUUUCCAUGUUCCUGGUUUUCGAAGAGAAGCUCGGAGGAGGGAGAAUCGAAGAGAAGAAGUUUUAGGAUUUUCCGGCGACGGUUUGAUGCUUUCCGGCCACCGGUGAAGACAAGUGAGGUAUGAAACUUGAUCAUCUCGUCGAGCUCUACCUUUUUAUAUAAUUGGAAUUGAGAUUGGUUGAAGUUUGGAGGAAGUUGGGUUUUGGCAGAGGAGGACCGCCGUGAGUGCCGCUGUGCACGGCGGCGGCGGUGGUGAUUUUGGGCUGCCUUAGUUCAUUGGUUUUAUGGAACUACUUUCUGAAAUUAAAUUGAUGAUUAUGAUGUUUUUGGAAUUGGUCAAUUUGUGGAGAUGGCAGACAUCGUUUACUGCAGUAUUCUUGGUUAUUUUGUGUUUGAUUAUAUUCAGCAGUUAUGAAUCUGUGUGUAUGAUUAUGACUGCUAUAUAUGUUGGAGUUCCAUGAAUUUGAGAAUUUGGAAACAGUGGGAUUCCGGCAGUGAAGUGACUAUUCACAGUGGUGACUAUGGUGUUGUUGUGUUUAAUUUCAGCUGUUGUGAAUUGAAGAAUUAGGAUCAUUUGCAGGGUGUGUUGAUCAUAAUAGACAUGUUUUUUUGGAAUUAGAAUAGUUGGGUUGUGGAGGAAGUUUGAAGUUGCUGUACUGGAUUCAUUUAUUUUAUUCCUUGUUAAUUUGGUUAAGUUGUUGGUCAACAAGAAGAAGAUGGGGUAGUGAUUAUACUUAAAUUUGGAUUUAGUAUAAUGUCAGGAAAGUUGAUGAGUGGUGGUUAUGGGUGUCCAUAGUAAAAAAAAUCAGAGAUAGGUUAAUAAUUGAAGUGUUGAUAUGAGCAAGUCUAAAGGUGAAUUGGAAUGUGAUAAUGAAGUUAAUAUGAGCGAGCACGGUAUGUAAUUACGAAACUAUCGGAGGAAGUGAGAGGAAGUGUGGGAUUGAGAACUUGGGUGUCCUUAUUAAUUUGAGGACUUACAUCCACACAAAUUCCAGAUUCGAUAAAGUUGUUAUUGAAGGUGGAGAAUUAGUAUAAAAUGCUAAACUACGAGUGGCUUGAUCCCUUUAAAAGGGUACGUAGGCAGCCCGAUCAAGUUUUGGGUGCAGCCGCAAAUUAACAAAAUAAAUUUUAAGUUCCAAACGCGACAAAAAUGUUUGUCGUUUUGUUUGAUUAUGAGAUCCUAUCUCAUUUUGGAAUUAGGAUUUCCUUAUUUAUUUUAUUCGUUUAUAUUUUUAACACCUGGGUCAGGGUGUUACAGGUUGGAUCUAGUAGGAGGCGAGGCAUAGUCACCCGCAUUUCCGCCAGUUUUCAUCAGUAGGAGGCGAGGAUCAAGUUGAUUUUUCUCCGUUUUAAUGUGUACUUAUGGUCUUGGAGAUAUUGUUUUGCAAGCUUACUACCCCCAGUAUAAGUUUACUGGGGAUAAUAAACUUUAUUUUUUCGCAUCUAGGUUGUUCUUCCUCUGUUUUAGUGUGUAUUAUGGCAUUGAAAAUAUUUUUUUUGCAAGUUUAGUACCCCUAAUAAAAGUUACUGGGGGUAGUAAACUUUAGUUUUUCCAAUCUAAAUUGUUCUUCCUCUGUUUUAGUGUGUAUUAUAGUCUUGAAAAUACUGUUUUGCAAGUUUACUACCCCCAGUAAAAGUUUACUAGGGGUAGUAAAUUUUAUUUUUUUGUCAUCUAAGUUGAUUUUUCUCCGUUUUAAUGUGUACCUAUAGCCUUGGAGAUAUUAUUUUGCAAGAUUACUACCCCCAGUAAGAUGUUUACUAGGGGUGGUAGACUUUAUUUUUUUUCUUAUAUGUUGAUUUUUUUCUCUCCUUAAUGGUAUAUAAUGGUCAUAGGAAAACUUUAUGGCAAGUUUACUACCCCUAGUAAACUUCUGCUGGGGGUAGUAAACAUGCAAUACCUACCCCCAGCAGAAGUUUACUAGGGGUAGUAAACUUUAUUUUUCUGCAUCUAAGUUGAUUUUUCACUGUUUUAAAGUGUAUAAUGGUCAUGGAGAAACUUUAUUUUGAGUUUACUACACCCAGUAAAAGUUUACUAGGAGUAGUAAACUUUAAGGUAAAAUUCUGUAAAUUCCCUAUAGUUUAGGUGCUUCAUCCCUUUAGUCAUUGAACUUUCAUUUUAAUCUGUUUAGUCUUUGAACUUACAAUUGUUAAUCUAGUUAGUCAUUUCCAAUAUUUCUAAUAGAAUAUUCCGUCAGAAAGAGAAUAUUCUGUUUUCUUUGUUCUUUUUAAUUUUCCUGUUUAAAAGAAAGUGAACGGAGCAUGGUGGGCCUUGAAUUUUGAAUUUGUUUAUAUUUAGCAUUCUACAAAUAUAAAAUCUAUCAUUCUACUCAAAGGUAAACAGUUAAAUUUUUAUCAUCAAUAGGAGAAUCCAUUGCUACUCGACUAGAAUUUUUAGCAUAAGCUAAAUUAUCCUUUAAGGAAUUGCAAGAAGAAAGAAGAAAAAUUAGAAAACUAAAAGAAAAAAGAGACAAGCUUCCAAGAAGUAUAAAAAAUUACUGGGAUAUUAUUUUCCAAUUACAACGAAGAAUAUACGAGUCAAGAGAAGAAAUUGAAGUUCUUCAAGAAACAUUUGAAGAAGAUCAAAAACCUCUUGAUAUUUUGAGCAUCGGUUAGAUCCGCCAUAGCUGGUAUCAGAGCCUGCUUGGCUCAAAAGCAGGAAAAAGAAAAAGGCUUAUGCCACAGAGUUGGCUUCUCUUGACUAAUAAGAGAGAAUCCAAACUUAAAAAUUAUCAGUCUUUUUGUACUACAAAAGGAACUGACAAGUGGGAAGUGUGCUUUCAUUCAAUGCACAUUCAAAAAAAUCAGUACUCUAUUGAAUAUGUUUGUAGAGUAUUAAAUACACUCUACGACGAACAUAUUCAUCUCCAAAGAGAAAUUGGAGUAGAAGAGCUUGAUCCAGCAAGACCAAGCUUAAUCGAGUUCCUAGAUCGUUUAUCUAGGGAUAAGACGUCUGAUAAAAUAUCAGAUCAACUCGAGAGAUUUAAUCUACGAAUAAAUCAACUUGAGGAAAUUAAUUCAAAAAUUGCCAGGCUUGAAAUCAAGCUAGAUUACCUAAAAGAAAAGCAAUAUCUAAUAGAUAUUGAAAGAAAGUUAGUUCGCACUAAGAAUCUUGCAAACAACAUUCAUCAACAAGCAAUGGAAUUAAGAGAAACUCAGGAAAACCUGAAAAAGCUUUUAGAAACUCUUAUCUCCAGAAUAGGAUGAAUCAAAGAGUAGAUCUAAAAGUAAGACAGGAAUAUGUAAAGCUAUUGGCUUUCAUCGUCCUAUAGAAAAAUUGGCAGAAAAUGUGGAAGCAAUAAUUCAUCAGCAGAAUUAUAAUAUCGCUUAUCUCCAAGAGAUAAGUAUUGACCUCGAAAUUCAAUUUCGAGAGUUACAUAACAGAAUCUCUUGUCUGCAAAAGAUUGUAGAAAAGAUGAGAGAAGGAGAAAGCUAUGAAAAAAUAGAUGAAGAAUCACUAGCUCAAAAUGUAGCUAGUAAAAUUAUCAUAAAUUCUCCACCCCUACCAGUAGGAGAAAGUAGGCUAAGGUUUAGUGAACCAAAGCUACUUGAAUGGAAAUCAUCAAAAUCUACAACCAAGAGAGAUAUGAAGAUGCUGAGUAGAAUCCUCAGUAAAAGGAACACAGUUCCGGUACAAUUAAUAAACGCUCAAGAAUUUGAGUAUAAUGAAAUCGAAUAUAGUGUGUGAGAAGCAUCUGCUCCUAGAUUUAGGUUCAAUGAGAUAUAUAAAAAAGGAUAUUUUAUUAUGGAUUCUCCAGAUUAAAGAUUCUUGAAUUAACAGUUCCAGCCACAAGUGGAGAAACAGAUAUCAGGUUGAUAACUCCAAAGGAAGUAAGUGAAGCUUUCCAGAAAAAGUAUUCCUAUAUGCAUAUAGGUGCAGUGCAGGUAGGAAUAAAACUCUUAGCCAGAGAUGGUAUUGACUGUUCUGUUUUAUGUGUCAUACAAGACGAUAGAAUAAUAGAUUUUAAGAAAAGUCUAUUGGGAACAGUAGAAGUUUCUUUGUGCAACCAAGUUGCAUAUUUUAAUGUAUUUCCGUAGAAAGAAAACACCGAAGGAAGUUCUCUAGCACCAAGCAUGUAUUUCCUUCGGUGUUUUUUAUCUUGGCUUGUGCAUAUAAUUCUCUUAAUUUUCUUGCUUGGAACAUUCUCAUAGGUCUUUUAGAAUCCUCUUCUUCAAGGGAUUCCUCAUUAUAAACUGAUUUAGUUCCAGAGGUACUAGCUUCUUACGAGGAAGCUCAUGCAUAUUAUGAAUCUACCUUAACUGGAAUAGUCCAGAAAUGGUACCAGUCUUUCAAGAGAAGUUCUUAAUGGACUGAUUGGGCAGCAAAAAUGGCUCAGACUAAUAGCCCUUUAGAUUUUGCAGUGCCUAUCUACGCACAAUUCUGCAGAGAUAUCACGGGGCAUAGUAAGCAAUCUAAAGAAAGAGCAAAAACAAAUAUUUAAAAAUUGAGUAUUUGUAACAUGAGGUAUUUUGAAGAAUACACCAAUGAGUUUCAAAACUACUACUGCACUAUUGGAGACAUUGAAAAUAAUGAUCUCAUUAGAACUUAUGCAAAUGAAUGUACUACUGUAUCAUUCCAGGGUUCUAGCAAUUUUCUGUAAUAAGUUCUGAAGAGGGUUACAGAAAGAGUUAUUACAGAAAAUUGCUAGAACCCUGGAAUGAUGCAUUGUAGAUAUUGGUUUUGCAAGACAGAGGGACAUUAUGCAAAUGAAUGUCCUAAAAAGGACAAGAGAUCCUCUAAAGCCUUAAUUGUAGAGUAUGAUGAAGCAAUAGAGUAUGCUAAUCUAAAAGGCUUUGAAGUCGCAUAUUUUGAUGAAGAGAAUGAAUCAAUAUAUUCUCUUGAGUACCCAUCAGAUAGUGAGACAUAAAGUAUUUCAGAAAACUCUGAAGAAGAAGAUAUAGGAGAUCGUCCUAUAUUUUUAUUGCAGAUACAAAAUUGGAAGGAAGAAAACACUGAUAUUAUCAGUACCUUCCAUCCCAAUCCAGGAAGAUUUAUUUGUGACUAUUGCAAAUGUGAUGAUAAUAAUACAAUUCCCAUGUACUGUGAAGGUACAUGUGAAACUUAUCAUCGGGAAUGUUUUAUUGCAGAACUCAGAAGAAAAACCAAGGAUAAUGAAGCACAUGUCCUGGUAGAAGAGGAAUACAAUGUAUUCCAUAAAAAAGAAAAAGAAAAAAAAACCUUGAAGAUGAUAUAAAAACGAUGAAGUUUGUAACUUCAUUAAGUCAGAACAGGGAAAUCAAGGAAUCCCUUAAUUCUCUCAAUUCCAGUUCCAAUCUGAUACCGGGUCUAGCAAAUGACAAUCCUCUGGAAUCAAAAACUGCAGAAAGAAGGGUCAAUCCUUUCACAGAAUUACUUGAUGAUCCAAGAAAGCAAGCAAGAAUAAUGCCAGUCCAGACAAUCAUAUAUAGUAAUUAUAUUACUAUAGGACUGAAGUUUCCCAAUUACAAAAAAUAUCAUCUACAUGCAUUUGUAGAUACUGGUUCAGGGUUUAGUCUUGCUAAAAGUUAUGCUAUCCCUGAAGAAUAUUGAGAAAAAUCUUCAAGGACAGUUACUGGAGUUGCAAUGGAAGAAAACAACAUAGUUAUGGAUACAAUGGCACAAAAUGUGCAAGUUUCCUUGGGAGGAGGAACUUUUACCAUCAAGAUUCUUUGGCAGUGUGAAGGUCAGACAACUGAUUUGUUGAUAGGGAAUGACUUUCUUCUUCAACAAACAGUAAAAAUGAUUGGGUUUGAAAAACAUAAAAAAUACCAUUGGGAAUCCCGAUUAACAGACGCAGUAUGCGUUACCAGUAAAGGAUUUACAGACCAUUAUCAGAAGUCGCCAGCAAAGAGUGGUGAUUAUACGCCAAUUUUAAAGCCAGUUUUGUUGCUACAAGAGCAGCUUAAAGGUCAUAAGGAGAUAUUGGUGAAUGAAGAAACAAGUUCAGAAGACUCUGAUUCAGAGGAAAGUUCUGAAUAUCAAAUUUCUGACAACGAGAGUUCUGAUGGAGAAGAAGAAUACAUCAGAGAGCAUAAUCUAAAGGUAUAUGCUAAAAAAGUAGAAUAAAAGAAAAUACCAACGCUCACAGAAAUAGAAAAAUUGUUGAAACCAGUAAUCAGUGAAGAUCCUCAAAUGUAUUGGGAAAGAGACCCAAUAUAUUGUCAGCUAAAAAUGCAUGAUGCAAAUACUAUUUGCCAUGUUAAGGCCAUCCCUCAUUACAGAGAAGAAGAUAGAAAAGAAAUGGAGAAUCAAAUCCAAGAACUUCUGGAAAAGAAGUUAAUCAGGCCUUCAAACAGUCCUCAUCAUGUCCCAGCUUUCUUGGUGAGAAAUCAUGUAGAACAAUUAAGAGGAAAAGCUAGAAUGGUGAUCGAUUAUAGGGAUGUAAAUAAAAAGACCGUUAAAGACGGUUAUCAGAUAGCUCAGGUGAGAGUUCUCAUCAAGAGGCUUAAAGGAGCAAAAAUCUUCUCUAAGUUUGAUGCAAAAUCAGGCUUUUGGCAGGUUAAAAUGCAUCCUGAUUCUAUAGCCUUAACAGCUUUUGGAAUUCCUCAAGGGCAUUAUGAAUGGUUAGUUAUGCUAUUUGGUCUUAAGCAAGCCCCAUCUAUUUUUCAAAGAAAAAUGGAUAAUAUCUUGAAGUCUUACUCAGAUUUCUGCUUAGUUUACAUAGAUGACAUUCUUGUCUUCUCCAAAACUAUGAAUGAGCAUCUAAAGCAUCUUGAACAGGUGUGUAAACUUAUUGUCCAAAAAGGAAUCAUUCUUGGACAGAAGAGGAUUCAUCUUAUUAAAAGUGAAAUUGAUUUCCUUGGCAUUCAUGUUAAGGAUGGAGAUAUUCGUCUCCAAGAUCAUAUUGUUAAGAAAAUCAGCCAAUUUCCAGACAUAAUCCCAGAUGCAAAGUCUCUACAGAGAUUUUUGGGAGUUGUUAAUUUCGCCAGAGAUUUUAUUCCACAAGUUAGUGGUCUAACUGCUCUCCUCUCUUCAAAAACAAGUUCUAAGAAGAAAUGGUCUUUCACAGCUGAUGACAGUAAUACUGUCAGAAAGAUUAAAGAGUUAACAAAAAGCCUUCCUCCUCUACAGUUACCUGAAGAAAGAGAUCUGAUCAUUUUGCAGAUUGAUGUAAAUGAUUAUUAUUGGGCGGAGUUGUUUUAGCUGUUGCUUCAAACACAAAUCAUGAAAAGAUUUGUAAAUUUCUAUCAGGAAAGUUUAAUGCAGCAGAGUUAAACUAUUCUACUGGAGACAAGGAAGUCCUUGCCCUAAUUAAGAGCAUUAAGAGUGCUGAGGCAUUCUUAGGAAAUAAAUCUGUAGUUAGAACUGAUAACAAAAGAGUCAAAAACUUCAAAAACUACAAAUUAACUGAUGCUGCGGAUAGGGGAAGAGUUCUGAGAUGGCAAAUGUUUUUAACCCAAUAUGAAUAUGAUGUUGAAAUGGUUGCAGGUGACAAGAACUAUUUGCCCGACGCUUUCACAAGAGAAAUGGCGAUGUUUGAAAGAGAAGAUCGCAAUCCCAGAAGUCGAAAACCAGAAUCAGAAGAAAAGAAGCUCUGAGAAAGAUUCAAAAGCAGUGAUAAAACUGUAGGACCGCUCCAUGACGGACCAGGUUAUCAGUAUAUUGUUUCUUAUGGAGCUGCUGAGUCCAGUCAUGCUUCAAGAAUCAAGUCUAAAUCUGAAGAAGAUGGUCGCUCUAGUCAUUCAAGUGGUACUAAUGAAGAUAAACUCAUAAAUGAGUUUUUGCUGUGUCCGAAAGGAUCAGUCUUAACUGACCAGUCUCAAGGGAAAAGACUGGCUAGCCCGUCUCAAACGGCAGACGGUAAAGGCAUAUCAAGUCCGUUGAUGGCUGCUGCUUUGCCAAAAAGCAGAAGAGACGCUCUUAAGGCAGAUAAGUCACCUUUAGUUACUGGAAAAAAGGUUAUUCACGAUCAACCUCUGAAGAUCUUUCAGAUACCAGUUUUCAGGACUGAAAGGCUAUUGCCCUUUAAGCAGAAGAUUAUUAUUGAUAAUAUUCUGUAUUCAUUGUAUGAAGACAAUGAAGCUCACUUGCUUCAAACACUAAAGGCUUUAACUGAAGAAAUGUAUGGAUUCCAUACAAAAGACAAAGGUGUUCUUGCAGAAUCUUCUAAGGUUGAAUACCUCGAAAAUCCUGAAAGUGCUAAAAUUCCUAUUUUAGCUUUAAAGGAAUCUGAAUGGUAUAAAUUUCAUAACCUCUUAGGUGAAGGGAAAAAUAUUCUGCCUGGCACAUUAUCAAUAGCCCCUGGCCCAUAUUAUGGGAGAUAUCUGGUUGACGUCCAAGCAGAACAUCCUCAGAAGCACAAGCUAUGGCUUGUAGAAAAUGGUUUUGUUCAUAAUCUGUGGACGAAAACCAAUGAAGAUCUGAAGGGCCUUCUAGAAAUAAUAGCUGAAGCAGUCAAGAAUAUCAGACCUGAUGGUUGUAUCCUAAGGUUAAAAUUCAUUUCAACUCCACCAAAAUGGGCAGUGGUAAAUAAUCAGAUGAAUUAUAUCUCUCCAUAUCAUCAUGUCAGAUUAAUCCAAAGUUCGGUUCAAAAGCCACCUAUUGCCAGUGGAAAUGGAAGACCAAAUCAAAGCAUUCCUUGGAUGAAAGCCAUGACCAUAGCAAUUAUUAAAGACGUGGUUUUAAGAGACUAUGAUUCAAGUCUUUUAGCCAGUGGAGAAAAAAUUAUGGUCACCUGUUACAAUCACCCUCCACCAGAGAACUGUGACUUUUUCACAACCCUUAUGAGGAAAGAAGUGGACUGCACUCUGGCUACCACCACGUGGUUAGAAAAAGUCGAGACUGAUGAUAAAUAUAAGAUUUCCUAUCUCUAUGAUUCAGACCUCGACGAUGGAGAUAUAGACACGGCAUGCGACUGGGAAUAUAGUGGUCCCAACUCCUCAAUGGGAUAUUUUGAAGAUCCAGAGACAUAUCACAACAUUGUGAAUAUGCUGGAAAAUUGAGUGGCUGCCGACGCUUCAAGACAAAUGGUUUUUCUUUUGAUAAAAAGAAAGUAGCUGCCAGCACUUAAAAGCUUUCGACUUUGCUUUUUCAAAAGUAAAGUUAUCAGGAUAGGAUUCCUCCUGUCCACCACUAUGAAUAAGUGUGUUUUAAUUCUAGUUUGAGGUCCGCUCUCUCUAUAUAAGAAGCCUCAAGCUUCAGUAGGAAGGCAUCGAAGAAGGAACCUGAAACAGAAAUCUGAAAUUUUUUCAACCUUUCUCAAGAAGUAAGAGAGUUAGUAUACAGUCUUUAAAAUAGAGUGAGAAUAUUAAGAGUGUUUUGAGAGUGAAGUCUGUAAUCAUCUAGUGUGGUGUACUGUAAAUUUACAAGAAAGUACUUGUGUUUAUAUUUAACUUUAUGAGUAGCUAAACAGCCUUUAGCUGUUUACCUAAGAGCAAGGCUCUGGGUUUGGUAUUUGUAUUUUUGUUUAAUUAAAUAAAUUCUAUCUUGUGCCCUAUAAUCCGUAAAAAAAAAAAAAAAAAAUUUUUUUUUUACCCUUUUUUGUUUCGUUUGUUGUACGAUUACUCUACCUUGUAAGUGAUUAGGCUUGCCCACACUAAGACAGCAGUGAUUCCGCCAUGAUUAGUAACUAUUAGACAAGAAGUCGUUAGGUGAAAUAUUGGCAUGUUGAAGGCUAGUUCUUAGGAAAAGCUUGGUCUAGUCCUUUAAGAGUGGGGUUUUAAAAAAAAAAAAACAUUUUGUAACGGAAAAACAGUGGUUUAACAGUUUUUUUUAACUAGAGGACCUUCUAGAUGAGAAUUCAAAACCUGGAGGACUUUUUAGAUGAAAUUUAAACCUUGAGGACUAAGUAGAUGAGUUGCAUGUGUAAACCUUAGGGACUAAACAAAGGUAAAUUCUAAACUUUAUUUUUCGUACUUAGGUUAAGAUCACGUAAAUUCCGAUGGCAUUUAAAAAAAUCCAGUGAGAUUUCUGAAAAAUUCCGGUCACUGGAUGCCCGUAAUUUUCCAGCCGUCGAAAAAUUCCAGUCACCGGUGACCGGAUUCCGGCGGCCGGAGUUCGGAGUCCGGCGGCCGGAAUGCGGCCGUCGGUGACUGGAGCCGGAGCCCCCGGUGUGCUUCCAGCAAAGUCUUCCCUUCAUCUUUUUCACUUUUUCUCUUUAAGUAAAAGCUAAGGGUAAAAAAGUAUUUAAAAAUAUAAUUUUAUUAUAUUUUAAUAAAGAUUUGUGUAUUUGGACUUAAAAUAAGUAUCUUGUAUUCAAAUGGGCUAAUAAAAAAGAUUAUCAUUGAAAUGAGGUUUGACUUUUUCUAUUUUGUGUAAAUGGUCUUUUUCCCUAUUUAAAAUAUUUAUUUAAUCAGUUAUUAAACUUUAAUAAAGAUCAUUGAUGAAUAGAUAUUUCAAAGAGUGAUGCUAGAGACACUAAAUUUUCAUACAAAAUUAGAAUACCAAAUGAUGUGGCAUGUGUCAUAUCAUUAACUUUAAAUACCAUGUCAUCAUUCAUUAACUAGUAAUUUCCAACAUACAAAAUAAAUUUAUUAUUCUAAUACAAGUUCUUUUUUUUUUUUUUUUUUUUUUGAGAAAGUAAUACAUGUCAUUUGUCUGAAAAAAAAAAGAAAUUAAAAACUAAAAGCCCUAAAACUCAUCUUAAGAAGAAAUUGUCGUCGUUCCCUAAGCCCCUAUCAGAUCAACCAUCCUAUUCUCUUUUGUUUAGCUUUUCUAAACAAGUGUACGUAUCUUAUAUUUUGGUGAUCAAGGACUAUAUGAAUAAUGUAUAUAAGCCUCAUAUGAGUCAUAUCAUCCCAAAUUCCCAAUGAUUUAUAUUGAAAACUAUACUUGAUUAUUAUCUGGGAAGAAGAGAUGAGAUUGGCAAGAGAGGAGAUGUAGAGCAAGAUGAUGAAGAUGAAAUUAUAUAUGAUUUGGUAGUAAAAUCUAAUUUAUUUGUUUUAGUUGAGGGAAUAAGAAUAAGACAAGAACCUUGUUACUGAUAUGAUCUCAUCAUGCUGCAACGUCGUUUGUGCGAGAGUGAAAAUGGAGAAUGGAACUUAGCAGCUUUGAGGAGAAAGUGGUGUUUUAAUUUUAUAUUGUUUGUCACUAAUAGUUUUGAUUUAAUUUUAUAGAAAUACAAUUUGGAAUUAAUGAGUCAAAAAUAAUUACAUGUCAUAUUCCACAUCAUUUGGUAUGUACUAUUUGGUAUAAAAUUUUGUGAUCUCUAGCAUUUUUCUAUUUCAAAAGUGGCUAAUUAGAUGACUUUUCUAGCUAAUUUUUUUUUUAAUCAAACGAAAGUUCAUUCAUAUAAACUGCAAUUACAAAACAAUUCCAAUACCCGACCAACAAGGGGUAAGAACUACAAGCAAUUAACUCUAACUUCAAACUACUUGUACUCACUCUGCAAAGGAAAGAUUGACAUGUCAAUAGAUCCAAUAAACAUCGAAUUGAGAAACCAUUCGAGUUAACUUGACCAACAUGUAGCAAUUACUAAGAACAGGAAUGAAAAAACAUUAGGUGGGCAUCCUCAACAUAGGCUAAUAAUAUGCACAGCCAAAACCCGACAUAAGUCCGGGUUCUUGUAACAACAAACCAACCACCCAAAUUCAACCACCCAUCAGAUCCAUGACACUUAUUCAACAAACUUGAAAUUACAAACAAAAAAACCGUAAGAAAGUAAUAAUAAACUAGCCUUACAGGCUCAACAGUCCACCAACAAGGCCUAAUAGAAGAAGCCCAACCCAACCAUCCUUGCUCCUAAGAAUCAUUAGCACCGCCAACCACCCACCUUCCCACCGCCGUCUCCUUGCACUUGCCCACAACUGCUUCGAAUCCUUCCACACAGUUGGCCUCAGAUCUAUCAGCCCAGACUAAGAAAGAAGUUCCCUCACCUCAUCUCUCCCAUGAGACUAGGACCCCAACUGAUUCCCAGAUCCAAAACUUAAUGGAACUACCUCUCGCUACCGCCAGCAAGUCAUCCUCGGCCGCUCCUCCCUACCCGUGCUUGCCUUUGAAAGAAUAGGAUCAAAUCAAACAAGAUCUGUCCAAUUCAAGGUGAAGCAAAGAUCCUCUCUCCUUGGACUACCACGCCUCUUCCAUGUAUCCAUGUUGUAGACUCGGCAUUCAAUCCCCUCCCAGACCGAAACUGUCACGCCCCGGUCCUACUGUAAAACCCACCGACGGCGGGACUAGGGUGUGACAGGAACGCAACCAUUGGAUUGUUGGUGACGCUCAGUGGGAAAGGGCUCGCACCUAAGUUGUCUUCUCGCUCUGGUGGCUGGGAGUUGACUUUUCAGCUACUUUGACUAAAUUAUACAUAAUGUCCCUAUUUCUAUUGUUCCUGAUAUGUCUGAUAAGUUGAUUUGGGUUCCUUUUGUUAUAUUAUGGGGGUCUUGGACGCAACCAACAACUCAAGGAGAUUGGGUUAAUAUGCUACACCACUACCUUGUGGUUUAUUGGGAAAGCAAGGAAUAAUAUGAUGCAUGAUCCUUUAUUGUUGAUGCAGUACGUCAACUAAUUAUGAGGCACAUAAAAGUAGCUAGCAAAUUAGCCUCAAGGUGCAUGUCUAAUUCUUUAACAGAGCUUCGAGUUUGAAGAAUUUUGGUUUAUUAUUUCAUCCCCGACGGGCUCCGAGGAUUACUGAAGUUAAUUGGCAUCCUCCUCUCUUAGGUUGGAUUAAAAUUAAUAUGGUGCAUGGCAAAAGGCUACAAGGAAAGCUGGUUAGGGAGUUUUUAGGGAUUUUCAUGACUCUUUCUUUGGUGUUUUUGCUUCAAACUUUGAAAUUCUUAACUCUGUGGAUGCGGAGGUUAUGGCGGUUAUUUAAGCUAUGGAGUUGGCUUGGGUUAGGGAAUGGAAGCAUAUUUGGCUUGAGGUGGAUUCAACAAUUUUGUUUAAUUUCUUGUGUGAUCCUCAUCUUGUUCCAUGGCGAUUGCGAGUGGCAUGGGAUAAUUGUUUGCAUCGCAUUUCUCAUAUGAACUCUCGAUCUUCUCAAAUCUUUAGAGAAGGUAAUCAAGUGGCAAAUGCUCUUGCUAAUAUUGGUUUGUCGUUGUCUACGUUAUCUUGGUGGGAUGAGCCUCCCCACUUCAUUAUAGAACUAUAUCAACGAGAUAAGUUCAGUCUCCCUAACUUUCGUUUUCAUUGAUUUCUUUUACAGUAUUAGUUUGAUGUCUUUUAUUCUGUACUAGCGGGGUUUUGAUUGUAGUGUCAUCCUACUUGAUUGUAAUUUUUUAUUAUUAAUAAAUUUGGGUGGGAGAGUAUUCUGCUCUACCCAGCUCAUUUUAACCAAAAAAAUCUUGGCAAAUUAAAAUGCACCUAAUUCUGGGUGAGGAGAAUUAUUUAUUUCAUUUUCUUGGUAUAUAAUCUCUCUCUCAUACAAUAGCCGAUCACUUCACAACAAUUAAGGACGUACAUGAUGAGAAGGUGGCAAGGUCAAUCAAACUCCAAGUUCCUCGCAUUCUACUUCGUCCAUUCCAUAACAAACUUUAAGACACAAACUCAUCCAUCUCUCUCUCCCUUUGAUCCGAACAAUUUUGAAUGCCAGUUUCUCUUUCUAUGCCACCUCCUUUCUUCCACCAAACAAUUCUUCAAUGGGAGGCAGCGGCUACAAGUUUGAAGAUUCCGAUAAGAAAUCGUCGCAUACCGGCUCCCAUAUGAUAGGUUUCAGAGCCACCAUCACUUGGGUUUUCCUCAUAGUGUCAAUGCUUUAUGUUCUUUAUUCUUCCAACCACCUCCUGAACUCUCAAGAUUGUGCUACCCCUGUAAAUAUUAAAAAUCAUCUUCAGAUCGUCACAAAUGUCACUGGCAGUAAUGAUGUUAGUAAACUUGAGGUACAAGGCAAACAAGGACUAGGGCAAGGAGCCAAAGAAGUAGUACCUUCACGUCCACAACAAUUUUCUAGAUUUGAUACAGAAUUGAAACACAUUGUGUUUGGGAUUGCAGCCUCGUCAAAUUUGUGGGAAAAGAGGAAGGAAUACAUAAAACUGUGGUGGAAGAAGGAGAUGAGAGGGGUGGUAUGGUUGGACAAAAAGGUGAGGAUGCGGGGAAAUGAGGUGUUACCUGAGAUUCGAAUCUCUGGGGACACCAGAGGAUUCAAGUACACAAAUCGGCAAGGGCAGAGAUCAGCAUUGAGGAUUUCGAGGGUGGUUUCAGAAACAUUGAGGCUUGGAAUGAAGGAUGUGAGAUGGUUUGUGAUGGGGGAUGAUGACACAGUUUUCGUGGUGGAAAAUGUGUUGAGGAUUCUUUCAAAAUAUGAUCAUAACCAGUUUUAUUAUAUAGGACACCCAUCAGAGAGUCACAUUCAGAACAUAUUUUUCUCGUAUACUAUGGCCUUUGGGGGAGGUGGAUUCGCCAUAAGUUAUCCAUUGGCAGUGGAACUAGAGAAGAUGCAGGACCGGUGCAUCCAACGAUAUCCGGCAUUAUAUGGCAGUGAUGAUAGAAUGCAGGCUUGUAUGGCGGAGCUAGGAGUCCCUCUUACCAAGGAAGCUGGAUUUCAUCAGGUAAAUGGUAUAGCCAUUUACUUUCUCAUCAAGUAUUUUACCUGAGACAUUGCCACAUUCCGAUCACAUUUUCAUAUCAUCUGAAACUUUUGAUGAGCACUUACUACAUGAAUUGCUUCAACAGUCACAUUUUGUGUUCUGCUAAUGCCAUGCAUCUAGCAUUAGUCUUCUUGGCAUGGUAUGCAAAAUUAAGGUUAUGUAUGUUUCUUGUGCUUGUGCAGUAUGAUGUGUAUGGAAACCUAGUAGGCCUUCUGAGUGCCCAUCCUGUGGCUCCAUUGGUGACUCUUCACCACCUUGAUGUAGUUGAGCCGGUAUUCCCACGCAUGAGCCGUGUUAAAGCACUUCAACAUCUAUUCCAGUCUGUAGAGUUCGACUCGGCUAGUAUCAUGCAACAAUCAAUCUGCUAUGACAAAGAUCAUUUAUGGUCCAUCUCCAUUUCAUGGGGCUAUGUAGUUCAAGUCAUCAGGGGAGUAAUGUCUCCAAGAGAACUAGAGACACCCUCAAGAACCUUUCUUAAUUGGUACAGAAAAGGUGAUUUCACAUCAUAUUCAUUUAACACUAGGCCUGUGUACAGAGACCCUUGUCAGAAACCCUUCCUUUUCUAUUUGACCACGAAUCGCCUUCAUCGAGACAAAAAUAAAGUAUUUGGUUUCUAUAAGCUAGAGAGAUCUCCAUCUCCUCAUUGCCGUUGGAAAAUGGCCUCCCCAGACACAAUUGAUACCAUCAUUGUCUUGAAAAGGCCAGAUCCUAUUCGUUGGGAAAAGGUAAGGUUUCAAAAGACAUAAAUGUUUUUAAACAAGACACCUAACUGAGACACUUGAUGAAACAUUCUCACAGUUUCAAUACAAGAAUUGUUCAUUGUGUGUGAGUUAGAAGAUAUGAGAGUUCAACGAUCAGGGCUGGGUUACCUAUGUUUCUACAUCUAUGUUGAUGCUAUUACUAACAUGUUACUGACUGGAAGAAAACUUGUUUUGCAGUCACCAAGGAGAGACUGCUGUAGAAUUCUUCCAUCAAAAAAGAAUUCGACGAUGUUUCUAUGGGUUGACAAUUGUCGAGAAGGUGAGAUGAGUGAGUUGUAGAAGCAAGAGGCAGCAUGUAUAUGAUCUAGUUUCAAACCUGUUUCCAACUUUCGAAGAUUCUUGAGGCAUAUAGAAAUGAUAUGAGUGGAAAGUCUAGAAUGGGAACAGAAUGCAGAAAGAACAGGUUUUAGCUGUAGCUCUACAAGCAAAAGUCCACAGAAGAAACUUUGAUCAUACAUUUCAUCAAUCAUCGAAGAAGACAUGUAGAAUAGGAAUUUUAUUGCUGUUACUGUCUAUGUAAACUUGAUAUAUCAAACCACAUCAUUAACUGUUGUUAUCUCUGUAAAUUCUACAGCUUAGUUUGCUAGUACAUUGCCACAUCAUCUAUCAACAUCUUAAUCUCCUAGCUUUUCAUGAAUUACAUUAGCCUCAGGUUGUUUACACCUACUCAUUUGGCUUUUUGGACUCUGAUCUCAAUCCCAUAUACAAGAUUCACAGAAAUAGAUUCCUAAAAGAUAUUUUGUUACUGAAAUGAAAACAAGAAAUUUUCUUCACUUUUACUUUCACCAGUGAACUACAGUAACAUUCUUGACUGCAAUAUUCAAGGAAGCUGAACUCUCCGCCCCAACCCCAGUGUCAUUAUUGGCUGUGAGAUUCUUAGUUUGCUUACUACUCACCAGUUGAGCUGCAGUAACCUUGAUGGCUGUGAAAUUCUUAGUUUGCUUACUCACCAGCUGAGCUGCCGUGAACUUGUUGGGUCUGAGAUUCCUUGUUUGCUUACUCGCCAGUUGAAUUUUGGUGACAUUGUUGGCUGUGAUAUUCUGAAUUCGCUUACUCAACAGCUGAGCGUCAGUUACAUUUUUGACUGCGGGACUCUGACUUCGGUUACUCGCCAGUUGAGCUUCAGUAACAUUGUUGACUGUGAGAUUCUGAGGAACCAAACUCACCGGUUGAGCUUCAGUAGCAUUGUUGGCUGUUGUAUUCUGAGCAGUAUUCACCAGCUGAACCUCAGUUAUAUUGGUCACUGUGAAGUUCUGAGGAACUAAGGCUACUGGUGACAUUGCCUCAGCUGCCAGGAGUGCAAUUCCAAGUCGAGUGUUAUUGAGAAGGAGUGGUAUAUCAGUUUCACGUAUUGCAGCGAUUUUACCACCUAUGCUCACAACUUUUACUGUUUG